CGCCCUUCCUCGCUUAGCUUGACUGCCAUAGGGUACAGCUGCUGCCCUUCGCCUAACAAUUCCGAAUCUGAACUACUAAAUAUUGAACUUAUUCCUUGCAGAGCGACCCAAAAUUCCCCUUUGGAAUUUAUUCUGAUGUUGUCGGGUAACCCCGGCAACUCAACAAAUGUAUCAUGUGUUCCUGCAAGGGGGCCUUUAAGCCAAUACCUUAAAAUUCUAAAAUUAGAAGUUUCAGUCACUAGCACGAAGGACCGAUUUUUACUCAAAGCUACACCAUUUGCAAAUGCGAGGUCUCUUAGUAAAACUGUUACUUUUUUUGUUGAUUUAACAUAUUUCAUUAGCUUGCCAGUCGCGUCUCCACUUGAAAAAGAGUCUAGAUAGUUCUUGCGCUGAUACUUUGUGCUUGUAUCCGUGAAGUAAAUCACAUCGUCAUGAUCAUCAAUAUCAACGUCAUUUGUGAAGAGUAGAGGUUUACCUUCGACUUUUUGGACUAAUGGGGUAGCUAAUCCUCCUUUUGGUCCUACAACUUGGAGCCCAAAAUAGGCAUCAGCAAUGUAGAGUUCUCCUGUUUUGGUAUCGAAUCGUAAGCCUAAUGGCCUCCCACAUACAUGUUCCAUUUCAGGAGCAGAAGGCAGAGUACAAUUCUUCCUAUGAGAAGAGGUGACUGCAAAAUCAGCCCAAAAUGAUCCAUGCCAUUUGAGAAUUCGUCCAUCAGCAACUCCUACGUAUGGACCUUGACCAUUUGGAUCGAAAGCAAGGCUCUCUGGUCCAACUGCACCUUUUAGAUGGAUGAUUUCGGAUUUUGAAAGGACAUUUUGGGAUUUCAACACAUUUUCCGAAGCAAACGCUAAAUUUAGUGAGAAAAUUAGUGCUGUUGUAGCACUAAUGAUCAAGAAUAAUAGAUCUGAAUCAUUCAUGGAGAGUGUUUUUUUGUUUUUUGGAGAUGAGAAUUGUGUCUAAGGUUUCUUCUUUUGUAGGAGCUUGUACGUAUCAAGUGGACUGACUUUUAAGCAUGGACCUCAAAAGCGUAUAUAGUACUAGACAAGUGGUCAGAAGCAAGUGGCAUUUCUAUAAUAAUUAUUGUCUACAUAUCUUAAUCUUUUUGAAAUGAAUUUGAUCCAAAAAUGCAUGCAUGCAGAAGAUUAAAAACAAGUUACUAAAAGAAAAAGGCCAAUGUACUGUAGUAGGGUAUUACAUCCAUAGUUUGGUUAUUAGUACACGUUAUCUACAAUCAUAUGUAGUAAACAGAUCAUUAACCAUAAAAUAUACUCCAUCCGUUUUAAGUUUUAAAAAGAAUGACUUGAUUUUACUUGACACAAAAUUUAAAAAAAUAAAGAAAGACUUUUGAAUCUCGUGAUCUUAAAUUAAAGUUAUGUCAAAUGUAUACAUAUUUUUUAAUUUUGUGUCUUAAACAUAUCACGUGAAAAGUUGAAAUUAAAGCGUUGUCAAAAAAGAAAAGGAUCAUUCUUUUUAAAACAGACUAAAAAGAAAAGUAGAUUAUUUUUUUUUAAACAGAAAGAGUAAAUAAAUAGAAGUCUGAAUUAGUGGACAAAAUUCAAUGGUUGAUCACUAUUUGCAGGGGCGGACCUACAUAGUGGCGAGGGGGUUCACCCGAACCCCUCGGCAAGAAUUACGUCGUAUAUAUAAGGUAGAAAAUCUAUAUUUACAUAUAUAUAUUAAUUUUGAACCACCUGACACAAGGUUGUUAGAUAACUCAGUGAUACAAUCUCCACUUCUUGGGGCGCUACUUCAGGCUUGGUCGUAGGUUCAACCCAUAUAAAAAAAUAAAUAAAUUAAAAUAAGUUAAAAUAUAAGUUUAAGUAUAAGCCUAAAAGAAAAGAAUUUAAAAUAAGUUAAAAUAUAAGUUUAAGUAUAAGCCUAAAAUUUUUUUUUUAAAAAUAAAUUAAAAUAUAAGUUUAAGUAUUUUAUAUUUAUAGGCUAUAUACUAUUACGUCAUUAUGUUUUGUUGGCUUAUUGACACAUUUAUAUUUUUAUUUUUUAAACUCCUUGAAAAAAUUUCUGCAUCUGCAACUGACUAUUUGCUGUAAAUCUUCGACAAAGGCAUCAAAAUAAAACUUUUCAGAGUACUUCGCUAGUCAAAGAUGGUAUAGUCAAAUUUAUUAUCUCCACAUGGAUGGAUGCAAAUAAAAGCUCAACAAAACUUGGCAAGUACUACUAUUCAAGAAGAUAAUUCUUUAGAUUGAUGUUGUUAUAAACCACGAGUAAUCAAUUGAAAUUAUGAAGUAUUUAUUCACUGGAAACUGAGAGAUGAGUCUUCCUAAUUAAAAAAAGCCAGGAGGCCUCACUAAUAUGGAUAGGUGGGAGUUACCUACUUUUAGAACAAAACCAAAGAGGCCAUCCAAUAAUAUUGUAUAGGACCCCUCCUAAUUUGUUUUCCAUCAGUCCAGUUAGCCUUGUUCUAACAUGGACCCUAGUCCUGAUCAGUCCCAUAUUCAAAUUUCAGCUGAGACAAAAAAUACUAGAUAAUUUCUUCUCAUAUGUCCUAACGUAACAUUGAUUGACAAAAUUACCUAGUAGUACCUGUUGUUGACGGGAGGUGGCAGUUAUUCUGUGGAAUAAGUCGAGGUACGUGAGAACUAACUUUCAGAGUCUAGACAUGCGCAAGAGAAGUAAGUCGAGGUGAGCGAGAACAAAGUUUCAGAGUUCAGACAUGCGCAAGAGAAGUAAUUAAGUCGAGGUGCGUGAAAAUAAAGUUUCAGAGUUCAGACAUGCGCAAGAGAAGUAAGUCGAGGUGCGCGAAAACAAAGUUUCAGAGUUCAGACAUGCGCAAGAGAAGUAUCAGGAUCCAACUAUGUUCAGAGUUCAUAUCUAAGGUUUCAUUGAUUCUCGUAAAUUCAACAACUAGUAUUUUUUUGAUAACUAUGGUGUCCGGACAACAGGUACUAGGUAACUCUGUCUAUCAAGACAAUUAGCAUAUUUUGAAUGAACUUAAAUUUCAAAACACACAAAGAACAUUUGCAAAAUACAUGCUAAAUAGAUUUGGUUUAAAGAAAACAUCUCAAAUAUUUUUCUUUGAUUUAAAGAAAAACUUAAGCAGCUCUUUCAAUUAAUACUAACAAGAAGCGCUACUCCAAACCCUAAUAUGAUACAUAAUAUUCAAGAAAAUAUAUGAUUCGAUUUCGAUCAAACUAAAAUAAUGAAUAAAUUCCAUUAUUUUAAUAAUAGAUCAUAGAAUCAAAUUCAGAAUUAAAUUCCAAAACACCAUAUCUGUAAAAACCAACGAGAACUACACCAGAAUAUAAAGAGUCUGUCAAAGUUGUAUUAAGUACUUCUUCUGUUUCGGAAUAAGUGAAUUGUUGGGGUAUUUAUUAGUGUUUCAAAAUAAGUGAAUCAUUAAUUUUUUUUUUUCAAAUUUACCCUUAUGAUUUGACAAUCAAUUAACUUUUGAAAAGAUAUUACAUGGUCAACUUUUUUCUUUUUGGGGUAAAAAUGAAAAGUUAUGUUAAAUUUAUAUCUUUAAUGCUUUUUUCUUAAUUUAUGUGUCAAAAUUCAAUAAUUUAUUUAUUAUGAAACAGAGGAAGUAUUAUUUUUGUAGGACAUUUGGGCCUGCCUUGUACGAACUGACUAUUAAUAGUGGACCUAUUAAGUCAUUAUGGUAGACAAACUAGUAAUUAUAUGUCAUAAGAAGCCAACUGCCAAUGUCUGCAAAUUCUCCUUAUUUCUUUUUCUGAUUAGGAUUGGCCACUUAUUGGAAUGUGAUUAUUUAAUAAACAAGUCCCGGUGAUUUGAUUUAAUAGCCUUUUGUAAGCUUCUUUUUAUAUUUAAUUUCUUUUUAUUACUCCCUCCAUUUCUGGUCUUCAAAUAAACAAAAUCAUUGAAGAAAUUAAACUGCAAACAAAUAUGCUUAGUCGAGUGUCAAGUCAAACAUUGCUAUAGGAAAGUCAAUCAACUGUGUGUUUUUGAAUUAAUUAUUCAAUCAUUAUAACAAAUUAUUUUUCUCUUCAAGUUAAACAUAAUAAUCCCAAAAAACUAUAAACGUGCUUAGCCAAAUGAGUGACAAGUCAAAUAUUGCUACAGUAAGGCCAAUCUACUAGCAAAUUGGUUGGGAAAAUGGCAAUAAACUCACAGGCAAGCAGCAUUAUCUCACAGGCCGUGGGGCCUCUCCUUACUGUUAAAAGCCAAAUCCCUAGUAUUAUAAAUCAUAAUUUACGAAGGACAAUUUUUUUGUUAGUCACAUUUAUUAUUAUGUAAAGAAGUUAUAUGGACAAUAAGCUAAUUUUUGCUGGUGGUCCAUAUUUUUUGAAAGGAUAGCUUCUAUCUUUGUGUUGUAAUUUUCACCUUUAUCUUUAUGGAAUGAAAUACAGCAUCAAGUCCCAGGUUAAUGUUUGAAAGAUACAGAAAAUAAUGGAAAUUCUCGUAAUUUAUGGCGUGACUAUGAAAUUAUUUUUAAUAAUAUUUCAUUCGGUAUAAGAUAUUUAAUCCAUGUUAAAUAAUAGCAAAUGUAUGAUUGAGCCAAUUUAGUAGCAAAAAAAAUAUAGCAAUUAUUUAAAAAUUGAUGUGGUGCGGUUUGCAUGUGUGUGUGCAAAUUUAUGCUGGUUCAAAUAUAAUUUAAACAUUUUUUUUUUUGGUUUGAAUCACAAAUUUUAAUAGAUGAAAAUACGAUAUAUGUAUAACUAGGGGUGGACAUUCGGUUUGUUCGAUUUGAUUGUUGAAUAUCGGUUUGAUUUUUUGAUUUUUGAAUAGACGAAAAUGACAACCAUAACCAAACAAAAAUUAUUUCAGUUUGGUUCUGUUUUUACAAAUUCAGUUCGGUUAUUUUGAGUUUUUAUUUCGAUUUUAAAGAUUAAAGUAGUGAGCAUUUAAAAUUGGUGAUUUUUCUAGAAAAAUAAUCUUCUUUUCAAACCUAUUUUUCAUUCACAAAUAUAAUUCAUUCAACACGCAUGAAAUAACCAUAAAUAUCGACCUCGCUGAAUCGUCGUCGUUGGUGUGAUGACAGUAACCGCACUCGGCAGCGACUGCCGACGGCAGUGACAAACUGAGAAAAUAACUGCCGACUGCCUUUAGCGAUGUUGAAAUUUCAAAUGAACUGAGGAUGACUGAGCCUUCAUGUUAAUGUUAGGACCCAAAGCAAAGCAGUAUAUUAGGAUUCAGGGUUGCUAAAAAAUUAUAAUUUAUAUAUUUAUAUGUUAUAUCAGAUUAUAUUUUUGGUUUAUUUACAUAUAUAAUAAUAUAUAUAUAUAUAUAUUAUUUAUAUAUAAUAUAUAAAUUAUAAUAUAUUAUUUAUAUAACUUCGAUUUUUUGAUUUAUCUAUUUUUUUUAAAUCCCAAAACCAAACCAUUUAAUCGAAGUUCUAAAAUUUAAAACCGAAACCAAUCCGAAAAAUCAAACCAAAAUUAAAUUUUGGUUCGAUUUUUCAGUUUUUUUUGGUUUAAACCAAAAUAUGCCCAACUCUAUAUAUAAUUACGAACUAUUUCGUAUACCAAAUCCAAGAAUAAUAUUUAUUAUUGCUUUAACUACCAAUUAGAUAUAUUUAAAUUUUAUACCCAGUAAAGAUUUGAAAAAACAAAUUAAAAUAAAAAAUUCUAUUUUCUUCAUUAACUACAGAAUUAAGAAUAUUUCUGUUAGGUAAGGAGGUGUCGAAAGCUCUUCACUCCCCUCAUAAAUUCAUUGAGAAAAAAAAUGUACUCACCAACUGUCUUCAAACUUAGAAGUAGUUGCAGAAUAUUUAAUAAAUACUGUAUAGUAACAGUUUUACAAGUUUUCUGUUUGACGAAUUUACACAACUAAUAAUGUGUCAUGGAGAUUUUUUAUUAAUAAUAAAAGUAAUUAAAUACAUGAAUAUAAUAGGAAUAUAAGUAAAAAUAAGGGAAUAGCCUAGCCUAAUGAGCUAAUAAGGUAACGACCUCCGGUAAUAAAUAACCCUGAAGAAAAUAAGAGCUAGAAAGAUACUAGAUACUUUAUGACUAUCACAAAAUUUAUAUUCGUUUUGUUUAAAAACGAAUGGUUUAUUUUGACUUGACACCGAGUUUAAGAAAAAUAAAGAAUACUUUUGCAUCUUGUGGUGUUAAAUUAAAGUUAUGUCAAAUAUAUCAAAAUAUUCUUGUUGAUGGAUUAUCUUUUUCGUUGGAGCGAUGGUAGUAAUUACGAGCUUCAUGAUUAGUUUUACCACAUAUUUGACAUAGCACAUGAUGCUUGGGUUGACGAUUAUUGGACCGAGAGAAUGAGGAAUAGGAAUACUGUUGAGGUACCAUAGAUUGAGCAUGAUUAUGAGAAUUGUGGGCAACGAAAUUAGAGAGUGGGGGUGGUCCAAGAAUAGAUGACUGGUUGGUAUUAAGGGGUGGAGAGGGUGGAAGAUAAGACGAAUUGAUACUGAUCAUGACCAUGGACAUUUUUUGAGCAUUUUUUAAGACCACUUAAAGGAGUGCACAAACUCAAGUGUAAAAGAGGCCCAAAGCCAUCCUUUUGGUACACUUAAGGGGUUUUUUGGAGCCCGUUUAUGGGAGGGCUCUUUUGUCAUUUCUCUAUUUGUUUGUAAUGUUGUAUAAAUAGAACAACGUAGAUUUUAUUUACUUAGUUUAUGUUUGAGAUUGUAAGAACACUCCUCUUGUGAGAGAGAGCUCUCCAAAACCGAAAUUAGGGCAUAGCAUAAGGGUGGAUUGUCUUGUGUGUUGCAAAGCUUGAUACCUUGGUGCUUGAGAGGUGGACGCCCUCUUGUGUUAUUGUAAGAGUUAGGUGCAUGUUGAGUGUGGUGUUAAGGGUCCGUGAGUGACCAUUCUUGGGUUCUUAAGAUUACAACUUCAUUGUGUCGAACUACCUAUCUGUGUUUCUUGUUCUAGUUUCAAAUUUCCCUUGUAUUGUUGUAAAACCCGUAGGUUCUAGUUGUUGUAGCCUUUUUAUUCUUCAUUGUAUUGUGCUAAUAUAACGUUGGUUGACUGUUUUGAGGGGUUAACACUCGUUUUUCUCUCUAUUCUUGUUAUGAGUAGCGAAUCUGAGAGUGGUCACCAAAAUAGUCUCGAGUUUCCUCAACUUGUGAACUAUUUUGGUGUAUGUUUUCUUGUGUUCUUGGUCAUCCUUGUAUCAUUUGGUAUAAAAGCCGAGUUUUAUUUCGUUCCUAUGAAGUCAAUCUUGGGUUUGUUACUUAGAAAAUAAAAAAAAAGGGUGAAAACUGAAAAUACAAAAAUUCCAGAAAAGUUGAAAACUGUCCAUCUUGUUCUUGGCCGAGAUUUGUGUUUGUUUGUCUAGAUCUUAGUAGCAAUUUGUUUGUUUAGAGUGUUUCAAGUGUUGGUUUCUUUCUCACCAACACUAAAAGUGUCCAAAUCUAAGCUUGAACUUGAAUUUGUUGAAGUUGUUGAUGUGAACAAGGGGUGGCCGUGGUUGGUGUUGUUAUUCUAACCUUGGCCUUGUUGUUGUGGACUUGUUGCGUUCUUGGAGAAUUUUUGUUGGAUGUUCUUGAUGUUGUUGUUGUGUUCUUGGAGUUCUUCACCACAUUCAUCAUCUUGUUAAGCUUUAAAUUGCAAAAUAGAUCUAAAAAGGUGAAAGACAAAUUUGUAGUACUUGUUGGUAAAAGUCUUGUUCACAUCACUUCAAAGACUUUAACAACCAUUUACCAACAACUUUCUAUCAUUCAAAACCCAUGUUAUAAGGAGGAAUACAAGAAAGUCCAAGUCUUGUUUUGAAUUUGAAAAGGAAGCUCCAAGACUACAAUUUUCUCAAUUAACCAAAUCCACCAAGUCCAAAUUGUGAAAUGGUCAAGACUUGAAAUUGGCAAGUAAAUUUUUGACAAACCCGAGGCCAAUAGUGGACUGCCACAUCAUCAAAUAACUGUUCACACGACCAUUUUAAGCUCAAAAUCUGAUCUUCUAGUUUUGUUUUUGUUGUUUCCUUUGUUGAUUCCAUUACUAACUUACAAGCUAGUACUAGAUUGUAAGUUAGUUUUGUAGCUGUUCUACGCGUUUACGAUCCUUCAUGUGUCCUUUUGUUAUUGUUUCCUUGAGUCAUUGUAGAGGUUUGGUUCACCUCUCAAGCACGGAAUACAAUCAAGCUUGACACACUUGUGUGAUUGAGUGAAGAAACCCGAGAGGCAAAAAAAAAAAACUAGCGAGAGAGUGUGAUGACCUUUAUUUUACAACUAACUUAUUUAUUGUCUUAUAGGUGUUUUUCUUAGGUACAUUGCAAUGGAGGGAAUGUUCUUCCAAACCGUGGGCAACAAUGAUACCAAUAUCCUCAUGGCUUCUAUUGAAGGCCUCAACCUCACUUUAGAAAGAAUGCAAGUGAGUCUUGGGAAGUUAAAAACGGAUGUAACAUCGUUGAAAGGGGAUAUAUCUACUAUGAGUGGGAGAUUGGAAUGAGUGGAAAGCCAAAUGACACUCCCCUCUACUUCUUAAUACUAUUAUGUGUCCUCGAGUGGACAUGAUCAAAACAAUUUUCCUACCCCCCUCGAAAUAUUAUACCAAAUGAUCAGUUCACCGAGACAACCACCAAAUGCUUCCCAAAGCUGAGAGUUUGAUAGACCAACCUACCCUCCACUUCACCAAGUCCAACAAGAAGCAUUUGGAACCCAAAUACCAACACCAAACCCGGGCCCUCCACUUAACCAAAGGCCUCACAUUCCAAUUCAAGCUCCAUUAGACUAAAGAACUUAUUUUCCACCCAAUCCAAACCCACCUAACCCGAACCAACCAAAUCGUGUGGAAGGAUAUGGUGGGGAAGAAUGACAUAGAGGUUAUGGAGUCUAUGGUAAUGCUUACUUUAGGGAAGAAAGAAUGAGGGAUAAACAUGGGGAGCUAGGCCGAGAGGUGAGGGAAGCCACCAAAACUGAGACUUGGGCAUAAACUCCAUCAAAGUUAGUCUCCCAAUCUUCAAGGGUGAGAGUGAUCCCGAAGCGUAUCUUGCUUGGGAGUCUUCGUGUGAAAAGAUAUUCCAACUUAAUGACCUCACAAAGGAAAAUAAGAGUUACUAUGCGAUAGCUCAUUUUGAGGGGUAUGAUAAUACGUGGUGGGAGUAUGUUAAGCGGUUCGGGAAUAAGGUGAUCGUGGGACAAUCUCCUCCUUGAUUUUGAUUGAAGAACCUUAGGCGGUAAAGGUACUUGCCCGAAACUUAUAGGCAUGAGAUCCUUGCCAAAUUGUACAAUUUGAGGCAAGGGAGCAAGAGUGUCAUGGCUUACUACGAUAAAUUUCAACAAUUGAACAUGAAAAUUAACCCCCGGGAAGAGCAAGUAAUUUAUGACAUUGUGCACUUCCAGGUGAUAACGCUCAACUUACUCUUCAAUUUAGUGCAAGGCGGUCGUCGUCAAUAUAUUUACCCAACUUUGGAGUCGGGGUCGAAUCCGCAGGGAACAAUGUGAGUGGCGAUUAAACUAUUUUGAAACUAAAGCUACAAGUUAAAUUCAAACAAAUGAUACAAGAAGAUAAAAUGGGGGUUUUUGAUGAUCAACAAAGAAUUGUUGGUCACUUUAGUUUCAGUGUUUGUAAUCAAGAAUUUAUGAAAUAACUAUAAUUAUGUUCACUAGGGCUUCCGGUAAAUGACAGAUGCUAAAAAUGGUUCAAGAUUCUCACGAUGGGUAGGAUAACACGUUAUCUUUAUCGAUGUUAUGCAUAAAUGUCUCUCGACCUACUUAAGAGUUUAAUUCCCUAAUCCUCUCGGACUUAGGAAAUUUCUAUUUACUUCCCAGAUUUUACCUCAGGUUAACCAACCUUGUUAUAUCACUGAUUAUUAAACGAAGUAUUUUCGAGUCCCUGUUGAUAAUUCACUUCCUACUAUAUUUGAUUUCUUUCUCAAGAAAAUCAAAGCAGGUGUGUCUACUGUUUGCAACCAAUAGACGUUAAUUAAAACUUUAGAAUUAUAAGGAAAUCCUACCACCUUUUGAAUCUUGAACACUUAGCACCUUAUCAAGACCUAACCCUAGAUCCCAGAAUUCAGGUUAAAGGAAUUUAGCUGCUCAUGAUGUAAUAAUCGAAGCAACUAGUUGAAUUCAUGAUUUGAAAGAUAAAUUUACCACACGAUGAAUAGAAACUAGAGAUUCUCAGAUUGAAUCGCUAUGAAAAUCCCAAAAUAAUGAUAAUAAUCCCUUCAAAGUAUUUGUUUUUUCAAGCCAAGAAACUCGAGAGAGAAAAUAUCAAAUUACGUCUCUUAAAACUCAAGUUCCAACCCCUAAAAAAACCCUAAACAAUCUUUUUAUAGUUAAUCCUAAAUAAGGAAAUAAAAUCAAGGUUAUAGCCUUUUCUCGGAAUAGACGACGACUAUUGGUGAUGCCUUAUUAGGAUCCUGACAACUUAUCAAGAAUGUCGUCAGGUCUUCUUCAAAUUUGCACUAGUCCUGUCUUAGGUUGAUGAUAACUUCUGACGGCUUAUCAGGACUAUGACGACUUAUUAGAAAUGUCAUCACACCUUUUCUCUAAUUCUCAUGUCCUUCUUAAGUGUGAUGGUAUUCCUGAUGACUUAUCACCAUUAUGAUGGCCUAUCACAAAAUGUCGUCACAACUUCCACUUUAGGCCAAUUUUUUGUCUACUGAUGACGACCAACUUAAUAGCUUAUCACAGGGCUGACAACUUAUCACAAAUGUCGUCAACCAUAUUUUUCUUCAGAUUUCUUUAAAUUUCAACUUUUUUGCUUCAUUUAAUGUCGGUUCUCUAUCAUAUCAGCUUAAACUGUAAUAUCAAAGUAAAAUAAUCAAAAAUAACAAAAGUUGCUUAAGACUUCACAAUUAUUCUCAGUUAAAAGCCUUAAAUGUGUUAGCGUCUGCUCACAUAUCAAAACCCUCAACUUAAAACAAUUUCUUAUCCUUAAGAAACCAAAACAUAACUAAGAGAAUACAAAGUACAAUUUGGCAGUCAAUUUUCUAUAUCAUCCCAACACAACUUCACCUUUUCCCAGGUCAAUCAAUUCAAACUCAACUGUGUAUACUAUUGAAAAACAAUAAUGCAACACACAAGAAUCAAGAAAUGGCAUAAAUUCAGCAAUAGCAACCAUGCAUGUACCAAGAUUACACUAUCCGUACAAGUUAGCAACUAGAAACAUAACCUGUGUGCCCUCACAGCAAAGAAAUCCCUUUUUCACUCAUAUCAGAAAUAACAUAUAUACACUUAGGGAUAAUCACGAGACUCACUCUCAGUAUGAAGUUCCACUCAAUGUACGUCAAAUGCUAUAGGCUUGCCCUUAUAGUUAGUACCAAGGUUUUCAGAUAGGUCAUCUAGGAUCACUAUAGGUCUUUUUCUUGGCUUGUAAUGUAGGCUAGUGGCUGGUAUGAUAUUCAAGGGUAUUUAAAGUAACUACGCUUCCUUGAAACUACGCUAACCUCUUGGGGUUUCACUUCUUAACCUUUUUAUCUUCCUGUCUUUUAUUGAUCACACAUGCUCAAGGUGGGUGCUAGUUUUUCAAAAACCAAAUUAUCUUUUUCUCAUCUUUUACACAACUUUUUCUUUUUUUUUUUUUGCACCACACACGACUUUUUAUUCUUUUAUCUUAUUCUACCCCUCUUCAUACUCAUUUUACAUCACGCACCCCUAUGAUAUCCACCCUCAACUUAGGCUAUUUGCCUAAGUUAAGGUACACAGUGUCCAAGGAGGACCAGGGCCAAAACAGGUUCAUUAUGAUAUAAAUGGAAAGGUGAGAGGUUUCACAGAAAGAAACAGGCAUAUAGGCUCAAAUCAGGGAUCAAGGGAUAUUAUUCACAUUGGGAAGGUCAUUUAGGCUGAAAGUGGGUUACAAUAAAAAAUAGCCUAUGAUCCUUUCCUAAUCCCUAUCCUACAACCAAGACAAGACUAACCGGGCAAGUUCUGAAUUUACACACAAAGAGAACUGAGUAAGACCUCACACACAUAUGGAACACAAAUAUAUCGCACAUCACUACUUAUCCGAUUUGUGUAGUUGUUUAGCACUGAUUAUUAAGUUACCAGAACUAAUGCCACCAAAAGAUUCUAUGUGGUCACAAAUGAAUGCAAUUCACACAGUAUUACAAAUAGACACUUGGAGAGGUGCUUAAAAAUCACAAAAUAUAUUAAAUGCCUCAUUACUUGUAUUUCUCCUAGUUAACCACAACACAUCACAAAACAAAACACAAUACGCCUAAACAUGCCGGCUCUACUAGGAACAAGACUCCGAGGAAAAGAGGCACCACAACAAAAACCCACGGAGGACAUCAACACCCACAAGUAGCCCCAUCCUCAACUUAAAAUUAUGCAAUGUCUCCAAUGCAUCAAACCAAAACAAGAGAGUUAGAAACAUACCUGUGGCACCACGGGUGCGAAGAGCUGAUGUCAAUCACAUAAUACAAAUACAAACAAUAAAACACCUUGGGUUACCUCCCAAGAAAUGCCUAAUUUAGUGUUGCGGCAUGACUCAGUUAUCUUGACUACUAAGACUUCAUCAAGAUACCUUGUUGAUAAUUAUUUAUUUCUCCACUUGGAGGAUUUGAAACUUCGACCUAACUUUUGAUCAAUACAUCUUCGGGGUGUGUUGGGUAAAUGUGAGGGCAUGAUGAGGAAUGUUCUAUCACGCCCCUUUGAAGACUAGAACUUCUUGCCCAAUUUUGCAUCGAACUUUCAUGUGGGCUCAUUUGGCAACGGUGAAAAUCUUAAAUAGCCACUAAAUGGACAUCGAUCUUUAAGCUUCUUGGACUUUAAGAUUGGGGUUGUAGUAUACCCUUUCGGCAGGACAAACUCCAAAAUGUAAGAAUCUUCCUCCUCAUUUUCAAAAUUCAUCAUUUGCUUGGGUGAUUCGACUUUCAUCACAUUCACCAAGCAUAAUAUUGAAAAGUGGUUCGAGUGAGGACUAACUCUCAAUUUUGGAGCAGCAUCCCUAUUUGUAUUUUUACCCCAAAAUGGACUAGAGUCUUUACAAGGAUUGUACUUGAUUUCUUCUUUUGACUCUAGUACCAUUUCCUUGUCUUUGGCAUCUUUAUUCAUAAAUAGUUUGGUUGGUUGGGAAAUCACCGAGGGUUGAUCAAUAUCAAUCUCAUCAUCAACAUUGGAUUCUUGCUCCUCAUCUUUACAUUCGUCCAUUAUAUUAAAUAAUUCCACAGACAAGAUAUCAUCUAAACAUAAUGUGGAAAAGUGCUCUGAAUGCUUGACCUCUAUAUCCAUAUCCUCUAUCAUUCUUCUUUCCUCAUUAUUUGCCCUUAUGUCUUGAUGUAUAUCACGUAUGAUAUCAUUCAUUGUGUCCACACACUCCAACAUUAGUUGAAGCAUAGCUUCAAUAACACUCUUUAACUCUUUCCGGUGCUUCGUUCUUCCUGUUCUUAACCAUAAGACCUAUCAAAAUCAUAAGAAGAAUUAAAAUUUAGGUUAGCAUACCGGGGAGAAGGGGUAUUUGGGCAAUCACUUCAAUGUCCAUCUUAAAAACCACAUAAUGAAGAAUCGUACUCCCGGUAGGAUGGAGAUCGUGCACACAUCUCUGUUCGAGGAGCAUAUCCACAAUCUUGCCAAAAGUGAGGUCCAUCACAAUAUGGACAUGGAUUAUCAAGAUAAGAUUUCCAACCACCAAGCUCAUGUUCAUUCCACGAUGCCAUAGUAAUAAGUAAACUAAAAUAAAAAUAUUCCUAACACAAGAAAUAAAAGAAAAUUAAAAACAAAUAUUUACAAGUUUGAAUUCAAGCAAGCAGGCUAAUAUUCCAAACCAACUUAAUACGCCAAAUUGUUCUCCAGAAAUGAUGCCAUUUUUGAUAAAAAUCAACUUACAAUUUAAUUUAGUGCAAGGCGGUCAUCAUUAAUAUAUUUACCCAACUUUGGAGUCGGGGUCGAAUCCACAGGGAACAAUGUGAGUGGCGAUUAAACUAGUUUGACACUAAAGAAACAAGUUAAAUUCAAAUAAAUGAUACGAAAAUAUAAAAUGGGGAUUUUGAUGAUCACCAAAUAAUUGUUGGUCACUUUAGUUUCAGUGUUUGUAAUUAAGAGUUUAUGAAAUAACUAGAAUUAUGUUCACUAGGGCUUCCGGUAAAUGACAGAUGCUAAAAGUGGUUCAAGAUUCUCACGGUGGGUAAGAUAACAAGAUAUCUUUAUCGAUGUUAUGCUUAAAUGUCUCUCGACCUACUUAAGAGUUUUAUUCCCUAAUCCUCUCGGACUUAGGGAAUUUCUAUUUACUACCCAGAUUUUACCCCAGGUUAACCAACCUUGUUACGGUACUGAUCAUUAAAUGAAGUAUUUUCUUUCUCAAUAAAAUCAAAGAAGGUGUGUCUACUGUUUGCAACCAACAGACGUUAAUUAAAACUUUAGAAUUAUAAAGAAAUCCUACCACCUUUUGAAUCUUGAACACUUCACACCUUAUCAAGACCUAACCCUAGAUCCCAUAAUUUAGGUUAAAGGAAUUUAGCCGCUCAUGAUGUAAUAAUGGAAGCAACUAGUUAAAUUCAUGAGUUGAAAGAUAAACUUACCACAAGAUGAAUAGAAACUAGAGAUUCUCAGAUUAAAUCACAAUGGAAAACCCAAAAUAAUGAUAAUAAUCUCUUCAAAGUAUUUGCUUUUUCAAUUCAAGAAACUCGAGAGAGAAAAUAUCAAAUUACGUCUCUUAAAACUCAAGUGCCAACCCUUAGAAAAACCCUAAACAAUGAUUUUUAUUGUUAAUCCUAAAUAAGGAAAUAAAAUCAAGGUUACAAUUUUUUUUCACAAUAGACGACGACUAUUGGUGACUCCUUAUCAGGAUCCUGAUGACUUAUCAAUAAUGUCGUCAGGUCUUCUUCAAAUUUGCACUAGUCCUGUCUUAGUUUGAUGGAAACUUCUGACGGCUUAUUAGGACUGUGACGACUUAUCAGAAAUGUCGUCACACUUUUGCUCCAAUUCUUAUGUCCUGCUUAAGUCUGAUAAAAUCCUGAUGACUUAUCACCAUUAUGACGGCCUAUCACAAAAUGUCAUCACAACUUCCACUUCAGGCCAAUUCUCUAUCUACUGAUGACGACCAACCUGAUAGCUUAUAACAGGGCUGACGACUUAUCACAAAUGUCAUCAGCCAUACUUGUCUUUAAAUUUCUUCAAAUUUUAACUUCUUUACUUUAUUUUAUGUUGGUUCUCUAUCAUAUUAGCUUAAACUAUAAUAUCAAAGUAAAAUAAUCAAAAACGACAAAAGUUGCUUAAGACUUUGCAAUUAUUAUCAGUUAAAAGUCUUAAAUGUGCUAGCCUCUGCUCACACAUCAUAAGGUUGGGUUAAACAAGGACAUCUCCACUCGCAUGACGCUUCACAAAUUCGACACCAUAGAGGGUAUUUUCCAAGCAUCUUUAGAGGUGGAGAGGGCGUUCAAAGAGAACUCUUUCGUGGCUUCCUAACCCAAGAUCCCCAAGGCUGUCCAAAAACAUCCUCUAAGGUAUAAAGGUAAAUUGAAUUCUACCUCCAAUCCCAAGGGGUUUCAAUACUUCAAUUCUCAAGGGUAGGGGCACAAGGCUAGUGAGUGUCUAAAUCGAAGGAAUGUGAUCCUAAGAGAGGGGAAGUUAUACUACCUAGGAGAGGAAGUAGUGAUUGAAUAGGAUAAGGUUGAUGACAAGCCUCAAGAUGGAGAGAACGAAGAGGUUGGGAUUCAAGUUGAGGAGGAAGUAGAAGAUGUGUGGCUGUGUAAAGGGUCGUGUGAGAUACCUCUCUAAAAGAGGGGAGGUCGUAAAUAUGUGGGAAAAUUCCUCUAGAUAUGAAGAGGAUGAUACAAGUAUGAUCAUGACCAUGGACACUUUUUGAGCAUUUUUGAAGACCACUUAAAGGAGUACACAAGACCAAGUGUAAAGGAGGCCCAAAGCCAUCCUUUUGGUACACUUAAGGAGGGGGGGGAGGGGGCUUGGAGCCCAUUUAUGGGAGGGCUCUUUUAUCAUUUCUCUAUUUGUUUGUAAUAUUGUAUAAAUAUAACAAUGUAGGUUUUAUUUACUUAGUUUAUGUUUGAGAUUUUAAGAACACCCCUCUUGUGAGAGAGAGCUUCAAAAUCGAAAUUAGGGCAUAACAUAAGGGUGGAUUGUCUUGUGUGUUGCAAAGCUUGAUACCUUGGUGAUUGAGAGGUGGAAGCCCUCUUAUGUAAUUAUAUGAGAUAGGUGCGUGUUGAGUAUGGUGUUAAGGGUCCAAGAGUGGCCAUUCUUGGGUUCUUAAUAUUACAACUUCAUUGUGUCUAACUAUCUAUCUUUGUUUCUUGUUCUAGUUUCAGAUUUCCCUUGUAUUGUUGUAAAAACCGUAGGUUAUAGUUGUUUUAACCUUGUUUUUAUUCAUUUUAUUGUGCUAAUAUAACUUGUUGGUUGUCUAUUUUGAGGUGUUAACACUAGUUUUUCUCUCUAUUCUUGUUAUAAGUAGCUAAUCCGAGAGUGGUCACCAAAAUAGUCUCGGGUUUCCUUAACUUGUGGGCUAUUUUGGUGUAUGUUUUCUUGUGUUCUUGGUCAUCCUUGUAUCAUGAAUUUUGAGUGAAGAGGGAAUGAGAAGGAGUAGAUCCAAAUUGACUAUUAAUGGCGGUAGAACGGAGUUCUUCAACUAAGCGUUCUUUUUUCCGAAGGAGGAGUUCAAACAGUUCUUCGAGAUUGAUAGGACUAGAAUGCAUAUUAAGUGAAGCCUUGAAAAUUUGAAUGAAGAAUAAAGACCAUUAAGAAUAAAUGAUAUGAAGUCAUCAUCUUGAACAAUGUAUAAGCUUUCUGCCAAAGAGUCGGUAAUUGUACGUUUCUUCUCAAAGUACUCUAUGAUGGAAAGAUUGUCUUUAGGAAGAUUUUGAAGUUUAGAUUUUAAUUUCAUAACGUAAGCACAUGUAUGUGAUUGAAACAUACGCUCGAUUUAAGUCCAAACAUCAUAGGAAGAGGUGGCUCGAGUUAGGUGACCAAGAAGAGGAUUAGAAAUUAUUUGACGAAGUCAAACAAGAAUAAGAGAAUCGUUGUGUCUCUAUUCAUCAUAAAUAAGAUUAGAAGUAACCACUGAUUGUGCUUAGCUGGUAGAGGACUCUGUAGCAGGGGAGGUGACAUUAAUGGUUUUUGGAGGAGGAUUAAUUGAACGAAGAACAAAAAAGUCAAGAGAAAAGGGUCUGAGUAUGUCCAAGAUAUUUUCUUUCCAAAGACGAUGGUUGUUUCUAUCAAGUUUGAGAGAGAGGUUUGGUAGUUGAAUAAUGGUGGAAGAACUGGACCCUUUUGCAAGUGACAACAGGUUGCUGGAUUUUUGAGAAUUGGCCAUAGGAUCGAUAGUCUCUGAUACCAUAAUGAGGUUAAAGAUGAGAAGAGUUUGAGAUAUUAAGUACAAAUUGAUAUUUUGUUGAUUGUAUCUCUGUAUAUAAACUUUGUACAUAUUGAAGAUAAUUAUAAGAUUCCUUAUCUAAUACCUAUUCUACUGGAAGAGUAAUCUUUUUGUUACAGGACAAGCUAUAAUAAUUUUUUUAAGCUACAAUAAUUUUUCUGUAAUCUUUUUGUUACAGAACAAGCUACAAUAAUUCGAAUUCAAAAUAAACUCUAAUAGAAAGAUACUAGUUAUUUUAUGAUUAUCACAAAUUUUAUACUUUCUUUGUUUUAAAAAGAACGAUCUAUUUAGACUUGACAUGAAGUUUGUGAAAAUAAAGAAGACUUUUGCAUAUUGUGGUGUUAAAUUAAAAGUAUGUCAAAUGUAUCAAAAUAUUCUUUAAUCUUGUGGUAUGAAAUAUGUCACGUGGAAAGUUGAAAUUAAAGUGUUUCCAAAAAAUGAAAUAAGACAUUCUUUUUCAAAUGAACUAAAAUAAAGUAGGUCAUUAUUUUUAAAACGGAGGGAGUAAUAUGUUCCAAUGCUCUGUGUUGAUAUUGAAUAUGAGGCUUAAAUAACGCAAAAUUAUAAAAGUAAAAAAAAGGUUGAGUUAUCAACCUCAAACUUUCUUUUACAAAAUGUAUAAAAACUAAAAGAGAUAGAUUUCCCUUUUAAAGUAUUCAAAAGUUUUUGUUUGCUUUUCUCUUCUUCUUUAAAUUUGUCGAACAACACUUGAUAGUUCAUCAUUUUUUUCUUGAAUUUAUUUAUUGGAUCUUGUUGAAAUUAUUGACAUGUCAUGUAAUUGUUGUUAGGGUUUUUGCCCUAAUUUUCAUACCUAUUUUAAGUUUUACUUUUCGUAGAAGGAAAAUAAAAAUAAUACCAUAAUUAUUUUUCUUUUUUUGAAAGAAAAAUAUGAUUAUUUUUCAUAUUUGGCUAACCUCUUUCAUGGAGGAAUAAUUUUGGAACUCUAUAAAUAGAAGACCCUCUUCUCAUACAACAACACAAUAUUAUCCACAAUCACUACUAAAAAAAUAUAGAUUUCCGACCACAGAUUGUGGUUGGAAAAAAUCGACCACAGAUUGUGGUCGAAAAAAACCGACCACAUGUGGUUGAUUUUUUAUUAUUUAAAAAAAACCUGACCACUUUUAUAUUUUAAAAUUUCAAAAUAAUCAGUUCAAUAAUUUUUAUAUUAAUUAAUAUUUCUUUUACAAACCGAUCACUUGUUGUCGGUUUUUAAUUAAAAUAAAAAAAAGAAAAUAAUUUUAAAAAACCGACCAAGUGGUCGGUUUUGGAAUUUAAAAAAUAAAAAAAGUAAAUAAUUUUUAGGAAAGUGGUCGGUUUUAAUUAAAAAAUAAUUAUAUAUAUAAUCUAAUAUAUUAUUUUUUGAAAUUACACUGAUCACACAUAGUCAGCAAUCAAUAUAAUAAUAAUAAAAAUCAAUCAAUCUUAGAUUUUGUGAAAAAAUUACAUUAAGAAAUAUAUCAAAUAACAUAAACAAAUUACGUUAAACAUAAUCUUUAUCUUUUACUUAUGAAAUAUAUAAAAUAAAUAUUUUUCUUUGUAUAUAUGUUAAAUAAUGUUAAACAUGUAUAAUCUUUGUAUAAUGAAUAUGUGUGUGUAUAUAUAUAUCAUAUAUAUCGUUGGGAUAAUGAUAUUAUGCUACUAUUGCAGUCAUAAUAAUGUAAUAUAUAAUCGAUAAUUCAUCAGAAUAUAAUGAACGUGUUCUAUUAUAAGGUAAUAUACUUGUGGAUGUGAUAUAUAUAUAUAGCACACAUUCAAGAGUUCAUAUAUAUAUAUAUAUGAUGUAGUGAUCGAUUGAUGAACGAUGUAGUCAAAACCUAGUAGAAUCUAUCCAAAUAUAUUGAAUACCUUGAUUUGAAAUGACAGAAGUAAUAAUAUAUACUGUACGUUGAAGUUAUAUUAAUGUAAGCUAAUCAAAUUAAUCGAUCACUCAUCAGAGUAUGUAGAUGAAAUACGUCGCAUUAUAUUAUUGGAUAAUAUACUCGUGUACGUAUGUGAUGUAUAUUGUACGUAUUUAGAACUUGAUAUAGUCGAUAGUGUGUAUAUGUGUGUGAAUGUAUAGGUAUAUAUAUAUAGUAUAUACAUAUUAUAUAGUGAAGGUAUAUUAAUGACAUAAGAUAAACUAACUGAUAAUUCAUCUGAGUAUAUGUGAAAUACGUUGUAUAUUAUUAUGGGGUAGUAAAAUCAUGUAUGUGAUGUUUAUAGUAUGUAUUUGAAAGUUGAUAGACAAUUGAAUAAAUGUAUAUAUACAUAUAUCUCGUGUAGUGACGUAUGCAGUAAUCAAAAGCUAGACAACUGAAUCUAUAUAUCAAAAUAUUUUGAAUAAUACAUUGAUAUAUAUCAUACUAUUGAGAAAACAGAUAUACUAUUUUGUGUCAAUGUAGACACGCAUAUGUUGUUAAAUUUGUAAUAACGUAAGACAAGUAUUAUGAGGUGUGUGUGUGUAUAUAUAUAUAUAUAUAUCGUAUUUAAAAGGUAAUUAACCAAAAAUUUAUCGUAAUUUGCAAAAUUCAUUGAUAUUAUUAUACGAUUGAGGAAAUAUACUACUCGUGUUGAUAUGAUGAUAAAAUAACUAAUUAUUUGAUUUAUACAUAUACGCAUUGCGUUAAAUUAUUUGGAUGUUGGUAUAAAUAUUAUAUGCGUAUUUUGGUAUUAUACGAUUAAGAAAAUAUACUGCUCGUGUUAAUAUGAUGAUAAAAUAACAAAUUAUAUGAUUUAACUUUUUUAUUAAGAUUGACCACAUGUGAUUGUUUUAUGAUAAUAACCAUUUUAAAAUUAAAUCGAACACUUAUAAUUUAUUUUGUGAACCAAUUUAUUAAAACCGACCACAUGUGGUCGUUUUUUUAGAAAUUAAUAAAAAAAAUUAUUUUAUAAAAUAAGUCCUACCCGACCCCACCCCCACACAACCCGAUCCGACCCGACCGGAUUUAACACACACACAAAAACGACAUACACACACAAAAUACACACUAUCGCCGACCGUUUGCCGCCAACGACUAGAUUCCUGGCACCGAGGUAUUUUUUUAUAUUUAUUUAGCCUUUUUAAAGCUCAAAAUUAUUUCUUUUUGAUAAUUUUUUUGUGGGGUUGUGUUAUUUUUCAUCAAUCUUUUUUAUAUUGUCAUAGUGUGUGCGUUUUUUCACUUGGGGUUUAUCAAGAUUCAUUUUUUUGCUCAUUCUAAGUUUGUGAGUGUGUGUGUUUUGUGAGUUCAGAUUUCAAUCUUUUUACUAUAUAUUCACAUUGUGUGUAGUGUGUGUGUGUUUUUUCAACUAGGAGCUUAUCAAGAUUCAAUUUUUUUCUUCAUUUUCAUAUUUUUGCAUUUGUGUGUAUUUUUGGUCACUUGGGGUUUAUCAAGAUUCCAUUGUUUCUUCAUUUUGAUACUCUGUGUGUAUUUUGUCAAGUGAAGCUUAUCAAGAUCCCUCCGGUGUGUGUUCUUGCAAGUAAAUUCGGGUUUAUUUUUCUUGAUACUCCAUUAUAAUUUUAAUAUUUUGGUGGUUUGUUUAUGGUGAUUUUAAGCUUAGAAUAUGAGAAAAUAAGGAUGUUAAGAUUUUUGUUAUUUUGCCUAAUGAUCAAGAUUUUUUUAUUCUACUUGCCUAAUGGGUUGCUUGGAAUUUGAUGUUACAGUUUAAUAGAAGCUGAAUUCGAAAAAAGGAUUGCUUUGCUAUUUUUCUGGUGACCGCUUAUCUCUUUCUCUUUAAUUUAGGCCAAACAGCGAUAAGUUGAUUUCUCUCUAUUUUCUUAUAACGAAGUCUUUAAAUGUAUUUUAGUUUGAGAUUGUUUGCUGUAGAAGGCUUUGAAAGUCAUAUGAAUUUUGUGAUGAUUAUAUGUUGUGAGAGGGACUUGCGAUGCCUCUACUUAUUUGCGUUGUUACACUUGUUCAGUUGUUUGACUUAUUAUACUAUAAAUGAAUAUGUUGCUUGAUAGUGAAUAAGUGUAGUUACUUGAAGGUGAACUUUUAUUUUAAAUUUUUUUGAAGUGUAGGUACUUGAAAUGUGAACUUCUUAUUGCGAAUUUUGUGAUGCUUGGUAAUUUGGGAGGAGACUUAGUGACUUGAAAAUAUUGAAGUUUAGGUACUUGAAAUGGAAAUUUUUGUUUUCAAUGUAGUUAAGUUUGGUGACUUGGUAGGUUACUUAGUCACUUGAAAUUGAUUAAGUGUAGGUACUUGAAAUGGAAUUUUUUUUGUAUUGAAUGUAUUUUGGUUUGGUGACUUAGUGGCUUGAAAUUUACUAAAUGUAGGUACUUUAAAGGUAAAUUUUUUUUGAAUGUAGUUAAAUUUCGUGACUUGGUAGGUGACUUAGUCACUUGUAAUUGAUUAAGUGUAGGUACUUGAAAUGAGAUUUUUUGUAUUGAAUGUACUUUGGUUUUGUGACUUGGGAGGUGACUUAGUGACUUGAAAUUUACUAAGUGUAGGUACUUUAAAGGUGAAUUUUUUAUUUUGAAUGUAGUUAAGUUUGGUGACUUGGUAGGUGUAACGCCACGAAAUCGGGUCUCGAGACGUCACACGGUGCUUAGGGUCACAAGUGACCCCAAGCUAACCCUUCUACUGGCAUAACUCAUAAGCAACUGAAUAAAAAUACAAAUCCAUACAAAGCAACAGAAAUUAACUCUUUCCUGAAUCUGAUCGAUACAAAAAUGGAAUUUUACAGGAUUACAAUUCUGCCUUUACAACCAGAAUUGAAACAAAAUACAUCAACUUCUACUGACUGUCUAUGAAGCUUCUACUAAAACUGAUUGUAGGUAGCCGGGUCAUGACUCCCGACUACCCCAACUCAAUACGACUGAAUAAAGAAAAUACAACACUAUAAACUCUGCAUAACUAACCCAAACCCUUGAAUCAAAAGGACUCAUCACCUGCUGAAUGGAUACCACCAACUGACUGGAUCCGAAGGUGCAACUAUACCUUGUACCUACAUUCUGAGAAAAUGUAGCCCACAUACGAAUAUGUGGGUCAGUACCAUGGAAAAAUACCGAGCCUAUGAGGUGUAUGCAGUUGUAUAAACAUCAUCAUCAUAAAUAUUUAUAAGAAAUAUGCAGGAUGUAUGAAAGACUCACAUAGCCCGAAGAAAAUCAUCAUAAUCAUGAGAGGAUAAAAUAAGUACAAUAACACAUGUGAGUCAUCAUAUAAUUUGUCAAUCACUUUCAGUUCAUCAAGAAUAUCAAUUCUCAUAAUGUAAAUAUCAUUUAAAUCUUUCGAAAGAAUAACUUUCACAAUUCCACUUUCAAAUCACUUCACCAUUCACCAUAGACACAAGGAAACACACACACACUGAAAGAUCCUAUAACUAACAUAAACCAUAUGAGCUACAUGGAGUCCAACAUACAACCCACGUUGGGGAGAGCCAUCCUAUCCUUGCCAUCAAAAAAUAGGGAAGUAAGGUCACUUUAUACCUCCCACUCGGUGCUAAAUAUUACUCCCGGACUUAGCUCAGAAAUUUAAAUCAGCCUCAGGCUCACAUUAAAGAAAAUCCACGAUAAACACUUCAAUAAUUUUCUUCGGGAACCAAUUUACUACCCCUUUAUCAUAAUCAAUAAAAACAUGGAUUUCUUUCACAGUCGAGUUCAAAAUAACUCAUUCACGACCAGAAGGUCAAAUCAUUCAAAACAUCUCAAAUAAUCAACAUCAACGUGCUUAUAACACACAUUUUCUCAAGAACACAAUUUCAAAUGGGGUUCGCGACCCAAAUAUCAAAAUCAUGAUAAAUAUCAUUCAAGAUUCAAUCUUUAUAUCACCACAAAUGUAAAUUCAUCUUUCAAAAUCAUAAACAUCAAGAUUUCAGAAUAAUCAUCAUAAGAUAUGGGUUCAUGCUUCAAAUUCAUAAAAAUCAAAUAAAAAUCAUGCCUUUGUAAAAAAAUUACUUUUGGACACAAGAACGAAAGAGAGUUCUUGUUGAAAAACCCCACAUACCUUGAAUGAUGAACUAUAGAUCAAUACUCAUUUUUGAGAUGUUAAUCGUGCCUUUGAAUGAUGGUUCUUGGAGUUCUUGAACUAGGAACUUGGAAUCUUGAAUAAAUUUACAGAAUUAAUGGUGAACUUUGGAGGUUCUUGAAGUUGGAUGUAGGAGCUUAGGGUUUUCUUUUUGAGGGAAUUUGAUGAAAUAUAACAUAUAAUGCUUCUAAUAGGCUUUAAUAUAGGGUUUGGAUGGAUUUUGGGUGAGGGGAAAUGACCAAAACGCCCCUAAAAAUCAAAUAAUUCUCGCAUCUGUUCUUUGAUAGACUGUUUUGAUAGUCUGAAGUAGAUCAACCAUAACAUUUUACUCUGAUAUCCAAAUUAGAUGAAACCAAUUUUAGAAAGAGGACUCUCAUAUAUUUCUGUUGAUGUAUAGUAUCUCACCCAAAUCAUUGUGUACGAGGAGUUAUGAUUGUUUGAAGUUGACCCAAAAAUUUACUUUUGAUAGGCUGAAGUAGAUCAACCAUAACUUUUUGCUUCGAUAGAAAAAAUUAGAUGAAACCAAUUUCAUCGGAAAGAGGACUCACAGAGCUUUCUGUUGAUAUAUAGAAGAUCACCCAGAUCAUUAUGUACAAGGAGUUAUGAUUGUUUGAAGUUGGAGAAAAAAUACGCCAGGCCUCAGUACUUUUUUUUCUGCACGUUUUACUGUUCACUACUAUUCAUAGUUCGACGAAAUGUUCAUAACUCGUCGCUUGGGUGUAUGUUUUGGAUGAUACACAUAUAGUUGGAAAGAUUAUUUGAUACUCUACGCAAUAGUGGUUCAUAAUCUAAGACAUUAUGCACGAAAAAUUUAUAAUUCAUUCUUGAAGAUAGAACCCAACAUGUUUACGCACAAAAUUUCAACAAAAAAUUUCCCGAGGUAUUACAUCAUCUCCCACUUGGAAACAUUCGUCCUCUAAUGUCGAUGAAUAAGUACAGAAUACCAUGGAAAUAAGGACAAAAGGCUGGGAUAACAAAGUCAAUCCACUUACUUCACUCCAAACUUUCGAAUACUUCAUAGAACAUGUGAUUCAUAAUGAGAAUGGUCACAUAGUUGGAUGUUAAACAAAGGAGUCUGAUUUUAAGGAAUCGAUAUCUUUGGUUUAUUCAGAGAUUGAGAAUAAAAGGUCUCGAGGGGAUCUCAUCAAAAGAAGGACCACUUGCGCCCAAAUGAAACAUCCCUCAACACUCCCUCUAAAAGAUUCAAAUGACAUUGCUCGGCCUAUCAUAUGGGAACAAGGACCCAUAUGGCAUAAAUUAAGAUAGGAAUUUCUAGGUCUUGGGAAACAUAACUCCUUGUUUCCAAACUUAGAAACACUUCCCAACUACUCCCUCGACUAUGUUCAAGCCUAACUCCAACUACUCAUGAGAUACGCCACAUAACACUAUAAUAUUAAUCUAUAUCAUGAACCUCAAUACACACUGGGCCUCACAGCUCCUCAUUUCAAACAUAACUCUUAUUGCUACUCCAACAACCACAUACAAUCUUAUACUAGGGAUCCGCUAACUUGUGGUGCAUUAUUUUAGAUAUACAACCAUAACAUUCAAGCCUAUACUCAUAACCACAUACGCACUUCGCACAUGUAACUCUAAACGAACACUCAUAAACCAUCUUCCUCGCUUUCUUUAAGAUUCCAUCAACUACAUCAUUCACACAUACUGGUCAAUUCUUUAAACGACACACAUAACAUUUUCUCAACCAAUUGAACUAUACACAAAAACUCUGUAUUACUAUUCCUACAACCUCAUAGAAGUGCAUAAAACCAACGCACAACAAUCUUUCCAAAUAAACAUUUAAAACUUCAACUAACCACGGCAUGUAUCAAGGACUUAGCCUCAAUCUAACUUCACUUCACCGCUGUGAGCACACCACCUUCUAUCAUAGAUAAGGAAGUAUCUUCUCUCCCUUCUAGACAACUGCUCAACACCAUUAUCUUGACUUAAUGAAAAGGUCACAAAAUUUUAAAACAUGAAGGGAUAAUGUAAAUAACUUGACUCUCUCUAUUGAGGCCUUAGGAAUAAAAUAUCAAAUACAAUUGGUUCAUUAAGGUAUCAACACUGAAGACACCCAUAAGGAAAAUUGAAUCUCACUAAUCAAUAAGAGUAUUGCCUGAGUACUGGAACUGAACGUACUGUAAAACUUGAGUAUAUGAGUCAUGGGCGACAUGCCCUGAAUUUAAAGCUCAUAACUUAUGGAAUGUGAUUCCAAUUGCUAGAAGAACUGGAAUUUCUCAUUUUUGGAAACUAGAAGAGUAUGUAAUUCUCCAUCACGUGUAUGAACAUGAAUUAAGAUCAUGGAACUGAAAUGUAAAGCAUGAGUAGGUUUUGGGACAGCUGAAAAUACUGAAAUAACAUUGGGUCAAGCACCGAUCUUUCUCAAAGCAAAUUUACAACUUACUGGUACUUCUACUUAAACAUAAAAGAUUGACUUGACUACUUGUUCUAUCAUCUCCCCCUUAGCUUUAAGCCACCACUCAAAUUCUCAAAUGCUUACUAAUUUUGAAUCUCCACUAACAUCUCUAUCGUCGGAAUGUACACCAUCUAGUGCUUCAACUCUUAUUUCUAUUAGCUCAACUUGAAUACUUUCUAACCUUUUAAUAGACCAUGCUACUUCUGUCUUCUCCCUCUAAUACCAUGCCUAUGAAAUGUUUCUAACCCUUAAGAAUCAAAAUCACACUUAAGAGGCUCAACAUUUCCAAUCAUACGCCUCACCUUAACUUAGCCAUCAAAACAUCAUCCAUCGUCUAACUAGUAUUUAUCCAUCUAAUAAUCCCAUGGCACGACUCACUACACCACAUACACUAAUCCUCGAAAUUAAAGCAGUCCCAUAAUAUCUUGGGUGAACUUUUUCAUCAUAAUAUAAUAUUAAACUUAAUUACAAGUUAACUACACUUAAAAUCUUGUGUACACUGUUCAAGCCUAUUAGGUCACUUCCGGCAACUAAUACCAUUAAUCCGAAAACCGUCACAUUCGACUUCAUGGUCACCAAUCGUUCAAACUUAAGGUCUCACACUUUACAUAAUUUACAACUCCAUCUCACGCAUAACUACCACGUGAAGAUUAUAAAACAACACAUCCAUGAACACUAGCCCACUUAAACUUUAUAACAAUAAUAAUUGGUCCUAAUCUAUAGCCUAUCUUAUUCACAAUCCAUUAACACAUCCUUCUUUCACCUGUCACUACUAUCUAUCCUUCAUACAUAACUUAACAUAGUUCAUAGCUCUCUACGUCUUAACUUAUCUUCCUCUUGCAAUCUGGAGAGCGCCUAGAUUAACAACACUUACCCACCGAGUACUUCCAUCACUAACCUAUACUCUCUGUUAUACAAAUACCGUCAACACCCGUUUCAUACCUCGAACAAACUAUAUCACUUCCUAUUAACCCAAUUGCAUGCAAAAAUGGAUUUAUCUAUACUUAUGCUCAACAAAUUACACUUACCAUCCUUCUUACUACUACACUUCCACAUCCCACAUUUUCAUCCAGCACAAGGAACAAGAUGAACUACAAGUUGCUAGUGGAUUGAAAUAGGCCUCACAUGGCUUGACUAGACUUUGGUUUUGUGUUUUGAUCAAGAAAGUUAUAUGAAUAACAAAGUAAGUAUGCUAGUGAAUCGAAAUAGGCCCCACACGGCUUCACUAGACUUUGGUUUGUAUUUUGAACAAGAAAAUGAGAUGAAUAACAAAGAAGCUAUGCUAGUGAAUCGAAAGAGCCCCACACGGCUUUACUAGACUUUGAUUUUUCACAAACAUAAUGAUAAUAAGAUUACAUAAUACAAGAGACAGAAACUUGACACACAAUAUUCAAUGAUAUAAGAAUACUCCUUACUCUAUCUUAAUUAAAUAACUCAUAAGAAUGAGGGCAUAACUUUCAACUUAAGGAACUUAACACACUAGAGAGCUCUUCUCAAGCCCUUUGUGUAACUUUUGAAAUAUCUUCUAGAAAAUAUAGUAGCAUUACCUGGGGAAGAACUGGAGCUUGCGAAUCAUGUUAUCUCAAAAGUAAUAUAUAGAGGGAGAAGUAUAGAUUUACAUUAUAGAUUCCGAGGAGGAAUCUGAAAGCACAUCUAACCUAGGCUUAGUUCACGACUUUUAUGAAAAUGAAUAAAGUACUUCAAUCUUUGGAACUCAAAAAGCACUGACAGGAUACUUUCUAGCUCUCUUACAAUCCCAUAACUAUCUACGGAGAAUUAAGCAUAACUAUUUCAGAUACCUUGAAAAUGAGGCAGAGUUGGCCAGAAUAGAGUAAGAUGAGAAUCUAUAUAAGCUUCUCGGAGAACCUUUUUAUAGCACGAUCUUAGACCUGAAAGAAGGGAAAUAUUUCCUAAAUUCCCUGUAGCCUCUCAAAGAAAAGUACAAACAUUUCCAUACCGUUCCGCAAGAAUCUACUAGAUACGAUUUCAUAGACACCCUAGGACACUUGAACUCUGUGCUCUGAUACCAAGUUUGUAACGCCCCAAAAUCGGGUCCCGAGAUGUCACAUGAUGCUUAGGGUCAUAAGUGACCCCAAGCUAACCCUUCUACUAGCAUAACACAUAAGCAACUGAAUAAAAAUAUAAAUCCAUACAUAUCAGUAGAAAUUAACUCUUUCCUGAAUCUGAUCGAUACAAAAAUGGAAUUUUACAGGAUUACAAUUCUUCCUUUACAACCAGAAUUGAAACAAAAUACAUCAACUUCUACUGACUGUCUAUGAAGCCUCUACUAGAACUGAUUGUAAGUAGCCGGGUCAUGACUCCCGACUACCCCAACUCAAUACGACUGAAUAAAGAAAAUACAACAUUAUAAACUCUGCAUAACUAACCCAAACCCUUGAAUCAAAAGGAUUCAUUACCUGCUGACUGGAUACCAUGAACUGACUGGAUCCGAAGGUGCAACUAUACCUUGUACCUAUAUUUAGAGAAAAUGUAGCCCACAUACGAAUAUGUGGGUCAGUACUAUGGAAAAAUACCGAGCAUAUGGGGGAGUAUGCAGUUGUAUAAACAUCAUCAUCAUAAAUAUUUAUAAGAAAUAUGCAGGAUGUAUGAAAGACUCACAUAGCCCGAAGAAAAUCAUCAUAAUCAUGAGAGGACGAAAUAAGUAUAAUAACAUAUGAGUCAUCAUAUAAUUUGUCAAUCACUUUCAGUUCAUCAAGAAUAUCAAUUCUCAUAAUGUAAAUAUCAUUUAAAUCUUUCAAAAGAAUAACUUUCACAAUUCUACUUUCAAAUCACUUCACCGUUCACCACAGACAUAAGGAAACACACACAUACUUUGGGAGAUCCUAUAACCGACAUAAAUCAUGUGAGCUACAUGGAGUCCAAUGUACAACUCACGUUGGGGAGAGCCUUCCUAUCCUUUCCAUCGAAGUAGGACUUCCAAUAUCAAUCCAAAAACACUAGUGAUCACUAUAUAAAUCAACCUCAGGCUUACAUCCUACGGGGGAACAUAGUUCUAGGGAAGUAAGGUCACUUUAUACCUCCUACUCGGUGCUAAAGAUUAAUCCCAGACUUAGCUUAGAAAUUUAAAUCAGCCUCAGGCUCACAUUAAAGAAAAUCUACAAUAAACACUACAACAAUUUUCAUCGGGAGCCAAUUUACUACCCCUUUAUCAUAAUCAAUAAAAACAUAGAUUUCUUUCACGGUCGAGUUCAAAAUAACUCAUUCACGACCAAAAGGUCAAAUCAUUCAAAACAUCUCAAAUAUUCAACAUCAACGUGCUUAUAACACACAUUUUCUCAAGAACACAACUUCAAAUGGGGUUCGCUACCCAAAUAUCAAAAUCAUGAUAAAUAUCAUUCAAGGUUCAUGCUUUAUAUCACCACACAUGUAAAUUCAUCUUUCAAAAUCAUAAAUAUCAAGAUUUCAUAAUAAUCAUCAUAAGAUAUGGGUUCAUACUUCAAAUUCAUAAAAAUCAAAUAAAAAUCAUGCCUUUGUAAAGAAAAUUACUUUUGGGCACAAGAACAAAAGACAUUUCUUGUUGAAAAACCCCACAUACCUUGAUUGAUGACCUUUAGAUCGAUACUCAUUUUUGAGAUGCUAAUCGUGCCUUUGAAUGAUGGUUCUUGGAGUUCUUGAACUAGGAACGUGGAAUCUUGAAUAAAUUUGCAGAAUUAAUGGUGAACUUUGGAGGUUCUUGAAGUUUGAUGUAGGAGUUUAGGGUUUUCUGUUUGACGGAAUUUGAUGAAAUAUAACAUAUAAUUCUUCUAAUAGGCCUUAAUAUAGGGUUUGUAUGGAUUUUGGGUGAGGGGGAAUGACCAAAACGCCACUAAAAAUCAAAUAAUUCUCGCAUCUGUCCUUUGGUGGACUGUUUUGAUAGUCUGAAGUAGAUCAACCAUAAAGUUUUACUCCGAUAUCCAAAUUGGAUGAAACCAAUUUCAUUAGAAAGAGGGAUCUCAUAUCUUUCCGUUGAUAUGUAGUAUCUCACCCAGAUCAUUGUGUAUGAGGAGUUAAAAUCAUUUGAAGUUGACCAAAAAAUUUACUUUUGAUAGGCUGAAGUAGAUCGACCAUAACUUUUCGCUCCGAUAGACAAAUUGGAUGAAACCAAUUUCAUCGGAAAGAGAACUCACAGAUGUUUCCGUUGAUAUAUAGUAGAUCACCCAGAUCAUUAUGUACAAGGAGUUAUGAUAAUUUAAAGUUGAAGCAAAAAUACGCCAGGCCUCAGUACUUUUUUCCUGCACGUUUUACUGUUCACUACUAUUCACGGUUAGAUCAGAAUUUUCAUAACUCGUCGCUCGGUUGUCCAUUUUGGAUGAUCCAUAUAUCUUUUGAAAACUCAUUCAAUACUCUACGCAAUGGUGGGUCAUAAUCUAAGAUAUUCCACACGGAAAAUUUAUAAUUCAUUCUAGAAGAUAGAACCCAACACAUUUACGCACAAAAUUUCAACAAAAUUUCUUUUGGGGUAUUACAGUAGGUGUUUUAGUCACUUGAAAUUGAUUAAGUGUAGGUACGUGAAUUUUUGUUUUCAAUGCAGUUUAUUCUACUAACACGUGAUAUGAUUUAGUCACUUGAAAUUGAUUAAGUGUAAGUAGUUGAAAUGUGAAUUUUUUGUUGUGAAUGUGGUUUAGUUUUGCGACUUGUGUGGUAACUUAUAGAGUUGAAACUGAUUAAGUGUAGGCACUUCAAAUGUGAAUUUAUCAUUUUGAAGGUAGUUUAGUUUGUUGUUUUAGGAUGUGACUUAGUGACUUGAAAAUGUUGAAGUUUAGAAACUUGAAAUGAAAUUUUUUAUUUUGAAUGUGGUUUAGUUUUGUAACUUGGGAGGUAACUAUUCACUUGAUGAAAUUGAUUAAGUGUAAGUAGUUGAAAUGUGAAUUUUUAUUUUCAAUGUUGUUUAGUUUGGUAACUUGGGAGGUGACUUAGUCACUUGAAAUUGAUUAAGUGUAGAUAGUUGAAAGGUGAAUUUUUCUUUUGAAAGUGGUUUAUUCUACUAACACGUGAGAUGACUUAGUCACUUGAAAUUGAUUAAGUGUAGGUACUUGAAAUGUGAAUUUUUAUUUUCAAUGUUGUUUACUUUGGUAACAUGUGAGGUGACUUCGUCACUUAAAAUUUAUUAAGUGUAGAUAGUUGAAAGGUGAAUUUUCGUUUUGAAAGUGGUUUAGUUUGGUAACUUGGGAGGUGACUUAGUGACUUGAAAUUGAUUAAGUGUAGGUGCUUAAAAUGUGAGUUUUUUUUUUGAAUGUGGUUUAGUUUGGUGACUUGGAUGGUGACUUAGUGAGUUAAAAUUGAUGAAAUGUAGGUACUUGAAAGGUGAAUUUAUCAUUUUGAAGGUAGUUUAGUUUGGUCACUUGGGAGGUAACUAAGUGACUUGAAAUUGAUUAAGUGUAGGUACUUGAAAGGUGAAUUUUUGUUUUCAAUGUGAUUUAGUUUGGUGACUUGGGAGGUAAGUAAGUGACUUGAAAUUGAUUAAAUGUAGGUACUUGAAAUGUGAAUUUUUGUUUUCAUUGUGGUUUAGUUUGGUAACUUGAAUUUAGGUACUUUUUCAUUUUGAACUUAGGUACUUGAAAUAUGAGCCUUUGUGAUUGAAUUAAUUAGUUGAAUCUGAUUGAUUGUGUAGAUGGAUAUAUCAACAGAAUAAUGAUAAUAGAAUAGGUCUUAGGGUGAAAUUUGUUGAAUGUGUCAGACGAUUUAUUGAACAUGCUAAGACACUUGAUGUUUGGUCACGUUUUUGGGCUAUUCAUUGUCCUUGUGUUAGAUAUGAUGGUAUAAAUCUUUUAAAAGAAGAAGUUGUGAAGGAGCAUCUUUAUAGAAGGGGGUUUUAUGAGGACUUUUUAAGAUUGCCUACUAUUGAUGGUGAUGUUGAGCAAAAUAACUUUGUUGUUGGUAAAAGUAGUAGGUCUGCAGGGCAUAAUGAAUAUUAAGAUACUAGGAUGACAGAAAUGGUAAAUGAUGCUUUUGGGAUGCAACACAAGGGUGACUUUAGGGAAAAUGUUGAAGAUGUUCCUAAUAGAGAAGCAGGCCAUUUUUACGAACAACUGGAUGCUGCUAGUCAUCCUUUGUUUGACGGGUGUUUGCACUCUCAUUUGUCUGCUGUUAGAUUAUUAAGUAUUAAAUUUGACUGGAAUAUUGCUGAAGGAGGAAUGGACUCAAUGAUAGACCUUAUUAAAGAGUUACUUGACCCCGGCUUAGAGGUUCCUGAUUCUUUCUAUAAGGCGAUGGAUUAUUUACCUCUAAUACCAAGGUUGAAGAGGUUGUAUGCUUCAAACAACUUAGCUCCUCAUAUGAGAUGGCAUAGUGAAAAUAGAAGUCCCAUUGGUGCUAUAUAUCAUUCAUCUGAUAGAGAGGCUUAAAAGUAUUUUGAUGCAACUUAUCUAGAUUUUGUAGCUGAGCCACGAAAUAUUUAUUUGGGAUUAUGUGCGGAUGGCUUCUCCCCCUUUUCAGUUGGUGCUGUGCCAUAUUCAUGUUGGCCUGUAUUUAUCACCCCAUAUAAUCUUCCUCCUGAAGUGUUGAUAACUAGUCCCUAUAUAUUUCUGAAUUGUGUUGUUGCUGGCCCGCGUAAUCCAAAAAGCAAAAUAGAUGUCUACUUCCAACCUUUGAUUGAUGAACUUAAAAUUUUAUGGCAUGAGGGGGUUGAAACUUAGAAUAUCUCACUUAAAAAGAAUUUUAAUCAGCGUGUAUAUCUAAUAUGGAUUGUUAAUGAUUUUCCUUCUUAUGAAAUGUUGUCUCGGUGGAUGACAGCUGGAAAGUUGGCUUGUCCAUACUGCAUGAAAAAAUAAAAUCUUUCACAUUGAGACAUGGUAGGAAAAACUCAUGGUUUGAUUGUCAUAGUUGUUUCUUGCCACCUAAUCACGAAUUUAGGAGGCUCGGGAAUGCAUUCAGAAGGUCUAGAAUGGAACAUGAUGGUCUACCUCCAAGGUUAUCUGGUCUUGACAUCUGGGAGAUAGUUCAGUAUUUUUCUAAAGUUAGUGAGGAACCAUUGUAUAGGAUGGAUGGAUAUGGCAUUUCGCAUAACUAGAAUAAGUAAAGUAUAUUUUGGGAUUUAGAAUAUUUGCCAGAUAAUUUACUUAGACAUAAUGUUGAUGUCAUGCAUACUGAUAAGAACUAUUUUGACAACUUGUUCAACACAGUUAUGGAUGUCACCGGUAAGACAAAGGAUAAUCCUAAGGCCAGACUUGACUUACCAGAAUAUUGUAAAUGCAGAGAAUUACACUUACAGGAGGGGCCCAAUGUUAAUGUUCUUAAGCUCAAGGCUAGUUUUACAUUCAAGUUGGACCAAAAGUGUCAAAUAUGUGAGUGGGUCCAAAUUUUGAAGAUGCCUAAUGGAUAUAUCUCAAAUUUGGAAAAGAGGGUUGAUAUGGCACAAGGAAUCUUGCAUGGAAUGAAAAACCAUGAUUGUCAUAUUUUCAUGGAAUAAUUACUUCCAAUUUCUUUUAUUAGUUUACCUUAAAACAUAUGGAAAUCAAUAGCAGAGAUUAGUUUGUUUUUCAAAGACUUAUGUGCCACCAUAUUAAAGAAGAAAAUCAGGCUCGAAUGGAAAGUAAUAUUGUUGUUAUCACCAACAAGUUGGAGAAGAUUUUUCUACUAGGGUUCUUCGAUGUGUUGGAACAUCUUCCUAUUUACCUUAUGCAUGAAGCUCAGCUAGGUGGUCUAGUUCAAACUACGUGAAUGUAUCCAUUUGAACGGUAAUCAAUUGCAACAUAUUUAAAUUCAUACAUAGCUUUUUAAAUAUAGUAAACAUCUAAUCUUAAGAUUGUACAGGGCAAUUGAAAAAUUAAAAAGAGGUCCCAAAAAUAAACAUAGGGUGGAAGGCUCUAUAUUUGAGGCAUAUCUUGCUAGAGAAAUAUCUAAAUUUUGUUCAUACUACUUUGGUGAUGAAUUUGCUUAUUCAAGAAACAGAUCGAAUCGUCAUUAGGACAAGGAGAAUGAGCCUUAUUUGCAACCGAUAUCAAUUUUCAAUCAAUCUGGUAAUGAUAUAAGUAUGAUCAUGUAGAUGGACUUAUGAGGGCGUAUGUUAGACCUAAGACUUAGUGUAUGUAAAUAAAGUGUAAAGGAGAACCUGAAUGGACACCAAAAUCGUCCAUACAUAGCACUCCAAAGGCGCCUAUUAAAGCAUUUGACUAAGGGGUCAUUUUGGAAAUUUCACACUUUAUUUUGUAAACUACUAUAAAUAGAAUAAUGUUGGGUUUUAGUCAUUAGUUUUGAUGAAUAUUGAAAGUUGUAACAUUUGAAACACUCUCUCUUGUGAGAAAGGCCCCAUGGCCGAAACCUAGUAACUAUGGAUUUCAGCUUGAGUAUGGAAUCACUUAUGUUGGAUUCAAGCUUGGAAACAGUAGAUGCUUGGGAGAUCGAGGUCACUCUUGUUCCAAAGUAAGAGAUAGAUGAAUUUUUGUGCAUAGCGUUAAGGGUCCAAGAGUGGAAUAGGCUCUUGGGUUCUUAAGAUUAUGACUUCAUGUAGUCUAUCUAUCUAUCUCUUUAUUUUAUUGUAAUCGUGUAGUUGUGUUCUUGUUAUAACUAUUUGUAGUUUGUAUUGUGAUAGUGAACCCGUGACUUUUUGUUGUUAUAAUAUUAUUCUUGUUUCUUCAUCUUAUUGUUGUAACUUAGUUUGGUUGGAUCUAAUUGGUUCAAGAAUCCCUUUGAUUAGUGGACUAUUUUGGAGUGUGUUUCAUAUUCUCCUUGUUUGUAGUGUAUCAUUUGGUAUCAGAGCAUGGCUUGAUAUUAUUCUUACAAGAUCAAUCUUGGGCUUACUUGUUAGAAAAUAAAAAAAAUUAUUGAAAGGCUGAAAAAUAAAAAAGAAGCAAAUCUGUCCAUUUGUGUUCUUGGCCGAAAAUGUGUUAUUUUUAUGUCUUGGAUGAUAUUUUUACUUAUUUUAUUGUUUUUAGUGUUAGUUUUUAUCAUAUCUAAUACUCUUGAGUCUAAAUCUAAGUUUGAGCUUACAUUGUUGGUGUUGGUGUUGUGAACAUAAGGGUUGGCCGAAUUAUUGUUGAAACAUUAUUAUGGUGGACUGUUUUGGCCUCGUGGUCUUUAGCUUGUUAUUGUUAUAAGCUUGGCCACAUGAUAUUGUUGCUCAUUGGUGGCCUAAGAACCAUUUUAUUGAAGUUGUUGUUGUCUUGGCCAAUUUUUGAAGAUAUUGUAUUAUGAAAAUUGGAAGUUGGCCAUGUGAAAAUUGUUGGUGUUCUUGGAGAUUGUUGUUGGUUGUUCUUGGUGAUUGUUGAUGUUGUUCUUGAAGUUCUUCACAACCUUCAUAGCUUAUUAAAAUAAAGUGAACAUUAGAUCUAUAAAUGUGACGGGAAAAAGGUGAAGCUUUGUUAGUCUUGAAAGACUAACCAUCACUCAUCAACUAGUCAAUCACAUCUCAACCACUUUCCAACAAAUUUUCAUGAUUUAAGGACUCAUUACACGUAAAGUCAAAGUCUUGAAACUUGCAAUUGAAAAGGGCUCCAUGACUUGUUUGAAUUUCCCUCCUUAAACAAAUUCCACCAAAGUCCAAAUUGAAAAAUUGACCAAGACUUGAAAUUGGACAACAAAAUUGUGUGGGACCGUGACCAAUUAUGUGGUUGCCAUGUCAUCACAUUUUUAAUGUUCAUGCAACAUAAUUAAGCUCAAAUUUUAGAAUUCUUAGUUUCAUUUUAUUGUUUCUUAGUUUCAUUUGUUGGUUCGAACACUAAUUGACAAGCUAGUAAACUCAUACUAGAUUGUAUAUUAGUUUUGUGCCCGUUUGUUCAUGUUAACAUUCUUUGUAUACUUUUCUCUUUUAUGAAUUCAUUGUAAGAUCUUGACUCAAGUACUAUAAGAUUUAGUUUGAUUUUCAAAUAAAAAUCUAUUCCAGACAAGAGUAGACUCGACCCUCAAUCACUCACGAAGUACAAGUCGGUUUUCAACAGUUGUGAAACCAAGUGUGAGGUAAAAAUCGAGAGUGAGAGUGUGGUGAGGCCUUUUUUGAUCUAACAAGUUUUGUUGUUUUCUUUUGUUUGUUGUGACUUUUCUUUUAGGUACCAUGGCUGCCUAUAAUCUCGAUGCCACGUUUGAUCGCAUCAAUGACAAUAUUGAAGACAUGGAAUGGAAAGUUGAAAGGCUACGCCAAUUGCUACCUAAAAUUAUCCCACCAAAUCCAAUUCCUCGUGUAUAAACACCUUAUGAUAAGAGCGUCUCAAAGGAAGAAGUGCGCUGCCAUGACCCUCACUAAGGUGACGACCAUAUCUCAUGUGAGCUACGAGGUAAAAACGCUAUCCCCUACACUUGUCUAAGCUUAUAAUGUUAUGAUGUGGCUAGUAGUGGACAAUUGGAUGUAGUUGUAAAUUUACCUAGAGUAGAGGUGUUUGAGUUUCCGUAUUGGUGAAUUUAGGUCACGUGAGGACCAAUAUCUUGUUGUAAGUACACAAUCACUAGUUGAUCCUUUAGAUGACGAAAUUGAUUCUUUUUGUAAGAAUGAUUUAUGUCCUUCUAGUGCUAGCCUUUAUAACUUAAAUAAGGUUCCAUUACCAAUUGACAAGAGUACUCACACACUAGUGGACCCUUGUAAAAACCAAGGUGAGUCUAUAUUGCUAUACGAGUUGCCAACAACUAGUGAAGGCAUGCAAAAUGAUCAAUCGGGUGAAGAUGACCUUGAUUUAUUUGAAAGUAUAGGAAACCCAAAUUGUUAUUGUGAUUGUGAAAGUGAUUUUGGUCAUAACCCCUUGGAUGACCAUGAUGGUGUGAAGCUAAGUGGGGUUUACCCUUUUAAAAUGGAGUAUGACCGAAACCCAUGCCCCUGGCUACUUCUCCCAUUUGACCCUGGUGCCAUCUUAGAGUAUGGUAGGAGUAGUCUCGGCCCUUAUUCUUUAAUUAUUGAGUGUGAUCCCUUUGCUUCCCAAGAUAGUUUAUGUCUAUGUAGGGACCACACUCUUGAAAUAAAAAGUGUUGCAUGCCUAGAAAUGCUAUCUACUCUUUCUUCGUGUGUUUCCUAUGUUGAGCAUACUAAUGGCGGUGAACUUGAAACUAGUAAGUACUUGCAUAGGGUCACCAUAGUUGGAGUUGAAUUGUGUGACACCUUUCUCUACCCUAUUUGUGCUCAGGAUAUUUUCCUAGUGAUAUAUAGGGUAUGCCUAAUUUUGAGGCGCCGCCAAGUGAUCUUGGCCGAGGCCUAAGCCCUUGGUUACGACUACCAUUUGAUCCUGGUGCCAACUUGGGAUGAAAAAGGGUUAUUUUUGGUUUAGGCUAGUUUAGUUUUGGUGUUUAUCCAAGCCACUUCCUUUGUCACAUUUGUACUAAUCUCUUCAUGUUUAAUACAAAGGACCCGUGGAUAUACUUCAAAUUUUUUCCCCCCUCGGCAUGACAUAUUGAUGUGUUUAUUUUUGCUAACCCUAACCCUUGUGUCAUGAGGAUGUGUGCUUGUUUGUAUUCUCUUGAUUUUUCAAGGUAUGGAUUCGAGGUCGAAUCAUUUUCAAGAAGGAGAGGAUGAUACAAGUAUGAUCACGUAGAUGGACUUAUGAGGGAAUAUAUUAGACCUGAGACUUGGCGUGUGCAAAUAAAGUGCAAAGGAGCACCUAAAUGGACACCAAAAUCGUCCAUACACAGCAGUCCAUAGGCGCCUAUUGAAGCAUUUGACAAAGGAGUCAUUUUGGACAUUUCACACUUUAUUUUGUAACCUACUAUAAAUAGAAUAAUGUAGGGUUUUAGUCAUUAGUUUUGAUGAAUAUUGAAAGUUGUAACAUUUAAAACACUCUCUCUUGUGAGAAAGACCCCAUGGCCCAAACCUAGUAACAAGGGAUUUCAACUUGAGUGUGGAAUUACUCGUAUUGGAUUCAAGCUUUGAAACGUUGGAUGCUUGGGAGAUCGAGGUCACUCUUGUUCCAACGUAAGAGAUAGGUGAAUUGUUGUGCGUAGUGCUAAGGGUCCAAGAAUGGAAUAGGCUGUUGGGUUCUUAAGGUUAUGACUCUUGAAACCCAAUUUUGGCUCACCAUACUUAAAAUUAGCACUUUUUAGGUUUUAUGAUUGUUAAAUUGCACAAUAUGCAAUUUUUCACAUAUUUUUUUGCAAUUGUUGAUAAAUUAUUGAUAAUCUGAUUUAGUUUAAGAUUUUAUUCAUUUAGUGUCAUAUUUUAAUUUUAUAUAAUUUAUUGAUAAUUAUUUUUAAAUUCAUAAAUUUUAGAAUUUUUAUCAGUUUAUUAUUAUUAUUUUAAUAUUUUUGCACAGCCAUUUGCAUAUGUACACAACACAACACUAUAAUUUUUUACUGCAUAGUAUAAUUUUAAUUAUUUAUAACAUAAUAUAUUUUUUCAAUAUAAUUAUAUUUGUAUUUACUGUUUAUAUUUUUCUGUAAUUAUACAUCGGCAUACAUUAUUUUGUACGUUAUUUAAUACGACCUAUAAAGGUGAGUCGAUUUAAUUAUUUUAAUACAUAGAACAAUAAAUUGGUCAAAUCAAAGACUUCACUUUUAAAUUUUUUUGACUUUUUUGCACCUAUUAUCCCAAAUUUAAGGGAUAUGUUGGGUAAAAGUAAGUUUAAUAUUUUUUUUAUAUUAUUAUUUUCCUUUUUAAUACUCCACACACACACACUAACACACAAACAUAUGCAUAACACACACAGUCAGAUCCCUUCUUUCUCUCUUAAUUCACUCUCAUCUCACGCUUUUUUAUCUCUCUAUCACUUCCACCGCCAGAAUUGAUUACCGGACGACCAACGAUGAUGAUGCUGCCUGUCAUUGCUCCUUCCUCCUCCAACAGCCGUCCCACUUCCCUCUCCCUUCUUUCCCAUCACCCAACCAGUACUAGCCGAUGCAGAUUCUAGCCACCACCAUGCUCCCCUCUCCCUUUCCUCUCUUUUCACUGCUGGCUUGCCGAAAGUGAUGACCGGUGAGAUCUAUCCUAAAAACCCACCAGCCACCCCUUUUCCCCUCUCACCCGCCGCCGCUGCUUCGCCGAAAUUUACCACCGGUGGGCUGUCCUGCCGGCAAUACGCACCAACACUACCCCUCCCAUUCUUUUCCACCAUAACAUUGAGAAUCAUAUCAUUUGGUGGGAUUUUGCAAUUUUGGUGAUAUGUUUUAGUCGAAAUUUCAAAACUCAGGCAAACCUUGCUUUUUCUCCGUUAAGGGCUGCUUCUUUGGCUUAUUUUUUUGCUACUGAUUGUUAUUGUUUGAUGUAUUUAACUUUGAAUUUGUUCACUGUUGGUCCUAUCCGUGUGGUUGUUCUUGACGAUUUUGCUUUUACUAAUAUCAAAUAAAAUACCAUAUUACAAUACUUGGCCAAUGAAAUUAUCUCUCCAUUUAGAUAUUUGAGGCCACCCCAUUAUAAAUGACGGACUUUAUUUUAUCAAAGUUAUUAUUUUUAUAAUAAGGGCCCACACUUGGCCGAUGAAGAAAUUCUCCAUCGAUUUUUGAGGCCUGCACAAAUAAAAAGACGGAUAUUACGUAAAUAAUUAUGUAAUAAAAUAAAUAAAUUUGGGCGAUGAUGAAACUUUUAUAACAACACAAAAGAUUUUGCAAUUCGUAUUUUGGCAAGACGAUUUAGGACGGCCAAUCAAUUGAGCAAUCACUUCGUAGCCAUAGUGUAUUUAAAAUUUAAUCUGAGCCUACCUUUUAACGAAAAUCAUAUUUUUAUAUACCUUUUCAAUUUAUUUUGAUAAUUAUUUAUUUGUUACUAACAUUUUAUUACAAGUGUUUAUACAGGUUAUUGAGAAUACUCGUUGGGAGUAACAUUCAAGGAAGACUUUAAAUUUUAUGUUGUAUUUAUAUUCUUAUACUUGUACAAAUAUUAUUAUAGUGAAAACUUUAUUUUUGGGGUGUUGGGCGGAAUUUUCUUUAUUCAUAAAAACUUCACCACGCGUUAGGCAAAUUUAGGUCGUUAAUAUUUACAUUAAAAUUGAUUUAGAUAUUUAAUCCACAAAUAAUUCACUCUAAAAAUAUUACGUAAUCUUUUUCUCUAAAUAGAUCUUUCAUUAUUCAAUCUUUUUAUUUUAAUAUGCACAUUCUCAUGUAUUUUUGUUUAUCUUAAUACACUUUUUAUACACAUGCAUAUUUUUUACAAUAAUAUAAUCAAUUUACACAUUCUUUAUAUAUAUAUAUAUUGUCUAUAUCAUUUUAAUACACAUUUUAUAUUAUGUAUUUAUAAACAUAAAUUUUUUCUUCCAUUUUUAAUAAACCUAAGUCUGACCGGGAACCACAUUUGUGGAUUCUGAAGGGUGCCUAACCUCUUUCUUCGAAAUAAUUUGAACCCUUACCUAGAAUUUAAAUUCGUUCGUAGAUUAAAUAAAGUCAUACUCGUUAAUAAAUAAAUAGGUUUUCUAUUUUUCCUUAAAAAUUAGGUGGCGACUCUGUAUAUAAUUAAUUCUUUUAGAGUCUAUAAUGUCAUUCUCGUUUUGAACUUAGGUAAAAAUCGGGUAUGAAAGUUUGGCGACUCUGCUGGGGAUGCAAGAUUCUUACCAUUACAGAUUUAGGUAAAUAUUUACGUUUUUAUACAUUGUUAUUUAUUUCAUACUAAUUGUUUUGAUUUAUCACGUUUAUAUGGCUUAAAUUAUUUAUUUGUUAAUCGUUUUAUAUAAAUUGUCAUUCUGUUCAUAUUUCCUCUAUUUUGGAAAACUAACACUCACACACAUUGUACACGCAGAUUGUACAUUGUACUUUACCAAAAAAUUUUCAAAUCACCUUAUUUUAGAGAGUUGGCGUAUACGUGGUGAGCGGGAGUUUUACUGCCAUGGGACCCCAUGUCUUCUCAUAUAGGAAAUCCCAAUCCGUGUCUACCCACUCUUAUUCAGCAUCGGAUAAGAACUAAAACAACACCCUUUAGGUACAUUCAUAUUAGUCAAUUUUGUUCAAGUGUCCAAAGGAUUCACAAUCCAAGUGACACAAUAUUAUUUCUUUGUACAUAUUUGAAGAAUUAUUGUGUUUGUACAUAUUUAUUUGCUCUAAAUUGAUCAUUCUUUAGUGGGAAGGUGUAAUCUAACAUUAGCCGCGUAUAGGUUUGAACUACGUUUUGACCUGAUUCUUGUCUUGGCAAGAUACGUAGGCAACCCUAUAGUAGGGUUAGAUCUCUUCACUGUUUUAGAAUAAUUUCUCCUGUAUUUAAAAAUGGGGAAAUUUUCUGAAACAGUUCAAAAAUACUUUUCAAAUUCUUCAAGAGCAAAACCAAUAGAUCCUCAAAUCCAAAUCUUAAUACAUUAGUGCUUAGUCGGCCUACCUUCAAUUCUUCACUCAAAUUUGAUUCAUGGUAUACAUAGAUUUUUCUUUCGAAUGUCAUAAACCAUUAAAUUUAUGGCGUAUCGAUCUUUGCUUUUAAAAGCAAGGGUUAUAUUUUUCAGUAAUAAUAAUCCUGCUAACUGCGGUGAAAUAAUGUCAUAAUUCUUUCAAUGUCUGACUUUUUCAAUCUUGUCAGUAUACUAAAAUUUCGUCAAAACUCUCCCCAUGCAUGACAUCCAUUCUCUCGAUCAUUUGAUCAAAACAGUUUUAAUGUUAAAAACAGUUUUUUCCUGGUCGUCUUUCGUAUUAUUUCUAAGGAUGACCAUUAUUUUUUACAAUUACACCAUAUUACAUAUAAAUUCGCAAAUUUACCUGAACUACACAGACCUGAUUCUUGUUUUCACAAGUACGUAGGCAACCCUCAAUUGGGUUCGGUCCCAUUCUUUUAGAAAAAUAAUAAAAUUUUGACUUUGUUUGUACCAAUACAGUUAGGAGUGUGCAUGAGAAAGAACAAAUUGUUAUGAUGAAAAGGACCGACUUUAUGGUAAAUCAUAAAUUCUUUUUGUACCUUUUAUCACACCUAAGUAAUGCUUGAAAAUUCUCUUCCAUACAUCUAAAACAAGAACGAAAUCAACCUCAUCGUUCUAUGUGCAUUGUGUGGUGAGCUUUAGUUUAAUUCAUUGGAUUGCAUUGUUGAUCUAGAACUUGGCCUUAAUGUCUGUUGAGGCAAAAUUCUGAGUUGCACUUGAUUUAGGAAAGGAUUUUAGGCCUUCUUUGGACCGAUUGAGCCUUUUACAGCCUUUCAAAUUACAUUGAUCCCUAGCAUUCCUCCUUUUGAGCCUAAAACUUUUUUGGACAACCACAUUUGUGUCUAUACCUUUUUGAGUGCUACAUGCACCUUAGCCCUACCUCCUUGAGCGCACUAAAUACGUGCAAAUUGCAGACAAAGAUUCAAGAUCAGAGAUGCAAAAUGCAAAGAAUAUGUUAUUCAGAUGAACAGAAAUGAUAAAACCGGACUACAAAAGGAGCAAAACCCCCAAAAAAGAGAAAAAAAAUAAAAAAAUAUAGUUUCUUGAAAAAAAAAGAAAAAAAAAAUCCAAUGCUAGAUUCAAAAGAAGUCAAAGAAAAUUCAAAAUGAGGGGCGACACAUCACAACAAAGAAGAUCACACGUCAAAGCACAACAGAUGUUGAAAGCACAAACACAGUGCAAUGGUCAUUUAGGAAUUAGUUACUUUUAUUUCAAAUAUUAUCCUACCCGUCUCCAAGCCUACAUUACAAGCCAAUAGUAAGUUCUAUGAGAGCCUAUUUCAAGUGUGCUCAUAUUAGUGGAUACUUACAUGAAGGUCAAGCCUAUGGUAUCACAAUUGCAUGCAUUGAAUUUCUUUCUGAGUAUAAGUGUAUUUCUCUAUAUGUACCCAAAUUCAAAAAGGAAAAUUACUCAAUUAUGUGCAAAAUAGGACUUUCUUUUACUCAAAUAUGUGUGAAAUGAGACAUUGUUUCUGGAGAAGGAACUUGAAGCAUGAGGAUAGACAUAGCUCAAAACUUUGUUUGAAGCAAGAAGAAUAAAUCUUGUCGAUACUUAGGUGUGUCUAAGGUACCACUUGAAACUAUAGGAUUUACCCUAUAGUCGAUCUCAGUUAGAUGGGAAAGAGAUGGGGGAAUUCUUAUGCAUACUACUAAUUAUUGAUACCAGCUGAAGUCAAGACCUGAUCGCGUCUUCUUCAUCUUUCAGCACUUUUUACCAAGAAAAUGCAAAAUUCUUUCUUUCUUUUUUCAAGACGCCCAAUUUCAUAUGCGGCCAUUUGUUUUAUCUUUCAUUCAAAGUGACCAUUUUCACAUACAUGAAUUUUAACUUUUUUAUUAAAGGAGCCUAAUUUUGAAAUACGAGAAUUUUUUUUACUUUCCAUUCAAGAUGCCCAUUACAUGCAGGGCAUUUUUUUACUUUUUAUUCAAGGUACGCAAUUUUAAAAUAUGGCAUUUGAAUUUUCCUUUCAAGAACAUAUCUUUAAAUAUUAACAUUUUAUUUUUUAGUUAAGCGUCCAUCUUUGAGUUAUUUUUUUUAUAUUUUUUGAAGUCCUGCUAAUUGAGGGGCUAUAAAUUUCAGUCACCUCACUAGUUGAGGGCCUCAGUUGUCGUAGACAAUCGAAGAUGACAAUCUACAUCAGUCUCUUUAGACAAUCAGAGAUAUCAUGCAACAAUCAACAUAGUCUUCGUAGACAAUCGAAGAUGACAUUCAAUAUCAGUCUCCAUAGACAAUUGGAGAUAUCAUUCGUAAGUCUUUAUAUACAAUUGAAGAUGAUAAUCAACAUUAGUCUCCAUAGAUAAUUAGAUAUAUCAACAUCAGUCUUCGUAGACAAUCGAAGAAGACAAUCAACAUCAGUAUCCAUAGAUAAUUGGAGAUGUCAUUAGGUAUUCGUAUACUAUCGAAGACAUCAUCAUAUCAACUUAAGUCUCCAUAGAAAAUUAAAGAUAUAAUACAUCAGUCUUCAUAGACAAUUGAAGACAACAAUCAUCAUCAGUCUUCAUAGAUAAUCAAAGGCAACAAUCAACAUCAAUCUCUAUAGAAAAUUAGAGAUGUCAUACAUCAGUCUCCAUAGAUAAUUAAAGAUAUCAUCCGAUAGCGACCCAAGACUACCCCCUAGUUGUCACACGGUUUUUACGACCCCGAAGGACCACAAGCUAACCCAUGAAUGAUAUUUGUUAUGAGCACUGAAUAAUAAUACUAUAAUUAAUGCAGAAAAUGGGAUGAAAUGCCAUAAUGUUUAAAGCAUCUAAAAUACUGAUAAAUAACAACAUUUGAUAAAAAUUAAACACUAUCUGAAAACUAGUAUGAAAAGCCUCUAACUGAAUCUGUUUAAAAGUGGAGUUGAUGGGACAAUCCCCCAACUAACUCCGACUAUUGAGCUACUGCUAAACUGUGAUACUAAAAUAAAAAACAUAUCAUUAAAAGAUGAGGACUCACUGCUAAAUAUACUGCUGCUAGCUGAAUCUGAAUCUACUAUGCGUUGUCGGGAACCUGAGCGUCCGAACAUAUGAUAUAAAGCAUCAUAGUAUAGGAAAGUAUGCGUCAGUACGUGGUAAUGCACUGGUAUGCUAGAUGAGGUAAGGCUAAAUGUAAGGGUUCAUAUGCAUGAACAAUAACUAACUAAAUAAGAGUAACUAAACAUGGGAGUACAUGGAGAAUCUGAGAAUACUGUAAAUGUUGAGAGUGCAAUCAUACAUAUACAUAAAUAUGUAAACGGUAUCUGACAGUCCUGAUUCUAUAGAACUGGAAUAAGUUCUAAACUAAAGACUAAAACUAAAAUUGAAACUGUAGGAGGUAAUUAUCUAACCGACGUGUCCCUUGCUGAACUAAUUGGCGUCGAACUUAUAACCCCAGAUGGAAGGGUACUAAUAUCGUGCCAUGGCUACUAACACUAGAAAACCUGGAUGCCAAGCCUAACUAAUGGGUGACAUCUGGGCGGAGCCAAGCCUAAUCUGACGGUGACCCCUGGGAGGUAGUCAAGCCUAGUCUGAUGGGUGACUCCUCAUCCUGUGCUGGAUACACAGUUCUGGAGUACAGGGAUUGCUACUAACGACUCUACCCAUAUGAUGGGGAAGCCAUCAUCCUUGCUCUCGCUCGGUCUGAAUCCUACACCCAACUGAAAGAUACUGAAUUGAGUAUACUGGACUUGACUGGACUGGACUGAGAUUGAGUUUACUGAGUUUUUUUAAGUUCUAUAAUUAACUGAGUUCUACAGAGUUCUAUAAUAAAUUGAGAGUACUGAUUGUGACAUGACUGAUAGUAUUCUGUAAAUGACACUGGCUCUAGGUAAAUAGCUAAAUUGUCGAGUAUUAAAUACCCCCAAGACUCAAUAGCAUGAAAAGUAAAGCAAAUCAUAAUCUUGAAUAACACAACAAUGUUCACUUGGUCAUGAUUCAUUCAUAGAAAUAUUUCAUCAAACACUUGUAAUGCAUUAACUUGUACAUGAAUGGAAUCACAUAAUAACAUGUCAUGCCUACACUAGUCAAUUCACAUAAGCAUUUUAUCAAACACUUGUAGGGCAUAAGCUUGUACAUGAUUAAGAUCUAUUAAUAACAUCUCAUGAUUACUCUAUCUACUUUACAUAGGCAUUUUAGCAAAUACUUGGGGAGCAUGAGUAUUUCACAUAAUAAUGUUCAUUACAUAAACAUCAUGAAUACAAUACUUAAUUGUUGUAACACCCUAAUUUUUUGAACCAGAAUGCUACACGGUGCCUAUGACCACGAAGGACCACAAGCUAACCCAUGACUAAUAUUUGUACCUGUACACUGCAUAAUAUACAUGAUGAAUGCGAAAAACAUGAACAAUAGCCCAUAAGGUUCAACUAAAUAAAGAAUCUAUCAAAAUAUAACAUCCAUGUGGGGUAAUGAAUACCCAAAACAAUUGAAUCUAAAUCAAAAUUGAAUACAAACCUGAACUAAAUCUGAAAGCCUAUAAGUACUCUCUAAAUAAGGAGAUAAAGGAACAUGUCUCCAACUAACUCCGUAAAACUAAAAGCUAACUGAGACAAUAACUGAAUCAAAUCAUAUCAUCCUCGAAUGAAGAGGACUCACUAUAACUCUGUAUACUGGAAUGCUACUACUAUUGCGGAUCUGGAGCUCAUGUCUCUUGACCUAUGGUGUAACAUAAAAAUAAAGCACCAUAGCAAAAAUACGUCUGUACAUGGGGAUGUACUGAGAAUACAAGUGAGGUAGGCUAAAUGUCAAAGGGUUUACAUGCAUGAGCAAUGCUAACUAAUUGACUGAUAUGAAUGUGACAGUGCAAACAUGAAUGCAUAGUAAUUGAGAUUGUGAAUAUGUGAUAGAUAAAUCUGUACACUAAUACAUGGUUUACUGAUAACUAAUCAGGACUGAUACUGUAGUUAUGAUAGCAUGGGUGAUUGUAUCUGACAAUCCAGAAUCUGAUGGAACUAUUUGAGUUCCACACUGUAAUUAAAUUGACUGUAUGUGAUAGUCCUGAUGUACUAAAAUCUGAAGAACUAUCUUUUUUUACUGAGACUGAUGCUGAAACUGUGGGAGGUAGUUGUUUAACUGACAUGCCCCAUAUGUGCCAUUAUGGCUAAGUUUAGGGUCCAAUCUCUGCCCUGAUUGGAAGGGUGUCAAUACUGUGCCAUUGAUAAGAACAACGUGUGAGUAACCCUCAUAUAACAGGUAACUCUAGUGAGAAUGGUGAGAACCCUCGUAUAAUAGGUUAAGCCACCUCAUCUACCCUCAUAUAAUAGGUUGCGAUGUCUCAACCUAUGCUGGCUACAUAGUUCUGGAAUGCAAGGAUGACUGCUAGGAAUCACAACCUCAUAUAAUAGGUGUGUUCCCAUCCUUGGGUUCGCUCGGUGCUAACUUCUACUCCCAUCUGAAGAGACUGAACAUGAGUAACUGACUGUAUGUAGACUGAACUUACUGAAUUUCAUUAACUGAUGGAAUACUUUUGAUAUCUGAUAACUGACUAAGAUCAUGAGGUUUUCCUGAGUCACAUGACUGACUGAUUUCUAUUAAUUCAUGGCUUGAUUUUGGAGAUAGUGAAGCAUGACAAGGCUCUAGGCAUACAUCUAUAUUUUUUGGGUACAAGUACCUCCUAGACUCGAUGGAAGAAAACUGACACACAUGACUGACUUGAGUACGUGACCAACAUCAAUAAUCCAUAAUAUCAUAACUUAGGGAAUUGCAUGAAGUGCAUGGAUAUCAUACAUUUUGUACAUAAGUAGGAUUUGCAAGUAAGUAUGGCAUAAUCUCAUAAUACUAGUUUAUGAACAUCCCAACAACAUUUACAAGACACAAUAUCAACAUGAAAAUCAUUGGAACAUAGGGGCAUAUCAUGAAUCCUUCACUUAGUCACAAUUUAGCUAUAUUGCAUGAUUUCCAGUUCCUUAGGAAUUUUAUCAAACACCUUGCAUGCACUCUUUUAAGGCAUAGGUAUAUUUAUCUAUUCGACCAUCUUAAUCCAUCCAAAAUUUAUGGGUUUCAACUAACCUAUUCACAUGCUUCAUGAAAACACAUCAAGAUACAACCUUGAAUCCAAACAACAAUCAUCAAUAUGAAUAUAGUCAUAAUACGACAAGGAAAUCACAAUUUAUAAUUUAAAACAUGAUUCUUUAGCUGUAUGGAUGAAAGGGACCCAUGGAUGAACACUAUGCAUACUUUAGUGAUUGAAUCUUAAAAGAUAUCUAAUGUUUCUGAAGGUUCUCGAAGAAUUCCUUAGGCUUGCUCUUGAGGAGAUGAUCUUGAGAGAAAACCCUAAUCUUGUGGUUGAGAGUGUAUGAGAGAGCUUUUUGAGAUGUUUAACUAAAGAGAAUGGAAGAUAAUAUGCUCCUUGAGGGUUAUAAGUUAUGGGAAGGGAAGGGAAAAUACCAAAAUACCCUUAAUAAAAUGUCCCUCAAUUGUUGUAAAAAAUAGCUGAAAACAUUCGGGACAAGCCGUCAUACUGGUGAUAAGUCGUUACGAAUUGUCGUCACAAAAAGGUAAAAUUUUAUUUUUCUGGUUAAGGUUGACGACAUUGGUGAUAGGCCAUCACGGGCGGGAUGGCUUGUCAUAAAAUGUUGUCUCUGGGGGUGAAAUAUUCCCAGUGAUGACGACAUUGGUGAUAGGCCGUCACGGGCGUGACGGCUUGUCACGAAUGUCGUCACUCAGUUUCCCAGUCUGACAUGCCGGAGUAAAAUGGACAUAACUCCUUGAUCCGAUAUCGGAUUUAGGCAAAAUUGAUAUAGUUGGAAAGAUAAUUAAAUUAUCAACCUGUUAGUGGGUCAUGAGCUCAGAGAUUCAUAACAUAAUGAGAGAUAUUCUCAUUUGAAGUUUACUAUACCAAUAUCCUUCUGAAGAAUUCAAUCAGUAAGGAAAUAUUUUGAUUCGUCUAUUAGCUAGGACAGUUUUGAGGCCUUAAUAUGCAUCAAACUUGAUCAUAUAAAUACCAAAUAAAUAAAAUUUAUUACUCAUAAGUUCAAAGAAUAAUUCUAAAAAUUUCUAAACUUUUGGGGUAUUACAAUAUCUCUCCCUUGGGAACAUUUGUCCUUAAAUGAGAAUCAACUAAGAGGGGAUAAAAGACAAACUCAACAUGACUUAACCUGAAUAACUAAAAUCUAAUCUCAUGACUGACAUGAUAAAUAUACUAAACUCGUGCAUAUCUAAUACAUGGAUAACUGAUACAUGAAUGCAUAACUGAGUAAUUUGAUAAACUGAGUUUCUCAAGAUGAGAAUGCAUAGCUAAUGGAUGAUCUUAUAACUGAACUGAUACAUGAAUUCAUGAUUGAGUAUGCAAUGGUAUUAGGUACCAAGUUUUAUGAUGGGAACAUGAACAUAAAACUGAAUAAGCUUAAGGAGAACUAUUAGCUUGAGCUUGAUCUGAAUUGGCAGAGAAGAGGUGAGGAUACUUGGUAUGCAUAUCUGCUUCUGCUUCCCAAGUAACUCUCUCAUGAGACUGAUUUUACCAAAGAACCUUGACUAAAGGGACUUCUUUGUUCCUCAAUCUAUGAGUCUGAUAGUCUAAGAUUUUGACUGGAAUCUCUUCAUAAGAGAGGCUGUUCUGAAUGUCAAUGCUCUGAAUAGGGACUACAACUUCUAGGUCAUCUAUGCACUUCUUGAGCAAAGAGACAUAGAAGACUGGAUGAACUGAGGCUAGGUCUGAAGGCAAUUCGAGCUCAUAAGCUACCUUGCCGAAGCGACUGUAAAUCCUCUAGGGACCGAUAUAUUGGGGACUGAGUUUCCCUUUUUUGUCGAACCUCUUCACUCCCUUCAUGGGACAGAUCUUAAGAUAGACAUAAUCAUUGACCUCGAAUUCGAGAUACUUUCUACGAACAUCUGCAUAAGACUUCUGUCGGCUCUGAUCAGCCCGAAGUCUCUCUUUGAUAAACUGAACCUUCUAUAAGGCGUUGAAUAGCAAGUCAGGACCUAUGACUGAGGCCUCACUAACUUCGAACCAACCAAUUGGAGAUGUACAUCUCCUACCAUAGAGAGCUUCAAAUGAAGCCAUUUGAAUACUAGAAUGAUAGCUAUUAUUGUAUGCAAAUUUAAUCAAAGGUAAGCGGUCAUCCCAACUACCCUUGAAAUCAAUUACACACGCUCUUAGGAUAUCUUUAAGAUUCUGAAUUGUCCUUUCUGCCUGACCAUCUGUCUAAGGAUGAAAUGUUGUACUGAGAUGAACACGGGUACCAAAACCCUUUUGGAAUGCUUUCUAAAAGUGAGAGGUGAAUUGGGUACCUCUGUCUUAGAUGAUAAAUAAUGGAACACUGUGUAAUCUAAUCAACUCCCUGAUAUAGAGUUUGGCAUAAUCUUCGGUUAAAUAAGAAGUAAAAAUUGGAAGGAAGUAAGCUGACUUGGUCAUUCUAUGUACAAUGACCCAAACUGAAUCAUGCUAAUGACGAGUGAUAGAAAAACCUGUCACGAAGUCCAUGUUCACUUCUUCGCACUUUCAAGUAGGAAUGGUAAACUGCUGCAUGGAGCCACUAGGUUUUUGAUGCUCUAUCUUAACCUGCUGACAUGUAGAGCACUUAGCCACAAAUUCUAUAACAUCUCUCUUCAUCCUACUCCACCAAUAGAUCUCCCGCAAGUCACGAUACAUCUUAGUGGCCCCUAUAUGAAUAAAGUAUCGCGCACCAUGCCCUUCUGCAAGAAUUCACUGCCUUAAGUCAUCUACACCUGGAAUACACAGACGACCCUGACGACGAAGAACACCAUUUCCCCCUUAGGAGAAAAGCUCUACUUUCUGAUUCUGAACAGACUCUUUUAGCUUGACAAGGCUAGGAUCCCUGUCUUACUUCUCUUUAACCUCGGAAACUAGAGAUGAGUCUAAACUACUCUAAACACAUACACCACCCUCUGAAGAGUUGACUAAGCGAACGCCUAGUCUAGCAAGCUUAUGGAUAUCUUGAGCUAUCUUCUUUUUGCUAUCCUCAACGUGAUAAAUACUACCCAUGGAGAGUAUACUGAGAGCGUCGGACACAAUGUUGGCCUUUUCUGAAUGGUAAAGUACACUCAUGUCAUAAUCUUUCAAAAGCUCUAACCACUUUCUCUGACAAAGAUUGAGAUUUUCUGAGAAAAUACGUACUGGAGACUCUUGUGAGCUGUGAAGACAUCAACAUGAACUCCGUAUAAAUAAUGCCUCCAAAUACCAUGGAUGCUAACUCAAGAUCAUGAGUAGGAUAAUUCUUCUCAUAGAGAUUUAAUUGUCUGGAGGCUUAGGCUAUGACCUUACCAUGCUACAUGAGGACACAACCUAAACCUACUCUGGAUGCAUCACAAUAUACUACAAACCCAUCUAAACCAUCUGGAGGAGCUAAGAUUGGAGCUGAGGUAAGUCGAGUCUUUAAUUCCUGAAAACCCUUCUCGUAUUAAUCUGAUCACUUAAACUUGACAUUCUUCUGAGUCAAUAUGGACAUGGGAGACACAAUAGAAUAAAAUCCCUCGACAAAACGUCUUUAAUAGCCAGCCAAAUCCAAGAAACUCCUGAUAUCUGAUGGAGAUACUGGGCGAGGCCAGUUUCUCACCGCUUCAGUUUUUUGAGGAUCUACUCUAAUUCCAUCACCGGAAAUAAUAUGGCCAAGGAAUGCUACUGAUCUUAGCCAAAAUCUUAGCCAAAAUUCAUACUUACUGAACUUGGUGAAUAACUGAUGAUCUCUGAGAGUCUGAAGAAUAAUUCUGAGAUGAUCUGAAUGAUCAUGCUCUGUGCGAGAAUAGACCAGGAUAUCAUCUAUUAAGACUAUGAAGAACACGUUCAAAUACAACUUGAACACACAGUUUAUCAAGUCCAUAAAAGAGGAUGGAGCAUUGGUAAGACCAAAGGACAUGACUAGAAAUUUAAAGUGACCAUACCGAGUAUGAAAAACUAUCUUCGAGAUGUCAUAUUCCUUAACUCUGAGAUGAUAGUAGCUUGAUUUGAGGUCUAUCUUGGAAAAAUAACUGGCACCCUAAAGUUGGUUAAACAGGUCAUCUAUUUUGGGAAGUGGAUACCUGUUCUUGACAGUAACUUUGUUGAGCUGGCGGUAAUCAACACACAUCCUAAGAGAGCCGUCUUUUUUGUACAUGAAUAAAACUGGUGCACCCCAUGGGGAUAUACUGGGACUGAUGAAUCUCUUAUCUAAGAGAUCCUUCAACUGAUCCUUUAGUUCCUUGAGUUCUGCUGGAGCCAUUUUGUGUAGUAGAAUAGAAAUAGGCUGACUGUAUGGAAGUAGAUCAAUGCCAAAGUCUAUUUCCCUUUCGGGAGGAAUGCCUGGAAGGUGUUUAGGAAAGACAUCUGAAUAUUCAUUAACCACUGAGACUGAUUCUAAGCUAGGAGAUUUGGAACAGGAAUCCUUAACAUGUACGAGAUGAUACACGCACCCCUUAGAAAUUAUUUUCCUUGCCCGAAGGUAGGAAACAAGCUGACCCCAGAUUGGUGAAGUACUACCCCUCCACUCUAAGAUGGGUUUAUUCGGGAACUGAAACUAAACUAUCCUAUUUCUGCAGUCGACUAUGGGAUAGUAGGAAUGAAGCCAAUCUAUUCUGUGAAUGACAUCAAAAUUAGUCAUCUCUAAUUCGACUAAACCUGCUGACGUGGAUCUCUGAAAUAUCAUAAUCGGGCAGUUCCUAUAUACCCACCGAGCUAUAAUGGUUUUACCUACUGGGGUAGAAACUAAAAAGGGCUCUGUUAAAAUUUUAGAACUGAUUCCAAAGUCGCCUGCUAUGUAUGGAGUAAAAAAAGACAAGGAUGCACCUGGGUCUAGAAAAGCAUAAACAUGAACAUAGAAAAUCUGUAACGUAACAGUAAUGAUAUCAGGAGAAUUUUUCUGAUCUUGUCGAGUCUGAAGAGCAUAGUGUCUGUUUGGGCGUUGCCCACUAGUAGCACUAGAAGCAGCACCGUGCUAGUUUGGACACCUGGACUGAGCUGUGGAAUGAUUCUGCUGACCCUGAGGACCUUGCUGAGGAAAGUCUCUAAAUUUGUAGCCUAGCUUUCCAUAACUAAAACAAAUGCCACUACCCGCUCUAUACACACCCUGAUGGUGCUUACCGCAAGUUUGACACUGAGGAUAAGUGCGGGUACUUCUAAAACUUCCCUGAGAUUUAGAGCCUGGUGCUCUAUCUCUGUUGCCAUCUCUAAAUUUUGGCACUAAGGCACUAGCGAAGGAAGGGGCUGGAACUGCUGACUUAGGAUGAAACUGUGAACGGUUUUCUCCCUCUGAUUUGGGCUGAGCAAAACUGAAACUACCUGAUCUUUCUCUCUUGUUCUACCUCUCCCAAGUCUUAAACUUCUGCUCCUCUAUUUGCUGGGCAGGGGUCAUGAGUCUGGCUAAAGUCAUAUUACUGUUCAGCAUCGCCGACCUACACUUAUUUACCACGCUAUCAUUCACCCCUAACACAAAGUUGCUCAUUUUAACCCUGCUAUCUGCAACCACAUGAGGGGCAUAUCUAGCUAACUAAAUAUAUUUGAGAGAAUACUCUUUAACCGUUAUAUUUCCUUGUCUGAGGUUGAUGAACUCAAGAACUUUGGCCUUCCUCAGCUUUUGGGGAAAGAAUCUAUCUAAGAAAUCCAUGAAAAAUUCUUCCCACUCAAUAGAACCUCCAUCCUCUACCCUCUUAGACUUCCACUAUUUGUACUAAGUAUGAGCCACAUCUUGCAACUGGUAUGCGGCUAACUCAGCACUCUCAACAGAAGUAAUACCCAUGAUGUCAAUGACCUUCUGGACUUGGUCAAUGAAUUCCUGAGGGUUUUCAUCAGACUUAGACCCAAAGAAAGAUGGAGGGUUCAUUCGGGUGAAGUCCCAAAUCCUAGCUACGGCUGAGUUGACCAUUGGUUUAGCCAAAAUAACUGGUGGCUGUUCAUUCUGAGCAGCCACAGACUGAGCAAGUGUGGUGAAUGCAACCCUAAACUCUACAUGAGAAACAUGUUUGCCCAAAGGAUCUUCGGGAUGAGAAGCUGGUUGGUUUCUGCUCUUUGGAGGCAUAUUCUGAAAUAAGAGGAGAAUGGCUUAGACUGAAAGUUUAACUUGAGAUUAUUCUCACUAGCAUGACAUGAAUACUGAAAGAAAGGAAACUGUUCCUAAAAUAUCUCAUAGCCUCCGGCAUAUAAAUAUGGUGCGUAACACACCCAUGUACAAGACCUUACUAGAUGUGGCUUUUGAACUUCCUACGACUCUAUUGAACCUUAGGCUCUGAUACCAACUUUGGAGCACCCCAACUUUCUAAACUGGAAUGUUACACGAUACCUAUGACCCCGAAGGACCACAAGCUAACCCAUGACUGAUAUCUAUACCUGUACACUCCAUAAUAUACAUGAAGAAUGCAGAAAACAUGAAAAAUAGUCCAUAAGGUUCAACUGACUAAAGAAUCUGACAAAACAUAACAUCUAUGUGCGGUAAUGAAUACCCAAAAUAACUAAAUCUGAAUCAAAAUUGAAUACAAAUCUAAACUAAAUCUGAAAGCCUCUAAGUACUAUCUGAAUAAGAGGAUGAAGGAAUAUGUCUCCAACUAACUCCAUAAAACUAAAAGGUAACUGAGAUAAUAAAUGAAUCAAAUCAUAUCAUCCUCAAAUGAAGAGGACUCACUGCAACUUUGUAUAUUGGAAUACUACUGCUACUGUGGAUUUGGAGCUCGUGUCUCUGGACCUAUGGUGUAACAAGAAAAGAAAGUACCAUAGCGUAAAUGAGUCAGUACGUGGUGAUGUACUGAGUAUACGAGUGAGGUAGACUGAAUGUAAAAUGGUUUACAUGCAUGAGCAAUGCUAACUAACAGAUUGAUAUGAAUGUGAGAGUGCAAAUAUGUAUGCAUAGAAAACUGAGAUUGUGAAUGUAUGAUAGCUAAAUUUGUACGCUAAUACAUGGUUUACUGAUAACUGAUCAUGACUGAUAUUGUAGUUUUGAUAACAUGGGUGACUGUAUCUGACAGUCUUGAAUCUGAUAGAACUAUGAGUUUUGUACUAUUAUUAAAUUAACUGUAUCUGACACUCCUAAUAUACUAAAAUCUGAAGAACUAUCAAAGUUCUUUUACUGAGACUGAUGCUGAAACUGUGGGAGGUAGUUGUUUAACCGACAUGCCCCAUAUAUACCAUUAUGUCUAAGCCAGGGUCCAAUCUUUGCCCUGACUGGAAGGGUGUCAAUACCGCACCACAGAUAAGGACAACGUGUGAGGAACCCUCAUAUAACAGGUAACUCUAGUGAGAAUGGUGGGAACCCUCAUAUAACAGGUUAAGACACCUUAUCUACCCUCAUAUAAAUGGCUGCGAUAUCUCAACCUAUGCUGGAUACAUAGUUCUGGAAUGUAAGGAUUACUGCUAAGAAUCACACCCUCAUAUAACAGGUGCAUUCCCAUCCUUGGGUUCGCUCGGUGCUAACUUCUACUCCCAUCUGAAGAGAUUGAACAUGAUUAACUGACUGUACGUGGACUGAACUUACUGAAUUUCAUCAACUGAUGAAAUACUUCUGAUAUCUGAUAACUGACUGAGAUCAUGAAGUUUUCCUGAGUCAUAUGACUUACUGAUUUCUAUUGAUUCGUGGCUUGAUUUUGAAGAUCGUGAAACAUGACAAGGCUCUAGGCAUACAUCUAUAUUUUUUGGGUACAAGUACCUCCUGGACUCGAUGGAAGGAAAUUGAUGCACAUGACUGACUUGAGUACGUGAUCAACAUCAAUAAUCCAUAAUAUCAUAACUUGGGGAAUUCUAUGAAGUGCAUGGAUAUCAUAGAUUUUGUACAUAAGUAGGAUUUGCAAGUAAGCAUGGCAUAAUCUCAUAAGACUAGUUCAUGAACAUCCCAACAAAAUUUACAAGACACAAUAUCAACAUGAAAAUCAUUGGAACAUAGGGGCAUAUCAUGAAUCUUUCACUUAGUCACAAUUUAGCUAUAUUGCAUGAUUUCUAGUUCCUUAGGCAUUUUAUCAAACACCUUGCAUGCACUCUUUUAAAGCAUAGGUAUAUUUAUCAAUUCGACUAUCUUAAUCCAUCCAAAAUUUAUGGGUUUCAACUAACCUAUUCACAUGCUUCAUGAAAACACAUCAAGAUACAACCUUGAAUCCAAACAAUAAUUGUCAACAUGAAUAUAGUCAUAAUACGACAAGGAAAUCAUAAUUUAUAAUUUAAAACAUGAUUCUUGAUCUCUAUAGAUGAAAGGGACCCAUGGAUGAACAAUACGCAUACCUUAGUGAUUGAAUCUUGAAAGAGAUCUAUUGAUUCUGAAGGUUAUUGAAGAAUUCCUUAGGCUUGCUCUUGAGGAGAUUGUCUUGAGAGAAAACCCUAAUCUUGUGGUUGAGAGUGUAUGAGAGAGAUUUUUGAGAUGCUAAACUAAAAAGAAUGGAAGAUAAUACACUCCUUGAUGGUUAUAAGUUGUGGGAAGUGAAGGGAAAAGACCAAAAUACCAUUAAUAAAACAUCCCUCAAUUGCUGGGAAAAAUAGUUGAUGACAUUCGUGACAAGCCAUCAUACUGGUGAUAGGUGGUCAUGAAUUGUCGUCACAAAAAGGUGAAAUCUUAGUUUUCUGGUUAAGGUUGACGACAUUGGUAAUAGGCCGUCAUAGGCGUGAUGGCUUUUCAAAAAAUGUCAUCACUGGGGGUGAAAAUCUGCCAAGGCUGACGACAUUGGUGAUAGGCCGUCACGGGCGUGACGGCUUGUCACGAAUAUCGUCACUCUGUUUCCCAGCCUGACAUGCCGGAGUAAAAUAGGCAUAACUCCGUUCUCCGAUAUUAGAUUCAAGCGAAAUUGAUAUCAUUGGAAAGAUAAUUAAAUUAUAUAUAUGUUGGUGGGUCAUGAGCUCAAAGAUUAAUAGGACAAAGAGAAAUAUACUCGUUUGAAGAUGACUAUACCAAUAUCCUUCUCAAGAAUUCAAUCGGUAAGGAAAUUUUUUGAUCUUCUAUUAAAUAAGACACUUUUGAGGCCUUAAUAUUCAUCAACCUUGAUCAUAGAACUAACAAGGAACUAAAAUUUAUUACUCAUAAGUUCGGAGAAUAAUCCUAAAAAUAUAUGAACUUUUGGGGUAUUACAAUUGCAAAUUCAAGAGUUUAUCAUGUAAUUCAGAUAAUUCCCCCUAAAUACUAUUCUAUUUUUCAUGAAUCUUAUCAUAAUCAUAGAUUGAAAACCAAAUCAACAUCAUAGAUGUAUUAUUCACUUUAUAAAUUUAAGGUUCUAUCAAGAUAAUCACAUAUUUGUUAUGUACUUGUUAUUUAAUUUCAUGAAACUUGCAUUUAAAUCAUGGAUUGGAACCUAACUAAUAUUAUAAACACGAAUUCAAACAUGGAAAUCAUAAAUACAUCAUCUUUGUACUUUAAAAAAAAGAUUCUUGGACUUCAUGGGUGAAAGGGACCCAUGAAUGAACAUCUAACAUACCUUAAUAUGUGAGAUUCUUGAAGUUCUUGUAGGAGUUCUUGAGUUUGACCUUGAUUCUUGAACUAGGGUUUUGCCCUUUGAGAGAGAGUGGCUUGCUUCUUGAAAAAAUAGUGAAUUAAUGAGCAAUUUGUGCUCUUUUAGGGCUUGAUUGCGUGUUUGGGUUGACUGGGAUUGAGGGAAAAAUACCCUAGUACCCUCAAAAUUAAAACUCAGAAUUAACUGAAAAUCCCAAUUUUGUAUGCUGGCGCGACACGGUGAGAUCGUGCCAGCUCACUGGAUACUAGAGAACUCAAAACUGGAGAUUUGACACGACGUGGCACCAUUACGCCAACCCACUGCAUGGGAAUUUACUCCUUGGCAGGACGUGCCAUUAUCGCUAAGUCACAGUGGAAGUGACAAUUGUGAAAAAGUCUAGUGGCGCGUUGUGGUGGUACCGCAUUGUCUCAUUGGAAAAUGACAAAUUCCAUUUGGACUGCCUCCGCGAUACGCUGGAGUACCAGGUGGUACACUAUCUUACUAAAAUGGCUCUAACUCUUUGGCCGGGUGUCAGAUUUGGGCAAAUUUGGUAUCGAUGGAAAGCUUAUUCAAUUUCCCACAUGAUGAAAAUUCAAAAUAUUGAAAGUUACAUAUGUAUAAAAGUUUAUUCAUAUUUAAAGAAAGUCUUUGAUAUUUUUGGGAUGAAUUAAAGCUAAGCAAAAGUACAGGGUGUUACAAUAUCAUCCCCGUGGGAACAUUCGUCCUCAAAUCAGACUGAUUAAGUUGAGGACUGCUGAUAGACUGAGCUGAGACAUUGAACAUGUACAGUGAAACAUGACUACAUGGCUGAACUACUGACAAACUUAGUUUCCAUACUGAACGUGCAUAUCUGAUGCAUGGAAUAAUGACUAAACCGAGUAAUGAAUGCGUGACUGAAUUUACAAUGAUAACUGAUACUAAGAUUAUAGUUGUAGCUGAACAUGGAAUUGAGAAGAUCUAAGGAAGACUGUUACCUUAGGAUAGGAACACUAAUAAGCCUAAGAUUAUUUACUGAACAUGUAUGAACAGGAACAUGAGAACAUGCAUGAGUCUGAAAUAUGAUACACAAACUAAAUAUUGUGAACUGAACUGAACCCUUAAGCACAUAGAUUACGGCUGAGAUUAGAACUAGAGGUUCAACUGUGAGGACCCAUUACUCCAACUGUAUUAGUUACAUAAAGAGAAAAUGGUCGUUACAUAAAGGAUGUUAUAGUGCAUCUCCCCCUUGGGACACUAUGUCCCUCGAAGAAUGUUGACUUAACUGAGAUACUGAGGAAAAACUGAGACGAUGCACGGGGCACCUAUGAACUGAAUCAUAACUGAAUAUCUGGGAUCUAAAACUGAGACAUGAAAUAUGAACUAGGAUGAAAUUGUUACUACUAGGAUGCUCUAUCUUGGAAUGGUCAUACGCAUGAAACUUUGGAUAGUAUAACUAAAUGGAAAGAUUGGCAAGCAUACGAACUUAUCUGCCUGACUGCUAACCUGUAGUACUGGCUUUACGGACUAACUCAUACUAAAAACUUAUACUCAACUAGAGCAGUUCUUGACACUGUUUCUAUAGUGUUCUACUAACUUUAGGGAGCAAGGAAAUCUUGGCACGGUCUAAAUAAGACAUCUGAACAAGAAAUCAUAACAUGGCUAUAAUUUUGUAACAUGGAGUAAGGCCUAAAAAAACACCUUCUAAGAUAGAUUUACUAAGACUUGUGCACUGCAGCUACCAAUUUUCAAGCUUAGCACAUUUUUUGAAUACUUUCUCAACUAUACUCUCCUUCUUAGCACAACACUUCGCCUGAAACUGGUGAAAAGAUUUACACGAGUGCUAAGCACGAAUGCAUAAACAUACUAGCUUAUCUGUUUGAUUAAACUUCUGAUGGUUGAAUACUGGCCACUUAAGAUUGAACUAUUCAUAGCCUAAAUAACUGGAUUGAAACUGUAGAGUACUAUGCAUAUGAGGUAAGGACUGACUGAGGAACGUAAGGUAACUGAAUAUGAAUUCAUGGAAACUAUUCUUAUUUAAGAAUGCAAGACUGAGCGUAUAACCUAAUUCUGAAAUGGUCAAUAAGCUAAAGUAUUGAAAUACUGAUAGCUGAAUAACUAGUGACUAUACGUUAGGGUCAAGCAAACCUGAAACUGAACUGAGCCACUGAGCUGACUGCUGAAUUGGGACUGUGACUGAGAUUCAUAUUGGAACUAAAGGUUGGGAUAUGAUCAAACAUGGAUAUUGAAUGAAUACUGGAUCUGAAUCUGCGUGAGGGAGACUGUCAUAAAUUGAGGAUCUGAAUAUACAACCACACUCUGCCUUCUCUUAUUUUCUUCUCUUCUUUCAACAACUAAAUACAUCCUCCUUCUAGCCAUUCACUUACGUACAAACAUGACAUUCACACCUAUCUUUAUGACUAUAUCCUUGGGUAAAAUGAGCGCGCACUAAUCUUACUUAACACAAAACAUUUACCCUACUCUCUUUCUUUUAAGCAAUCACUCAUCACUACCUCCUCUCAUAAGAAGAGUUCACUGAAAGGCUAAAACAUCAGAACAUAAAACAUGAAUGGACACUACACCAAACUUGAAACUUAACUGAGGCCUGAUAAAUAGAAUAUCAACAUCAUGGAUUUAUCAAGAGGUCUAACUAAGGGUAUACAUGACCUAAUCUAAAUUUAGCUGAUUAUUAGGAGAGUAACAUGAGUACUAGAAUUAAACAUACUAUAAAACAUGAGUACAUGAGUCAUGAGCGACAUGACCUGUGUUUUGAGUUUCUAUAUUCAUGGAACAUGAUUCGUAACACUAAGUGAUCUAGAAUCCCUUAUACUUGGAAUUGUAAACGUGUAUGAUUUUCGUUAAUAUGCAUGAAUAUGAACUAUGAUCAUAGAGCUAAUAUGUAAGGAAUGAGUACUGCCAUUACUGACAUUACUAGUAGAAUCUAAAGCCUAACUUGGUUACUUAUUCUACUAUCUCCCCGUUAGCUUAAAGUCGUCAUUUUAAGUUUGUGAAUAACUUAAUAAACUCUAAAUCAUACUGAAACCACUUUGCUCUGGAGUCUGAGAUACAAUAGUACUCAUAAACUCUGAACUCAUACUGAAGGACUACUCUUGAUAACGUAAAGUCCCCCACUUAGUACUUUCUUCUGAUACACAAUUCUUAGAUUUCCAUAGCCCCAACAAUCAUCAUAUAGCAAUAUCAACACCGACAAACCUUAGAAUUCUCACUCUUCUUUCUACUAGUUCAAUCUAGAGAUUCAACUUAGAUUAACUAAAACUAAGGUAAUACUCCCCCAUUCAUUCAAUGAUUAGUCUGUUAGAAAACUGGAACAUAAAGACUCUAUUAUUAAAAUCAACUGAAGGGAUCUUCUAGAAUACUGUAACUGAGCAAUUUCUACAUACUCGCCUGGAUGGAAUGGGUUGACUUACUGAGGUAGGAACUAAGAAAGGUUUUGUUAAGGUUUCUAGUUUGACUUUAAAGUUGACUGCUACGUAAGGAGUUACAUGAUUCAAAGAAGCUCCUAGAUCUAAUAAGGCGUAGACAUGUGAAUGGGGGAUCUGUAACAUAUUAGUGACCACAUCAAGAGAAUUUUCCUAAUAUUUUCUAGACCAAAGUGCAUAAAUCCUUCUUUGGCAUUGCCCACUGGUGGCACUGGAAAUGGCACCCUGUUGAUUCGGGCGAUCGAACUAAGCUGAAGGACGGCUGGACGGACCUUGUUAGCGCAAAUCUUUUCCCUUCUGAGCCAUUACUCUACACUCCCACAUCCUGUGGCCUAGCUUGUAACAUGCGAAACAUACAUCGCUGCCAGCUCUAUACACACCCUGAUAGUUUUUACCACAUCCUUUGCAAGGUGGGUAGGGAUGACCUCUUUUCAUGCCUGAGGCAUAGAUCCUAACGUGCUACCUCGAGUGUCAUUUCAAAACUUUGGCACUGGUGCACUAGCUACAAAAGGAUUUAGGGCUGAGAAUUUUUGGCAAAACUGGAAGUGGUUACCACCCUCUGACUUUGGCCUGAAACCACUUGUUCUGACUCUCUUAUUGUCUCUAUCAUCCCUCUUACGCUUCUCCCUCUUGCUUUGCUGAGUAUUUACCCCAAGCAUAGAUAGGACAAUAGCCUAUAGGUUGUUCUAAGAAACUACUAAAUAGGCUAAAGUAGUGAAAGCAACUCUGAAUUCUGCAUGAGAGACAUAGACAUGCUCAUCCAGGGGAUCUUCCUGAGCGGGCUGAGGUGCUGAUUGAUUUUUGGCCCUUCUUUUAUUAGUCGUUUAGGGAGAAAUGUUCUGUAAACAAAAAAGAGAGAAUGGAUUAUACUGAGAGUUUUACUUGAGCUUAUUCUCAAUCGCACGACAUGAAUACUAAAAGAAGGGAAAGUUUUCCUAAAUGCCUUGUAGCCACUCGUCCUAAGUGUGGCGUGCUAAACACCCAAGCACAAGACUCUACUCAAUGCAGUUUUCAGACUCCCUAGGAAUUUGUUGAACCUUAGGCUCUGAUACCAAUUUUGUAAUGACUCGAGACUACCCCCUAGUCGUCACAUGGUGCUUGUGACCCCGAAGGACUACAAGCUAACCCAUGAAUGAUAUCUGCUGUGAGAAUUGAAUAAUGAUACUGCAAUUAAUGCAAAAAAUGAAGUUGAUGGGACAAUCCCCCAACUAUCCUGAAAAGCCUCUAACUGAAUCUAUCUGAAAAUGGAGUUGAUGGGACAAUCCCCCAACUAACUCCGACUAUUAAGCUACUGCUAAAAUGUGAUACUGAAAUAAAAAGAAUUUCUUCGAUAGAUGAGGACUCACUACUAAAUAUACUGCUGCUGGUUAAAUCUGAAUCUACUAUGCAUGGUUGGGAAUCGGAGUGUCCAAACCUAUGAUAUGAAACAUCAUACCGCAGGAAAAUAUGUGUUAGUAUGUGGGAAUGUGCUGGUAUGCUAAAUGAGGUAAGGCUAAAUACAGGGGUUCAUAUGCAUGAACAAUAAAUGACUACAUAAGAGUAACUGAACAUAGGAGUACAUGGAGAAUCUGAGAAUAUGUAAAUGCUGAGAGUGCAAUCUGUGCAUAUACAUAAAUAUGUAAAUUAUAAUCGAUCUUUUCUGAAGCUAAGUAUUUAAUUCUAAUAACUGAUUAACUAAUACUGAUUGACUGUAUCUAAGAGUCCUAAUUUUGUAGAACUGGACUGAGUUCUGAACUAAAGAAUGGAACUAAAACUAAAACUGUGGGAGGUAAUUAUCUAACCGACAUGCCUCUCUUUGAACUAAUUGGGGUCCAACCUGUAAUCCCAACUGGAAGGGUGAAAAUACCAUGCCUGGGUACUAACACUAGAAAACGAGGAUGCCAAGCCUAACUGACGCGUGACACCUAGGCGGAGCCAAGCCUAAUAUGAUGGGUGAUCCUUAGGAGGUAGUCAAGCCGAGUCAGACAGGUGACUCCUCAUACUAUGCUAGCUAUUCAAUUCAUGAGUACAGGGAUUGCUAUUAACGACUCUACCUAUCUGACGGGGAAGCCAUUAUCCCUGCUCUCGCUCGGUGCUAAAUCCUGCUCCCAACUAAAAUACACUGAAUUGAGUAUAUUGAACUUGACUAGACUAGAUUGAGAUUGAGUUUACGGAGUUUUCCUAAGUUCUGUAAUUGACUGAGUUCUAUUGAGUUCUAUAACGGACUGAGAGUAUUGAUCAUGACAUGAAUGAUACUAUUCUAUAACUGACACUAGCUCUAGGUAAACAGCUAAAUUGUUGGGUAUUAAAUACCCCCAGGACUCGAUAGCAUGAAAAGUAAAGCAAAGCAUAAUCUUGAAUAUCAUAACAAUGUUCACUUGGUCAUAAUUCAUUCAUAGAGACUUUUCAUCAAAAACUUGUAAUACAUUAACUUGUACAUAAAUGGGAUCACAUAAUAGCAUAUCAUGCCUGCACUAGUCAAUUCACAAAAGCAUUUUAUCAAAUACUUACAGGGCAUAAGCUUGUACAUGAUUAAGAUCUCAUAAUAACAACUCAUGAUUCCUCUAUCUACUUCACAUAGGCAUUUUAGCAAAUACUUGGGGAGCAUGAGUAUUUCACAUGAUAAUGGUCAUUGCAUAAACCUCAUAAAUAAAAUACUUAAUUGCAAAUUCAAGAGUUUAGCAUGUAAUUCAGAUAAUUCCCCUAAAUACUAUUCUAUUUUUCAUAAAACUUAUCAUAAUCAAGGAUUGAAAACCAAAUCAACAUCAUAGAUGCAUUAAUCACUUUAUAAAUUUAAGGGUCUAUCAAGAUAAUCACAUAUUUGUUAUACAUGCUAUUUAAUUUAAUGAAGCUUGCAUUUAAAUUAUGGAUUGGAACCCAACUAAUAUUAUAAGCACAAAUUCAAUCUAAUUCAAACAUGAAAAUCAUAAAUACAUCAUCUUUGUACUUUGAAAAAAUUUAUUCUUGGACUUCAUGGGUGAAAGGGACCCAUGAAUGAACAUCUAACAUACCUUAAUAUGUGAGAUUCUUGAAGUUCAUGAAUGAUUUCUUGAGCUUGACCUUGAUUCUUGAACUAGGAUUUUGCCCUUUGAGAGAGAGUGGCUUGCUUCAUGAGAAAAUAGUGAAUUAAUGAGCAAUUUGUGCUCUUUUAGGGUUUAAUUGCGUGUUUAGGCUGACUGGGGCUGAGGAAAAAAGACCUAAGUUCCUUCAAAAUUAAAUCUCGCAACUGACUAAAAAUCCCAAUUUUGUGCGCUAGCGCAAUGGGGUGAGAUCACGCCUUGAGAACUCGGAACUGGAGGUUUGGCGCGAAUCGGCGCCAUCACGCCGACUCACUGCAUGGGAAUUUACUCCUUCGCACGAUGCGCCAUUAUCAUAGAGUCACACUGAAAAGUGACAAUUGGGAAAAAAACUAGUGGCACAAUGCGGUGGUAUCACGUUAUCUCAUUAGUAAAUGACAAAUGCCAUUUGGACAGCCUCCGCGACGUGCUGGAGUACCAAGUGGUACACUGUCUUACUAAAAUGGCUCUAACUCUUUACUCGAGUGUCAGAUUUGGGCGAAUUUGAUAUUGAUGGAAAGAUUAUUCAAUUUCCCACAUGAUGAAAAGUCAAACUCUUUAAAAUUACAUAUGUAUAAAAAUGUAUUCGUCUUUAAAGUAAGUCUUUGACAUUUUUGGGACGAAUUCAAGCUAAGCAAAAGUACGGGGUGUUACACAUCCAUUAGAACUUUGUAGAGAAUCGGAGACAUCCUUCAUUCACAUAGUCUUCGUAAACAAUCAAAGAGGAUAAUCAACAUCAGUCUCCAUAGACAAAUGGAGAUGUCAAUAUCAGUAUCCAUAAACAAUUGGAGAAAUAAUCCAUCAAGUCUUCGUAGACAAUCAGAGACACCUUUUAUUCAUCACAUAGUCUUCGUAGACAAUCAAAGACAUCUUUGAUUCAUCACUUAGUCCAUCGACAAUCGGAGACAUCUUUCAUUCUUAAGUCUCCGUAGACAAUUGGAGACGUCAUGCAUCUUUUCAGUCAAAAAUACAAUCCACGAAAAUACAUUUCUUUUAUUUCCUAGAAGACAGUGUUAACCAUAAAUCAUAAACUGGGCAAAUUUUGAGAAUCACCUAAAAAACUUAGCCUAUUUUCUCAUUUCGAACUACAUUGACCUGAUUCUCGUAACAUUCGAGAUAUGUAGGAAGCUCUAUGAAGAAUUCGGUCGUCACUGCUUCACAAUUAUUCUUUCACCCUAUUGCAUCCCCAGCAUCUCACAGCUCGAUACUCGAGCAAUUUUGAAUGGAACAUCAGGAAUAGAUGAACACUUCUGUUCCCAAAUAGUCCAUGUUUCAUAAAUUACUUCACACAGUCUUUCACCCUUAAUAACAGAGAAAUUUUCCUAAUUUUAAAAUUACACCCGACCUGAUCCUCAAGCAAAUCGAGGUGUAUAAGCAACUCUAAAUUGGAGUUCGCUUGAAUUUUUUAUCAAAAAUAAUUUUUUAUUGAAAAAAAUUAGCUACACGUCAACGUUUUUGUUUGAAGAGUUCUACAUUAUCUUCAAAUGAAAAGGGACAAACUAUUGACACCCAAUUUUGGAUCUCCAUACUUAAAAUUAGCACUUUUUAGGCUUUAAGAUUGUUAAAUGGAAUAAUAUGCAAUUUUUGACAUAUUUUUUGUAAUUGUUAAUAAAUGAUUGAUAUUCAUCAUUCAUUUAGGAUUUUUACGCAUUUAUUGUCAUAUUUUAAUUUUACAUAAUUUAUUGAUAAUUAUUUUUAAUUUCAUAAAUUUUAGAAUUUUUAUCAGUUUAUUAGUAUUUUAAUAUUUUUGCACAAUCAUUUGCAUACGUACACAACACAACACUGUAAUUUUUUAAUGGAAAGUAUAAUUUUAGUUAUUUAUAGCAUAAUAUAUUUUUUUAAAUAUAAUUAUAUUUUUAUUUGUUGUUUAUAUUUUUCUGUAAUUAUAUAUCGACAUUCAUUAUUUUGUACGUUAUUUAAUACGACCUGCAAAGCUGAGUCGAUUUAAUUAUUUUAAUACACAGAACAAUAAAUUGGUCAAAAUAAAGUCUCUUUACUUAUUAAUUUUCUUGACUUUUUUGCACCUACUAUCCCAAAUUUAAGGGAUAUGUUGGGGAAAAUUAAAUUUAAUAUCUUUUUUUAUAUUAUCAUUUUCCCUUUUAAUACUCCACACAUACACACACAACAUACAUAAACACACUCAUAACACACACAGUCAGAUCCCUCCUUUCUCUCUUAAUUCACUCUCAUCUCAGGCUUUUUUUCUCUCUGUCACUUCCACCGCUGGAAUUGAUUACCGAUUGGCCGAUGAUGAUGAUGCCGCGUGCCACUACUCUUUCCUCCUCCAACUACCACCCCUCUUCCCUCUCCCUCUUUUCUUGUCGCCCAACCAGCACUAGUCGGUGUAGAUUCUGGCCACCACCAUGCUCCCCUCUCCCUUUCCCUCUCUUUUCACUACUGGCUCGCCGGAAUUGGUGAUCAGCGAGAUCCAACCCAAAAACCCACCAGCCGCCCCCUUUCCUAUCUCACUCUCCGCCACUGCUUCGCCGAAAUUUACCACCAAUGAGCUGUCCAAACGCCAAUAUGCACCAACACUGACCCUCCCAUUCUCUUCUACCAUAACAUUGAUAAUCAUAUCGUUUGGUGGUAUUUUACAAUUUUGGUGAUAUGUUUUAGUCAGAAUUUCGAAACUCAGGCAAACCUUGCUUUUACUCCGAUAAGGGUUUCUUCUUUGGCUUAUUUUUUGCUACUGAUUGUUAUUGUUUGAUGUGUUUAACUUUGAAUUUGUUAACAGUUGGUCCUAUCCAUGUUGUUGUUCUUGAUGAUUUUUCUUUUACUAAUAACGAAUAAAAUACCAUAUUACAAUACUUGACCAAUGAAAUUAUCUCUCCAUCUGGAUAUUUGAGGCCACACUAUUAUAAAUGAUGAACUUUAUUUUAUCAAAGUUAUUAUUUUAUAAUAAGGGCCGACACUUGGUCGAUGAAGAAAUUCUUUGUCAAUUUUCGAGGCCGACACAAAUAAAAAUACUGAUGUUACGUAUAUAAAUACGUAAUAAAAUAAAUAAAUUUGGGUGAUGACGAAACUUUAUAACAGCACAAAAGAUUUUAUAAUUUUUAUUUUGGCAAGUCAAUUUAGGACGGCCAAUCAAUUGAGCAACCACUUCGUAGCCAUAGCGUAUUUAGAAUUUAAUCUAAGCCUAUAUUUUAAUGAAAAUCAUAUUUUUAUAUACCUUUUCAAUUUAUUUUGAUAAUUAUUUAUUUUGUUACUAACAUUUAAUUACAUGUGUUUAUACAGGUUAUUGAUAACACUCACCGGGAGUGACAUUCAAGGAAGACUUUACAUUUUAUGUUGUAUUUUAUAUUCUUAUACAUGUACAAAUAUUAUUAUAGUGAAAACUUUAAUUUUGGGGUGUUGGGCGGGAUUUUCUUUAUUCAUACAAACUUCACCACGCGUUAGGCAAAUUUAGGCCGUUAAUUUUUACAUUAAAAUUGAUUUAGAUAUUUAAUCCACAAAUAAUUCACUCUAAAUAUAUUACGUAAUCUUUUUCUCUAAACAGAUCUUUCAUUAUUCAAUCUUUUCAUUUUAAUAUGCACAUUAUCAUGUAUUUUUGUUUAUCUUAAUACACUUUUUAUACACAUGCAUAUUUUUUACAAUAAUAUAAUCAAUUUACACAUUCUUUAUAUAUAUAUAUAUUGUCUAUAUCAUUUUAAUACACAUUUUAUAUUAUGUAUUUAUAAACAUAAUUUUUUUCAUUUUUUAAUAAACCUAAAUCUAGCCGGGAACCACAUUUGUGGAUUCUAAAGGAUGCCUAACCUCUUUUCUUUGGAAUAAUUUGAACUCUUACCUAGAAUUAAAUUGGUUCGUAGAUUAAAUAAAGUCAUACUUGUUAAUAAAUAAAUAGGUUUUCUAUUUUUUCUUAAAAAUUAGGUGGCGACUCUGUAUAUAAUUAAUUCUUUUAGAUUCCAUAAUCUCGUACUCAUUUUGACCUUAGGUAAAAAUCGGGUAUGACAAUGACUUCAUGUAGUCUAUCUAUCUAUCCCUUUGUUUUAUUGUAAUUGUGUAGUUGUGUUCUUGUUAUAACUGUUUGUUGUUUGUCUUGUGAUAGUGAACCCGUGAUUUCUUAUUGUUAUCAUAUUAUUCACGUUUCUUCAUCUUAUUGUUGCAACUUAGUUUGGUUGGCUGUUAUGGUGUGAAGUCACACCCUUUGUUAUUUCGUUUAUUAGUGUAUUUGUUGAAUCCGAGUGUAGUCUCCAAUCAAUCCAAGAAUUCCUUUGAUUAGUGGACUAUUUUGGAGUGUGUUUUGUGUUCUCCUUGUUUGUAGUGUAUUAGGUAGUAAGGCUAAAAAGAUCAUAUUUUGCUGGCUCACUACCAUGGAGCACAAAUAAGCAACUUUGUAAAUCUUGCUGAAUUGCCCGGAAGUUGAGCCCUCUUUGAAGUAAGGAGAUUAAAUAUUAACAUAUGAUAUUUAUUUGGUCGUUCCCUUAAGGAAACUAAUUGUGUUUCGCAUGUUGGAUCUUCAGUUCAUUUAAGACUCAAUUCCAUGAAAAUCAAGUGUAUGCAUCCUUUGCAACAUGGUUUACAUAUGAGGUACAUAAGUGUACUAAUAUUUCUAGAAAUUUUAAACAUUUACACAUUCUUCAACUAACACACACACACACACACAUCUCUCUCUCUAUAUAUAUAUAUGUGUGUGUGUGUGUGUUUGUAUGUAUGUAUAAUAUAUUUAGGUACACCAGUCACCAAAUGCGACCGCAUACGAUCAGUUCUUGAGAGAUAUUUCUUUAGGACCAGUUGAAGCUCAUACAAUGUCCCAUUACAGAAUAAGUGGGUUUAAAUUUUCUACCGAAGAACACUGUAGAACAAGAAAAAAAAAUAAUAGUGGUGUUUGGGUUAACAACGAUGAUGAUGUUGAUUACUUUGGCAUCGUACAAGAGAUCUUAGAACUGGAGUAUGCUGGUUUUCUAAUAAAAAAAAAUUGUCCUCUUUCAAUGUAAGUGGUUUGAUCCAAGAUCAAAGGGCACAACAGUACAUAAGGAGCAUAACAUCAUUGAAGUGAAGCACAAUAGGUCGUAUCCUAUUUACGAUCCCUUUGUUCUUACGUGAAAUGCUAAAAAAGUUUAUUAUGCUCCUUAUCCGUUGUGUAGUGAUAAGUGUGAUUGGUGGGCUAUAAUCAAAAUAAAGCCUAUAGGAUGGGUGGAAGCUAAAAAUGUGUUAGAGACAGCGUAUCAAAAUGAAAUGCAGAUUAAUCACCAGCUAGUGGACAUUGACUUAUUGGAUACUUUUAAUCACCCGAAAAAUUUAUUUGAAGAAGUAAAUAUUGCAGAAGAAGAGGCUGAGUGGGUAGAAGAUGAGGAAACUUUCAAAGAGGGUAAAUGGUUUUGUGGAGAAUCUUCAGGAGAGAAGGAUUAGUUUGUGUAUGUUGUAUUUAUUAUGUAUUGAUGUCUUUAUGCUUUGUAUUAUUCACCUUUAUGUUUUUUUUUAUGAUUGAUAUGUAAUAUACUGUGUAAGAUUGUUGUUUUCUCUUUUCCAUAAUUUGUGUAGUAAUAGAAAUAUUCUUGUUCAUGUUGUGUUGUUAGAGCGAUUUGAAAUAUGAAUUAGUAACUUGAAAUUAGUUACUUGGAAUGUUUUCUUAUAUAUUCAUUUUGUAACAACUAACUACUUUUUAACUUAACUUAAUUUAGAUGGCAGGUAGAGGUGACAAAGGUAUACAAAAAGUUGAUCCUACAAAAAGAAGAAAAACAACCUUCGCCUUAUAUGCGACCGACAGGUAUUCAUAUAUUUGAGGGUCGAUUUGCUGAUGCGCCUGCAUGACCCUCAUAUUCUAGGUCGCUGCAACAUUCAGUUCCUACUCCUACGUAUGUGGGUUCACUUCAUGGGUCGACAAUGACUCAUUCUGCUACCAUCCCCGUGCCACCUCUAUCACAGUACUAUCAGACGAGCGCUGGUACAUCCAGGCAUCGACCAUCGUCUACACUAAUCUUCUAUAGCAGUCACCCAUAUUCUUACAGUGAUUCUGCUAGAUCUAUUGGGUUGACAGAUCUUCAUCUUGGAGGCACUACAUUCGAUACUUCAUAUCCGCCCACGCCAAUGCAUCCACCAUCACUUGUUUCGCAGCCCGGUGAUUGAGAUGAUUAUAGGAGGCAUUAUAUUAUUUCAUAUGGAAUAGGGUAAGAUUUAAAAAUAUAAUAACAUUAUUCAUUUUUCACUUACUAUAUUAUUAUGCUCUAUGAAAUUACUGUUUGAUCUUGUGUUGUAGGUUUAAACCGGAUACUGGAGUUGGAAAAAUUGUGAGUAAAUAUAUUUGUCGGAACUUCAACAGCUAUUGGACCAGUUGGCAAAAGGUUCCAGAAAAUGACAGAGAACAAAUGUUUAAAGAAUUCCAUGUAAGGAGUUAACUUAUCGACUACUUAACACAUUGUUAGAACAAAAGAUUGAAUAUUAUAUUUUUGUUUUUGUUGUAGAAGUAUUACUAGUGGGAUGACGCAAAUGAAUGUGCUAUAAGGAGGAAUUUUUAUAGAAGAGCUAGAUCCACAUUUAACAGUCUGUUGGAUUAUGUCAGAACCAACAGGGUACGACUAGGGUUUAUACUCAAACCCAUAUGGCAAGAGUAUCUUCGCUAUUGGAAUAGUGAAGAAUACCAAUUAUUGAGUGACAAAGAAAAGAAAGCCUGGGCAUCACCCAAGGGUGGCUCUCUACAUACUGCGAUUGCAGUUAGUAAGAUUGUUGUGGAGGAAAAAAUGGUAUGCAACUUUUACAGUUUAAAUUGUUAGUUCUAUUUAAAUUUUUAAUUAUUUGAAGAUUAAUAAUUUUUUCAUAUGCAGAAAAAAAUGGGUAGGAAGAUAACAUACGAUGAACUAUUCAAGAAGCUGCAUGUGAAGAAGAAAAAGAACCCAACUGAUAAAGAUGUUUGGGUUGAGCCUCGUGCAAAAGCUGCCCUUGUAAGAAUCAAAUUUUGAAUUUAUGAAUCUUUUUCUCAAAGUUGAUAUUAUUCAAGUACAAGUACUUUAAUUUUUUUUACUAUUAAUUUUAACUUUACUUUGAAUAUAGGAUAAAUAUAUGCAGCUCGUUAAUAAGUAUCAUAGUACUCAGCCCCCUGAAAGUCGAGGUGAUCCAAUACCUGAACAUGUAGAGGAAGAGUUAUGACAACAAACAGUGGGUCCUGCAAUUAGAGACCACUACUACAGAUAUCACAGAAAAUAUUUUGGCGAGAAUGUUAGGUCUUCAUCCAUCCCUACAUCCUAUACCUCAUCAAUUGAUAGAGCAAUCAUUGAAUCACUAAAAAAUACGGUUUUUAAACUCACUGAAGAGCUUACUGAACAGAGAGAGAGGGCAUAAAAGAAGGAGGAGGAAACAACAUAAAUAAUCAAGAUGCUACAAGAGCAGUUCAGCUCUUUUAUUCAAUCUGUAGGGAUUGUUCCUACAUGUCCUGGUGAUGCAAUUCGGGCUGCAAAAGGUCAAGGUCCACCGGAUGAUAUCAGCACAGAUGAUGAAUCAGAUCCUGCGUGUGCGGCUGAGGAUGUGGAAGACAAAGACGAUGAUGAUGAGUGGUAGCUUUUUGACUUUUGUAUGUGUUGUAGUUUGGAUUUGGAGAUGAGUUGUAGUUUUUACACUUUUGUAUGUUUUUAGACUAGUAUUUUAUGUUAGUUUUGUGGGAACACACUUGGUAUGUUGUUGUAUUAUAUGUUGGUUGUUUCAUUUGUUUGGUUGGUCAUUUUUCAUUUUUAAAAAAAUCCAGAAAAACCUACCAUAUGUGGUCGGUUUUUCUGAAAAUUUUACAAAAAGCCGACCACAAGUGGUCGGUUUUUUUCAAAUAAAUUAAUUAAUAAAUUUUAAAAGUGGUUGAUUUUAUUAAAAUUAAUUAAUUAAUUUUAAAACAAAACCAACCACUUGUGGUCAAUUUUAUUAAAAUUAAUUAAUGAAUUUUAAAAUAAAACCGACCACUUGUGCUCGGUUUAUUUUAAAUUUUUAAACUCAUUUUUUCUAUUUUUGUAAAAUAAUAAUGUAUUUUAAAUAUAUAUAUAUAUAUAUACAUAUUAAAACCGAGUUUUAAAAAAGCUACAACACUUUUACCGACCACGCAUUUUGGUCGAUUUUGUGAUCGGAAAUGAAUGUGAUCGGUUUUCCUAUUUUAGUAGUGAAUGUAUUCUUGUCUAGCGAGAGAUUUCUCCCAAUAGGUUUUAUGUUUUUCAAUAUUAAUUUUCAAUAUGUAGGUCGUUUGACCAACCAUCAAUAAUAUGUUUUCAGUAUUAUAUUUUUUUGUCAUCUGAAUUAUCAUCGUCUUAGUUUGUAAACUUUAUGCUUCCGCAUUAUGCCCUCUCAAUUUUGAACCCAACAAGUGGUAUCAGAGCAAAUGGUUCAGAUUAAGGAUAGGUUAAGAUCAAAGUUGCAACAAAUUUGAUGAUAAUGAAGAUAUAUGUCCAAAAACUACAUAUGGAGACGAUUGUCAAUAAUUCUGCUGCUACAUAUUUAAAAAUAAAGCUCAUUUUUAAUCCUAUAAAGGGCUCCAAUAUUUUUAAUCAGAAAAGGGCUCAUAUACUUUUAACCCAAAGCUCCAUUUUUAAGCAUGUCAAGCGGCAGUGAUAAAGACUAUAUGAAGAACAAAAAUCAAAGAUGUGAAGAAGACGGAUCAAGUAAAUAAAAUCAAGCCAAAACGGGGGGAUUUGUGAGGGGUUUUGCCAUGAUUUUCUUACCUAGUUUAAGUUUUACUUUUUGCAGAAGGAAAAUAACAGUAAUACCAUAAUUACUUUUAGUUUUUAUAAAAGGAAAAUAUAAUUAUUUUCCAUAUUUGGCUAACCUUUUUCUUGGAGGAAUGAUUUUGGAACUCUAUAAAUAGAAGAUCUCCCUCCCCCCUUCUAAUACAACAACACAGUGUUAUACACAAUGUAGUCUUGUCUAGUAGGAGAUUUCUCCCAGGUUUUAUGUUUUUUCAAUAUUAAUUUUCAAUAUGUAGGCCGUUUGACCAACCAUAUCAAUAAUAUAUUUUUAGUAUUAUAGUUUUUUCUUGUCAUCUGAAUUAUCAUCUUCUUGGUUUGUAAACUUUAAGCUUCUGCAUGUUGCCCUCUCAAUUUCGAACCCAACAAUUCUGCUUUAUUAGUUGCAUUAAUAAGUGCCUUAAAAAUUACAACAAACUUCUCAGUCAUCUUACCAUCUCAAUUAUUCUUUCUUUUUCAAUCUCAUGUCAUUAUCUAUUAAAUUUGUAUCUUACCAUCUCUAUUAUUAGUUGAACAUAUCAGGUAACAAAAAUCACUUUAACUCAGAGUGAUCGAUCGACGACUCUAGUUGAGAGAAACACAAUACCGUCUCAUCAUGCUAUUUCCAAAAGACUCAAUUGAAGUUGUAGUUGACCAUAUGAGAACUCACCCCUAGUCCUAGAUUAAUCAAUUAAGGUAUUAGUUGAACAUGUAAGGUAAUAAAGAAUCGCUUUAACUCAGAGUGAUUGAUCGAUGACUCUGGUUAGGAGCAACGCAAUACUGUCUCAUUAUGCAAUUGUCAAAAGACUCAAUUGAAGUUGUAGUUGACCCUAUGAGAACUCACCCUUAGUCCUAGAUUAAUCAAUUAAGGUAUUAGUUAAACAUAUAAGGUAUUAAGAAUUGCUUUAACUCAGAGUAAUCGAUGAACGACUCUGGUAGGGAAGAACGCAAUACCGUCUCAUCAUGAAAUUGCCAAAAGACUCAAUUAAAGUUGUAGUUGACCCUAUGAGAACUCACCCCUAGUCCUUGAUUAAUUAAUUAAGGUAUUAGUUGAACAUAUAAGGUAAUAAGAGUUGCUUUAACUCAGAGUGAUUGAUCGACGACUCUGGUCGGGAAGAACGCAAUACCAUUUUAUCAUGGAAUUACCAAAAAGCAUAAUUGAAGUUGUAGUUGACCCUAUGAUAACUCACCCCUAGUCCUAGAUUAAUCAAUUAAGGUAUUAGUUGAACAUAUGAACUCAAUUGAAAUUGUAUAAAAACAAAUGUUCAAUAUGUUGUAACAAAUGACUUAUCUGUUAAAAUUUAUCAAAAAAAUUAUGUCAUUUGUUGCAAUAGGUUACCCCUCUAUUGUAAAUUAUCAAAUAGGUGCUGUCAUCUGUUACGACGGAUGACCGAGCCGUUGAAAAUUUUCAAAUAGAAAUUGUCAUCUGUUGGAAAGUAUGAGUUAUAUGUUUUUAGAUUUUUUUAAUUAUUAUUUUAAAGCAAUUUAGGUAUUAGCUUAACAAUGAGGUAAUAAGAAUUUCUUCAAAUCAGAAUGAUCAAUCGACGACUCUAUGACUGAGGAGAAACGCAAUACCAACAUCAUACAUUGUCAAAAGACUCAAUUGAAGUUGUAGUUGACCCUAUGAACUCACCCCUAGUUCAAAAUUAAUCAGUUUAUAUAUUAGUUUGAUAAUGAGUUAGAAAGAAUCUUUUCAAAUCAGAGUGCUCGAUCGACGACUCAAGUCGGGAGGAACGCAAUACCAACAUCAUGCAAUUGCCAAAAGACUCAAUUGAAGAUGUAAUUGACCCCAUGAACUCACCUGUAGUUCUAGCUAAAUCAAUUGAAGCUGUAGUUGAACAUAUGAACUCAAUUGAAAUUAUAUAAAAAAAAAAUGUUCAACUUGUUGCAACAGAUGACUUAUCUAUUAAAAUUUAUUAAAAAGAUUAAGUCAUCUAUUUCAAUAGAUUAACUAUAUGUUCUAAAUUAUCAAAUAGGCAUUGCCAUAUGUUGCGACAGAUGACUAAGCCAUUGGAAAUUUUCAAAUAGGAAUUGUCAUCUAUUGCAAUAGAUGAUCAAGCCAUUGGAAAUUUUCAAACAGAAGUUUUCAUCUGUUGCAACAGAAGACUUAUAUGUUUUAAGAUCAUUUUUUUUAAUUUAAAGAAAUUUCCUAAUUUCCUGUCUAUGAUAAAAAAAAAUAUAAAAUACUAAGACGGUAAAAAUAUUACUUGGAUAACUCAAAAAUCUCCUUCUUGAGUAGUCUUAUCUUGUCUUUUAAAUGUCACCAUCUCCUCGUGCCACUCAAAAGUGAUUAAUGAAUAUGUAAAACCCAUUUCAAGAAUUCUCUGUUCUUUAACAAUAAAUUAACACAACUCAUCUCUCUUCUUUAUUCAGAUUCAAAAUUCUCUCUCUCCUCUUUAGGGUAAUCACAACCACCUCCUUUUUUUCUUUUUUUCUCUCCUCUUUUGCAUGAGGACCCUUUCAAAUCUCAACCAAUCCUCCCAAUAUCUUUGCUUGACUAAAAUAGGUGUUCUGAUCCCUUUCUUUUUUUAACAUUACAGGUAUGGUUCACUAUUGCUCUUUCCUUCACGUCUUCUUCUUUAUAUGUUAUUUAAAUUAAAUAUUUACAUCUGUUGUUAUUAUUAAUUUACCCAUUGCCAGUUUCCUAUUUAUUGAUAAAUGGGUAUUAGUAUUGUUGGAACAUGUGGUGUUUGUGUUGUUAAUGGUGUUAGAAUAUGUGGUAUUGUUUCUUUGUUGUUGAUGCUGUUGUUGAUGUUGUUAGUGGUGUUGCAAUAGUUUCCUCAGCUGUUGCAACUGAUAAAUCAGUUGUUGGAACAGAUGAAGCAACUAUUGAAAGAAAUCAAACUAGUAGCAAGGCUUGGUUGAUUUAGUCUAAUAAAUGACUCAUCUGUUGUAAUAUGUCAUCCAUCAGUUGCCACAGAUGCAUCACCUAUUACAAUGGAUGACUCAUACGCUGAACGAAUAGGGAAUUUAUUGCAUCAGAUGGGGCAUUUGUUGAUUUAUUCAAUUUUAUGUUACCCUUUUGUAAUAUUCUUUUUGUUCUUCUCUGGUUUGAUAUCAAAUAUUUUUCUCUUGUUUGUGUAUUAAAGGAAGUAAAACUAGGUAAACUUUUACUCAACUAGUAUUAAAGGCUAGAGUAAUAUGGGAUCGGAGGAAUAAGCUGCUUGCAGAUGGAACCACUUCAUAUUUGGGAGGUAUGUAUUACUGAUCAACCUUUUGUGAAAACACACAUACAAUACACUAAUUUUGUGAAUGUUGGUUCUUUACCUCUUAGGCGUUAAUCUUUCAAACAAGAUAUGACAUUUUACAGUUAAGAUUGUUAGGUUCAAACUGGUAAGGUUGAGGAACCAUGUAAGUGAUUUUGAUACCCUAUUACGGUUUAAUAAAGAUUUUGCUAAUGUUUAUGUGUCAAGUUUGGAUAAGGUUUCAAGUUUUUGGUGGCAGUGUAAACAUUCAAAUAGUGAUUGGACUGAUUUUAAGGGCUUAAUAGACUUUUGAAGGGCCUCUAAAGCCUCGCACUCCUGCAAAUAAGAAUUGAAAUGAAUAUAGUUAUUUUUGUGGUCCAAAUUUAUAUGGAUGGGUUGCUCGAGGAGGCUAUUAUACAAUCGAAGGUGAUUGGGAGAAUACCUUUGCGGGAAGGGGGAAGUGGAGAAGACCAUAUAUCAACUCAGACUUUAUUUAAGAAGAAACACGCGGUAGGAAGGAAAGUGUAACGAAACUAGCGGAUAAAAUUGACAUGAAAAAUGAAAAAAUUUAAUAAGCUGCAAAUGUGAAAGUGUAUCCAAAAAUGAAAACCCAUCAAUUCAUUUUGAAAAGAAAAAUGAUGAAGUGGACUUGAGCUAUGCACUUUGUUCGGGGACUGCAACUAGCUAGCGUGGCCUGAAUAAGGACCCAAAAAAUACAGGACUAGAACUCUAAGGAUGCAUCUUUGCAAGCAUCGAUGGUGGUAAGAUUGUCGGUCAGGAUUGAAAAAUAAACCAAUAACUCCUAAAGUAAAAAUAAGGGAUCAAGCUAAGCUGGCGAUUCUGAAGUUAAACUUGCAUCCCAUGCCUUCUGUUUAUGGCACUGGUCAGGUCAAAGGUAGUGGAAACAACAAGGCAUGGGAUUUCUGCCCAACUUUAGACCUUUUUGUUUCUACUUCCAUUGACCUGAUCAGAACCACAAACAGAAGGCAUGAGAUGCAAGCUAGACUUCAGAAAUUGACGUCUUCACUUCCCUUAUUUUUACUUCUAGGGUUGUUGGUUCAGGUUUCAUUCUUGACUGCAAAUCUUACCAAUCUUCUGUGCUCGCCAAGCUUUUUCCUUAGAGUUCUGGUCCUGCACUUUGUGGAUCUUUACUGAGGCCAUGCUUGCUAGUCGGAGUCCCUAGCAAAGUGUCUAGCUUAAGUCCUCUUGAGCAUUUUUGUUUUUCAAGAAUGAUCGAAAGAUUUUAAUAUUUGUAUACACUUUCACAUUUAAAGCUUAUUCAAUUUUUUCAUCUCUCAAGUCAAUUUAAUUGGCCAGAUUCACUAGAAGUUCCUUACUUGUUUCCCUGUGUUUUCUCUUAAACAAGGUCUAAGAUGAUAUAUGGUUUUCUCCUCCCCCCUUCCCGCACACGGAUUUUCCCAAGUACCUUUUAUUGUAUAAUAGUCUCCUCAAGUAACUCAUCCAUAUAAAUUUGGGCCAGGGGAAUUUCUAUUUGUUUUCCAUUCUUGUUUGUUGUAGUGUGAGGCUUUGGAGGCCUUUCAAAAGUCCACUACACCAUUAAAAUUGGUCUAGUCACUAUUGGAUAUUACACUACCGCCAAAAAAUUAAACCCUUCUCCAAACUUUACACAUAAAAAUAAGAAAAAUUGUCAUUAAAUUGGAACAGGGUAUAGACACCACCGUCUUGGAACCUUUCGACCUUAUCAGUUCAUACCUAUCAAAUUAAACUAUAAAAUGCAGAUCUUGUUUGAAGGAUCAAUGCCUAAUCGAGAAAAAACUGCAUUCACAAGAUCAUUGUACUUUAUGUGUGUCUAUCAUGAUAGCUUGAUCAAUAAUACAUAACUCCCACAUAUGGAAAUGGAUCUAUUCAUCUGCACGUACCUUAUUCUCCCUACCCGAUCAAUGUCAGACAAUGUUUGUUCAUCUGAUGGCUAUUAAAAAAGAGGUGAACAGUCGUGAUUUUUUGUCUAACACAUUCAAAACAGCUGAUGAAUCAAAUUCCCUAUCUAUUGCAACUGAUGAAUCAGCUGUUAGAAUAAAUCAAAACAUCUUAUCCAACAGAUGGUUCAUCUAUCGUAUCAAAUUAUCCAUAUGUUGAAAUAGAUAUCUAUUGUAUAAACAGACCAUCUAUUGCAACAGAUGGUAAAUCAUUCAAAAUAGCUGCUGAAUUAAAUUUUCCAUCUGUUGCAACUGAUAAACUAACUGUUAGAAAAAAUCAAAAUAUCUUCUUCAGCAGAUGUUCUAUCUGCCGCAAGAGAUAAUCCAUAUGUUGCAAUAGAUGUCUCAUCUAUUGCACAUACAGACCAUCUGUUUUAAUAGAUGGUAAAUCUGUUGCGAUAGUGGGUUAUCUGUUCUGACAGAUAGAUGAUCUAUUGUAACAACUCAAUAAUAACGGCUAUUAUUAAGUCUAAAACUAUUUUGAAAAGGUGAGAAGUUUGAAUGUAAAAGAAAAAGUCACGACUUUUGAUAGAAAACAAAAAACUAGUAGUUUAAAUUUAAUUAAUAUAAUGGAUCUGAAUAGUCGUGCCUUUUUUCCUAACACAUUCAUAUUCAAUCCUCUAUAAAUAGGUCCCUCCUUAAUCUUUAUUCUACUCUUGUUUUAUUUAUUUCUUACAUUUUCUCUUUUCGUAAUACAUUUUCAACCACUUAUAUUCAAAGAGAAUAUUCCUUCCUCGUUGAGGUAAGUUUUUUCUAUAUAAAUCUACCAGUUGGUAGUAUACGUUAUAUUCCAUUUGGACUCUUUUAUUUACUUUUGUGUUUAUGUUUUUUGUCAAUUCAUGUGUGUUUUAGAUAUGGUUGAUCUUGUUUGGGACAUUGCUAUUCUACGCAACACUGUGCGGGAACUUCAGAGGAAGGUUAACGACCUGCAGAAAAAGUUGAUCGCUCUGAGAGAUAGGAUAUUUCGAGAGAUGUAGAGGUUGAUAAGCCCCCUGCUACUGCUGGUUGAUUGGCCGGCUGACAAUAAUAAUGAUGAUGAUGAUAAUAAUAAUUAGAAUGUGUUUUUUCUUUUAGUGUAUGUAUUUUAAUUUUUCUAUAUCAGAUCUAUACCUAAUGUAUUUUAUUUUUCGUUUAAUGAAAAUUUUAUUUUUUGUCGACUUUGGAGUUUUAAUUCUUAUUCAAUUUUUAUUUUGUCUAUUUCUUGUUCUAAACAUACAUGUUAACAUGUCGACGAUUGGAGGUAGGGAGAAAUUUUGAAUCCAGUAGCAAUAGACAUUUUGGCUUUUGAGUUCUUUCAACAGAUGGACUAUGUGUUACAAUAAAUUGGUCAUCGGUUGGGUUUCUAUCAAUAUAUUAACCAUCUGUUGUGACAGAUUUGUCAUCUAUUGGAGGAAAACUUUCUAGUUUGAUGAUGAACAGUAUUAUGUUCUUCCAGUUAAUGUCCAUAUGUUGCAACAGAUGGGUAAUCUGUUGAAAAUAAUUAUGGUCUGUUGUAUUUAGUUCAUGUUUUGCCUCUUUUUAUUGAUGCACAAGUUAUUAAAAAAGAUAUUUUAUAUAUAAUAAAUGAUAACAUUACAUUCAAAACAAUGAGUUAAAUAUAUAAAAGUCCACAACAACCAAAAACACAAGUUUUUGCAAUUACAACGAUCAUGUGGAUUAUGAUCCGGACAUGUAGUUCUUUUGUGGCCAGUGCACUUACAUACGGGGCACUAAUUUUUUCUUGAUGGAAAUGAUUCUCUAACUCCAUGACUCCUAUUAUAUGGCUUUCUUCUCGAUUUGUUAGUGUUUGGGUCAAUAUAUGGAGGAGGUACUAAACUCUCCAAAAUCUCUGCAAGAACAAACCAAGAUUCUUCGGGAGGCACCAGAGUAAUAUGACCACUAUAUGCCAUUGUAUAUUUUCCCACCGAAUAAUAUGGAGAGGAGUGAUUGUAAAUUUUAGGUCUAUAUUUUGUACCAUAUUUAUCUUGAAGCACUGCCAUAGCAUGUGAAUAGGGUAUUUUGUCCAAUUCAAAAACUCUGCACGUAUAAGAUCUUAUUUGAAGAUUGACCGUGGCAACAUCACCAUCACUAGUGGUACCUUACGAUUUUAAUAGGAGUUGUGCAUAUAGCUAAUGACGAGUUCUUCUGGUUGACAAUUUAGUCCACAAUAGCUGAUGAGUAAGUUCACAAAAUCAUCAUACGAAACACCACUUUGGACUGUCACAACUAUCAUCUCUAGCAUUUCACCCUCCUUCCAAUGACAUAUAUAUCGAUUGUUCUUCUCGAUCCAUUGACCAUGACAAUCCACCCCUAUUGUUAUUGAUCCCUCCAUUAGUGGUACCUAAAUAAAGUCAUUUGUUAAAAAAAUUUAAUAGUGAUUUCAUAGUGCCAUAUAUAAAUCUCAACAGAUGUGUAAUCUAUUGCAAUAGGUGAAAAAAAUUGCAAUAGGUAAGUGAUCAGUCGCAACAUAUUACUUACCUAUUAGGAUUCAUGUUAAUCUCCUGAAGCUGAUUUCAAAAGACGAGUCAUCUAUUGAAAUAGGUGAAUCAUAGGUAGCAACAAAGUGUAUAUCUGUUACAAAAUAUGAAGCACCUGUUGGAAUACACAUUACAGUACUUGAGCACCUUUGAAGUUGAUUCCAACAAAUGAGUGACAUGUGGCAACAGAUAAUUAACCUAUUGUGACAGAUGACUUAUCUAUUGCAAUAGAUGAUACAUCUGUUGGAAUCGAGUUUCAGGUUCUAUUGCAAUAGGUUACUAAUUUGUUGUAUAGAUAUUUACCCUAUUGCAACAAAUGACACGUCUGUUAGAAUCGAGUUCAGAUUUUGUUGCAACAAGUUACUAAUCUGUUGCAACAAAUAUUUAUCAUGUUGCACCAAAUAAAUAAUCUAUUGCAAUAGAUGGGUCAUAUGUUGCAAUAGAUAACCAAUCUAUUCGAUUUAUGUUACAACACUAGAGAACCAUAAACAUGAAUCCAACAUAUAAGUCUUCCUUGAAAUAGAUCUCUCAUCUGUUGCAACAGAUGAUUCAUCUAUUUAAACAGAUGGUUCUUAUGUUGCAUUCAUGUUCGCAUGCUAUCUAUUGUUGAAAAAAUAGUACAAUAGUAGUUACCUAGAUGACAAAUUCAACUCAAAAUCGUAAUUUGACUUAGCAAAGUCUCCUAUGAAGUAAUGCCAAAGUGGAAAGUGAUAUUCGAAAUAAAAUUUGUCCUAAGAAAUUGAUCAAAUAGCAGUAGUAGCGGUUACAACAACAACAAUAAUUGUCAACAAGAAGAAGAUGAAGAUGAUAAUGAAUUAGAAGAUGAUGAUAAUGAAGCAAAAGAUGAUUAAUAAAGCAGCAGCAACAAUGAACAACACAAAUCGCUAAGAGAGAGAAAACAACAAUGGAUGAGAAGAGAGAGAAACACACCCUUUUCCCUCCAUUUUUUGUUAUAUUAGGUAAAUAUUUGGAUCAAAGUGUAAAUUUAAAACCUUGUGCACUAUUCUCAAACUGAUCCAACUUUCUUAAUCCAUAAUAAAGUAAUUAUCACAUCCACUCAAUUAUUAAGACUUGUGUCACCUACACCUCAUUUUCAAACUUUUUUGUUACCUACAGCUCAAAGCCCCUAGAGACUAGGUUAUAUUUCUUCUUUAUUUACUUUUUCUAAAUCUUCCUCUACAUUUGUAUUUGUUUACGUUGUCAUGUAUGUUAUCUCUUUUAUAAUCUAUUUGUUAAAGUUUACCUUUAUAAAUUUUCAAUUUGUUGUUUUCAAUUUUAGAGUUAUAUUUCUUUUUUACUAUAUAUAUGUUUGUAUUUGUUUAUGUUUUUGUGUAUCAUCCUCUUUACCGUAGUACAUCAAAUCUCUCUACGGUGGCAAUAUUUAUUAGAAAAUUUCACGGCAUUAUAAAAUGGUGUCAUUAUACAUGUAUACUGGUAUUUGACAUUCAGAUCUCAUUUAGCUGUUAUAAAUAAAAGUAUGCAAAAUUUGAAAGAAUAUAAGAAAGACGAACACUAAUAGGUCUUUCUUCGUGAAUUUAUUAAAUAACUUAUGUAAACUAUUUAAUGACAAGUUUUUCCUUUAAAUUAUAUAUUCACACUUGAAAUUUACUGUGUGCAUGACAUUAAUGAUGAUUACCAAAAAUAUUUUAAUAUUUUAUUUUGGACAUAAUAUAUAUUUUUAACUUUGAUCCAAAUGUUGACCUAAUAUAACUAGAAAUAAAGGAAAUAAAAACGCGUAUGUUUUCUCUCUUCUUAUUAUUGUUGUUUUCUCUCUCUUUGCCAUUUUUGUUUUUCAUAGUUGUUGUUGAUUUAUUCAUCAUCUUGUGCUUCAUUAUCAUCAUCUUCCACUUCAUUAUCAUCAUCACCUUCUUUUUGUUUACCAUUGUUGUUGUUGUUACAGCUACUGCUAUCACUUAACCAAUUUUUAAGGUCAAAUUUAGUUUCGUACAUCACUUUGGCAUUAAUUCAUAGGUGACGUUGGUAAGUAUAAUUAUUUAUUUUUAGUUAAAUUUAUUAGUUGAGUACACUACUACUGUUAUUUUUGAAACAGUGGAUAGAACCAUAAACAUGAGCCCAACAACAAUUUCAUCUAUUGUGAUAGAUGAGUCAUCUAUCUUAAUGGAAGACUCAUAUGUUGGAUUUAUGCUCAUGGUUCUAUAGUACUAUAACAUGAAUCUAAAAGAUGAGUCAUCUUUUUCAACAGAUGAGUUAUCUGUUACAACAGACGAGUCAUCUAUUGACACAGAUUACUCACCUGUUGUAAUAGAACUUGAACUCGAUUCUAACAGAAGAGUCUUUUAUUGCAACAGGUAACUAAUCUGUUGCACCAGGUUAUUUAUAUAUUGCAACAUGUCACUCAUCUGUUAGAAUCACCUUCAAAGAUUCUAUAGUACAUCCCAAUAAGUGAUUCAUCUGUUGUAAUAUAUGAGUUAAAUUUUCCAAUAGAUGACUCAUCUGUUGGAAUAAGCAUCAGAUCCUAUAGUAGUGUACCAUGAAUUACCAAUAGGUGAUUCAUCUAUUGCAACAUAUAAAUAAUCUAUUACAACAUAUUAUUCAUUGAUUACAAUAGAUUACUUAUCUGUAGGGGUUCAUGUAACGGCAUUAUAAAAUCACUAUUAAUUUUAUUAUGAUGUCAUUAUUAAUUUUUUUUAACAAAUGUAUUUAUUUAGGUACUACUAAUGAAGGGAUCAAUAACAAAUGUCUUUAUUUAGGUACGAUAAGUUGUAAUAGCAAAACUUUGUUGUUGUUUGUUAUGGACUUUGAUAUUUUUAAAUCAUUAUUGUGAACGUAAAUGUUAUUAUUUAUUAUAUAAAAUAUCUUUUUUAUUAACUUGUGCAUCAAUAAAAGAGGUAAAAUAUGAACUAAAUACAAUAGACCACAAAAUUGUUUUCAGUAGACUACCCAUCUAUUGCAAUAGAUAGACAUUUGAUGAAAGAACACAAUAUAGUUCAUCAAAUUGGAAUGUGUUCCGCCAAUAGAUGACCAAUCUGUUGCAACAGAUGGGUAAUCUUUUGGAGAAACACAAAACAAUUCCCACGACAAACCUAACAGAUGACCAAUCUGUUUAAAUAGAUGGUCCAUCUGUUGAAAUAACUCAAAACUCUUGUUAUUUCUACUUGAUUCAAAAUUGUUCCUUAUGUCCAAACGUCAGCAAGUUUGUUGAGAAGAAGAAAUAGAUAAAAUGAAAAUUAAAUAAUAAUUAAAAAGUCAAACUCGACCAAACAUAAAUUUUUCAUUAAACAAUAACAAAAUUCAUUAGGUAGGUAGAUCCGAUAUAGAAAAAAAAAAUACAUAUACUAAAAUAAAAAAACAUCACCUAAUUAUUAUUAUUAUUAUUAUUAUUAUUAUUAUUAUUAUUAUUAUUAUUAUUAUUAUUAUUAUUAUUAUUAUUAUUAUUAUUAUUAUUAUUAUUAUUAUUAUUAUUAUUAUUAUUAUUAUUAUUCUCAGUCGGUCAAUCGUCAACCGGCAGCAGCAGGGCACUUCUCAGCCUGAGUAUCUCUGGAAGCAUUCCAGGAUUAUCCAUAUCUAGAACAUGCAUGAAUUGACAAAAACAUAAACACAAAAGUAAAGAAAGGAGUCUUAAUGUAAUACAACAUAUACUAUUGAUAUGAUCCUAGCCAUGAGGACUCAAAUCAAAGUGUGGAAAGUAAAGAUAAUGGAUAGAUAGAUGAUAGAUAACUAGGUAGAUAUAAAGAAGAUGAAAGAAUCAAGAACUAAAGAGCAUAUUAAGCUCCAAAACCCUUAAUUCAAUAAUCCACGAGCACCUAACUCAUACGAUGACUGUAUGGGAAUUAAAUCUCUCCUAUAACCAUCAUUUAUAAAUGAGAUUCAACAUUCGCCUUUCCAGGCUAUCAAGACACUCUCAAAAGAGUUCAUCAUAAUCAAUAUUCAAAAACAAAACUAAGGAAAAAAAUACCUAAGGUUAUCUAUUUAUAGUAUCAAGCUAAACUAUUACAUUAGGACUAAAAGUGGCCUAUAAACUAAGUGGAAUAAGCUGGGAAUAAGACCAACAUAUAUGACCAAUUCUGUCCAAGUUUGACAGCACAGGCGAUGCACUAAGGUGACGGGUCAUAGCUUCUUUGGUGACUCUAUGGCAAUAACAUUUUUCUAUGUUUAGCCUCCCAAUAAAUCUUCAUCACUUGGAACUCUUUGGUAGCCAUCAAGGUAAGCCUCCAAGAAAUCUUCCAUACAUGGAUUUGCUCUAUUGUGUGCUCAAAAUGGGUCCUUUAUGCAUGUUCUUGUGCCCUCGAGGUGAUCAAGGAUUUAUUCUUUAUGUUUUGGCCUUAAAUGACAUUCUAAAAGGUGUUGAUACCAGUCAGGAUCGUAUCAUCCUCCCCUUAUUGAAAAGGAUUCAACUUUUAAUUCAAACCUUACAAAACCAAAGGAAGGACAAAUAAGCACAACAUCCUCAUGGCAUGAAGGUUAGGGUUAGUAUAAUAAAUAACAUCAUCAUGCCAAGGUGGUACACACUUGAAAUAUAACCAUGAAUCCUUUAUUUUAAUCAUGAAAAACUUAGUAAAAAUGGCACAAAGGGAGUGGCUAUGACAGUCACUAAGAGAUUGUAAUACCCCCUACUCUUCUUAUCUUAAAUUCGUCCUUAGAAUAUUAAGGGAUAGAUUCCAAACUGAAUAGCAUGUAUUUCAUAUGGAAUUCUUCAGAUUUAUACUUUUCAUGGUAUGGGAAAUUGAAUAAUCUUUCCAUCGAUACCAAAUUUACCCAAUUCCGGCACUCGGUAGAGGAGUUAAGAUGUUUUUAAGUUGAUAGUAUGCCACCUGGGCAGUCACCACAUCGCGAAGAUGGCUAAAUUCAUAAUUUUCAUUUCCCAGUGUACCUCCACGAUAUUGGCGCAUAACGGACAGGUCCAUUUUCCCAUUUUUCAAUUACCAGUAGUCCAACACUAUAGUGGUGCAUCGCGCCGAAGGCCAAAAUAGCAUUCCUAUAGGAAACCGCGAUGGUGGCACGUUGCAUUGAAGUUUUAGGUCCCAAUUGUCGAAAUCUAGUGGGACAAAUACGAUAGCUCUACAUUGCGGAGGCCCCCAAUUUUCCAGUCGUCAAAUAUAAGUGAGCCACUACAAUAGUGGCACGUUGCGGUGGACCAUUAAAUUGGGACCCAGUUAUAUUUUUUCAGCUUUGUUUAGGAGUUUAAAGAGGGUGUUUUGGACCUUUUCAAAGCUCCCAAUCCAUCUAAAACACAAGAUUUUUCAUACUCAAAGCAUUUGGUGCUCAUUAUUCAUCAUUCUCUUAAAAUAAAAACCCUAAUGUAAUACCUCGGGAAAUUUUUUGUUGAAAUUUUGGGCAUAAACGUGUUGAGUUCUAUCUUCUAGAAUGAAUUAUAAAUUUUCCAUGCGGAACGUCUUAGAUUAUGACCCACCAUUUUGUAGAGUAUCGAAUAAGCUUUCCAAUGAUAUGUGGAUCAUCCAAAACGUACACCCGAGUGAUGAGUUAUGAACAUUCCGAUCGAAUCGUGAAUAGUAGUGAACAGUAAAACGUGCAGGAAAAAAAAGUACGAAGGCCUGGCGUAUUUUUUCUUCAACUUUAAAUGAUCAUAACUCCCUUUUCAUAAUUAUCUGGGUGAUCUACUAUAUAUCAACGGAAAGCUCUACGAGUCCUCUUUCAGAUAAAAUUGGUUUCAUCCAAUUUGUCUAUCGGAGCAAAAAGUUAUGGUUGAUCUACUUCAGCUAUCAAAAGUGAAUUUUUGGAUCAACUUUAAAUGAUCAUAACUCCUUGUACACAAUCAUCUAGGUAAGAUACUAUAUAUCAACGGAAAGAUAUGAGAGUCUUCUUUCUAAUGAAAUUAGUUUCAUCCAAUUUGGAUAUCAGAGUAAAAUGUUAUGGUUGAUCUACUUCAGACUAUCAAAACAGUCCACCAAAGGACAAAUGCGAGAAUUAUCUAAUUUUUAGGGGCGUUUUGGUCAUUCCCCCCUCACCCAAAAUCCAUCCAAACCCUAUAUUAAGGCCUAUUAGAAGCAUUAUAUGUUAUAUUUCAUCAAAUUCCCUAAAAAAGAAAAUCCUAAGCUCCUACAUCCAACUUCAAGAACCUCCAAAGUUCACCAUUAAUUCUACAAAUUUAUUCAAGAUUCAAAGUUCCUAGUUCAAGAACUCCAAGAACCAUCAUUCAAAGGCACGAUUAANNNNNNNNNNNNNNNNNNNNNNNNNUAUGAUGAUUAUUAUGAAAUCUUGAUGUUUAUGAUUUUGAAAGAUGAAUUUACAUGUGUGGAGAUAUAAAGCAUGAAUUUGAACGAUAUUUAUCAUGAUUUUGAUACUUGGGUCGUGAACCCCAUUUGAAAUUGUGUUCUUAAGAAAAUGUGUGUUAUAAGCACGUUGAUGUUGAAUAUUUGAGAUGUUUUGAAUGAUUUGACCUUUUGAUCAUGAAUGAGUUAUUUUGAACUCGACUAUGAAAAAUCCACAUUUUUAUUAAAUAUGAUAAAGGGGUAGUAAAUUGGCUCCCGAUGAAAAUUGUUGAAGUGUUUACUGUGGAUUUUCUUUAAUGUGAGCAUGGGGCUGAUUUAAAUUUUUGAGCUAAUUCCUAGAGUAAUCUUUAUCACCGAGUGGGAGGUAUAAAGUGAUCUUACUUUCCUAGAACUACGUGUCCCCAUAGAAUAUGAGCCUGAGGCUGAUUUAUAUAGUGAUCACUAGUGUUUUUGGAUUGAUAUUGGAAGUACUACUCCGAUGGAAAGGAUAGGACGGCUCUCCCCAAUGUGGAUUAUACGUUGGACUCCAUGUAGCUCACAUUAUUAUGUCGGUUAUAGGAUCUCCCAAAGUGUGUGUGUGUUUCCUUGUGUCUAUGGUGAACGGUGAAGUGAUUUAAAAGUGGAAUUGUGAAAGUUAUUCUUUCGAAAGAUUUAAAUGAUAUUUACAUUAUGAGAAUUGAUAUUCUUGAUGAACUGAAAGUGAUUGACAAAUUAUAUGAUGACUCACAUGUGUGAUUAUACUUAUUUUCUUGAAAUGUAGGUACAAGGUAUAGUUGAACCUUCGGAUCCAGUCAGUUUGAGGUAUCCAGCCAGGUGAUGAGUCCUUUUGAUUCAAGGGCUUGGGUUAGUUGUGUAAAGUUUAUAGUGUUUUAUUUUCUUUAUUCAGUCAUAUUGAGUUGGGGUAGUCGGGAGUCAUGACCCAUCUACCUAUAGUCAGUACUAGUAGAGGCUUCAUAGAUAGACAGUAGAAGUUGAUGUAUUUUGUUUCAUUUCUGGUUGUAAAGGCAGAAUUGUAAUCCUGUAAAAUUCCAUUUUUGUUUCGAUCAGAUUCAGAAAAGAGUUAAUUUUUGCUGAUUUGUAUAGAUUUAUAUUUUUAUUCAGUUGCUUAUGAGUUAUGCCAGUAGAAGGGUUAGCUUGGGGUCACUUGUGACUCUAAGCACCGUGUGACAUCUCAGGACCCGAUUUCGGGGUGUUACACCUAAUCUCCAAAGCUUCUUCUCCAAGAAAUCAAAAUCCUCCAUUGAUUCUCUGAGAAAGCUUAAAAUUCAGGAUUUACAGGGCAAGAAAAUCAAGAACCCAUCAUCAAGAACCCAAUAGGAAUCCAAAAUUCAAGAUUCCUUCAUCUAAUCAUCCAACAAGGUAUGUGGGGCUUUUCAACAAGGAUCUUCUUUUAUCCUUGUGCCCAAAAUUAAUUUUUAACCAAAAAUUUACAUAAUUUUGAAUGCGAUUAGAUAAGAUUUGAAUUAGGGUCCAUACCCAUUAUUGCUAUUUGCAAAGUUUUGAGAUUUUGAGAUAUUUUGAAGAUGAAUCGUAUGUGUAUUUUCAUACUUUCUUGCCUAUUACAGUAAAUUACAUAUUUUGAGAUGAAUUAUCAUUGUUUUCAUUAUCAAGCAUGAUUAUUAUGAUGUUUUGAAAUGAUUUUGAUACAUGGGUUAUUAACUUAAGAUUGAAUAUUGUUAUUUUGAGAAAGAUGAUGCUUUAAGCAUCUUAUGAGCUUAUUAUAUCAGAUUUACAAUAAAGUUUUGAUCUUUUGAUCCUUAGAUGAGUUUUGGAAUCCACUUUACAGAUUUAUUAUAGAUUACAAAAAGCAAAAUUGCUUCAUUUAUAGAUUUACUAAGAUAAAUGCAUAACUAGUUUCAUAAUAAACCCUUAUACGAGUUUUAAAGUGGAUUUCCAUGAGAUGAGUGUAGCAAAUUAAAUGGAGUAGUAUUUAGCACCGAGUUGGGUAUGAUUCCAAGAUCUCAUGCCCCAGAACUACGUGCCAUCAUAGGAUUGCUAUUAAGAGCCCAUUAUGGGUAGAGUUAUGAUCACUUAAGCUAAGGUUAUACUCUAUGGCAAGAGUAUGACACGUCUCUCCAACGUGAGAUUUCUUCCUUAGGAGGGCGAGACAUUGGACUCCAUGUAGCUCGCAUGGUUUACGUCGGUUAAGAGAACCUCCCUUGCAGAACAAUUUCUCCCUAAAUGUUUAAAAAGCGUAACAACAAUGAUUUUAAGAUAAAGUAUUCUCCUUAAUAGUAAAAGAAGAACAUAAAAUCUUUUAGAAAACUAAGUGUAAAGGCUCACAAGUUACUCAGAUGAUACCUUACAGAAAAGAUAAUAGUUACAGAUUUUAACUUUCAUAUUUCAAAUUUAGUAGUGAGUCCUUCUACACUUAGACAAAAUGAUUUAAAGUUAUAAUACACGUAUAACUUUUAGAAUUAAAUGUUAUGGCUCACAAGAUUUAUAAAGUAUGUUUUGCUUCUUAUUGUUACAUAUUUUAGUAUUUUAGAUAUCCCAACUUAUGUGAUUCAUUUACAUUUAGCAUGCAUUAUUUUAUAAAUGAUGAUUAUGAGAUAAUAUUGUACUUAUGCAUAUCACCCCUAUAUACUCAGUACAUCCUUAAAUUACUGAUCCACAUAUACAUUUAUGUGCUACAUUGUCUCAUAAUGUAGGUUCAGGUGUUCAGUGUUAGUAGCGUGAGUAGUUCGAGCAUCUCCAUCUACAUCGACAGUUGGUGAGUCCUCAUAGUUUGGGGACUUAUUCAUUCAGAUUUUGAAGUUUAUCAGUUUAUGAAAUUUAGCAUUUCCUUUCAGAUAGUUCAAGUUAGCUAGGUGUUUGUCCCAGUGGCUCUCAAGUAUUAGUAGUAGAGGCUUGUCAGACUACUUGUUUGGAUAAAGAUUAUUCAGUUUUGAUGUCAUAUAUAAUAUGUUCAGAUUAUUCUUAGAUAUUAUAGACAAUUUCUACAUUCAGUAUGACUUUUAUGUUUAUAUUUCCUUUGUUAUAAGAUUUAGGCUCAGUAGCUGGCAUACAGGGUUAGCUUAAGGCUACUCGUAGUCUUGAGAACUGGGUGACGUCUCAGGAUCAGAUUUUGAGGUGUUACAAACUUGGUAUCAGAGCCUAAGGUUUUUAAGAGUCCUGGGGAGGCAGGCAAGCCACGUUAUGUAGAUUCUUAGUCAUGAGUGUGAAGCACGCCACAUUUAUGAAAAAUAGGUUAGGGAACUUUCUUAGGAAAUCAUCUCUUUCUUUCAUGAUCUGUAGUGCUUAAAGUAUUUCUAUCUGCUUUUAACUUAUGCUUUCAUGUGACAGUUGAAAAUGCCUCUUCAUUGAGCUAAUGCCCGCAAAAAUGAUAACCAGCUACCUCAGUCCAUUGAUCUUUUGAAUGAGAAUGUGUCACAUGUAGAGUUUCGGGAUGCCUUUUAGGUGCUAGCCCAAGUUAUGAUAGCUAAUAUUCAGUGAAACUGUUAGGCUGCAGUCCCACCUCAGCAAAAUAGGGACCUACCCAUAGCCAAAAUUUGGGAUUUUAUGAGAAUGAACCCGCCAGAGUUCUUUGGGUCGAAGGCAGGUGAGGAUAGGGGUGGGCAUGAUAUGGUAUAUGCCAAAUUACCAUAUUGAACCAAAAUUUUUGAUACCGUGGUUUUUGGUAUUAUGGUAUUUGAUAUGGUAUAUGGUUUACAUUUUAAACAUUUUUGGUAUAUGGUAUAUGGUAUUCGGUAUUUACAAAUGACAUACCGAAAUACCGAAUACCAUACCAAAGUAUAUAUAGUUACAUAAGUAACUUAUAUAUAUAUUUAUAUAUAUAUAUACACAAAAAAAAUACUUAGUAUUACUAUAAAAAUAUUUAGACAUUGAAACUUUCACUUCUCUAUCUUGAUUGAAAUGUCUUUUUGGUGUAAUUGACUAAUAAAAGGAAUUGUUUGUACUUCUUUUUCAAUAUUUCUAUAUGUGUAAUGGGUAUUUUUGGUACAAUUAAUACAUGCUUUUAAAAAUUCGACGUAAUAAUACUAUAGUAUACGAGUAUAUUUUGUCAAAGUUUAACUAACUAUAGUUACCGAUUACCAUACCGCAAAAUACCAAAACCAUACGUAAAAAUACCGAAACAUACAAAAUUAAUAUGGUAUGGUAGUGGCAUAAUGUUUUAAAAAACUGCAUACCAAAAUUAUCGUACUAAAUUUUCAAAUACCAUACCAUACCACACCAUGUGAACACAACAUCAAAUCUCCCUUGAAGCAAUUCAUCAUCAAAAUCCUCACUUGCAAUAAGGACCUGUGCUCAGUUGUCGUUUGAGUCUUAAGCUCUUAUUGUAUUUGAUUUUUUGUUUUGUAAUUUGUAAAUGUAUAGCCUACUGCUCUUGUUCGUUAAUAGUAUGUGUGUUUUAUUGUUAAUUGUGUCAUCUAGAGUUAAUUGACAUUGAAGCUAAAGUUAGCUUGAUAGUGAUUUAGUUAGAGUUAGUUGUGUCAGUUAGUGCAAUUAAGUUAUUACAUCGAUGUUUAUUGUAAUAGAGUUAUUACAAGAAGAAGUGGAUAUUAUCUUCCUUCUACGGGUACUAAAAUCUGUAUAUAAGCAAUAGAAACUUCAAAUAAAGUUCAAGUUCAAGACAAGACCUUAUGAAGUUUCUUAACACCUUCAAUACAAGAUUAUGAAUAAUCUAUCUUAGAAGUGUGUUAAUAUUCAGAAAAAAAUGAAACAAAAAUUUAGAUCAAGUCCCCCGACAUCACGGAGUGUCCUUAAGGAAUAAUUCCCCUCACUGUACCCGAGGUUAUGGAAUCUUCCUCCCAGGAUAAAAUGGCCUUCAAUUCGAACAAUAAUGGUAGCUCAAAUUGACGGAUUCUUCAAACUCACUCAACAGUUAGAUUGAUCACACAGAAUAGUUGAAGACAAGAAGAGUUUGUGUUUCAGAACUUUUUUCAUAUCUAAACCUCUGGAUAAAAGCAGGUUUAUAUAGCCAUAACAUGCCUCUUCUGAAAAGUGGCAAUGGUUCACUUAAAAAGGUGUAACCUUUCCUGAAAAAUCAUGUCUAUUCGUCCAAAUAGUGUGUCUUUUCUGAACAAACAUGCCUUUCCAUGAAUCAAUGUGUCACUUUACUGAAUGGUUAGAUCUUUCUCAAACAUCAGUUCAUAACAUUGCAUCAGUUCAGUUCAAAAUAGUGCAUCAGUUCACUGUAUACAUGCAUAUAAAUGGAGGAUAAAACACAGAAAAAUUUUCUGCGUUUCUGUCAUUUUUCCUUUGGUAUUUUCAAAUCAAAUUUUGAUUAAAUAAAUUUUGUCCAAAAAGAUAGAUCUCAUCGAUCGAUCAUUUGACAAAUCCAAAUCCAAAUCUGAAGCCGAGCCAAGCAAGCGAGCGACGACGUGAGGCACCACCUUAUUCUUGCCUCACUAUCCAUGUGGAGUAAGUAUUCAUUAUUAAAAACACUCCAAAGUUCUCUUCUCCCAUCAAUGUGGGAUAUUUAGUGAACUUUCCAAUUUGGGAGUACACUAUCUAAAUUAGUGUCUCCUUCCCUCCACCAUUCUUCUCUCCAUUUUUCAUUCACACUUCUUCCAUACAUAUUGAACCCAAUAGUGGAUUACGUGGCUAAUCCUAGCUAGAACCAUGUAGUCUAUUUUUAGAAUGAUUUUUAGCACUUAUCUAUUUUCUCUUAAAAAAUCAACAUUGUGUGGCUAUGAAGAAUAGAACCCGUGACCACUUCUUUACAAAGCACUUGACAAUACCAACAAGACAAGCCUCCAUGUAAUACUAACAUUUGUUAGAUAUAUAUAAUUAUAGUUUACUCUUUGAAUAUUGAUUCCACUAUCCUAAAAUAUCGUACGGAGUAUACGUUGUUCAAAAUAAGUUGGCACCCGGAGCUUUCAAAUCUUGGAUCCGCCUCUGUCCUACAUGUUUUAUCUUUUGUAUGCAUGCAUUUUUUGAUCGACAUAGACAAUUAUUAAAUACGGCCACUUGCUUCAGAAGGUCAAUAAAUAAUAUCUACUCUGUUUAGGUAUGACAUAUGACAAUUAAACGUUAGUCCCCAGAAGGCAUAUUCAAAUGCAUGUCCUAUAUAAGAAGAAAAAAUCAUUAGACAUAUAAUUUUAUCAAUAAUCUGUUAAGUCCUUAGUUUUGAUGAUUGACAAAUCUCCAACCGUGAAACCUGAUUCAAGGAUAUUACCUUAAUGAUAAAAUUGUAACUGCUCAGGGACCAGGUUCAUCGCAUCCACAUCUUUUUCACUCAGUCAGCAUACAACUGGAAAAAGUACCGUUUGGCAAAAAGUUGGUGGCAAUGUUGCAAUACUUUUUGUCCCAGCCGAUGAGAGGAGUUCCAAGUCUUCGUGUCUUAUAUAUAUGAAACAUGUUAAAAUAAGAAAACCUAAGCUUCCAUAUGCAAACAACAUCAAAUCUCCCUUGAAGUAAUUCAUCAUCCAAAGCCUCACUUGCAACAAGGACCUGUGCUCAAUUGUUGUUUGUGUCUUAAGCUCUUGUUGUAUUUGAGUUUUUGUUUUGUAAUUUGUAAAUGUUUAGCCUACUACUCUUGUUCAUUAAUAGUAAGUGUGUUUCAUUGUUAAUUGUGUCAUCUAGAGUUAAUUGACAUUGAAUCUAAAGUUAGCUUGAUACUGAUUUAGUUAGAGUUAGUUGUGUCAGUUAGUGCAAUUGAGUUAUUGCAUUAGAGUUUAUUGUAAUAGUGUUAUUACAAGUAGAAGUUGAUGUUAUCAUACUUCUACGGGUGCUAAAAUUUGUAUAUAAGCAACAGAAACUUCAAUGAAAGUUCAAGUUCAAGACAAGAACUUAUGAAGUUUCUUAACACCUUCAACACUAGAUUAUGAAUAAUCUAUCUUAGAAGUGUGUUAAUAUUCAAAAAAAAAUGAAACAGAAAUUUAGACCAAGUCCCCCGACUUCAUGGAGUGUCCUUAAGGAAGAAUUUCUCUCACUGUACCCGAGGUUAUAGAAUCUUCCUCCCAAGAUAAAAUGGCCUUCAAUCCGAAAAAUAGCGGUACCUCAAAUUGACGGAUUCUUCAAACUAACUUAAAAGUUUGAUUGAUCACACAGAAUUUUUGAAGACAAGAAGAGUUUGUGUUUCAAAAAAUUUUUCAUAUCUAAACCUGUGGAUGAAAGCAGGUUUAUAUAGCCAUAAUAUGCCUCUUCUAAAAAGUAGCAAUGGUUCACUUAAAAAGGUGUAACCUUUCCUGAAAAAUCAUGUCUAUUCGUCCAAACAGUAUGUCUUUUUCGAACAAGCAUGCCAUUCCAUGAAUCAGUGUGUCAUUUUACUGAAUGGUUGCAUCUUUCUCAAACAUCAGUUCAUAACACUGCAUCAGUUCAGUUUGAAACAGUGCAUCAGUUCACUGUAAACAUGCAUAUAAAUGGAGGAUAAAACACAGAAAAAUUUUCUGCGUUUCUGUGAUUUUCCCUUUAGUAUCUUCGGAUCAAAUUUUGAUUAAAUAAAUUUUGUUCAAAAAGAUAGAUCUCAUCGAUCGAUCAUUUGACAAAUCCAAAUCUGAAGCCGAGCCGGGCGAGCAACGACGCAAGGAACCACCUUGUUCUUGCCUCACUAUCCAUGUGGAGUAAGUAUUCUUUAUUAAAAACACUCCAAAGUUCUCUUCUCCCACCAAUGUGGGAGAUUUAGUGAACUUUCCAAUUUGGGAGUACACUUCCUAAAUUAGUGUCUCCUUUCCUCCACCAUUUUUCUCUCCAUUUUCCAUUCACACUUCUUCCAUACAUAUUGAACCCAAUAGUGGAUUAAGCGGCUAAUCCUAGCUAGGACCAUGGAGUUUAUUUUUAGAAUGAUUUUUAGCACUUAUCUAUUUUCUCUUAAAAAUAAUAACAUAGUGCGGCUAUGAAGAAUAGAACCCGUGACCUCUUCUUUACAAAGAACUUGACAAUACCAACUAUGAAAGUCUUCAUGUAAUACUAACACUUGUUAGAUAUAUAUAAUUAUAGUUUACUCUUUGAAUAUUGAUUCCACUAUCCUAAAAUAUCGUAUGGAGUAUAUGUUAUUGUUCAAAAUAAGGUCCCACCCGGAGCUUUUGAAUCUUAGAUCCGCCUCUGCCCUACAUGUUUUAUCUUUUGCAUGUAUGCAUUUUUCGAUCCACAUAGACAAUUAUUAAAUACGGCCAGUUACUUCAGAAGGACAAUAACUAAUAUUUACUCAGUUUAGGUAUAACAUAUGACAAUUAAAUGUUAGUCCCCAGAAGCCAAAUCAAAUGCAUGUCCUAUAUAAGAAGAAAAAAACAUUAGACAUAUAAUUUUAUCAAUGAUCUGUUAAGUCCUUAGUUUUGAUGAUUGACAAAUCUCCAACCGUGAAACCUGAUUCAAGGAUAUUACCUUAAUGAUAAAAUUGUAACUGCUCAGGGACCAGGUUCAUCGCAUCCACAUCUUUUUCACUCAGUCAGUACACAACUGGAAAAAGUACCGUUUGGCAAAAAGUUGGUGGCAAUGUUGCAAUACUUUUUGUCCCAGCCAAUGAGAGGAGUUCCAGGUCUUCGUGUCUCAUAUAUAUGCAACAUGUUACAAUAAGAAAAUGUAAGCUUCCAUGUGAAAACAACAUCAAAUCUCCCUUGAAGCAAUUCAUCAUCAAAAGCCUCACUUGCUAUAAGGACCUGUGCUCAGUUGUCGUUUGUGUCUUAAGCUCUUAUUGUAUUUGAUUUUUUGUUUUGUAAUUUGUAAAUGUACAGCCUACUGCUCUUGUUCAUUAAUAGUAUGUGUGUUUUAUUGUUAAUUGUGUCAUCUAGAGUUAAUUGACAUUGAAGCUAAAGUUAGCUUGAUACUGAUUUAGUUAGAGUUAGUUGUGUCAGUUAGUGCAAUUAAGUUAUUGCAUCGGUGUUUAUUGUAAUAGAGUGAUUACAAGAAGAAAUGGAUAUUAUCUUCCUUCUACAGGUACUAAAGUUAAAUAACUUUUAAUCUUUUCUUUUUGUUUUUAGUUAACAAUGAAGUUUUUAUUACUUCAAAUUGCCAAUCGAGUGAACUUUAACUUGUGAUGAAGAUUUUAUGUCUUCUAAUCACUAGUUAAAUUCAAGCAGAGUAGAAAACUUAAAGCUUUAAUCUCCAAAAACAAGUAAUACAGAUUCUGUAAAUUUAUUUUUUUAACAUAGUUAUCUUCUUUCUACGGGUUCAAAAAUUUGUAUAAAAGCGACAGAAAGUUCAAAGAAAGUUCAAGUUCAAGCCAAGAACUUAUGAAGUUUCUUAACACCUUCAACACUAGAUUAUGAAUAAUCUAUCUUAGAAGUGUGUUGAUAUUCAGAAAAAGAUGAAACAAAAAUUUAGACAAAGUCCCCCAACUUCACAGAGUGUCCUUAAGGAAUAAUUCCCCUCACUGUACCUAAGCUUAUGGAAUCUUCCUCCCAAGAUAAAAUGGCCUUCAAUCCGAACAAUAGCGGUACCUUAAAUUGAUGGAUUCUUCAAACUCACUCAACAGUUAGAUUGAUCACACAGAAUUUUUGAAGACAAGAAGAGUUUGCGUUUCAAAAAAUUUUUCAUUUCUAAACCUGUGGAUGAAAGCAGGUUUAUAUAGCCAUAAAAUGCCUCUUCUGAAAAGUGGCAAUGGUUCACUUAAAAAGGUGUAACCUUUCCUGAAAAAUCAUGUCUAUUCGUCCAAAUAGUGUGUCUUUUCUGAACAAACAUGCCUUUCCAUGAAUCAAUGUGUCACAUUACUAAAUGGUUAGAUCUUUCUCAAACAUCAGUUCAUAACAUUGCAUCAGUUCAGUUCAAAAUAGUGCAUCAGUUCACUGUAUACACGCAUAUAAAUGGAGGAUAAAACACAGAAAAAUUUUCUGCGUUUCUGUCAUUUUUCCUUUGGUAUUUUCGAAUCAAAUUUUGAUUAAAUAAAUUUUUUCCAAAAAGAUAGAUCUCAUCGAUCGAUCAUUUGACAAAUCCAAAUCCAAAUCUGAAGCCGAGCCAAGCGAGCGAGCGACGACGUGAGGCACCACCUUAUUCUUGUCUCACUAUCCAUGUGGAGUAAGUAUUCAUUAUUAAAAACACUCCAAAGUUCUCUUCUCCCAUCAAUGUGGGAUAUUUAGUGAACUUUCCAAUUUAGGAGUACACUAUCUAAAUUAGUGUCUCCUUCCCUCCACCAUUAUUCUCUCCAUUUUCCAUUCACACUUCUUCCAUACAUAUUGAACCCAAUAGUGGAUUACGCAGCUAUCCUAGCUAGAACCAUGUAGUUUAUUUUUAGAAUGAUUUUUAGCACUUAUCUGUGUUCUCUUAAAAAAACAACAUAGUGUGGCUUUGAAGAAUAGAACUCGUGACCACUUCUUUACAAAGCACUUGAUAAUACCAACAAGACAAGCCUUCAUGUAAUACUAACAUUUCUUAGAUAUAUAUAAUUAUAGGUUACUCUUUGAAUAUUGAUUCCACUAUCCUAAAAUAUCAUACGGAGUAUACGUUGUUGUUCAAAAUAAGUUGGCACCCGGAGCUUUCAAAUCUUGGAUCCGCCUCUGUCCUACAUGUUUUAUCUUUUGCAUGCAUGCAUUUUUUGAUCAACAUAGACAAUUAUUAAAUACGGCCACUUGCUUCAGAAGGACAAUAACUAAUAUCUACUCUGUUUAGGUAUGACAUAUGACAAUUAAACAUUAGUCCCCAGAAUCCAUAUUCAAAUGCAUGUCCUAUAUAAGAAGAAAAAAAAUUAGACAUAUAAUUUUAUCAAUAAUCUGUUUAGUCCUUAGUUUUGAUGAUUGACAAACCUCCAACCGUGAAACCUGGUUCAAGGAGUUCACCUUAAUGAUAAAAUUAUAACUGCUCAGGGACGAGGUUCAUCGCAUCCACAUCUUUUUCACUCAGUCAGCAUACAUCUGGAAAAAGUACCGUUUGGAAAAAAGUUGGUGGCAAAGUUACAACACUUUUUGUCCCAGCCAAUGAGACGAGUCCCAGAUCUUCGUGUCUCAUAUAUAUGAAACAUGUUACAAUAAGAAAACCUAAGCUUCCAUAUGCAAACAACAUCAAAUCUCCCUUGAAGCAAUUCAUCAUCCAAAGCCUUACUUGCAACAAGGACCUGUGCUUAAUUGUCGUUUGUAUCUUAAACUCCUGUUGUAUUUGAGUUUUUGUUUUGUAAUUUGUAAAUGUUUAGCCUACUACUCUUGUUCAUUAAUAGUAAGUGUGUUUCAUUGUUAAUUGUGUCAUCUAGAGUUAAUUAACAUUGAAGCUAAAGUUAGCCUGAUACUAAUAUAGUUAAAGUUAGUUGUGUCAAUUAGUGCAAUUGAGUUAUUGCAUUGGAGUUUAUUGUAAUAGAGUUAUUACAAGUAGAAGUGGAUGUUAUCUUCCUUCUAUGGGUACUAAAAUCUGUAUAUAAUAAAUAGAAACUUCAAAGAAAGUUCAAGUUCUAGACAACAACUUAUGAAGUUUCUUUACACCUUUAACACUAGAUUAUGAAUAAUGUAUCUUAGAAGUGUGUUAAUAUUCAAAAAAAAAAUGAAACAGAAAUUUAGACCAAGUCCCCUGACUUCACCGAAUGUCCUUAAGUAAUAAUUUCCCUCACUGUACCCGAGGUUAUGGAAUCUUCCUCCCAGGAUAAAAUGGCCUUCAAUCCAAACAAUAGCGGUACCUCAAAUUGAAGGAUUCUUCAAACUCACUCAACAGUUUGAUUGAUCACACAAAAUAUUUGAAGUCAAGAAGAGUUUGUGUUUCAGAAAUUUUUUCAUAUCUAAACCUGUGGAUGAAAUCAGGUUUAUAUCGCCAUAACAUGACUCUUCUGAAAAGUGGCAAUGGUUCACUUAAAAAGGUGUAACGUUUCCUGAAAAAUCAUGUCUAUUCGUCCAAACAGUGUGUCUUUUCCAAACAAGCAUGCCUUUCCAUGAAUCAGUGUGCUAUUUUACUGAAUGGUUGCAUCUUUCUCAAACAUCAGUUCAUAACAUUGCAUUAGUUCAUUUUGAAAUAGUGCAUCAGUUCACUGUAUACAUGCAUAUAAAUGGAGGAUAAAACACAGAAAAUUUUUCUGCGUUUCUGUCAUUUUUCCUUUGGUAUAUUCAGAUCAAAUUUUGAUUAAAUAAAUUUUGUCCAAAAAGAUAGAUCUCAUCGACCAAUUAUUUGACAAAUCUAAAUCCAAAUCUGAAGCCGAGCUGAGCGAGUGACGACGACGUGGGGAACCACCUUGUUCUUGCCUCACUAUCCAUGUGGAGUAAGUAUUCUUUAUUAGAAACACUCCAAAGUUCUCUUCUCCCACCAAUGUGGGAGAUUUAGUGUACUUUCCAAUUUGGGAGUUUCUAAAUUAAUGUCUCUUUUCCCCCAUCAUUUUUCUCUCCAUUUUCCAUUCAUACUUAUUUCAUAUAUAUUGAACCCAACAAUCCCCCACAUGAAUAGGGAAUGGCUAUUUUUCAUAAAAGUUUUAUGGACAAGUAUGUGAUCAUCUAGCAAAGACUGAUUGCACUGGAUGAGUGGGUUUCCCUUUCAACUUUCCAUAGUGAACAUGCAUCGGAUGCACUCGGUCAAUUGGUAGAUUUAAUAUAUUUGAACCGUCGAGCUUUAAUGUACACCUAGACAACACAUGUCACACUACCAUCCUUUUACCAUUUAUGGUUCUCACGAUUUUGUUCUUUUCAGCCAUGAACAUGUCCCGAUUUCAUGAGGCUUAGAGAACAGGCCUUUACUAACAUACUCUUUCAAGCGGCUUCCACUUCACCCUCACUUAGGUAAUUUCUAAACAUUCAAUCCUAUAGAUUAAACUAUUUGGUCAAAUCUGUCAAAUUUAGAUAAUCAUUAAAAGACUUUUAACCUUAAGUCUUAUCCUUGUUUACUAAAAAUUGUCUACAUCAUGAGAAUGGGUUGGAUAAUUGACAAUGUUGAACUUGUCAAACACAAAUUUAUUUGAUCUCCUUGAACCUAGCUCUUGGGAUCUCUAGUCUUCUAGGUAGAGUUACCGCCAUACUGACUUGUCCUAGGCCGUAAACCCAUUCCCUUAGAUGUUCUUUCCACUCUUUCUCUAGAUAGGCCUUUCGUAAGUGGAUGCGACACAUUAUCCUUUGACUUUACGUAGUCAAAAGUGAUAAUUCCACUAGAGAGAAGUUCCCUAAUGGUAUUAUGUCUCCGUCGUAUGUGAUGAGAUUUACCAUUAUACAUCAUGCUCCCUGCCCUACCUAUUGCCACUUGGCUAUCACAGUAUAUACAUACUGGUGCCACUGGUUUGGGCCCAUACGAAAUGUCUUCCAAGAAAUUCCGGAGCCAUUCUGCUUCUUCACCAGCUUUAUCCAAUGCUAUAAAUUCAGAUUCCAUUGUAGAGAAAGCAAUACAAGUCUAUUUGGAUGAUUUCCAAGAGACUGCUCCUCCACCAAUAGUAAAUACAUAUCCACUUGUGGAUUUUACUGCGUUUGAUCCGAUGAUCCAAUUUGCAUCUCUAUAUGCUUCAAGUACUGUAGGAUAUUUAUUAUAAUACAAGUCUUAGUCUUGAGUGUAUUUAAGAUACCCUAAAACUCUUUUCAUUGUAUUCCAAUGAGUUUUGUUGGGAUUACUCGUGUACCGACUCAAUUUACUAAUAGCGCAUGAUAUGUCUGGUCGUGUAUAAUUCAUUAUAUACAUUAAACAUCCCAAUACUCUUGCGUACUCCAAUUUUGAGUCACUUUCACCUUCAUUCUUUCGAAGUGCAAAGCUCACAUCCAAUGGAGUUUUGGCAACACCGAAUUUCAUAUACUUGAACUUGUCAAGUACAUUUUUCAUAUAAUAAGAUUGUGACAAUGCCAACCCUUGUGAAGUUCUAUGGAUUAUUAUACCUAAGAUUACAUCUACAACUCCAACAUCUUUCAUAUCAAACUUUCUUUCAAGCAUUCGUUUUGUUGCAUUUAUGUCAAAAAUGUCUCUGCUGAUGAUCAACAUAUCAUCCACAUAAACAAAAAAUAACUUGGUGAUUUGGAGUGUCUUUAAUAUAAACACAUUUAUCAUAUUCAUUUAUCUUGAACCCAUUUGCCAACAUGGUUUGGUUAAACUUUGUACGUCAUUGUUUAGGUGCUUGCUUUAGUCCAUAUAAUGACUUAAUAAGUUUACACACCUUAUUUUCCUUUCCUGGAACCACAAAACCCUAAAGCUGUUCCAUGUAUAUUUCUUCCUCCAAUUCUCCAUUUAGGAAAGUAGUUUUCACAUCCAUUUGAUGGAUUUCAAGACCAUAUACCGCAGCCAAGGCAAUUAACACUCGAAUCGAUGUUAUCCUUGUUACUGGCGAGUAUGUAUCGAUGUAAUCAAGGCCUUCUUUUUGUUUGAAUUCUUUUACUACAAGUCUUGACUUGUAUUUUUCAAUAGUACCAUCCAUUUUCAUCUUCCUUUUAAAUAUCCAUUUAGAACCUAAAGGUUUAUUUCCUGGAGGAAGGUCAACCAAUUCUCACAUAUGGUUGCUUAAGAUUGAAUAAAUCUCACUAUUGACUACCUCUUUCCAAAAGGCUGAGUUCGAAGAUGCCAUCGCUUUCUUAAAUGUUUGAGGCUCAUUUUCUAAGAGAAAUUUUACAAAAUUUGAUCCAAACGAAGUAGACGUUCUUUGACGUGUGAUAUGAUACAAAUUUGGUACGUAUCAAAAACAAGCCAAAAAUAGUCCACAAAUAAAGGGAAACCUAAGAGCUCAACAAACACCAAAUCUCAGUUCCAACAACAUCAGGAAACAAGGUGUAAAUGACACCAAAAUCACUAACAACAACAAGAGAUAAACAACAAUAACAAGAGGAACAACACUACAAUAACAAUAAUCCAACGGUUACAUGAUUACAAGAACAACAAGAACCAAAUGGUUCACUAGACUACACAACUAGUACAUGAUAUGUAAAGAUAGGAAGUGAGACAUACACUAUUACAAGGUCAAGAACCCAAAGAUGUAUUAAAUCUUAAGGACCCCUAAGACUUACAAUAGCAACACCAUACUCUUACGUGACACAAGAGAGAUUCCACCACUUAAGCACCAACGUUUCCAAGCAAUACACAAUCACAAGUGAAUCUACACUUGUUCAUGUCCUAGUUUAGGCCUAGAGACCCUCUCUCUCAAGAGAUGUGUUCUUUCAACAAUAUUCAACAAAAACUAAUGAACUAAAACCCUAUAUUAUUAUAUUUAUAGUACUUUACAAAUAAAAAGAUAAAAUGACAAAAAGGCCCUUUAAUGACCAAGAAGGCAAAUAGGCACCCAUGGAGUGUUUUUAGGGGCGGUUUGGAGCCCUUUAAACACUUCAACUCAUACACCUCUGAGGUUACAUCCAAAAUACUCAAAAACGUUCAUCUUCAUGAUUGUUCUUGUAUCAUCCUCUCCAUCUUGAGAGGAAUUUGACCUCAAAUUCAUGGCACUAGCCAAAUGAUAAUGGCUCCAAAAUAGUCCACAAAAUAAGAAGAAACCGAGAACACAACAAUUUCAAGUCUCUGCCAACGUCUUUAUUUUGCACCAAGAUUAUUACAAGAUUAAUAACCAAGUGUAUUUCAACACUAACCCCUAAUAAAUGUAAUAAACAAAAUCACACUCUUACGGUGACCACCAAGAGAAUCAACUCACCUCAAGAUCCACGUUUCCAAGCAAAGGUCAAUAUUGGCUUUUCCAAGCCCUAUACUAAGGAUGACUUUUCCAAGCCCUAACUAAGACUACACUAAGGUGGUCUACUCCCAAGAGAGAGGAUUUUCAAUUUUUCAUACAUUCAUUAUUUAAAACUAAUGAGAAAAGACCUAAAAGAGACUAUAUAUUGUAUAUUACAAAAGAAAGACAAAAUGACUCCAAUGCCUUUAAUGAGGUGGGGUGGCCAUGGAGUGUCAUUUAGACAAGUCUAAAUAACCAAAAUUCCCUCAAGGCUAAGUGACCAAAAUGCCCUUAAUAAAGGGAACCAAAAUUGUGAACCACCAAGUAUGGCUCAAACCCAAGAGUCCUCAAGUCAUCAAGGCUCCAAGCAAUCUUUCACACUCGGAUUUGUUUAAUGGCAUGCUCAAGACGACCCCUCCAAGUAUUAUCCCGUACCCCCAUGCGACCAAAGCUUGAUUCUUCAUGUAGUGACUUUGAAUGAUGUCAUUGAAAGCUAAGGCGACCAUUUGACUUGUAUCACCUAAACUUCAUCAUUUUCAAGUCACUAAGUCACCUCCCAAACAAACAUACUAAACUACCUUCAAAAUGAUAAAUUCACCUUUUAACUAUCUACACUUAAUCAAUUGCAAGUGACUAAGUCACCUCACAUGUCACCAAACUAAACCACAUUCAAAAAAAAAAUUCACAUUUUAUGUACCUAAACUUUAACAUUUUUAAGUUACUAAGUCACCUCUUAAAACAACAAACUAAACUACCUUCAAAAUGAUAAAUUCACAUUUCAAGUACCUACACAUAAUCAAUUUCAAGUGACUAAGUCACCACCCAAGUCACCAAACUAAACCAUAUUUAAAAUUAGCAAAAUUCACAAUAAAGAGUUCACCUUCAAGUAACUACACUUAUUCACUUUCAAGUAACAUAUUUAUUUAUAGUAUAAUAAGUCAAACAAUUGACCAAGUGUAACAAAGCAAAUAAGUAGAGGCAUCGUAUGUCCCUCUCACACCAUAUAAUCAUCACAAAAUUCCUAUGGCUUUCAAAGCCUUCUUCAAUGAACAAUCCCAAACUAAACUACAUUUAAAGACUUUAUUAUAAGAAAAUAAAGAGANNNNNNNNNNNNNNNNNNNNNNNNNNNNNNNNNNNNNNNNNNNNNNNNNNNNNNNNNNNNNNNNNNNNNNNNNNNNNNNNNNNNNNNNNNNNNNNNNNNNNNNNNNNNNNNNNNNNNNNNNNNNNNNNNNNNNNNNNNNNNNNNNNNNNNNNNNNNNNNNNNNNNNNNNNNNNNNNNNNNNNNNNNNNNNNNNNNNNNNNNNNNNNNNNNNNNNNNNNNNNNNNNNNNNNNNNNNNNNNNNNNNNNNNNNNNNNNNNNNNNNNNNNNNNNNNNNNNNNNNNNNNNNNNNNNNNNNNNNNNNNNNNNNNNNNNNNNNNNNNNNNNNNNNNNNNNNNNNNNNNNNNNNNNNNNNNNNNNNNNNNNNNNNNNNNNNNNNNNNNNNNNNNNNNNNNNNNNNNNNNNNNNNNNNNNNNNNNNNNNNNNNNNNNNNNNNNNNNNNNNNNNNNNNNNNNNNNNNNNNNNNNNNNNNNNNNNNNNNNNNNNNNNNNNNNNNNNNNNNNNNNNNNNNNNNNNNNNNNNNNNNNNNNNNNNNNNNNNNNNNNNNNNNNNNNNNNNNNNNNNNNNNNNNNNNNNNNNNNNNNNNNNNNNNNNNNNNNNNNNNNNNNNNNNNNNNNNNNNNNNNNNNNNNNNNNNNNNNNNNNNNNNNNNNNNNNNNNNNNNNNNNNNNNNNNNNNNNNNNNNNNNNNNNNNNNNNNNNNNNNNNNNNNNNNNNNNNNNNNNNNNNNNNNNNNNNNNNNNNNNNNNNNNNNNNNNNNNNNNNNNNNNNNNNNNNNNNNNNNNNNNNNNNNNNNNNNNNNNNNNNNNNNNNNNNNNNNNNNNNNNNNNNNNNNNNNNNNNNNNNNNNNNNNNNNNNNNNNNNNNNNNNNNNNNNNNNNNNNNNNNNNNNNNNNNNNNNNNNNNNNNNNNNNNNNNNNNNNNNNNNNNNNNNNNNNNNNNNNNNNNNNNNNNNNNNNNNNNNNNNNNNNNNNNNNNNNNNNNNNNNNNNNNNNNNNNNNNNNNNNNNNNNNNNNNNNNNNNNNNNNNNNNNNNNNNNNNNNNNNNNNNNNNNNNNNNNNNNNNNNNNNNNNNNNNNNNNNNNNNNNNNNNNNNNNNNNNNNNNNNNNNNNNNNNNNNNNNNNNNNNNNNNNNNNNNNNNNNNNNNNNNNNNNNNNNNNNNNNNNNNNNNNNNNNNNNNNNNNNNNNNNNNNNNNNNNNNNNNNNNNNNNNNNNNNNNNNNNNNNNNNNNNNNNNNNNNNNNNNNNNNNNNNNNNNNNNNNNNNNNNNNNNNNNNNNNNNNNNNNNNNNNNNNNNNNNNNNNNNNNNNNNNNNNNNNNNNNNNNNNNNNNNNNNNNNNNNNNNNNNNNNNNNNNNNNNNNNNNNNNNNNNNNNNNNNNNNNNNNNNNNNNNNNNNNNNNNNNNNNNNNNNNNNNNNNNNNNNNNNNNNNNNNNNNNNNNNNNNNNNNNNNNNNNNNNNNNNNNNNNNNNNNNNNNNNNNNNNNNNNNNNNNNNNNNNNNNNNNNNNNNNNNNNNNNNNNNNNNNNNNNNNNNNNNNNNNNNNNNNNNNNNNNNNNNNNNNNNNNNNNNNNNNNNNNNNNNNNNNNNNNNNNNNNNNNNNNNNNNNNNNNNNNNNNNNNNNNNNNNNNNNNNNNNNNNNNNNNNNNNNNNNNNNNNNNNNNNNNNNNNNNNNNNNNNNNNNNNNNNNNNNNNNNNNNNNNNNNNNNNNNNNNNNNNNNNNNNNNNNNNNNNNNNNNNNNNNNNNNNNNNNNNNNNNNNNNNNNNNNNNNNNNNNNNNNNNNNNNNNNNNNNNNNNNNNNNNNNNNNNNNNNNNNNNNNNNNNNNNNNNNNNNNNNNNNNNNNNNNNNNNNNNNNNNNNNNNNNNNNNNNNNNNNNNNNNNNNNNNNNNNNNNNNNNNNNNNNNNNNNNNNNNNNNNNNNNNNNNNNNNNNNNNNNNNNNNNNNNNNNNNNNNNNNNNNNNNNNNNNNNNNNNNNNNNNNNNNNNNNNNNNNNNNNNNNNNNNNNNNNNNNNNNNNNNNNNNNNNNNNNNNNNNNNNNNNNNNNNNNNNNNNNNNNNNNNNNNNNNNNNNNNNNNNNNNNNNNNNNNNNNNNNNNNNNNNNNNNNNNNNNNNNNNNNNNNNNNNNNNNNNNNNNNNNNNNNNNNNNNNNNNNNNNNNNNNNNNNNNNNNNNNNNNNNNNNNNNNNNNNNNNNNNNNNNNNNNNNNNNNNNNNNNNNNNNNNNNNNNNNNNNNNNNNNNNNNNNNNNNNNNNNNNNNNNNNNNNNNNNNNNNNNNNNNNNNNNNNNNNNNNNNNNNNNNNNNNNNNNNNNNNNNNNNNNNNNNNNNNNNNNNNNNNNNNNNNNNNNNNNNNNNNNNNNNNNNNNNNNNNNNNNNNNNNNNNNNNNNNNNNNNNNNNNNNNNNNNNNNNNNNNNNNNNNNNNNNNNNNNNNNNNNNNNNNNNNNNNNNNNNNNNNNNNNNNNNNNNNNNNNNNNNNNNNNNNNNNNNNNNNNNNNNNNNNNNNNNNNNNNNNNNNNNNNNNNNNNNNNNNNNNNNNNNNNNNNNNNNNNNNNNNNNNNNNNNNNNNNNNNNNNNNNNNNNNNNNNNNNNNNNNNNNNNNNNNNNNNNNNNNNNNNNNNNNNNNNNNNNNNNNNNNNNNNNNNNNNNNNNNNNNNNNNNNNNNNNNNNNNNNNNNNNNNNNNNNNNNNNNNNNNNNNNNNNNNNNNNNNNNNNNNNNNNNNNNNNNNNNNNNNNNNNNNNNNNNNNNNNNNNNNNNNNNNNNNNNNNNNNNNNNNNNNNNNNNNNNNNNNNNNNNNNNNNNNNNNNNNNNNNNNNNNNNNNNNNNNNNNNNNNNNNNNNNNNNNNNNNNNNNNNNNNNNNNNNNNNNNNNNNNNNNNNNNNNNNNNNNNNNNNNNNNNNNNNNNNNNNNNNNNNNNNNNNNNNNNNNNNNNNNNNNNNNNNNNNNNNNNNNNNNNNNNNNNNNNNNNNNNNNNNNNNNNNNNNNNNNNNNNNNNNNNNNNNNNNNNNNNNNNNNNNNNNNNNNNNNNNNNNNNNNNNNNNNNNNNNNNNNNNNNNNNNNNNNNNNNNNNNNNNNNNNNNNNNNNNNNNNNNNNNNNNNNNNNNNNNNNNNNNNNNNNNNNNNNNNNNNNNNNNNNNNNNNNNNNNNNNNNNNNNNNNNNNNNNNNNNNNNNNNNNNNNNNNNNNNNNNNNNNNNNNNNNNNNNNNNNNNNNNNNNNNNNNNNNNNNNNNNNNNNNNNNNNNNNNNNNNNNNNNNNNNNNNNNNNNNNNNNNNNNNNNNNNNNNNNNNNNNNNNNNNNNNNNNNNNNNNNNNNNNNNNNNNNNNNNNNNNNNNNNNNNNNNNNNNNNNNNNNNNNNNNNNNNNNNNNNNNNNNNNNNNNNNNNNNNNNNNNNNNNNNNNNNNNNNNNNNNNNNNNNNNNNNNNNNNNNNNNNNNNNNNNNNNNNNNNNNNNNNNNNNNNNNNNNNNNNNNNNNNNNNNNNNNNNNNNNNNNNNNNNNNNNNNNNNNNNNNNNNNNNNNNNNNNNNNNNNNNNNNNNNNNNNNNNNNNNNNNNNNNNNNNNNNNNNNNNNNNNNNNNNNNNNNNNNNNNNNNNNNNNNNNNNNNNNNNNNNNNNNNNNNNNNNNNNNNNNNNNNNNNNNNNNNNNNNNNNNNNNNNNNNNNNNNNNNNNNNNNNNNNNNNNNNNNNNNNNNNNNNNNNNNNNNNNNNNNNNNNNNNNNNNNNNNNNNNNNNNNNNNNNNNNNNNNNNNNNNNNNNNNNNNNNNNNNNNNNNNNNNNNNNNNNNNNNNNNNNNNNNNNNNNNNNNNNNNNNNNNNNNNNNNNNNNNNNNNNNNNNNNNNNNNNNNNNNNNNNNNNNNNNNNNNNNNNNNNNNNNNNNNNNNNNNNNNNNNNNNNNNNNNNNNNNNNNNNNNNNNNNNNNNNNNNNNNNNNNNNNNNNNNNNNNNNNNNNNNNNNNNNNNNNNNNNNNNNNNNNNNNNNNNNNNNNNNNNNNNNNNNNNNNNNNNNNNNNNNNNNNNNNNNNNNNNNNNNNNNNNNNNNNNNNNNNNNNNNNNNNNNNNNNNNNNNNNNNNNNNNNNNNNNNNNNNNNNNNNNNNNNNNNNNNNNNNNNNNNNNNNNNNNNNNNNNNNNNNNNNNNNNNNNNNNNNNNNNNNNNNNNNNNNNNNNNNNNNNNNNNNNNNNNNNNNNNNNNNNNNNNNNNNNNNNNNNNNNNNNNNNNNNNNNNNNNNNNNNNNNNNNNNNNNNNNNNNNNNNNNNNNNNNNNNNNNNNNNNNNNNNNNNNNNNNNNNNNNNNNNNNNNNNNNNNNNNNNNNNNNNNNNNNNNNNNNNNNNNNNNNNNNNNNNNNNNNNNNNNNNNNNNNNNNNNNNNNNNNNNNNNNNNNNNNNNNNNNNNNNNNNNNNNNNNNNNNNNNNNNNNNNNNNNNNNNNNNNNNNNNNNNNNNNNNNNNNNNNNNNNNNNNNNNNNNNNNNNNNNNNNNNNNNNNNNNNNNNNNNNNNNNNNNNNNNNNNNNNNNNNNNNNNNNNNNNNNNNNNNNNNNNNNNNNNNNNNNNNNNNNNNNNNNNNNNNNNNNNNNNNNNNNNNNNNNNNNNNNNNNNNNNNNNNNNNNNNNNNNNNNNNNNNNNNNNNNNNNNNNNNNNNNNNNNNNNNNNNNNNNNNNNNNNNNNNNNNNNNNNNNNNNNNNNNNNNNNNNNNNNNNNNNNNNNNNNNNNNNNNNNNNNNNNNNNNNNNNNNNNNNNNNNNNNNNNNNNNNNNNNNNNNNNNNNNNNNNNNNNNNNNNNNNNNNNNNNNNNNNNNNNNNNNNNNNNNNNNNNNNNNNNNNNNNNNNNNNNNNNNNNNNNNNNNNNNNNNNNNNNNNNNNNNNNNNNNNNNNNNNNNNNNNNNNNNNNNNNNNNNNNNNNNNNNNNNNNNNNNNNNNNNNNNNNNNNNNNNNNNNNNNNNNNNNNNNNNNNNNNNNNNNNNNNNNNNNNNNNNNNNNNNNNNNNNNNNNNNNNNNNNNNNNNNNNNNNNNNNNNNNNNNNNNNNNNNNNNNNNNNNNNNNNNNNNNNNNNNNNNNNNNNNNNNNNNNNNNNNNNNNNNNNNNNNNNNNNNNNNNNNNNNNNNNNNNNNNNNNNNNNNNNNNNNNNNNNNNNNNNNNNNNNNNNNNNNNNNNNNNNNNNNNNNNNNNNNNNNNNNNNNNNNNNNNNNNNNNNNNNNNNNNNNNNNNNNNNNNNNNNNNNNNNNNNNNNNNNNNNNNNNNNNNNNNNNNNNNNNNNNNNNNNNNNNNNNNNNNNNNNNNNNNNNNNNNNNNNNNNNNNNNNNNNNNNNNNNNNNNNNNNNNNNNNNNNNNNNNNNNNNNNNNNNNNNNNNNNNNNNNNNNNNNNNNNNNNNNNNNNNNNNNNNNNNNNNNNNNNNNNNNNNNNNNNNNNNNNNNNNNNNNNNNNNNNNNNNNNNNNNNNNNNNNNNNNNNNNNNNNNNNNNNNNNNNNNNNNNNNNNNNNNNNNNNNNNNNNNNNNNNNNNNNNNNNNNNNNNNNNNNNNNNNNNNNNNNNNNNNNNNNNNNNNNNNNNNNNNNNNNNNNNNNNNNNNNNNNNNNNNNNNNNNNNNNNNNNNNNNNNNNNNNNNNNNNNNNNNNNNNNNNNNNNNNNNNNNNNNNNNNNNNNNNNNNNNNNNNNNNNNNNNNNNNNNNNNNNNNNNNNNNNNNNNNNNNNNNNNNNNNNNNNNNNNNNNNNNNNNNNNNNNNNNNNNNNNNNNNNNNNNNNNNNNNNNNNNNNNNNNNNNNNNNNNNNNNNNNNNNNNNNNNNNNNNNNNNNNNNNNNNNNNNNNNNNNNNNNNNNNNNNNNNNNNNNNNNNNNNNNNNNNNNNNNNNNNNNNNNNNNNNNNNNNNNNNNNNNNNNNNNNNNNNNNNNNNNNNNNNNNNNNNNNNNNNNNNNNNNNNNNNNNNNNNNNNNNNNNNNNNNNNNNNNNNNNNNNNNNNNNNNNNNNNNNNNNNNNNNNNNNNNNNNNNNNNNNNNNNNNNNNNNNNNNNNNNNNNNNNNNNNNNNNNNNNNNNNNNNNNNNNNNNNNNNNNNNNNNNNNNNNNNNNNNNNNNNNNNNNNNNNNNNNNNNNNNNNNNNNNNNNNNNNNNNNNNNNNNNNNNNNNNNNNNNNNNNNNNNNNNNNNNNNNNNNNNNNNNNNNNNNNNNNNNNNNNNNNNNNNNNNNNNNNNNNNNNNNNNNNNNNNNNNNNNNNNNNNNNNNNNNNNNNNNNNNNNNNNNNNNNNNNNNNNNNNNNNNNNNNNNNNNNNNNNNNNNNNNNNNNNNNNNNNNNNNNNNNNNNNNNNNNNNNNNNNNNNNNNNNNNNNNNNNNNNNNNNNNNNNNNNNNNNNNNNNNNNNNNNNNNNNNNNNNNNNNNNNNNNNNNNNNNNNNNNNNNNNNNNNNNNNNNNNNNNNNNNNNNNNNNNNNNNNNNNNNNNNNNNNNNNNNNNNNNNNNNNNNNNNNNNNNNNNNNNNNNNNNNNNNNNNNNNNNNNNNNNNNNNNNNNNNNNNNNNNNNNNNNNNNNNNNNNNNNNNNNNNNNNNNNNNNNNNNNNNNNNNNNNNNNNNNNNNNNNNNNNNNNNNNNNNNNNNNNNNNNNNNNNNNNNNNNNNNNNNNNNNNNNNNNNNNNNNNNNNNNNNNNNNNNNNNNNNNNNNNNNNNNNNNNNNNNNNNNNNNNNNNNNNNNNNNNNNNNNNNNNNNNNNNNNNNNNNNNNNNNNNNNNNNNNNNNNNNNNNNNNNNNNNNNNNNNNNNNNNNNNNNNNNNNNNNNNNNNNNNNNNNNNNNNNNNNNNNNNNNNNNNNNNNNNNNNNNNNNNNNNNNNNNNNNNNNNNNNNNNNNNNNNNNNNNNNNNNNNNNNNNNNNNNNNNNNNNNNNNNNNNNNNNNNNNNNNNNNNNNNNNNNNNNNNNNNNNNNNNNNNNNNNNNNNNNNNNNNNNNNNNNNNNNNNNNNNNNNNNNNNNNNUAUGUCUCCGUCGUAUGUGAUGAGAUUUACCAUUAUACAUCAUGCUCCCUGCCCUACCUAUUGCCACUUGGCUAUCACAGUAUAUACAUACUGGUGCCACUGGUUUGGGCCAAUACGAAAUGUCUUCCAAGAAAUUCCGGAGCCAUUCUGCUUCUUCACCAGCUUUAUCCAAUGCUAUAAAUUCAGAUUCCAUUGUAGAGAAAGCAAUACAAGUCUAUUUGGAUGAUUUCCAAGAGACUGCUCCUCCACCAAUAGUAAAUACAUAUCCACUUGUGGAUUUUACUGCGUUUGAUCCGAUGAUCCAAUUUGCAUCUCUAUAUGCUUCAAGUACUGUAGGAUAUUUAUUAUAAUACAAGUCUUAGUCUUGAGUGUAUUUAAGAUACCCUAAAACUCUUUUCAUUGUAUUCCAAUGAGUUUUGUUGGGAUUACUCGUGUACCGACUCAAUUUACUAAUAGCGCAUGAUAUGUCUGGUCGUGUAUAAUUCAUUAUAUACAUUAAACAUCCCAAUACUCUUGCGUACUCCAAUUUUGAGUCACUUUCACCUUCAUUCUUUCGAAGUGCAAAGCUCACAUCCAAUGGAGUUUUGGCAACACCGAAUUUCAUAUACUUGAACUUGUCAAGUACAUUUUUCAUAUAAUAAGAUUGUGACAAUGCCAACCCUUGUGAAGUUCUAUGGAUUAUUAUACCUAAGAUUACAUCUACAACUCCAACAUCUUUCAUAUCAAACUUUCUUUCAAGCAUUCGUUUUGUUGCAUUUAUGUCAAAAAUGUCUCUGCUGAUGAUCAACAUAUCAUCCACAUAAACAAAAAAUAACUUGGUGAUUUGGAGUGUCUUUAAUAUAAACACAUUUAUCAUAUUCAUUUAUCUUGAACCCAUUUGCCAACAUGGUUUGGUUAAACUUUGUACGUCAUUGUUUAGGUGCUUGCUUUAGUCCAUAUAAUGACUUAAUAAGUUUACACACCUUAUUUUCCUUUCCUGGAACCACAAAACCCUAAAGCUGUUCCAUGUAUAUUUCUUCCUCCAAUUCUCCAUUUAGGAAAGUAGUUUUCACAUCCAUUUGAUGGAUUUCAAGACCAUAUACCGCAGCCAAGGCAAUUAACACUCGAAUCGAUGUUAUCCUUGUUACUGGCGAGUAUGUAUCGAUGUAAUCAAGGCCUUCUUUUUGUUUGCAUUCUUUUACUACAAGUCUUGACUUGUAUUUUUCAAUAGUACCAUCCAUUUUCAUCUUCCUUUUAAAUAUCCAUUUAGAACCUAAAGGUUUAUUUCCUGGAGGAAGGUCAACCAAUUCUCACAUAUGGUUGCUUAAGAUUGAAUAAAUCUCACUAUUGACUACCUCUUUCCAAAAGGCUGAGUUCGAAGAUGCCAUCGCUUUCUUAAAUGUUUGAGGCUCAUUUUCUAAGAGAAAUUUUACAAAAUUUGAUCCAAACGAAGUAGACGUUCUUUGACGUGUGAUAUGAUACAAAUUUGGUACGUAUCAAAAACAAGCCAAAAAUAGUCCACAAAUAAAGGGAAACCUAAGAGCUCAACAAACACCAAAUCUCAGUUCCAACAACAUCAGGAAACAAGGUGUAAAUGACACCAAAAUCACUAACAACAACAAGAGAUAAACAACAAUAACAAGAGGAACAACACUACAAUAACAAUAAUCCAACGGUUACAUGAUUACAAGAACAACAAGAACCAAAUGGUUCACUAGACUACACAACUAGUACAUGAUAUGUAAAGAUAGGAAGUGAGACAUACACUAUUACAAGGUUAAGAACCCAAAGAUGUAUUAAAUCUUAAGGACCUAAUCCAACGGUUACAUGAUUACAAGAACAACAAGAACCAAAUGGUUCACUAGACUACACAACUAGUACAUGAUAUGUAAAGAUAGGAAGUGAGACAUACACUAUUACAAGGUUAAGAACCCAAAGAUGUAUUAAAUCUUAAGGACCCCUAAGACUUACAAUAGCAACACCAUACUCUUACGUGACACAAGAGAGAUUCCACCACUUAAGCACCAACGUUUCCAAGCAAUACACAAUCACAAGUGAAUCUACACUUGUUCAUGUCCUAGUUUAGGCCUAGAGACCCUCUCUCUCAAGAGAUGUGUUCUUUCAACAAUAUUCAACAAAAACUAAUGAACUAAAACCCUAUAUUAUUAUAUUUAUAGUACUUUACAAAUAAAAAGAUAAAAUGACAAAAAGGCCCUUUAAUGACCAAGAAGGCAAAUAGGCACCCAUGGAGUGUUUUUAGGGGCGGUUUGGAGCCCUUUAAACACUUCAACUCAUACACCUCUGAGGUUACAUCCAAAAUACUCAAAAACGUUCAUCUUCAUGAUUGUUCUUGUAUCAUCCUCUCCAUCUUGAGAGGAAUUUGACCUCAAAUUCAUGGCACUAGCCAAAUGAUAAUGGCUCCAAAAUAGUCCACAAAAUAAGAAGAAACCGAGAACACAACAAUUUCAAGUCUCUGCCAACGUCUUUAUUUUGCACCAAGAUUAUUACAAGAUUAAUAACCAAGUGUAUUUCAACACUAACCCCUAAUAAAUGUAAUAAACAAAAUCACACUCUUACGGUGACCACCAAGAGAAUCAACUCACCUCAAGAUCCACGUUUCCAAGCAAAGGUCAAUAUUGGCUUUUCCAAGCCCUAUACUAAGGAUGACUUUUCCAAGCCCUAACUAAGACUACACUAAGGUGGUCUACUCCCAAGAGAGAGGAUUUUCAAUUUUUCAUACAUUCAUUAUUUAAAACUAAUGAGAAAAGACCUAAAAGAGACUAUAUAUUGUAUAUUACAAAAGAAAGACAAAAUGACUCCAAUGCCUUUAAUGAGGUGGGGUGGCCAUGGAGUGUCAUUUAGACAAGUCUAAAUAACCAAAAUUCCCUCAAGGCUAAGUGACCAAAAUGCCCUUAAUAAAGGGAACCAAAAUUGUGAACCACCAAGUAUGGCUCAAACCCAAGAGUCCUCAAGUCAUCAAGGCUCCAAGCAAUCUUUCACACUCGGAUUUGUUUAAUGGCAUGCUCAAGACGACCCCUCCAAGUAUUAUCCCGUACCCCCAUGCGACCAAAGCUUGAUUCUUCAUGUAGUGACUUUGAAUGAUGUCAUUGAAAGCUAAGGCGACCAUUUGACUUGUAUCACCUAAACUUCAUCAUUUUCAAGUCACUAAGUCACCUCCCAAACAAACAUACUAAACUACCUUCAAAAUGAUAAAUUCACCUUUUAACUAUCUACACUUAAUCAAUUGCAAGUGACUAAGUCACCUCACAUGUCACCAAACUAAACCACAUUCAAAAAAAAAAUUCACAUUUUAUGUACCUAAACUUUAACAUUUUUAAGUUACUAAGUCACCUCUUAAAACAACAAACUAAACUACCUUCAAAAUGAUAAAUUCACAUUUCAAGUACCUACACAUAAUCAAUUUCAAGUGACUAAGUCACCACCCAAGUCACCAAACUAAACCAUAUUUAAAAUUAGCAAAAUUCACAAUAAAGAGUUCACCUUCAAGUAACUACACUUAUUCACUUUCAAGUAACAUAUUUAUUUAUAGUAUAAUAAGUCAAACAAUUGACCAAGUGUAACAAAGCAAAUAAGUAGAGGCAUCGUAUGUCCCUCUCACACCAUAUAAUCAUCACAAAAUUCCUAUGGCUUUCAAAGCCUUCUUCAAUGAACAAUCCCAAACUAAACUACAUUUAAAGACUUUAUUAUAAGAAAAUAAAGAGAAACCAACUUACCUUUGCUUGACAUAAAUUAAAGAGAAAGAGAUUAGUGGUCACUUGUAAAAUAGCAAAGCAAUCCUUUUCCCCAAUUUGGAUUCUGUCAAACAAUAAAAUUAUUAGAAAGAAUAAUUUUUGGAUUAAACAAUUGCAACAACAAUUUAGUAAAAGAUAUCACAUUAUGAAUUCCAUUUCGACUAACAACAAAAAUGACAUACCCAGUAGAAUCACACUCAAUUUUUAACGUUAAACCAGUAAAAAAAGACAUAAAAACAAUAAUUAAGAAGAAAGUAACUAUGUAACACCCCGAGUUUGGUACCCCGAAUGCUACACGGUGCUAACAAUCCUGAAGGACCACUAGCUAACCCAUGAUUGGUACCUGCUGCAAUAACUAUACAAUAAUACUGAAAUAUGCAGAAUAAUGGGUUGAAAUGCCAUAAGGUUCAAAACUGAACAAUACUGAAUAUAACUGGGCAUAUGGUAUAGCAAUACCAAAACUAAAAUAACUGUCUGAACAUACUAUAGUUUGUAAAAACCUAUAAAACUAUCUAAAUAAGGAGUUGAUAGGACUUAUCCCCAAUUAAACCUAACUGCUGAAAUAAACUAAGUAGUAAAGCACUGAAAUAAUGAAACUAUCACGUUAUUCUCAAAUGAUGAGGACUCACGGCUAAUCUACUGCUACUGGAAUUAGAAUUGCUAAGUGCGAUCGGGAACCCGAGCAUCAAACCUAUGGUAUAAAACACCAUUGCGUAAGAGAAAAGUAUGCGUCAGUACAUGAGAAUGUACUGGUACGCAAAGUAAGGUAAGGUGAAUGUAAGGGUUCAUAUGCAUGAACAAUAACUAAUUGAAUAACAUUCAAAUAACUGUGUGGGAAUACAUCCAUAAAUACGUGGAUUGUAACUGAGGUUGUGAUAAUGUUGAAUACUGAAUUUGAAUACUGAUUAACAAAUGUUUAAGUCUAUGGAUACUGUAUAACUGGUAAUUGGAUAACUGUAUCUGACAGUUCUGAAUCUGUGUAACUAUACUGAGCUUAUUGAUAACAUAAUUUACUAAUAACUGAUGUACUGUUAAUUGAAUGAAUAUUUUUGACAUUCCUGAUUCUAAUGGAACUAGCUAAUUUCAGUACUGAUCUGUGUGACUGUAUCUGAGAGGCCUAAAAUCUGAAAAACUAUCUGAAUUCCUUACUAAAGACAGAGAUUGAGACUGUGGGAGGUAAUCAUCUAACCGACAUGCCCCAUAAAUGAACUGGUGGAGUCCAAUCUGUGACCCUAGUUGGAAGGGUGUCAAUAUCGUGCCACGAGUAAAGACAGGUUGUAAGUUAACCCUCUGCUGAUAGAAAGCUCUUCUAUCAACCCCUUACUGGUAAGAGAACUCAAAUGAUAUGUACUAACCCUAGACUCAUAGGGAUAUAUCUCAACCUACACUGGCUACAUAGUUCUGAAAUGCAAGAAUUUCUUCUAAGGAUCUCACCCUCUACUAACUAAAAGGUGAGCCUUCAUCCCUAGGUUCACUCGGUGCUGAAUCCUAAUCCCAACUGAAUAGACACUGACUGAUUUCCUAGUUCAUACUAGGCUUGACUGAUUUGUUACUGAUUGUACUGAUUAACUGAACUGAGCUGAGUUCACUGAGUUCUGUUGACUGAUGGAAAUAUUACUGAAUUCUGUUAGCUGACUAAGUACUACAGAGUUCUGAAAUGAAUACUGAAUACUACUAAUCGUUACAUGACUGAAAUUGUUCUGUAACUGAUACUGGCUCUAGGUAAGCAGCUAAAUUGUUGGGUAUUAAUGACCCCCAGGACUCAAUAGCAUAAAAAUAAUAAGACAUGACCAUUCUUGAAGUUCAUAAACUUGUGUGUGGAUAGGAAAGCAUGCAAUAUAUCAUAAAUUCACAAUUUCGAUCUUAUGAAAAUUUCCUCAAAUCAUUACAAGACAUAGAUUUAGCAUGGAAGACAUUUUGAACCUGUGGGUACAUCAUGAGUUCAUUAUUUGAAUCACAAAUGGGUCAUAAUACACAGUUCUUGUUCACUUAGGAAUUCUAACAAACACAUGGAAGGCAUAAUCUUUUCUAGGGCAUGAAUCAACAGCUAAUACAUCAUGGCUAUAUCAAGCACUUCAAAUUUGAGGAUUUCAAUCCACAUACUAUUAUAAAGUCAUGAAAAUUCAAUAAAGAUUCGAUCUUGGAAUUCAUAACACAACAUUUACAUAUGUACAAUCAAACCCACAAUAUAGAACUAAAAACUCAUAUUUUGAAAAGGGUUUCUUGAGCUCCAAAGGUGGAAGGGACCCUUGGAUGAACACUUUACACACCUUUGUUGAAAAAUUCUGAAAAGUUAAUGGAGAAAUCUUGAGUUCUUGAUUUGAAAUAAAUCACCUAGGGCUCUCUUGUUCUUGAGAAAUUGUGAAAUAAUGAAUGUAUUUAGCCAAAAGAGGGAUAAAUUUUGUAUUAUGGGGGCUGAAGGUCGGGGGAAUAAGACCUAAUUACCCUCAAGGAUGCAGUUAUUUAAUGAUUGAAAUUGGGCACCGACACGUUUGCCGAUGUGGCGCAUCGAUGGCAUCAAUGCAAUAUUCAACGCGCCAUACCAAGAUCGCACCGUAUCACUAGAAUUUGAUGUUGGCAACUGGGAACAAUAUUAACCAACGUGAUAGGUGACGCGGCGCGCCAAGAUCGCAUUGGUCCUCUGUUUUAGGAUUCUAAACAUGGUCUAAAUGAGGUCCAAAAAAUCCAAAACUUGUUCGGGAACACCUAUUGACCUUCCUAAUCAUGAAUUAAUAAAAAUAUAGACCAUUAAAGGACAUUAAGAUCAUGAAAUAAGAUUGCCAACUUUCGAAGGCUAAAAUAAACUAAGUUUGGAAACUUAGCUAGAAUUUUCUGAGUCUGGGAUCCCCUUGACAAGCUUAAAGGACUGAAUUAAGCUAUAAAUUUUGUGGGGUCUUACAAUAUCUCUCCCUUAGGAAUAUUCAUCCUUGAAUGAGACUGACUAAACUGAGAGUGCUAGUAGACUGAAUCCACUUACUGAAUCAUGAAUAUCUGGGACAUGACUAUAGCACUAAUAUUACUAAGAUGCUGAAUUUCACACUGAACAUGCAUAUCUGAUGCAUGAAUACAUGACUGGGCUGAUGCAAGAAUGCAUGACUGGAAGUAUUGAUAAGUGGAUCAUGCAUAUCUGAUGCAUGAAUACAUGAUUGAACGGACUCAUGAACAUAUGACUGGAUAUGCAAUGGUAUUUAAUACCAAGUUGAUUAUAGAAAUUUAGACAUAAAAUUGAAUGAGUUCAAGGAAGACUGUUUCCUUAAACUGAAAAAAUAUAGAUGAACCUGAGAUCAUUUACUAGACAUGCAUGAGAGGAAAUAUGAGAACAUAUUUGAGAUCAAAAUGUGACAUAUGAACUGAACAUUAUGAACUGAACUGAGUUUUUGAAUACAUAUCUUACGACUGAGAUUUGAAAUUGAGGGUCAUCUUAUGAGUACCCCUUGCUCUAGACUAGAUUCAUUACAUGAAGAGGGAAUAGCAUGUUUUUAGUCAUAAAAGUCCGAGGGAUUAUAGUAUAUCCCCCCCUUGGCACAAUAUGUCCACUGAUAGAUACUGACUUAGCUAAGCUACUGAGAAAGGACUGGAACGAUGCACAAGGCAUCUACGAACUGAAUCAUGACUGCAUAUCUAGAAUUUGGAACCUGGUUACUCCAUCUUAGAAUGUUUACACCCAUUCACGAGAAUUCAGAUAAUGCGAAUAGAUAGAAAGAUAGGAAACCAUAUGAACUUAUCCGUCUGACAGCUAAACUGGGUUACGAGCUGUACAGACUGACUCAUAGUGAAAACUUAUUCAUAAUUGGAGAUUUUCUCUAAAAAAAUAUUAUAGAGUUCUAGUGGUCUUAAGGAGGGAGAAAAGCCUGGCAUGGUCUGAAUAUGACAACUGAAUAUAAAAAUAUCAUCCUGGCUAAGAUUUUGUAAUAUGAGGCGAGACCUACUCAUCCUCAUCUCGGGUAGGGUGACUAACCCUUAUGCACUGCAUCUAAAAUUUUCAAGGUUAGACAUACCCCUCAAUUACUCUUUCAACUAUACUUUCUGCCUUAGUACUGCACAUCACUUCAAACUACUAAAAAUAUUCACCUGGGUGUUGAGCAUGAAUGCAUAAAUAUACUCCUCAUCUAAUUAACUGAAUGACUGAUAACUGAAUACUAGAUUUGCAAGACUGAACUGUACUUAGUCUAAAUAACUGAACUGAAACUAUAGAGUAUCAUGUAUAGAAGGUAUUGACUGACUGGGUAACAUGAUGUACUGAAUACAAGACCAUGUGUAUAACAUGGUUUUGAAAUAUUCUGUAAAAUGAGGUAAUAAAAUACUAAUAACUAAGUAACUGAUGGUCAUAUGCUAUCGUUGGGAAAUCCUAAAACUAAACUGAGUUUCUAAUCUAACUACUGGAAUAGGACAGGGACUGAGAUUGCAGUUAAGAUGGUAAUUAAGACUGUAUCUAUAACUAAGACUAAAUGCUCUUUUUUGAUAACUGAGGUUUAGACUGGUACUGGAGUACUAAAUUCUGAUGGCUAAGUAAUUCAUAAAUGAAAGCCAUGGUCCUAUAAGACUAUCUAAGUCCUUUACUGAAUAUUGAUUACUGAACUGACGCUGUAACUGAGGCCUGAGGGAUAGAGCAUCAACACCACAGAUUCACCGAGGGAUCUAAACUGAGGGUAUACAUGAUAUAGUCUAAGUUUGGUUGAUCACUAAGAGUGAAACAUGAGUCACGUGGGCUGAGCAUACUGUAAAGCAUGACAUGAGUGCAUCAGUCAUAUGUUGCAUGACAUGAGUCUGAAGUUCCUGUACUCAUGGAACAUGAUUCAUAACACUAAGUAAACUGGAACUCCUUAUACUAAAAACUAGAAAUGCAUACGAUUCUAUGGAAAGUGUGUGAAUAUAAGUUGUAUUCAUGGAACUGAGACGUAAAACAUGCGUAAGUAUCGUGAUGACUGUAGCACAAAACUUUGCACUUAGAUAGGGAUGGGUCGGGAAUCAUCUUCCCUUAUUGAUUUCCUACACAUACUAGCGAUGCUACUAGAAUCUGAAGGCCUAACAUUUCUGAGAUAUCAUAACUAGAUGGUUCCUGUAUACCUGUCGAAAAAUGAUAGACUGACCCGAUGGGUGGAGACUGGGAAAAGUCCUCUUAAUAUUUGAUCUGACCUUAAAGUUAACUGUUAUACAAAGAGUUACAAAAGAUAGAGAAGCUCCUGGAUCUGAUGAGAUAUAAACACAUAAAUAGGAUAUUUGUAACAUACCAGUGAUUACAUCAGGAGAACAUUCCUGAUCCUGUCGGGACUAAAGUACAUAGAGUCUAUUUGGGUGUUGUCCACUAGUGGCAUUGGAAGUGGCUGAUUUGGGCGACCGAACUGAGCUGAAGAAUGACUAUACUGACUUUGUGGACCGAUAUUGGGAUAGUAUCAAACUUUGUGCCCUAACUCGCCACAUCCAAAACACACAUCACUACCGACUCUACACACACCCUUAUGGUGCUUGCCACAAGUCAGACAAAGAGGAUGGGUUCGAGUACUACUGACACUACCCUGAGACUUAGAGAAUGGUGUCCUAUUUUUGUUACCAUUUUUGAACUUAGGAACUGAAGCACUGGCUGAGGAAGGAGCUGGAACUGAAGACUUUGGGCGAAAGUGAGAAUGAUUACUACCCUCUAACUUAGGCUAAUCAAAGCUAUAGCUACCCAUUUUGGCUCUCUUAUUUUCUCUUUUCUUCUUCUUGAGCGUAUGCUCCUCAAUCUAUUGAGCAUGGACCAUAAUCCUAGAUAUGUCCAUCUCCUUAAUCAACAUCGCAGUCCAACAUUCUUUAACCACUCUACCCGAUACCCUAAAAAUAAACUUGCUCAUUCUGGAUCUACUGUCUGCUACUAUAUGGGGGCAUACCUGGAUAGCUUGGUGAACUUGAGGGAAUACUCUUUCACACUCAUUCUACCUUGACUGAGGUUGAUGAACUCUAACUUUUUGGCUUCUUUCAUCUCUAUGGGAAAGAAUUGGUCUAGGAAGGCAGUAGCAAACGCUUCUCACUCUAUGGGCUCUGAAUCUGUACCUCUAUAUACCUUUCAUUGCUUAAACCACGUAUGGACUACAUCUUGUAACUGAUAGGCAGCUAACUUGGCACUCACAUUGGAAGUCACUCCCAUGAUAUCUGUGACUUUCUAAACCUGGUCGAGGAACUUCUGUGGAUCCUCUUCAAACUUAGAACCUAAGAAUGAAGAGGGAUUUAUUCAAGUGAAGUCCUGAAUCCUAGAUGUAACAAUAUUGGCCACUAGGUUGGUUGGAAUAACAGUUGGCCAUUCAUUCUGAACUGUAACUGAUUUAGCAAGAGUAGUGGAUGUAGUCCUGAAUUCUGCAUGAGAAACGUGUUCGUCCAGAGGAUCUUCCUGAACGGGCUGAGGUACUGACUGAUUCCCGUUUCUCCUUUCAUUAAUCCUUUUGGGAGGCAUGUUCUAUAAACUAAAGGGAGAAGCAGAUUAGACUGAGAGUUUAACUUGAGAUCACGCUCACUCGCAUGAUAUAAAUACUGAAAGAAGGAAAACUGUUCUUAAAAUAUCUCAUAGCCUCUUGUACAGAAAUGUGGCGCGCAACACAUCCAUGCACAAGUCUCUACUAGAUGUGUCUUUUCAGACUUCCUAGGACACUGUUGAACCUUAGGCUCUGAUACCAAGUUUGUAACACCCCGAGUCAGGUACCCCGAAUGCUACACGGUGCUAACAAUCCCAAAGAACCACUAUCUAACCCAUGACUGGUACCUUCUGCAAUAACUGUACAAUAAUACUAAAAUAUGCGGAAUAAUGGGCUGAAAUGCCAUAAGGUUCAUAACUGAACAAUACUGAAUAUAACUUGACAUAUUGUAUAACAAUUCCAAAACUGAAAUAACUAACUGAACAUACUAUAGUUUGUAAAAGCCUCUAAAAUUAUCUAAAUAAGGAGUUGAUGGGACAUGUCCCAAACUAACCCCAACUACUAAAAUAAACUAAGUAUUGAAGCACUAAAUAAUGAAACAAUCACGUUAUCCUCGAAUGAUGAGGACUCACUACUAAUCUACUGCUGCUGGAAUCUGAAAUGCUAAGUGCAAUCGGGAACCUGAGCAUCCAAACCUAUGGUAUAAAACACCAUAACACAAGAAAAAAUUUUGUGUCAGCACAUGAGAAUGUACUGGUACGCAAAGUGAGGUAAGCUAAAUGCAAGGGUUCAUAUGCAUGAACUAUAACUGACUGAAUUACAUGAACAUGACUAUGUGAGAAUACAUACAUGAAUACGUAUACUGUAACUAAGGUCGUGAUAAUGCUGAAUACUGAAUCUGAAUACUCAUUAAUAGAUGUUUAAGUUUACGGAUACUGUAUAAUUGGUAACUGAAUGAUUGUAUCUGAUAGUUCUAAAUCCGUGGAACUAUACUGAGUUUACUGAUAACAUGGAUUACUAAUAACUGAUGUAAUGUUAAUUGAAUGACUAUUUCUGACAAUCCUGAUUUUGAAGGAACUAGCUGAGUUCCGUACUAAACUGAGUGACUGUAUCUGACAGUCCUGAAAUCUGAGGAACUAUUUGAAUUUCUUACUGAAGACUGAGACUGAGACUGUAGAAGGUAAUCAUCUAACCGAAAUGCCCCAUAAAUGAACUGGUGGGUUCUAACCUGUGACCUCUAUUGGAAGGGUGUCAAUAUCGUGCCACGGGUAAAGACAAGCUGUGAGUUAACCCUCUGCUAAGAGUGAGCUCUUCCAUCAACCCCUUACUGGUAGAAGAACUCAAAUGAGAUGUAUUAACCCUAGAAUCAUAGGGAUAUAUCUCAACCUACACUGGCUACGUAGUUCUGGAAUGCAAGGAUUACUUCAAAGGAUCACACCCUCUACUAACUGACAAGUGAGCCCUCAUCCCUGGGUUCACUUAGAGCUGAAUCCUAUUCCCAACUGAAUAAGAACUGACUGAUUUCCUAGUUCAUACUAGGCUAGACUGAUCUAUUACUGAUUGUAUUGAUUAACUGAACUGAGCUGAGUUCACUGAGUUCCGUUGACUGAUGGAAAUAUUAUUGAAUUCUCUUAAGUGACUGAAUACUACAGAGGUCUGAACUAAAUACUAAAUACUACUGAUCGUGACAUAACUGAGAUUAUUCUAUAACUGAUACUAGCUCUAGGUAAGCAGCUAAAUUAUUGGGUAUUAAAUACCCCCAGGACUCAAUAGCAUAAAAAUAAUAAGACAUUACCAUUCUUGAACACGUGGCCAUAGUCAUCAAUUCACAAUACAAUCAUUGAGGAAUUUCACAAGCACUUGAAGGUCAUAAACUUGUACAUGGAUAGAAAAGCAUGCAUUAUAUCCUAAAUUCACAAUUUCGAUCUCAUGAACAUUUCCUCAAAUCAUUACAAGACAUAGAUUUAGCAUAGAAGUCAUUUUGAACAUGUGGGUACAUCAUGAGUUCGUCAUUUGAAUCACAAAUGGGUCAUAAUACACAGUUCUUAUUCAAUUAGGCAUUUCAACAAACACAUGGAAGGUAUAACCUUUUCUAGGGCAUGAAUCAACAACUAAAAUACAUCAUGGAUAUAUCAAGAACUUCAAAUUUAAGGAUUUCAAUCCACAUACUAUCAUAAAUUCAUGGAAAUUCAAUAAAGAUUCAAUCUUCAAAUUCAUAACAUAACAUUUACAUACGUACAAUCAAACCCAUAACAUGGAACUAAAAACUCAUAUUUUGAAAAGGGUUUCUUGAGCUCCAAGGGUGGAAGGGACCCUUGGAUGAACACUUUACACACCUUUGUUAAAAAAUUAUGGAAAGUUAACGGAGAAAUCUUGAGUUCUUGAUUUUAAAUAAAUCACCUAAGGUUCUAUUGUUCUUGAGAAAUUGUUAAAUAAUGAAUAUAUUUAGCCAAAAGAGGACUAAAUUUCGUGUUAUGAGGGCUGAAGGUCAGGGGAAAAAGACCUAAUUACCCUCAAGGAUGCGGUUAUUUAAUGACUAAAACUGGGCACUAAUGCGUUUGCUGACGUGGUGCGUCGAUGGCAUCAACGCAAUAUUUGACGCAUCGCGCCAAGAUCGCGCCGUGUCACUGGAAUUUGACACUGGCAACUGAGGACAAUAUUAACCAACACGAUAGGCAAUACGGUGCGCCAAGAUCGCGUUGGUCCACUAUUUUAGGAUUCCAAACAUGGUCUAAAUGAGGUUCAAAAAAUCCAAAACUUGUUCGGGAAUACCUAUUGACCUUCCUAAUCAUGAAUUAACGAAAAUAUAGAUCAUUAAAGGACAUUAAGGUCGUGAAAUGAGAUUGCCAACUUUCAAAGGCUAAAAUAAACUAAGUUUGUAAACUUAGCUAGAAUUUUCUAAGUCUGGGACCUCCUUGACAAGCUUAAAGGACUGAAUUAAGCUAAAAAAUUUGUGGGGUCUUACAAACUAUCAAGUCAUCACUUACUUUAUCACUUAAAUCCACAAUGUUUGAUCACAAUGAGUAUAAUUGCAACAAUAAUUAAGCCAGACUUCUUUAACAAAACAACUAACAUAAACUUAAUUUUCACCUGAAAUUAGUAAAAAGACCCCAAAUAAGCUCAAAUCACACUUGAUUUUUUAGCAAACUUAACCAAAAUUACUCAAAACCCACAAAAUAAAACACCUACAUAACCCAAAGCAAGCUGAAUCAAAUAAAAAAAGGCUUCAAAAACAAAAAUUAACUCACACUCACAUUUCCAAAACUUCAAAUCGCAACUAGGGUUGUGUGUCAUUUAGUAACUAAGAGGGAAAUGGGUAGUUAAGAGAAGAAGAGAACAAUGUACUUGUGUGUGUCGAGUCGCUGGAGGCCAAUUUGUCGUCGCCGGAGAAGCUAUUGUUGCUGCUCUAUGUGUGUGUCGCACUGUGUGUGUCUGUGUCUGUUGCGGGUUGUUUGUGUGUGUGUUGCGAUAGUUUGUGUGUGUUUUAUUGUGUUUUGGGUGUAAUAUUUUGAUGGGUAUAGGGUCGGGUUGGAUUGAAUUGAAUUUAAUAAUUUUUUAUUUUCAGAAACCUGACCACAUGUGGUCGGUUUUUACAAAAUUAUUUGCAUGGUAAAAUAUGUGUUUGAUUUAGUUUUAAAAAAGUUACUAUUGGAAAACUAUUAAUGCGUAUAAAGUAAAAUUAAUAAAUUAAAAUUAAUUUUUAACAAAUUAAUUUUUUGGUUAAUUAACUUUUAAAUACGAUAUUAUAUGUAUAUAUAUAUAUACCUCGUGAUACAGCGUGUUAAUCAGAUAAAUUAUCGAUUAUUUGUCUUACGUUAUUACAACUUCAACAAUAUACGCGUGUCUGUAUUGAUACAAAAUAGUAUAUCUAUUUCCUCAAUAGUAUGAUAUCAACGUAUUAUUGAAAAUAUUUUGAUAUAUCGAUUCAGUUAUCUACCAUUUGAUUACUGCAAACGUCACUACACGAGAUAGACGUAUAUAUAAAUAUAUUCGAUUGGCUAAAAACUUUCAAAUACGUAAUAUAUACAUCACAUACACAAUGUUACUACCCCAUAAUAAUAUACAACAUAUUUCACAUAUACUCAGAUGAAUUAUCAGUUAGUUUAUCUUAUGUCGUUAUACCGUCACUACAUAAUAUGUAUAUAUACUAUAUAUAUACCUAUACAUACACACAUAUAUAAACACUAUCGACUAUAUCAAGUUCUAAAUACGUACUAUAUAUAUACAUCACAUACGUACACAAGUAUAUUACCCCGUAAUAUAAUGUGUCGUAUUUCGUAUACAUACUUUGACGAGUUAUUGAUUAAUUUGACUGGCUUACAUUAAUAUCACGAUAGUAUAUUAUUACUUCGAUCAUUUCAAAUCAAGGUAUUCAUUAUUUUUUGGUAGAUUCUGCUAGUUUUUCACUACAUCGUUCAUCGAUCUAUCACUACAUCAUAUUUAUAUUUAUAUAUAUAUAUAUAGAUAGAUAGAUAGAUAGAUAGAUAGAUAGAUAGAUAGAUAGAUAGAUAGAUAUAUCAACUCUCGAAUAUGUACUAUAUACAUCACAUACACGAUGUUACCACCCCAUAAUAAUAUACAACGUAUUUCACAUAUACUUAGAUGAAUUAUCGGUAAGUUUAUCUUAUGUCAUUAUACCUUCACUACAUAAUAUGCAUAUAUACUAUAUAUAUACCUAUACAUACAGACACAUAUACAUACUAUCAACUAUAUCAAGUUCUAAAUACGUACUCUAUAUCUAUACAUCACAUACGUACACCAGUAUAUUACCUCGUAAUAUAAUGUGACGUAUUUCGUAUACAUACUUUGAUGAGUUAUCGAUUAUUUUGACUAGCUUACAUUAAUAUCACAUCAACGCACAAUAUAUUAUUACUUCGAUCCUCAAUAGUAUCAUAUUAUCAACGUAUCAUUCAAAAUAUUUUGAUAUAUAAAUUCAGUUAUCUAGCUUUCAAUUAUUACAUACGUCACUACACGAGAUAUACGUAUAUAUACAUAUAUUCAAUUAUCUAUUAGGUUUCAAAUACGUACUAUAAACAUCACAUAGACGAUUUUACUAUCUCAUAAUAAACAUCAGCUUUCAAAUACGUACUAUAAACAUCAGUUUUCUGCUUUCAAGAACGUACUAUAAACAUCAGUUUUCAAUUGUCUAUCCCAACGGUGUGAUAUAGAAAUGCACAUAUUCAUUAUACAAAAAUUAUGCAUGUUUAACGUCAUUUAAUGUAUAUAUAAAGGAAAAUAUUUAUUUUAUAUAUUGAAACAUAAGUAAAAGAUAAAGAUUAUGUUUAACGUAAGUUGUAUAUUAUUUUUGAUAUAUUUUUUCACAAAAUCUAAGAUUGUUUGAUUAUUAUUAUUAUUAUAUUGGUUAUUGACUACUUGUGAUCAGUGUAAUUUCAAAAAGUAAUAUAUUAGAUUAUAUAUAUAAUUAUUUUUUAAUAAAAAUCGACCACAAGUGGUCGGUAUCCUAAAAAUUAUUUACUUUUUUUAUUUUUUUUAUUCCAAAACCGAUCACAAGUGGUCGGUUUUUUAAAAAAAAAUUAUUAUUUUAAUUAAAAAUCGACCACAGGUGGUCGGUUUUUUUAAAUUAUUUUCUUUUUAUUUUAAUUAAAAACCGACCACAAGUGGUCGGUUUUCAAAUAUUUUGUUUUAAAUUAAAAACUGACCACAAAUGGUCGGUUUUUUUAAUAUUUUUUAUUUUUUAUUUGUAAAAAAAAUAAUAAGUGAUCGCUUUUUCCGACCACAAUCUGUGGUCGAUUUUUUGUAGUCAGAAAUCUGUAAUUUUUUUUUUUAGUAGUGAAAGAACCUAACUAUGGGUGGGUUGAUUGGGAUCUUAAGACCUAUGAACUCAAGAAACAACAUAAAGCUAGAAGUGAGCAGAAGAAAGAAAAGAAUUUGGUGUAGAAAUCAUCAAAUUAUUUUGCUCUUUAAAUUGAACAAGAUAAUCGAAGAAACUAUAAAUGUGCUUAGCCAAGCAAGUGUCAAAGUCAAAUAUUGCUACAGUAAAGCUAAUCUACAAGCAAAUUGGUUGGGAAAAUGGCAAUAAACUCACAAGUAAGCAGCAUUAUCUCAGCCACCUAAAGGGCAGGCACUCAAAUCCGUAGUAUUAUGAAUCAUAAUUUGACAAGGUAGAUUUAUUACUUUGUAAAGAAGUAGAUAUGGACAAUAUAUAAGCUAAAUUUUGCUGGUGGUCCAUAUUUUUUUGGAAGGACAGCUUCUAUCUUUGUGCUGUAAUUUUCACCUUUAUGGAACGAAAUACAGCAUCAAGUCCCAGGUAAAUGUUGGAAAGAUAUUGAAAAUAAUGGAAAUUCUCGUAAUUUAUGGUGUGAUUACGAUAUUAUUUUUAAGAAUAUUUUAUUCGGUAUAAGAUACUUAAUCUAUGUUAAAUAAUGGCAAAUGUAUAAUGGAGCGAACUAAUAACAAAAAAUAAAUAUUGCAAUUAUGUAUAAUUACGAACUAUUUAGUGUACCAAUUCCAAGCAUAACAUUUAUUAUUGCUUUAACUACCAAUUAGAUAUAUCUAAAUUUUAUACCCAGUAAAGAAUUGAAAAAACAAAUAAGAAAUCAUAUUUUCUUCAUUAUCUAAACAAUUAAGAAUAUUUCUGUUAGGUAAGGAGGGAUGUCCAAAGCUCUUCACUCCCCUUAUAAAUUCAUUGAGAAAAAAUGAACUCACCAACUGUCUUCAAACUUAAAACUUAGAAGUUGUUGGAGAAUACUACUUAAUAAAUACUGUAUAGUAACAGUAUUCAAAGUUUUCUGUUUGUCGAAUUUACACUACUAAUAAUGUGUCGUGGCAAUUUUUUAUUAAUAAUAAAAAUAAUUAAAUACAUCAAUAUAAUAGGUAUAAAAGAAUGUACUUGUUAUAAUUGGGGAAAGUUAGGUCAUUUAGCUAGAGAUUGUAAAUUACCCAAAAAUUCAAAAAAUAAACAAAUAUCAGAAAUAAAAAUAGAUAAUACAGAAUAUAUGCAGAUAGAUUAUAUAGAUUAUGAAUUAGAAAGUGAGGAUAGUAUAUAUGAAAUUUCAGAAAACGAAACAGAUAAUGAAAUAGAUAGUGAAAUAGAUGAAUCAAAUGACUGAAGAAGAUAUAAAAAUAAUAACAAAGGAAGAAUAUUUAAAUGAUGAAGGAACAGAACAAAAAAUAAUAUUUGACAGUAAUAUAUUUGAUGAAAUAAAAGGAAAAGAAUUAGAUUUAAGUGUAGAAAAAAUAUUUAAAAGAACUACGACAAGCAGAUAUGGAAGAUGUUAGGCAAUGGAUAAUCACAUUACUUAACCCAGAAAAAGUAUCUACGGCAAGAGUAAUUAAGAAAAGAUUUAUUUCAGACGGAUUAUUGACAAGAUAUUGUAAGAUAAUUGGACACAAAUAUCCAGACCAUCAAUGUUCAAGAUGUAACGGAGAAGAUAAUAUUAUUCCAGAAGUUCACCUAGAAUAAAAGAAUCAAGAAGAUGGGCAUGCCAGCUGGAAGAUAAGAUAAGAAGCAAUAAUGGAGAUAUGGAAAAGCAGCAGAUACAACAACGAGAAGAUAUCAACGGAGUAAUAAUAGAAGACAAGAUAUAAAAAUCUUACGUAAAAAUUGUUGUAUAGAAUUAUUGUAUAGACUAAUGAGGUAAUGACCUCUAGUAAUAAAUAGUCGCGAAGAAAAUGAUUUAUUUUAAUUUGGUACGGAAUUUAAGAAAAUAAAAAAAUCUUUCAUAUAUUAUGGUGUUAAAUUAAAGUUAUGUCAAAUGUAUCAAAAUAUCUUUUUAAUUUUGUGGUAUUAAACAUGCCACGUGGAAAGCUGAAAUUAAAGUAUUUUCAAAAAAUAAGUCAUUUUUUAAAACGAACUAAAAAAGAAAGUAGGUCAUUCUUUUUUAAGCGGAUGGAGUAAUACACUCUGUGUUGGAGUAAAUUUCAUCCAUGAUUACUUAGUUUUGUGUCUAUCACACAAAAAUCACUUUUCUUUCAUUCAUUAAACAAACGUCAUUGUACUUUGCUUCGGUCAUCACAAAAGUCACUAUGACUGGAUUUUACAAUAAUUUCAUCGAUAAAAUGAUGUGGCAACCUUAAUAGUUUUUAAUUUUAAUUUAAGAGAAUACAAUUUAUUACUCAUAUCUUGACCCUUUUUAUAUGUGCCUAACUGUUAGAGUACGUGCCCUACUGAUCAGUGAUUUUAACGUAAGAGUUUCAUAUGGAUGGAACGGGUUGCCUAACGUGUUCCAAGGAAGCAGUAAAACGGGAAGUAAAGAACACAAUGAUUUCCUAAGUGAAAAACACCCGGCUUAAAAAGGUGUAAAAAAUCACGACCUGCACCUCUACAGGAUUUAAUCCCAACUUCACUAAAUAACUCUGAGCCUCAACAACAACUGAUUACAAAACUCUUGCAACGUAGGAAUUAUAACUUCUAAUUCCUAACUACACACACCACCCAAGGUAUGUGUUCCCAAAGUCUCUGAGUUUUUUUCAACUCGAAGACUAGCUCCUAGUUCAGUUUAUAACACACUGAAACUAAUAUUACAUCAAUAGUUCAACACAAUGAACAACUCCUAACAAUCAACGCUAAAACUCUUAGCUAGAUUCUAUACUAGGACCAGGUUCUUCAAUUAUGUUUCUUCACUGAUUGAGUAGCACUUUGUGAAGUCAAUCUGUCGAUUGCUAUUUUCAGCUUUGUAAGUGCGUAAGUUACUCUGAAUGAUAUAUCUUCUAUUAAGCACAGCUCUUCAAAGAGUCAUUCUUUAAUUCAAACUCUCUCUUCAAUCAUAACUCUCAUAGCAUAGAGUACUACUUCAAGUGAGAUUCCUUCGUCAAUUUCAACUCUUGUCUCCUUAGUGUUGUACUCGAACUCCAACUCUUUAAAUCAACACAUGUUUAUUUCCUUGAGUUUAUCUGAAUUAAUCACUCAUCUGGUCCUUCUUGAAUUUUUGAACGCUUAUCUUUAAUCAUCGAUGAUUUUGCUACAAGUUUUAGCUACAUGAGACAGUGUUUUUGUGAACCGGCUUGACUGACAUGUUUCAUAUCGCUUUGUCAGUUUGUCAAUCAUCAAAACUACAUCGUACCAAACAAAUUUCUCCUUUUUUAUGAUGACAAACCUCUUGUCUUUGUCCAUUCAAACAUCUUCACCUGUAGGCACUAAAUUAUAAAAUACAAGAAUGAAACAAGUUAGUCAAUGGGUUAUAAAUAUUGCACAACCCUCUUAUCUUCCCCCUUUUGGCAUCAUCGAAAAAUCAUUUCAAUGCAAUGAUAUACUAGCUAAAGUGAUUUGUUAAACAAUUCAUGGCCACUGGGGCUAUCACCAAAACAAUCGGACAAAGACUUUAGCCAACAUAAUAAUGUAUUAAAGAGAGCAAGAACAUGAGUCAAUUAAGCAAAGAUAACCAUUCUAUUAAACUGUCAGAUCAUGUUCCACAUUAAACCUAAGCUAGUACUGAACAAAGCAAAACAACUGAGCAUUAAAUAAAAAAAUAUGGUAUAAAAGUGGGACAUGGCUAAGGAUACAAAUAGGGAGGAGCUGAUGAUAAAUGUGGAAUAGGUGAUAUCAACUGUGUCAAUUGACGAAUGACUUCAAUAUUUUCAGCCCUCUCUCAAUAAAGGUCAAGCUUCAAAGUUAUGAUCCUAGCCUGAAGAACCUCUUAUUCCACUUCAAAGUCUUAUGCAACUUCUAGUUCAGAAUUUUUCUCAGCUAAAACAUUUCUUUAAUUUUUUUAUUUUUUUAUUUUUUUAUUUUUUUUAAGAAAAAUGAGUGUUAGCCGUCCUUAUUGAAACAGGUAGAGCAGCAUGAUUCAUCUAUACAAGAACAUCCUUUGUUGUUUGAAAAGUCAAACCUAAACUAGGACUGAGAAGUGCUCAAAAGUCAGAGCCAAUUAGAAUCCAAAAGGGAGAGCAUGUCCCCUUUCUAUCCUUCAUAAACAUAUGUUGCAUGCGAUUGAUAAUCAAGCUUGACAAAUCCAUGGUACAAAAACUGAUAUUUAGGUUGAGAAAGAAGAAGGAAUUUUUUAUGUAGGAUUAACAUAUUUGUGCACAACCAUUUGGAGAGAAUCAAGGAAAGUUUGCUCAAUCUAUUUGUCAGCUUUAUAAGACAAGGAGAGGAUGAAAUGUGAGAAAUUGAACAGGUGUGCUCAACUAUUUUAACUUAAACAGCCUAUAAUUAUGUCAGUGUAGAACAUACCCGAUAAGAACUUUGUGGUCACAAUUGCUUACUUGUACCUAUUUUUCUGUACAAUCUAAUACAAAAUUAGGUUAGAAGAGUCAAAAAUCUAAAAUUGAGACACAGAACUAAAUGUGCAAGACUGAAUCGAAUAACAGUUUAGCAAAUAAAAUUAAAAAGAAAAAUGGUUAUUCUAGUCAAUCAUUGAGGGAAUUUCAUGAAAUUUUAAUCAUCUCCAAGUCUAACCUACUCUUUUCAAAAUGCUCUCUACUUGGUGCUUUUGGUGCUUCUCCAGUUAAUUAAGUUACCCACAUAGUCAACAUCUUAAUAACCCUUAAAAGUGAAAUUGAUUUUCUUUAGAUACCGUAGUCUCAAUUCAUUAAUUCCCAUGAGAUAUCUCAAGAUUCUUUUGACAGCACCAAUUAUUAUGCAUUACCAACAAUAUUAUCAGCAUCUUGUGUUGGUGUUAUUUAUGCAUCAAUUUCUUAAUUUGUUGUUCCCCCCGUCAAUAUGCCCUCAGUCUGUCCAACACUUGGACCAGGCGGUACAACAUGUUCGUAUGCAUUCUCAUUAGUUUCACUGUCUCUCCCUCUUUUUUUAAAAAAAGAUCUCUUUUGCUUCCCCAUUACAUGAGCACUCCAAAUCUAUCUUAAUUUUUCUUAAAACUAUAGUAAUGGUGCUUAUUUUUCCAUCUCAACAGGAUCCAUUUCCCCUUUAAAUAUGGUGAGUGAAAGAAACUUUAUCUAUUUUCAAUCUUAUGCCUUGAGCAAGCAUUAUUCAUGUACUAAUUUUGCUUGCCUCCUUUCACUCUUACCUGCAAAACAGAUUAGGGGUUAGAUUUAGAAACCCAGAUAAGCUUAGGUCCUUUCUUAUGAGUAAAAGGGUGAAUCAAAUUUCUCCUAGCCCAUCGAGGCAACAGGUGGUGUGGCCUGUUUCUUUAACCAGUUUUGCUUUUCAUCCUAUUUGUCUGUACUACCAAGAAGUCAGAUUUCUUUGACAAAUUAGUGCUCCUAUCUCUACUUUUAGCUGCCACUAGACAUUCAGUAGUUGGAUGUCCAUGAUUACCACAUAUAUAACAUAAAUCCUUAGUAACAUUAGAGCUCUUGAAAAAAACCCAAUCCAGCCCUUUCACUGUGAGUUUUUUCAUUAAGUUGAUGAAUAAUUCUUGAGGAAUUUGUCCAUCUAUUUGCCUUCUCAAGAUCAAGUUUUAGUUUAGUGACUUCUUGGAUUAAUUUGUUCACCUUUUUCUUUUAUCACUACAUUCUUGUUUGGACUUGGUCAAUUCAAGGUCAAUAUUUUCUUGUUCAUCACUUUUGAUUCUGUUUUCUUUUUCAAAAAGAGCCAGUUUUAAAAUUUUAGAUUUUAAGGUCAAAUUUAAAGAAUCCAGUUGACCAACCUAUUCAUUAAGAGUGCAGUUUUCCUUUUCAGCAUUGUUCUUACAAGUUUCUAGAUCAAUAAAAUCAAACUGGAGAAUCGCAAGAUUAUUGAAUAACUCAUUCCUAUCAGAAGUUAAUUCUUGGAAAUCAUCAAUUAGAGCACUCAUUAAGGAAAAAAGUUUCUUUUUAGAAAAUAAAUCCAACUUCUCUUUGUGUUCAAGAAUGCUUGCCUCAGAGGUUCCAUCAUCUUCUUCCAUGUCUGAAUCUCCAAUGGCCAUGAGAGCAGUUUCAUUAUCUUCUUCUUCAUCUGAUUCAUCACUUUCAGAUGCCUUAUUUAAAUCUUUCAUGUUCAUCUCAUAGGUCUUCAAAUUUCCAACAAACUUAUCAAAGGACAUUCUAGUGAGAUCCUUAGCUUCUCUUAUGGUUGUAACUUUGACAUCCCACUUAGACUUUGGUAGCACUCUCAAGACCUUCUCUACCUAUUCCUCAGUAGAUAAAACCUUUCCUAGAGAUGAUAACUCAUUUACCAAUAAAGUUAACCUAGUUAUUAUUUCUUGUAGUGACUUAUUUUUCUCUAUUUUGAAAGCCUCAUAUUCAAUAAAAAGUAAUGCAAUUUUGAAUUUUCUCACUUGGCUAGUGCCUUCAUAUGCAUUCACCAAUACAUCCCAGAUUUGUUUAACAAUGUUGCAAUUCGACACUCUAUUGUACUCAGCUGGACCAAGACCACAAACAAGAAUGUUUUUGGCUUUUGCAUUCUUUUUUAGUGCAACAAGAUAUUCUAGGGUAAAUUCACUCCUUACCUUUUUCAUUUGUUUUCCAUUUACUACCCUCAUGGGAAUUGUUGAUCCAUUAAUAAUUCUGUCACAUAAUUCAUAAUCAACACUUUGAUGAAACAUUUCCAUCCUAGUAUUCCACCAAAUAAAGUGAGAACUAUCAAAUAGUGAAGGUCUAGUAGUGGAUUGACCUUCACUAUGACCAAUAGGUGAUGCGGAAUUCAUCAUAUUGAUCUUUGUCUUAGGUGUUAACCUUUUUAAGACAAUAUCUCUCUGAUACUACUUGUUAGAGUACGUGCCCUACUGAUCAGUGACUUUAACAUAAGAGUUGCCUAUGGAUGGAAUGGGUUGUCUGACGUGUUCAAAGAAAGCAAUAAAAUGGAAAGUAAAGAACACAAUAAUUUUUUACGUGGAAAACACUCGGCUAAAAAAGAUGUAAAAAAACUACGACCUGCAUCUCUACAGGAUUUAACCUCAACUUCACUAAAUAACUCUGAGCCUCAACAACAACUGAAUACAAAACUCUUCUAACCUAAGAAUUAUAAACUCUAAUUCCUAACUAUACACACACCACCCAAGGUAUGUGUUCCCAAAAUCUCUAAGGUUUCCCCAACUCGAAGACUAGCUCCUAGUUCAGUUUAUAACACACUGAAAAUAAUAUUACAUCAAUAGUUCAACACAAUGAACAACUCCUAACAAUCAACGCUAAAACUCUUAGCUAGAUUCUAUACUAGGACCAGGUUUUUUAAUUGUGUUUCUUCACUGAUUGAGUAGCACUUUGUGAAGUCAAUUUGUCGAUUGCUCUUUUCAGAUUUGUAAGUUCGUAAGUUACUCUGAAUGAUACAUCUUCUAUUUAAACAUAACUCUUCAAAGAGUCAUUCUUUAUUUCAAACUCUCCCUUCAAUUAGAACUAUCAUAGCAUAGAGUUCUAUUUCAAGUGAGAUUCUUUCUUCAAUUCCAACUCUUGUCUCCUUAGUGCUAUAGUCAAUCUCCAACUCUUUAAAUCAGCACAUGUUUAUUUCCUUGAGUUUAUUGAAUUAGUCAGUCAUCUGGUCCUUCUUUGAUUUUUGCACGCUUGUCUUUAAUCAUUGAUGAUUUUGCUACAAGUUUUAGCUACAUGAGACAGUGUGUCUGUGAACCAGCUUGACUGACAUGUUUCAUAUCACUUUGUCAGUUUGUCAAUCAUCAAAACUACAUCGUACCCAAUACUAACCCAACUUUCCUUAUGGAUUAUAUAACAAAAGAAUAUCAAUUUCUUAAUAUAUUAAACCACCUAGUAAAGAUUAUUUUUUAAAAAGAAUUGAUUGAUAUUUUUAUGAAACUAAAAUUAUUACUAUUACUAUUAUAUAUACGAGACAAUCUAAGGACUUUAGUAAUCCUCACAAAAGUUUUCAACUUAAAUUUAAUGUUUUCAAUUAAUUACUUUUAUGUCAUGAUUUUAUCUUUUAUAGUAAUUUAAUUAAAUUACCAACAUGGGUUGUGGUGCAGUGGAUGGAGCUGCUCCACCUUAAACAGAGGCUGAGGGUUCGACCUUGGGUAUGGAGAAAACUCUGUUGGGAGCUCUUUCACCUUAAUGGCCCCUGCAACGCGCGAUCCGGAUUAGCCGGGGCUCCAAUGCAGGCAUCGAACACCGGACACCAGAUUAAAAAUCAAAAAAAAAUAAUUAAAUCCUUAAUCCUAAAAUAUUGUGACAUUUGAUUGAUAAAGAUGAAGUUACUUUGUCUUCUUUCUUUCUAUGUGGACCUUUGCACUUAAUGCAUGUGUCAUAGUAUGAGAAGCUAUUAUUAAGUUUUUUUUGUAAUUUUAAUUAUUUAAUUAAUUAUUUAAAAAAAAUGGGAGUAGGGCAAGGGGAAUUAGGGAGGAGAUUACAAAGAAAAAAAUUAAAUAUUUACCAACAAAGUGGAGUUUAAUUAGUUAAUCAAUUGAACUAUUCAAAUUCCCAUAUUGUUUAACUAAUCGAUAAAUCAUUUUUAGAAUCUUCCAUUAUAAUGCUUUGUUUCUCAUACUUAUAUAUUAUUUAAUCUAGUCAAUGUUAAUAUAAACGUUAAAUAUCAUUUAAUUAUUUUAUAUGUUAAAUUACUUGUAUUUCAUGCUUUAUGAAGUACAAGACCAAAAAACUUUAAUUUUUCCGGUUGCUACCCACAAGAACAAAAAGCUUUAAUUUGACUAACUUUUGUUUAUAAAAUUUAAUUAUAAUUAAUUAUUUAAUUAAUUUUUAUAAAAGAAAAUAGCCUUAACAAAAUUAAUAUUUUAUAUGAACUUUUAUUUAAAUUAGUUUAAGAAAAAAUAUAUAUUUUGACCGUGAAGAACUUUCUUCUGUUGCAUGAAUAAUUCAUCACUUUUUUUCUUCUUUCUUAGUAUCUUUAAUAAUUUAUUUUCCAAAAUAAAGAGUUUUGUACAAAUACUGUAGGGAUGAAGAAGAGGAGAAAAAAGGAGGGGUUAAAAUUAGUUAUUGUAUGAGGUUAUAUUUUAUUUCUAUCAUAUCGAGUAUGGUUCUGAUGUAUUUCUUAAUUAUCUUUUAUAAAUUGAAUAAUUCUUUUGUGGACGAUUUUAUCCAUUCUUUUGAAAAUGUCAAACAUAUUUCAUAUACUAAAAAUUAAAAUUAUUAAUAAAGUUAAAAAUUAAGGUAAUGAUAUAAAUUAAGAUCAAAUUAUUUUUAAAAUCUCUUUUCUGGUCAAUUGAAAAUCAACAUUUUUAACCAUUAAGUGUAAAGAGAAAUUUAGUGAAUCUAUUUUUUUUCUUAAUUUAAUAUAAAAUUACACGUAAAACACCACAUUUAACUAACAUAAAUUCUUGUCACAUGAAAUUAUAGAUUAAAUCUUAUAUUUUUCAUCACACACAAAAAGACUUAAGUAAAAUAAUGGAUCCACUUGACGACUUUCACCUUCAUCUUCCUGGUUGCAAAGAUGAACUUGAAUUGAGAAAUUAGAAAAGAAAUAAAUUAUAAACUCAUAAAUUAUUUUACUGAUAUUUUUCAAUAUUUAUAAUCUUUGCAAGUUAUAAUUAUAUUUAUUUAUUUAUAUACAUAUAUAUAUAUGUGUGUGUGUGUGUGUGUGUAUAUAUACAUAUAUAUAUAUAUAUGUGUAUAUAUAUAUAUUAAAUCAUGUUAUUCAUAAAGUAUCAAAUUACUUGAUUUUGGGCACAAACUUAUCACAGGCCUUAUAAAACUAGACUAUAUAUGUAACACCCCGAAUCUGGUACCCGGAAUGCUACACGAUGCUCAUGACCCCGAAGGACCACAAGCUAACCCAUGACUGAUAUCUGUAACUGAGCAUUGAAUAAUAUACUGUAAAUAUGCGGAAUAUAAGCUGUAAGACCAUAAGGUUCAAAGUUGAACUAAUACUGAAUAUAAAACAAUGUCUGUAAUGGGGUAUAACAAUACCCAAAACUGAAAUAAAACUGUCUGAAAACAUACUGUAAUCUGAAAAUACUCUAGUUUGAAAGCCUCUAAAAUGUCUGAAAACUAUGGAGUUGAUGGGACAUAUCCCUAACUAACUCCGAACUACUGAAAUAAUAAAGUAAUAAAAUAAUCAUGCUAUCCUCGACUGAUGAGGACUCAUUACUAGUCUGGUUGCUGAACAUCUGAUCUACUAAGGAUGCUUAGGAGCUCGCGUUUCUAAACCUAUGGUAUAAAACACCAUAGCGCAAAUGCGUCAAUACUUUGAAUAUACUGCUAUGCAAGUGAGGUAGGCCGAAUGCAAAGGGUUCAUAUGCAUAACACUACUAACUAAUUGAAUAACAUGAACGUGAGAAUACAUGCAUGAAUACGUAAUUGUAAUAGAGAUAGUGAUAACGCUGACUCAUGAAUUCUGAUAACAUGUAAUUACUAAUAUCUGGGUACUAUUACUGAGAUACUAAAUGACUGAGUCUAUUGAAUACGGAGAGACUUAUGUUAUUUUACUAAUACAGAAAAGAUUGUUUCUGACAGUUCAGAUUAUGAACAACUGGUCUGCUUGACUGUAUCUGAUAGUCCUGAGUUUGAAUACUGAAAACAUGACUUACUGAUAAGUGAAAACAUAAGUGACUGUAUCUGACAGUCCUGAAUCUGAUGGAACAGGAUGAGUUUCUACUGUAUCUGAGUUGACUGUAUCUGGCAGUUCUAAAAUCUGAAGAACUAUCUGUGUUCUAUUACUGAGACUGGUUGACUGUGUCUGACAGUCCUGAUUCUGUAACAUGAAACUUUGGGAAGUAGUUAUAUAACCAACAUGCCUCUGGUAAGCCAUUAUGGCUGAGUUGGGGUUUAAUCUAUAACCUCAAUUAGAAGGGUGUCAAUACCGUGCCACUAGUAAGGACAAGCUGUGGGCGACCCUCAUCUAAUAGUGUCCCCAAAUGAGAAUGGUGGGGACCUUAUCUGAUAGUGAUUAUCCACCUCAUCAACCCUCAUCGGAUAGUGUUGAUGUCUCGACCUAUGCUGGCUACAUAGUUCUAGAACACAAGGAUGACUUCUAAGAAUCACACCCUCAUCUAAUAGUUUGUUUUCCCAUCCUUGGAUUCCCUCAGUGCUAAUUCCUACUCUCAUCUGAAUAGACUUAAACUGAACAUGGGCUGAGUUACUAAAUUCUGUUGACUAACGGAAUACUACUGAUGUCUGGCAACUGACUGAGUUCAUGAGAUCAUUGAGAUUUCCUGAGUCAUAAGACUGUCUAGAGUGUAAAGAUUCAUAACUUGAUUGAGAGUAUCGUGAAAACAUGAUAUGGAUCUAGGCACACAACUAAUGUUUCGGGUACGAGUACCCCCAAGACUCAAUGGAAGGAAACUAAUCAAGCAUAACUUACUUGAACAUAUAACUAACAUCAUAAUCCAUAAUACAUUUAUAGAAGCAUUUCAUCAAAACAUGUGAUAGACAUAACUUGUAUAUACAUGGGGAUUUCAUGGUAUCAUGCUACUUAAUCACUUUUCCUUCAUCUAGGCAUUUAAUCAAACAUAUUGUAGGCAUGGUAAAUGUAAACAUCAUUGUACAAUAAUUAAACAUCAUGGUUCAAUUUUAAUUUCAUAAUUCAAAGGUUUAGUCAUAGGUUUGCAUGAAUCUAUAUCUAUCAUAAAUUAACCCACAUAGAAUUUAUCACUUAACAUGGAGUAGAAUUCAAUUUCUCAUUAUCCACAUGAACCAGAGCAGCCCAAUCAUGAAAUUCAUAAGAAAAUCCAUAAAACUUGAAUGUAAAAAAGGGAUUCUUGGACUUCAUGGACGAAAGGAGUCCAUGAAAGAACACUAUGCAUACCUUAGUUCUUGAUUCUAUGAAGAUUGACGGAGAGAUUCUUGAAUUUGGGUCUUGGAUUUGAAUUCCCAAUUGAAAAUCCUAGCUUGUUCUUGAGAGAAGCUAAAGAGAAACAAUAUAUUUUGGGUGAAAUAUGGCUUAAGCAUGUGUUAUUGUGUAUAUAUAGGAGUGGAAAAUUGACUCUUUUAACCCUUGGAUGUGUAUUUAAAUUCUGUGAAAUUUCUUAAUUUGAACACAUGGUGCGACUCAGUGCUAUCGUGUCGUGUCACUGGAAUUUGACGACUGGGAAAUUGCAUGAUGGCGCGACGCGGAACUUAUAGCAUUUCCACUUUGUUUACGACCUGGAAGUUUGGCGCGACGUGGUCGUAUCGCGCUGAGACACUGGAAAAGGAUAAAUUCUGAAUUUGAUAUUUGGCGCGACGCUCUAUAAUUACGAAGGCCCACUGUAUUUUGAUGAUUUCCAUUUAAGCAGGCUCCGCGAUGCGCUGAGGGCUCAAGUGAUACACUGUCUCACUAAAAAGGCUCUAACUUUUCGCCCGAGUGUUGGAUUUGGGCAAAUUUGGUAUUGGUGGAAAUCUUAUUCGAUUUCCCACAUGAUAAAAAGUGAAAAUCUUGAAAAUACCACAUGUAUAAAAGUGGAUUCAUCUUUGAAAUAAGUCUUUAACAUUUUUUAGAUUAUUUUCAAGCUAAGUAGAAGUACAGGGUAUUACAAUAUCUCUCUCUUGGAAUUCAUCCACGAAUGAGACUGAUUUAGAUGGGAAAAACGACAAGAUGAAGUACAUACUAAACAUGAACAGCUAAAACAUGACUACUUAACUGACAUUACUGAGAUUCAUACUGAGCAUGCAUAUCUGAUGCAUGCUUUUAUGACUGAGCUAAUGCAUAACUGCAUGACUGAGAGUACUGAUAAGCUGAUAACGCAUAUCUGAUUUGUAAAUACAUGACUGUACUGACUCAUGGACAUAUGAGUGAACAUAUAAGGGUAAAGAUACCAAUUUUAAAAUUAAAACUGAGUGUGGAACCGAAUACCACAUUUGUAACUGAAAUCUGAACAUGAAACUGGAUAAGCUUAAGAUAAGCUAUUAUCUUGGGCUGAUUCUGAGUUUAAUUACUUAAUAUGCAUGAGAGGAAACAUGAGAACGUUACUGGGUCUGGAAUAUGAUACAUGAGCUGAAUAUCAUGAUCUGAACUGAGUACCUUGAACACAUGGCGUAUGACUAUGACUGGAGCUAGAGGGUCAACUUAUAGGUACCCUCUACUCCUAAACUGGAUUCCUUAUGAGAAGAAAGAAUGAGAUUUUCUUGUCAUGAAAGUGUGGGGGUUCAUAGUGUAUCUCCCCCUUUGGAUACUAUGUCCCUCAAAAAAUACUAAUUUGGCCGAGUCGCUGAGAAAACUUAAGCGAUGCACAAGGCAUCUAUGAGCUGAAUCAUGACUGAAUAUCUGGGAUCUGAAACUAAAGCAUAAUACAUGGACCAAGUUGAACACGUAACUACCUAGUUGGUCCAUCUUAGAAUGAUCACAUUCCUGAGAUUUCGAAUAGUACAUCUAGAUGGAAAGGACAGAAUCCCAUACCAUGAAAACUUGUCUGUCUGAUUGCGAAACUGAAGGACUGAUUUUAUGGACAAAAUCAUGAUGAAAACUUAUGGUCGACCGUAGCCUUUAUUUAACACUUUUUAUAUAGAGUUCUAAUGGCUUUAGGGCGUAAGGAAAUCAUGGCCUUGUCUAAACAAGACAGUUGAUUAUGAAAAUCAUGACAUGGCUAAAAUUUGGUAAGAUGAGUUAAGGCCCUACGAACACCAUUUAAGAUAAAAUGACUAAGCCUCCUACACUGCAACUGAUAUUACUGAAAAGAGUCACAUGGGUGCUGAAAAUGAGUGCAUAAAUAUACUAACUUAUCUGAUUAACUGGAUAGUUGAUAGCUGAAUAUUGGACGUGUAAGACUAAAUUAUACUUGGUCUGAAUAGCUGGACUGAGACUAUAAAGUAUUAUACACAGAAGGUAAUGGCUGACUGGGUAACAUGAGGUAACUGAGCAUGAAUUUAUGAAAACUGUAUUACUUGUAAUUGCGAGACCAAGCGUAUGACAUGAUUCAGAAAUAUUUUGUAACUGAGGUACUGAAAUAUUAAUAACUGAGUAACUAAUAGCUAUAUGUUAUGGUCAAGUAAUCCUAAAAGUGAACUGAGUUUUCGAUCUGGCUGAACUAGGACUAGAACUGAGAUCGUAGCUAUGACGAUAAUUGCAACUGAAUAUGGGUUUCUGAUAACUAAGGUUUAGACUGAUACUGAAGUACUAAAUUCUGAGACUAAACACUGAUUAUUAAGUGACAUGUUAACUGAAUUUGUAACUGACAUGGUAAAUGAGUUUUAGAUAGCCACGCAGUGAAGACUAACAUAAGUCGAGGAUCUGAAUGUAUACAUUUACUCACAUUUUGUACUUUUCGAACUUCUAAUUAUAACCUCUUGCUAGCCAUUUACUUGCACACUGAUAUAAAAUUCAAGCCUAUCUUCAUCACUACAUCCUCGUGUAAAAUAAGUAUGCAACAAACUUCUCUUAAUGUGAAACAUCCACUCUCUCCCUUCUGAGCAACUUUUCUCUACCACAUUGUUUUCACAAAGAGAGCUCACUGAUGAGUUCAAUUAGGGGAACCUGAAGCAUGAAUAGACACUAACUGAACUUGACACAUGACUGAGGCCUGAGGCAUAGAAUAUAAACAUCAUGGAUUUACCAAGAGGUCUAAACUGAGGAUAUGCAUAACAUAGUCUGAAUUUGAUUGAUCAGUAGAGGCAUAGCAUGAGCCAUGGAAGCUGAGUAUACUAUAAAGAAUGAUAUGUGUACAUGAGUCAUGAGCUGCAUGACCUGAGUUUUGAGUUUUCUGUAUUCGCGGGACAUAAUUUGCAUUACUGAGGGGAAUAGAACUAAAGUCCUUAUGCUGGGAACUAGAAUUGUACAUAAUUCUAUGAAAAGCGUGCGAAUAUAAGCUGGGUUCAUGGAACUGAGAUGUGAAGCAUGCGUAGGCAUCAUGCUGACUGAAGUACAAAAAUUUACAUUGAGAUAAGAAUGGGUCGAGAAUCACCUUCCCUUACUUCUUUUCUAUACGUACUUGCACUAAUACGGGAAUCUGAGAGCUUGAAUUGGUCACUUUAUCUAUCAUCUCCACCUUAGCUUUAAGCCAUCAUCAUACGUCUGUGAGCACUUUACUAAACUCUAAACUAAACGGCAAUCAUCAUAACAUACUUUUGCACUAUUCAACACCUGCUGGCCUUACUAAACACAUCAUUUGGUUCUAUUCUUUCAUAGACUACUAAUUCCAUAUCACCUAAUUCUUAUCCACACCUUCGUACAUAAUAUCAAAUUAAUAAACUUAAGGGCUAGCUUGCAUUAUUCAAGUCUACUGAUUAACUCUGGUAUAACUAUCCUCAUGAAUACAUAAUCUAUUCAACCUGGAUAUUGUUAUCCUAACUCCACUACUGCUAAACUCUGGAGUUCAUACAUCUAACUCUAGGUCAUAUGCUAUCAUAGAAUUCUGAUAAGGGGUCUAAUGACAUAUGAGUUCUCAUGAUCAUGAAUAAGAGUUGUACAACUCUGGAACAUAACUGAACUGAUGGAAUACUCUUGAGCUUAUGGGCAAUCCUAUACUAACUGUUUGUGGGGACCAUCUGAGAAAGCCAUAUCUCUAGGACUUUGAGCGUCACUAUUUAUGUUACCUUGAAAUAAGGUAAAGUUGACAUGAGUGAAGCAUAAGGAGAAUCUACAUAAGUUUCUCAGAGAACUUUUUUAUAGCACGACCUGAGACAUGAAAGAAGGGAAAUUAUUCCUAAAACAUCUCAUAGCCUUCUGCCCAUAAGUGUAGUGCACAAUACACCCAUGUACAAGACUCUACUAGAUGCGGCUUUUCAGGUUUCCUAGGGCACAGUUGAACCUUAGGCUCUGAUACCAAGUUUGUAACUCCCCAAAUUUGGUACCCAAAAUACUACACGAUACUCAUGACUCCGAAGAACCACAAGCUAACCCAUGACUGAUAUCUGUAACUGAGCACUGAAUAAUAUACUAUAAAUAUGCAAAAUAUAAGCUGUAAGACCAUACGGUUCAAAGCUGAACUAAUACUGAAACUGAAAUAAAACUGUCUGAAAACAUACUGUAGUCUAAAAAUACUAUAGUUUGAAAGCCUCUAAGAUGUCUGAAAACUGUGGAGUUGAUGGGACAUGUCCUCAAUUAACUUAGAACUACUGAAAAAAUAAAGUAAUAAAAUAAUCAUGCUAUCCUCAACUGAUGAGGACUCAUUACUAGUCUGGCUGCUGAACCUCUGAUCUACUAAGGAUGGUCGGGAGCUCAUGCUUCUAAACCUAUGGUAUAAAACACCAUAGCGGAAAUACGUCAGUACUUUGAAUGUACUGCUAUGCAAGUGAGGUAGGUUGAAUGUAAAGGGUUCAUAUGCAUGAAUAACACUAACUAACUGAAUAACAUGAACGUGAGAAUACAUGCAUGAAUAUGUAACUGUAACUAAGAUCGUGAUAACGCUGACUCAUAAAUUCUGAUAACAUAGAUUUACUGAUAUCUGAGUACUAAUAGUGGGAUACUAAAUGACUGAGUCUACUGAAAACUAGUAGACUGAUGUUAUUUUAAUGAUAGAGGAAAGACUAUUUUGGAAAGUUUUGAUUAUGAAAAACUGGUCUGCUUGACUAUAUCUGACAGUCCUGAGUCUGAAUACUAAUAGCAUGACAUACUGAUAACUGAUAUAACUGAUAACAUGAGUGACUGUAUCUAACAGUCCUAAAUCUAAUGGAACUAACUGAGUUCCAUACUGCAUCUGAGUUGACUGUAUCUGACAGUCCUGAAAUCUAAAGAACAAUCUGUGUUCUAUUACUGAGACUAAUUGACUCUGUCUGACAGUCCUGAUUCUGUAACAUAAAACUGUGGGAAGUAGUUAUCUAACCGACAUGCCCUUGGUACGCCAUUAUGGCUGAGUUGGGGUCUAAUAUGUAACCCCAAUUGGAAGGGUGUCAAUACCGCACCACUAGUAAGGACAAGUUAUGAGCGACCCUCAUCUGAUAGUGUCCCCAAAUAAGGACGGUGGGGCCCUUAUCUAACAGUGCUUAUCCACCUCAUCAACCCUUAUCGGAUAGUGUUGAUGUCUCAACCUAUGCUGGCUACAUAGUUCUGGAAUGCAAGGAUGACUUCUAAGAAUCAUACCCUGAUCUGAUAGUGUGUUUUUCCAUCCUUGGGUUCACUCGGUGCUAAUUCCUACUCCCAUCUGAAUAGACUCUGAACUGAACAUAAGCUGAGUUACUGAAUUCCAUUGACAGAAGGAAUACUAUUGAUGUCUAACAACUGACUGAGUUCAUGAGAUCAUGGAGAUUUCCUGAGUCAUAAGACUGUCUGAAAUUUAAGGAUUCAUAGCUUGACUAAGAGUAUCGUGAAAACAUGACAUGGCUCUAGGCAUACAGCUAAUGUUUUAGGUACGAGUACCCCCAGGACUCGAUGGAAGAAAACUGAACAAGCAUAACAUACUUGAACAUAUAAUUAACAUAAUAAUCCAUAAUACAUUUAUAGAAGAAUUUUAUCAAAACAUGUGAUAGGCAUAACUUGUACAUACAUGGGAAUUUCAUGGUAUCAUGCUAGUUAGAAAAUUUUCCUUCAUCUAGGAAUUUAAUCAAACAUAUUGUAGCAUGGUAUAUGUAAACAGCAUUGUACAACAAUUAAACAUCAUGGUUCAAUUCUAAUUUCAUCAUUCAAGGGUUGUCAUAGGUUUGCAUGAAUCUAUAUCUAUAAUAAAUUAACCCACAUAGAAUUUAUCACCCAACAUAGAGUAGAAUUCAAUUUCUCAUUAUCCACAUGAACCAAAACAGCCAAUCAUGAAAUUCAUAGGAAAAUCCAUAAAACUUGAAUUUAGAAAAGGUAUUCUUGGGCUUCAUGGACGAAAGGAGUCCACGAAUGAAUACUAUGCAUACCUUAGUUCUUGAUUCUACAAAUAUUGAUGGAGAAAUUCUUGAAUUUGGGUCUUGGAUUUAAAUCCCCAAUUGAAAAUCCUAGCUUAUUCUUGAGAGAAGCUUGAGAGAAAUAAUAUAUUUUGGGUGAAAUAUGGCUUAAUCACGGGUUAUUAGGUAUAUAUAGGGGUGGAAAAUUGACCAUUUUAACCCUUGGACACGUAUUUCAAUUUUGUGAAAUUUCUUGAUUUGGACCCAUGGCGCGACGCGACGCGUUCACUGGAAUUUGAUGACUGGGAAAAUUGCAUGAUGGCGCAAUGCGGAGCUUAUCGCAUUGCCACUUUGUUUGUGACUUGGAAGUUUGGCAUGACGCGGUGGUAUCGCACUGAGACACUGAAAAAAGGACAAAUUCUGAAUUUACGCUUAGGCACGACGCGUCAUAAUCGCGGAGGCCCAGUGGAUUUUGACGAUUUCCAUUUAAGCUAGCUCCAGGAUGCACUGAGUGCUUAGGUAAUGCACUGUCUCACUAAAAAGGCUCUAACUCUUCGUCGGGGUGUUGGAUUUGGGCGAAUUUGAUAUCGAUGGAAAGCAUAUUCGAUUUCUCACAUGUUAACAUAAAAAUCUUUAAAAUACCACAUGUAUAAAAGUGUAUUCAUCUUUGAAACAAGACUUUAACAUUUCUGGGAUGAUUUUUAAGCUAGGUAGAAGUUCAGGGUAUUACAAUAUAUAAAGGAGAACAUCUCAUUUUGGUAGUCCUCACAUGAUUGUAUUUUGUCUAUUUUAUCCUUAAUUAAUUUUUAAUGAUCCUCCAAGAUCUCAUCCAUUUUAGUAAAUUUGAAUAAUUACUUGGACAUUUAAAAUGCUAUACAAAAAUGACGAAUCAUAAAAAAAGUGAUAGUAACACUAAAAAAAUCUAUUUAUCCAACUAAAUUUAAAAUUAAUUCGAAAUUUUACUGUCAUCUUUUGUGUGGAAUAAUAGUAAUUUAAUUAAAAAAAUACUUUUUAAAUCCUCACAAGACAUUUGUGAAGCUUUAAUAAACUUGUAAGGACUCAUGGAAGAGGCAUCUACAAAAAGUAUUCUAUUGAGUCUAACUUUUAAUUAUUUAAUUCAUCAUAAAUCAUACAAUAGAUUGUAGCAUCAAAUAUUUUUAUAUUAAUCAAAUAUGAAAUUAUUUUUAAAAAAAUGAAUUAGCCAAUGUAAAGUUUAUUUGAGCAAAAAUAAUGAAAUUUAUUAUACGUAAGAUAAAACUUAAUUUAGAUCCUUAAAGGCUUUCAUUCAAAAACUUUCAGUAAAGUAAAAAAGAGAAAAAUUUUCGUGUGUGAGUUUGUUUGAAAAUUAAAAAAAGACUAAAAUAUACCUUAAAAAAAAUUAUUAUUUUUAAUUUAUAAAAGUUUUUAUUUCCUUUGUUUUAAUUUAUUUUUUUGCUUUUGACUUAACACAAAGCUAAAGAAAAAGUAAGGAAUAUUUUUGAUUUUAUGGUCUUAAACUAAAAAAAAGUAGAAAGGAUCAAAAUAUUUGUUGAUCUUAUUGUCUUAAACAUGCCAUGUGGUAACCUGAAAUUAACCCAAGAAAGAAAAGAGAUAUUUUUUUUAAAACGAACUAAAAAAAUAGGACAAAAAUUGAAAUAGAUAUAUAAUUUGACAUUUUAAAAAUAUCAAAAAACAAUUAAACUAGACCGUUAACUAAUAUAAUGGUACAAAAUAAAUAAAAAUCAAACAUAGCAAAUUAAAAAAAAUUACAAAUAUAAAUGUUAAUGUAGUCUGGGUCCGGGCUUAGCACGGGCUAAACGACAAUAGUUCUUAUAUAUAACAAAGAAUACCAAAAUUUGGUAGUCUUCACAAUGGCACUAUGGUAAAAUUGUGAUAUGUGGUUAGUAAAUUACUUUUCUCAUCUAAAAUUGUGACAUGUAGUUGACUUUUCUCCCUCUAAUCGUGACAUAUUGUUGAUAAAAUUACUUUUCUCCCUUUAAAAUUAUGACAUGUAGUUGAAAAAUUAUUUUUUUCAUACAUUUGUUUUAUUACCGCUUGGGCCUUUGCCAAUGAAGCCAUUUUGAUUAACGCUCACCUAUACCAUAGUUUGGAUAUAGGACGAUCGUUGUGAAUAAAGCUUAACUCAGGUUGAGGUCGAAUCCUCGAGGAGUGAGUGUAGUCCUCAAAACCUAUAGGUGUUGAUGGCUUCUAAGUGUAUGCCCGUAGCGGAAACAAAGUAAAAUGCAUAAAUUAAAAUGGGGGAUUGAUUUUGGAAAAUGAUUUUACCAACAUCUAGUUAAGCUAGCAACUAGAGGUAACAAUUGUGAGUGAAAAUUCAAUAUGAAAAGGAUCUUGGGAUUAUUUCCACCUAAGGGCAACUUAUGUAUGGGUGCAUGACAAUUGGGUACAAAUUCUAGUUAUCAACGACAUGGUAGACUAGGUUGAAGGUUCUCGAGACUAGUUUGUCAACAAAACCUCAAGAUUAUCACCCAUGGACCCUUUCGGGUACCUCAUGGGUGUGACAAAUAAAACCACUGAAUAGCUCAAUUAGGCAUCCCUAUUUCUAGAAAGAUGCCCAAGACAUAGCUAACUAUCCACUCACUCUUAUUUCUAAGAUAGUGAAAAGAGAACAAACCACAUAUAUUAUUGUCCACUAUUGCCUUGUCACUUAUAUCCCUUUUUCAAGGAUGAUAUGGGAUCCAAAUGUUCACCAACACUCCUCUUUCAAGGAUGAUGUGAUCUUUUAAGAACAUGGAAUUUUCGCCCACAAAUUCAUUUUGGGUGUCACACCCUUUUUUAAGUAAAAAAAGAUAUUGAUUUUAAGUUUGAAAAGGGUUUUUAUUAUUAAGUAACAAAGAUGAAAAUUAUUUCGAAAAGGAUUCAUUUCUCAAUUAAAUUUACAGUUGCCACUUGCCAUGAAUUGGGUGUGUCAAGGCACCUUUGAAAAUUCUUUUUCAGAACGGUUUGACUCGAAAACUGAUCCGCGAACAGAAAGCUAAGGAUUCUAUGAUCGACAGGAAGGUGUUAGGAAUCCCUCGGUCCUAUGGUUCGACCACGAUCGCUUGGUGAAGCAUAUCAGUUAAUUUGACACUAUGAAUAUAUAAACCACUCAAAACAAUCAAUCAAACAAACAAAAAAAGUCCAAAAAUAUAGUGUCCAGUCCAAUUAUUACAGCUGGAAAUAAAAAGAUACUAAAAAGUAAACCUACACUAAUCCUAAACUAUGCACUAAUAUUUUACCUGAUUCCUCGGGCCUUGAUCACGAGCCUUAUUUGCGUACAUCAUACUUCGAGACAUUCUCCGGUGAAUAAGUACAAUAUAACCUCGGGGCAUUUCCCGAUGAAUGAAUACAUCUUCAAAUCUUGUGCAAUAAAGUAGAAAGAACUAUUCACAUGCACAUUCAAAAAUUCAACAAAACACCAUUCCUAAAAUUUUCCUACCCGACUUACCAUUUGCCUACUAAUUUUGAUUUAAAUCAACAAUAAUGAAUCAAAUUAAACCACUUUCAUUUCGUCAAUCUCAACCUCUCCCCAAAUUCCUUCUUUUAACCCAUGAAUUUUCACAUGAAACAAUUAUCCACACCCUUACUCAAUCAUCAAAUACAAACCACAAUCGAUUAUUCACGAAUAAACAAUAUCAAACAUCAAUAAAAUAUCCAAUCAACCAUCAUCAAACACAUAAUGAAAAUAACAGAGUAGAGUCGAGAAUUGGACCUCAAAAUCUUUCAAGUGACUUAAGAAUAAAGAUGAGAGCCGCUCUAAGAACCUCAACGAACACUGAAAUCUAAACUACGAACCAACUCUAGCACAAAAAUCCCUCAAAAUCCAAUUCGAAAGUGAAUCCACGAUAACUCGAAAAGCAAAACAGAAUAGUGGCACCUAAGUCUGACCAAAAUUUAAACCACAGAUGGAAUUUUGGUGAGAUGCAAACUAAAAAUGGAGCAAAAUCAGCUUUUAGUGCGAGUUUGGAUCGAAGUGUCACCGGUCGUGUUGUUUUUUGGAGAGUAUUGCCAAAACAGUGGCCAAACGGUCAUUUUUUAGCGGCGAUUCUAGCGAUUCUCAAGCGAAACUCGCCAGAGAAACACCCCCUUUCUUGAUUCUUCCCUUUUCUCUCUUCAUAACCUCUCUCCCCGACCUGUGAGUAUGUAUCAUGAGUGUGUAUGUGCUUGGUAGUAUGAAUGUUUAUGUGUAUAUGUGUUGUUGUGUGGAUUCUUUUAGUAUAUGUACAUGUGAUCGGUGUCUUCAGUGAGGGGAGAUGGUGAGGAUUAUGUGUAUUUGUUAAUGGUGUGUGUGUAUGUGAAUUUUGUAAGGGUAUGAGGUCUGUUAAUGGUGAGAGUGUCCAUUCCAUCUGAGUGAUGUAUUGAUGGAGAGGGUGAGUCCCUUUUGUGUGAUUCUAGUGGGGCCCCUUUCUAUUUUUGUUCCUAUUAUUGUGUGAGUUGUUCAAAGGUAAAAAAAAGUGAGGGUUCAUUUAUGUGAGUGGGGUGGGGUAUGUGUGUAGGGGUAGGGGUAGGGUAGUGAUAUGUUGUCAAAAUUUGAUAGGGAGGGGUUGUUAGUUUGUUCAAAUUGAGAUUAUGUGGGAAUUUAGGGAUAAAAUUUGUUAUGAAUUUGUUGAGAGUUGGUUAUUAUUUGUCAUUUUGUGGAAAAAUUAUGGAAUGGGGUUGGGGUGCGUGGUAAUAUGAUGUAAAUGGUAAAAAUAAUCUUUUAAGGACAAACUUACGUGUCUACAUCCUGCCCCCUUUGUAUGUAAACAUAAAAUGUAUUCAGACAAAGAAGUAGACAAAGAGACAGAAUUGUAUUGCGAUUGUUAUUCAAAAGAAGGAAACAAAAAAAAAGAGGGCAACCGAGUUGAUUUUGAGCAUCCUACCUAUCCCAAGUUGUGUGGGAGUCAAUUUGCAGAUGGUUCCAUGAUUGACAAAGAGGGACUAUACCGAGUUGGAGAGUCGAGUGAGGUCCGAGGUUCAGAUCCACGACUCUGUCAUUACAUCAAUAAUAAAAAUUACAAGUUAAAAAGAUAACUGAAAUUAGAAAAUCCUAUCUAUGCAGCUUCUCUGGACUCUUGACUUGAGUUUCAUCACCCUGUUCUUUGAGCGGGCUCCCGACUUGCAAUUUCAUCACUCUGUUCUCCAGACGGGCUCCUGACUGGCAAUUUCUUCAACUUGUUGUUUGACUUUCAAUUUCUUCACCCUGUUCUUCAGAUGGGCUCCUAACUUGCUAUUUUUCAAUCUGUUGACUUUUAAUUUCUUCACCCUGUUCCCCAGAUGAACUCCUGACUUGCUAUUUUUCAAUCUGUUGACUUUUAAUUUCUUAACCUUGUUCUCCAUGUCGUCUCCUAACUUGCUAUUUUUCAAUUUGUUGACUUUCAAUUUUUCACCUUGUUGCUUGACUCUCAACUUCUUCACCUUUUUGUUUGACUUUUCAUUUAUUCGCCCUGUUCUUCAAGUGGGCUCCUGAAAUCAUAUCAUAACUAUUUGCAUGCUGCAAUGAUGAAUCAAAAUUCUGACCAAGAAGUGCAUCUCUUGAGAGUAAAAUUAAAUGACCAAGGCUAGAAAAUGCGUCUCCUAAAAAUUAAAGUGAGGAAUUCAAACUAAAAAGUGCGUCUUCUAGAGAUAAAGAUUUGGGUUAGAAAGUGUGCCACGUGAAAAAUAAAAAUGGACAAGGAAGUGCGUCUCCUAAACGUUAAGAGCAAUGACUCGACUAGGAAGUACAUCUUCUAGGAAUCAAAUGGAAUGACUCAACAAAGAAGUACAUCUUCUAGGAAUCAAGGGGAAUGAGCCGACCAGGAAGUACAUCUUCUAGGAAUCAAGGGGAAUGAAUCGACUAGGAGGUACAUCUUCUAGGAAUCAAGGGGACUGACUCGACCAGGAAGUACGUCUUUUAGGAAUCAAGGGGACUAUCUCGACUAGGAGGCACAUCUUCUAGGAGUCAAGACUUAAGUUAGGCAGUGUAUCACCUAACGAUUAAAAUUCAAAUUACCCAAUCAAGAAAGUGCGUCUCCUUACCAAUGCCGGUUGAAUUACCAAAACAGGAAGUGUGUCUCCUUACCAAUAUCGCUUAAAUUAUCCGAACAAGGAAGUGCAUCUCCUUACAAAUGCCGCUUGAAUUACCCAAACAAGGAAGUGUAUCUCCUUACAAAUGCCGCUUGAAUUACCUAAACAAGGAAGUGCGUCUCCUUACAAAUACCACUUAAAUUACCUAAGAAAAUGAGUCUCCUAGGGGUUAACUAUUCAACUAAAAAGUACAUUUUCUAGGAGUAAAGACUUAAGUUAGGAAGUGAAUCACCUAACAAGCGAAACUUGAAUAUCUACCAAGGAAGUGUGUCUCCUAAGGGUCAAGUGGAAUGACUCGACUAGAAAAUAUGACUUCUAGGAGCGAAAGUUCAAUUUAGGAAAUGCAUCACCUAAUAAAUGAAACCUGAAUUACUCAGAUAAGGAGGUGUAUCUCCUAGGGGUUGCAUGGAAGGACUCGGCCAGAAAGUGCAUCUUCUAGGAGUAAUGGCUUAAGUUGGGAAGUAUGUCACCUAGCAAGCCAAAGCUUGAACUACCCUAAUAAGGAAGUGUGUCUGCUAAGGGUUAAGUGGAAAGACUCAACUAGAAAGUGCGACUUCUAGGAGUGAAGGUUCAAUUUAGGAAGUGUAUCACCUAAUAAAUGAACCUGAAUUAUCCGAACAAAGAAGUAUGUCUCCUAGAGAUAUUGGAUUAUGAGUUUUACCAUGGUUUUAAUUACCAAACCUGUGCAGCAACGUUGCCUCUUACAUUUGUAGAAGUGAUAAAUUACGACCUUUGAUGUUUAGGCUUUGAAGUCCUUGAUUUGAAUGUAACAUGUUUCCUAUUUCAUCAAAGAAAACUUGUGAGUUUAAAAACAUGGUGGCUGGUUUGUGGCUUUGGAUUUUGAGGUAAUUGCUCUUGUGCCGGUCACAUUUAAUCUUGCUUCCAACCAUUAAUAUAUUCCAUUGACUUGCUGUAUCAUUAACCCAAACUCAGAUUAUUAAGAGUGGCUCUGAAAUAAAACACAGCAUCUCCGCUUUGCCAUGCUCCUCAGAUAAACUCUUUAAACCUUGAUAUUUCCAUGAGUUCCUAAAUUUGUCUGUUGAGGAAACUUUCUGCAUUCCUUAUUUUGGCUCACAAUCAUGUAUCUUUCAGGCACUGGCUUUUUGUCUUUUUUUGUGCAAUUAAAGAAGCUGAUAGCCAAUUUUGAAAUCUUUUCUGACUUGUUUUGACAUGGAAUUGACUCAAAGACAAGAGAAAAAAUGACAAUAAUUUUUUUAUUUGGAUAACUGACUCAAUAAAAUAAAAUAAAAAUAAAGAAAAGAAAGAACAGGCUAAGAAUUUCCCAAUUUGAAACAAAGAAACGAAAAAUUUAUCUAAAAAUGACAGUCAACUCUAAUGAUUAUGCCAUGCAUUUUGGAUUAAGCUGUCUGAUCUUUCCAUCCAAACUUUCUACCACUUGUUAUUGAGUUAAUGGCCUUGAAACUGAGUUUCUUCCUUAGGUCAAUUGCAUUUAAGACCACAUUCGGCUAGUGGCUCUUUGAGGGUUUUCGCCAACAAUCCUCUCUCAUUUUCUUUUUCUCAGCUCACCAUUGCCUCAUAGUGUCGGUGAGGGUUUUUCACCAAUGAGACUCUCUUAUUUUAAUUUCUCUUAACUCACCAUCUUCUUACAGUGCCCGCGAGGGUUUUCACCAAUAAGACUCUCUCAUUUUAUUUCUCUCCUGAUUCCUUAUGCUGAGGAAGAUGAGUAGUUCCUAAAAUGCAUUAUCAUAUACAUUGCAUGUUAAGACUUAUCAUUCUCAAAUAUUGAUCUGAAGGUCUUUCUUUGGUUGUAACUUGACUUUUGGAUAAGUUAGAAAGAAAGGAUGGUAUGAGGCCCAAACGACACUUGAAAUGGGAUAGGACUUAAAACUUAUAAAAACAACUCAAAAAAUGAGGAUUAACUCAUGCCCCAGGUUCUUGUGACUGGGUGAUUCUAAAUUGUUUAUUUGGUUAGACCGAGUCUAGAGUAAGACAACCUACGUAUUUCACUCCUGAGAGAGGAGAAUCAGAUCACGCGUACUCUCGAUAACUUGUUCUUUUGCUUAAUUCUGAUUUCUUUUUCUUUUUUCUUUUCUUUCAUUGACUCUUUUCUUUUUGGAGUUUUUUCUGACUCUAUUUUUCUUGACACUCUUCUCUUUUCUUCCCUUUUGACACUUUUUUUUCUUUUUGAAACUUUUCUGACUCUAUUCUUUUCCUCGACACUUUUCUUUUGAGCUUUGUUGACUCGUAUCUUGAUUCCAAAAGAGGUAUAUGAAACAAAAUAAAACUAAUCCUCAAAUGGGGUAAACAAAGAAUGACACAAUGUUUGGAUAGCAGAAUGAAAUGCCUUCGUUAUAUCAAUCCUUUAAAAUUUCAGUACACAUUAUGCAAUAUAAAGUGAAAGAUAAAGAUCAUUUGUGAUACUUUAACAACAAAAACUUUAACUGAGCAUAUGUGCCACUUCUUCUUCUACACUUGUCAAACAUACAACUCCACCUUUGUUGUACAUCCCUCACAUUAAACAACUCAUGCUUUCGUGAAAUUGAUUUUCUUUUUAUUCCUCUUGAUAUAGGAUUGACAUCCACUGUUUGACCUAAUUGAGACAUGUCUUUCAAUUGAUAACCAAGUUAUUCUUGUAAUCUAAAAAUAAUUUCCUUAAUUUUCAAAGAAGGCUUGAACUUGUCACAAAUGUCUCAACACUCUACCUAUUUUCUCAGAUGAUUUUUCUAACUUUAGCCAUCUGAUUCAAUGUUUCAUGGUUAAAUCAAAUUUUAAGAACUGGCUGAAAUUCCGCAGGCAUCUCAUGUCACUAGAAUCAACAUAAAAUGUACUGUAUAAAUAAAACAAACAAACAACACAUAUUUAAAACAUAAAGGAAAAAAGACACUCCAUUAAGUUGAAAUAAAAUAUAAAAAGGAUUGAACAUAAAUGAUUAUGGGACAAAACAAGAUAGAUCCCGAACAACAACCCUAAAAUAAUUUGGAUAACAGAAAAGAAAAGAAAACAAACUACCAAAUAUUAAUCCUAGUAGGGAGUGGAGUGACUUCUCAAUUGUUGAGCUUGACAUCUUAGUCACUGGUUUUCAUAUCAGCAUGACUAAAGCUUGAGUAGUUGCUUUCAAUGUUGCAAAACUCAAAAUGCGACCGGUCUUAAUUCCAUCCUCUAUCAUCUCCCCUAUUUUGAGAACCACAAUAAAUGGCUUGCCUAAUGCAGGUAACAAGUGUUGAUAAUAUGUUUCAUCCUUUGCUUGAAUAAACACCUCCACUAUUUUUCUUUCUUUCAUUAGCGGUUUCACCCUAGCAGCUUGUUCACGCUAUCGAAUCGCAUACUCUCUGAAACUUUCAAUACUCUUCUUCUUCAUGUUAGUUAGGGAUUUCUCAUGAGGAAUCAACUCCACAUUGUAUUGAAAUUGUUGCACUAAUUCAUUAGCCAGGUCAUCCCAACUAUUCCACUUGUCGAUGUCUUGGUCAACAAACCAUUCUAAAGAUAGACUUGAAAGACUCUCACUAAAAUAAGUCAUGAGUAAUUCUUCCUUCCCUCCAGCGCCCCUUAAUUGGUUAUAAUAAUGCCUCAAAUGUGUCACUAGGUCCCCAUGUUCGUCAUAUUUCUCAAACUUUAGCAUUUUAAAACCAAGAGGGAGGUUAACACUUGAAAACAUGCACAGAUAUUUAUACGAGACACUUUUGUAUCCCCCAAGUCCUUGGAAGUUUUUCAUAUCCAAUUCCAAACUUCUUAAUUUUUGGGCCAUUUUCUCUUGUUCUUAUUUCAUAAUAGGCUUUUCAGCAUUAAGAGAAAAUUCAGGCAGAUAAGUGUAGCCAUAUGGACCACUCGACUUAAAUGUGAGCUUGAAAGCACAAUAUUGAUCACCAAAAAUAUUCAAUACAGGAUUUUUGGUAGAGUGAGGAGUUACAACCGUUCAAUUGACAUUAAAAGCAGGAACUUCAGGCGGGGGUGGCGCCAUAAAAGCAUGAGUAGUAGGUAGAUUCGAGCAUGUGGUAACUCUGUGUUGAGGAGUGAGGAAAUGAAUAUUGGAAGUGUUUGGAUAGUGUUGCCCCGGAGUAGUCCCUGAUGCAUAUUGUGGUGUGUCAACAAAAAUAGGAAACUGUUCAUGUGACACUAGAGGCAAGCUAGGAAAAUAUUCCAGAUAAUCAACGGGAAAUGGAGGAGGCGGCAACCCAUUAGCCCAAGCUCGAUGCAUUUCUAUCAUUUGUUGCCUUAAUUUUCAAAUCUCUUCAUUAGCUCCUAAAUUCUCAUUCCCUAAACUCCCUAUCUAAUUAGUGACAACCUCGGUAUCCUUGUUGGCCAUAACUUUCUCUUCGACUUGGUGCAAUAUGGAGGACUAACCAAAAUGCCACAAACCAACUACCUUAAACUAACUGAGCAAUAGAAAAAACAAAGGCGUUAGAAAGAAACACUUUUUUAAAUACUUUUUUUCUUUAUUUUUUGAAAAAAUCACUCAAAAUACCAACGUAUCCCACUCUCGAAAGAGGAGAAUCAGGUGUGCGUAGUUUGUGAAGUCUUUCCGAAAUGGUCAAUUAAACUCUUUUUUCUUUCUUUUUUUUAUUUUUCUUGAAAAUUUAAGAAGAAAAGGAACUAACAAAUUGACGAAAAUCUUUUUAAAAUUUUUCAGCUUUAACAUCCCUAUACAAAAUGAAACCUAUGAUUACCAAAGAAAAAUCUUUUUGGGUUUUCUAUUUUGAAUUUCAUAAAAAAAAUGAAAAUUGAACCUAUUAAAGAAAAUAAAAUUGUGUGUGUAGUUUUCUUUUAAAGAUGUAUAUGAAACACCUACUCUAAAUGAUGAGAGAAGAAAAUCUUUUUAGAUUUUUAAAUAAGAUCACCGAACCCUAGAAGGGCUACCUACGUAUCUUACUCCCAAAAAAGGAGAACCAGGUGUGCGUAGUUCGUCCAGAUUGGAAAAUUAAGGAUUAAAUAGCAAACUAAACCUUGACUUAGUAUACACUACCAAAGACAAACAAUGAAAAAAGUUAAUAAAAUCUUUUUGUUUUAGUUUUCAAUUUGACACUUCACAUAAAAAUGACACCAACAACUAUGAAAGAAAAAAUCUUUUUUGAUAUUUUCGUUAUAUGAAAUGUACAAAACUUCUACCAUCUUUUUUUAAUUUUCAUUUUAUAAAAAACUCCUUUUCAAUUUUUUAUUUUUUUUUUGAGUUUUCGAAUUGUGAAUGCUUACUAAAGAAACAAAAGGAUUUUUUUUAUGUUUUUUCUAAUUUUUGGAAAAUGAGUACAAAACAUAAAAAAUCUUUUUAAAUUUUGUGAUUAUGGAAAACAAAAGUCAUAAAACUCUAAACAACUAUGAAACUUUUUGUUUUUCCUUGCCUAAAUGCACGCUCCUUUAAUUCUAACACAUGUUUUCCCCAAAUCAAUCCACCAAAUGACACUGCUACCCUCAAAGAUGCAACAAUCAGCACGUAGGGAUGCUUUAAGAGUGAGUCUCAUACAAAGGACCAAGUGAGUCCCUCUAGGUCUCAAUAUGAUGCAAAUAAACAUGACCUAAAGGCUGACCUACACUGGGGUCCACUAACAAGGUCGUUCGGGGGAGCAUAUGAUCAAUAGUGGUUGCUUUGCUUUCCACCUACUCCAUACAUCCAACGGAUCCCCCUCCUAAAAUAAGGGUGACUCAACUAGAGUUCGUGUACACGAUGUGUACUUCAGGACUUGUUGUGAAAGAAAUGAUUCGGGUUAUGCAAAUGAUGUCAGAUAUAAAGCAGUAACACAUAAAGAAAGACUGUAAAUAAAUAGCACGUAGGCAUCCAACAACAAUAAAACAAUAAUACAAACGCAACAACAAUAAAACAAUAAUACAAACGCUAACACAAACAAAUGUCUAUACACCCAUAAUGUCAAACUAAACCGAUACAAAAUAACCUCAAAUUUGAAAAGGUCCCCAGCAGAGUCGCCAGAGAUAUCACACCCCUUUUUUAACCAAAAAAGAUAUUGAUUUUAAGUUUGGAGAGAGUUUUUAUUAUUAAGUGACAAAAGAUGAAAAUUAUUUCGAAAAGGAUUCAUUUUACAAUUAAAUUCAUAGUUGCCACUUGGCAUAAACUGGGUGUGCCAAGUCACCUUUGAAAAUUCUUUUUCAAAAUGGCUUGACUCUAAAACUGAUCCGCAAACAGAGAUUCCAGCUAACGAAUUCUAUUGACCGAGGGGAAGGUGUAAGACACCCCUCAGUCCCGUGGUUCGACCAUGGUCGCUUGAUGGAGCAUAUCGACUAAUUUGACACUAUGAAGUUAUAAACCACACAAAACAAUCAAUCAAACAAAAAAAAACAGUCCAAAAAUAUAGUGUCUAGUCCAAUUAUUAUAGCCCAAAAUAAAAAGAUACUAAAAAGUAAACCUACACUAAUCCUAAACUACGUUCCAAUGCUUUACUUGAUUCCUCGGACCUUGAUCACGAGCCUCCUUUACAUAUAUGAUACUUCGGGGCAUUCCCUAAUGAAUAAGUACAAUAUAACCUCAGGGCAUUUUCCGGCGAAUGAAUACAUCUUAAAAUCUUGUGCGAUAAAGUAGAAAGAACUAUUCACACGAAGAUUCAAAAAUUCAUCAAAACACCAUUCCUAAAAUUUACCUACCCGACUUAGCAUUUGCCUACUAAUUUCAAUUUAAAUCAACAAUAAUGAAUCAAAAUUAAACCACCUUCAUUUCAUCAAUCUCAACCCCUCCCCAAAUUCCUUCUUUUAACCCAUUAAUUUUCAUAUGAAACAAUUAUCCAAAUUAAUUUUCAUAUGAAACAAUUAUCCAAAUCCUUACUCAAUCAUCAAAUACAUACCACGAUCGAUUAUUCACGAAUAAACAAUAUCGAAUAUUAAUAAAAUAUCCAAUAAACCAUUGUCAAACACAUAAUGAUAAUAAGAGAGUAGAAUCGAGAAUUGGACCUCAAAAGCUUUCAAUUGACUUAAGAAGAAAGAUGAGAGUUACUCAGAAAACCUCAAUGAACAUCGAAAUCUCAACUACAAACCAAUUCUAGCAUAAAAAUCCCUUGAAAUCCAAUUUGAAAAGGGAUUCACAAUAACCCAAAAAUCAAAAAAGAACAGUGGCGCCUAAGUCUGACCAAAAUGUGAACCACGGAUAAAUUACGCAUCCAUUUGCAUAACUGAUGGAAUUUUGGUGAGAAGCGAACAGAAAAUAAAUCAAGAUCGACUUUUGGUGCGAGUUUAGAUUGAAGUGCCACUGGUCGUGUAAUUUUCCGAUGAGUAUUGCUGGAACAGUGGCCAAACGGUCAUUUUUAAGGAUUUUUGGCGGUGAUUUCAAUGAUUCUCAGGCGAGACUCGCCGGAGAACCCCCCACCCCUACCCCUUUCUCGAUUCUUCCCUUUUCUCUCUUUAUUACCUCUCUCCCCAACCUGUGAGUAUGUAUCAUGAGUGUGUAUGUGCUUGGGUGUGUGAACGUGUAUAUGUAUAUGUAUUAUUGUGCAGAUUCUUUCAGUAUAUAUGUAUGUGAUAGGUGACUUCGGUGAGGGUUAAUGGUGAGGAUUCUGUAUGUCUGUUAAUGGGGUGUGUGUGUGUUAAUUUUGUGAGUUCUAUUAAUGGUGAGAGUGUCCAUUCUAUCCAAGGUCAUCUCUUCCACGCUUACUACCCCUAACUUAGGCAUUUGGCCUCAAUUUUCGUUUUUUAUGUCCAAGAAGGGUAGGGUUCAAGAGACGGAAAAACUUUGAAUGGUUCAAGGCUUGUAAUGUGGUUGUCAAAAAAGGCUUUAAGGCUCGAAUGGUGUAACUAAGGGUAAUAUUCUAUGCAUCGGUAGGCUAUUUAGGCAUUAAAGUGGGUUUUUAUAUUCACAAAGAUGGCCUAAGAUCAUUUCACUAACCAAGCAUAAUCAAAAUUAGUCUUGCGAGACUAAAGGGGCGAGUUAUAUAUGGUAACAAGUAUUCAUGAGAUUUAUACAAAUAUGUUCACUGCACAUGACAUGCAAACUCUUCAAAGGGGCUCAAAAUCACUCCCCACUAGUGACAAAAUGGAGUACUUAUCAACCUCUAUAAGCUAAGAGGUUUGGAGUCACAAAAAGAGUUUAAGUAUUGUUACAAAAAAUUUCACAUCCAUACCCUUGGUUUUCAAAAGUUUUUAGGCGGAGUGGAGUAUUUGCUUCGCAUUUUUACCACGCACAAUUUGCUAUUUAUGGCACCAACCAAGCCAUCGUCUCACAUUUUGCUUUCAUGAGGGCAAACCAUAUGGUUUCUCGAAAUUCACCAUAGGUAUAUGUGCGAUCCCAAAUCCGAAAUGCCACUGUUACUUAUAAUUUCCUAGCAUUUGUAACUUUGAUGCUAUGGGUACUCAGAUUUUCCCUGCAUUCAUGGCUCAAAACCCAAUCACAAUGAUUUUUCCUUAAGAAUGUCAUCCUCAAUCUAUCAUAAGGAAAGGCUCUUCCGAUGUCACCAUAAACAAAAUAAAGAUAAAGUAAAAAUCUAAAAAUGAAACAAACAACUAAUCCAUUAAAUGUGGGCAUCAUCAGAGUGCCCAAAUAUUACAACCCAUAAAAAUAAAAAAUCAUCCAAAAAGACAUAAAAAUCCAAAAAUAUCUUAAUAAUACAGGCCCAAAUGAAUAAAUAUGAAGACAGACACCCCCAAUAAAAAAGCUUGUAUUGACCUUACUGCAUGAACAAUAAAGCAUAAAGAGAGGAAAGGGUGCUCCCUGAAAUCGCAUCAAGAGAUGCUCUCACCCUCAGAUUGGGUUGGAGAGAGAUACUAUGCUAUGGUUGGCGUAGAACUCCCUUACCCACUGCUUAUUUGCAUUACAAGGGUUUGGGGCUAAACAUCUCCACCCGGUGGCAAUUAUCUAUCAUGAAAAGCUGAAAGCUUUUUCGGCACCUUGUCCAAACAAAUGCCUCUUUCCGAAAUCAUCUUGGUGGGAGAUCACUGUAGUACUGGUUAUGGAAUUCUAAGGCCAUGAUUUGGAUUUUGUCAUAAUCUCCCAUGAUAUAAACCUGAAUAAUAUGAAAAUAACACAACAACACUUAUCAGUAUUAUUUCCAUGCCAAAACUAUGCUAUGUUGUCCAAUUAAGCUAAUGGGAUGCUUACUUAGUGGUUUUGACAAGAAUUAAAAGUACAGUAUUUUUGGCCCAAGCUAGGAAUCAGCCUCAGGUAUAGCUAUCACGGGUCACCGAGCCGCAAUUGAGGUGUAGCGAUCGUAAUUCAAUGAUCGUGAUCGCGAUAUCUAAGGCAAAAUCAGACUUCAUUUUUAAAAAAAUUCAAAAAUUCAAACUUCAAAGCCGUAUCAUGUUCCAAAGUAAUAAUUAAUCAUACAAAACAUUGAACAAGGUUCCUAGGUACUCAAUCAUGCCCUUAGAAUAUGAAAACAACUAGUUAUGAGUUUGUUUGGGCAUUUGAUCAAGCACUUGGUGUGCACACUAUAUUUCUUUCAAAUUCAACACAAUUUGGGUACUCAAGAUUUCCUCAAACGUGUGCAUACCACUUUUAAUAGCGAACCAUACCACACAAGUACAAUUACACAAUGAUUUAGCAAUAAAAGUUACAAUCCUAGGCCACCCCUAAUUAAUACAUUCUAAGGCCUACAAACAGACAAUUUAAGUGAGGGUUAUACAUACAUGCCCGACUGAGGAUGCAAAAAUGCUUUUGGAUGCCCAAAAUAUGACCAAGAAUGAGUGCAAUUUAUGAGAGAAUUCAAAGAGGGAGAGUGAGCAAAUAGGCAGUCGGAUGGUUUUUUUAACCAUACUUAACCAUGAUCGCGGUCCAUGUUCCGUAAUCACGGAUAUGCAGCUACCUCAAUCGUGGGUACGAGUGUCGCGUCGCGGUAACUGAGGCUAUUUUUGUCCUCUAUUUUCUCCUGUUUAGUACACUGCACAAAAAUUACACUUUCCCUUGUUCAGCAUCAUUCAAACACCCCAUUGUGCCACAAAUGCAUGGAUUAAUCAACACAAAAUUAAAAUAUACUUUACUAAAUCAAAAACAAAGGAUACGAGUCACUUUCGUGGUAUUUGUGGGUUGUCUUUCACAUAGCACCUUAUUUAUCAUCGGGGCAUGAUAUUUUUCACUAUCUUCAAGUUGGAUCCUCAAUGGACCCAGCAUCCACCCCCGUGUUCUCAACAUCAAUAACUGAUACCACUUGAAGCUCCAUGGGUUGUUUCUUUGUUUUGCACACCCGAAAGUGACCUUCACCAUCUUUGACCCUAAACUUUAUUUCACCCAAUUCUAAAUCAACGAUAGCUCUUAUGACAGAAAGAAAAGGUCAACCAAGGAUAAUAUGCAUUUUUUGAUCAAUUUCGCAAUGAAGCACCAUGAAAUUCGAUGAAAGGAUGAAUCUAUCCACCUUUACUAACACGUCAAACAAGACCCCAAUCGGUCUCUUGAUAGACCAGUCCACCAUCAAAAGCCUUAUCAUUGUUAGAGUAGGGGUGCCUAAGCCAAGCCUCCGAUAUAUUACAUAAGGCAUAAGAUUUAUACUUGCAUCAAGGUCACAUAAAGCUUUUUCAAACAUAUGUGUCCCAAUGGUGCAUGGAAUUGUAAAGUCCCCUUGGUCCUCUUUUUUUUCUAUCGUACUGGACAUGAUAGGGCUACACCCAUAGGUCACUUCAAUGGCGUCACCCUCAACAGGCCUCUUUUUCGAUAUCAAUUUCCUCAUAAGCGUAGUAUUCCCCGGGAUUUCUUGGAUAGCCUCAAGUAACAGGAUAUUAAUAGACAGGUUGCUAAGCUUUGCAAGGAAUAUUUUGAACUUGGCAUUGUCAUCUUUAUUUUUGAGUCUUUGAGGUAAUGGAGAAGGAAUCUUUAUGGUAAGAAACGAAUUAUUUUGCACUUUAUCAUUUUCCACUACCUUCGGAUCUCCCUCUUCAUCUUUCACAUUUUCACUUAGCAUUAAUUCUUCUUUGUUUCCCUCUUGAGACUUCAAAGCCUCCUCAUUCACAUGUUUUUUCUUCACAUUUGUUUGUUAAACAUUGGUCCUUUUUUUUUACAUCCACCACAAGAUCAUCGAGGGUUUUACCACUCCUAGUGACAAUAGCAAACACUUGGGCAUCAUUUUUUGGAUUCACAAUGGUGUUACUAGGAAGACCUUCUAUUUGUCUAGCAUUAAGUUGAGUGGAGAUUUUCCCGAUUUGAGUUUCCAAUUGCUUGAUCGAGUCAGAGUGCGAUAUCAUAUUUUGAGUGAUUUGUGAGAAGUCUCAUUCAAGGAUCAUUUUAUUUGUUCCUUCUACCGUCAUCAAAAUCCUUACUAACACAUCUUUGGACUUGAAUUUUUUGGGAUAAAUGGUGUUGGAUUCUUUACCCUUUUCUUGGUCAUAGGGAGGUACAUAUAGGUCAUAUUUUCUUUUCUUGUCUCUCCAAUAGCGAUCACGCUAGUCCUAUUUCUUUUCAUAAUCCGUCCAACCUUGGUUCCCACCUUGCCUUUAAUAGGCUAGGUGGGAACCCACCGGAUAGUUAGUUAAAUACUGAAUCUCCUCAUCAAGACUCGUGGACUCCUCCUCCUCAUAGAACUUAGAUGCCAUGGUGUUUAACGUUUUCGUGGGUGCACCCAUCACAUACUUCGUUAGCAACUCCAAUUGUAUCAUAACUUUUGUCAUGUUCUCCUUCCUCUCUUUAUAGUUCUUUCUUUGCUCUUAUCAACAUAGGAGGUGGUAAGAGAGACUUUAGUUACCUUGGUGUCUCGAGUAUGCUAUCCCCAAUUUUUCUUUAUGGCUUCCUCAAUAAAAUUUGAAGACACAUUAUAAGACAAUUUGAAAACACAUUAUAAGACAAUCUUACAAACGAACCCCCGAUCUCAUUAUCUACGAUGGUUUUAUUUAAUUGAUCCAAGGCCAGAUAGAAGAUUUGGAGAAGCAUCUUCUCUGGGACUUCGUGGUUGGGACAUUGCAUGAGCUUCCCUUUGAAUCUCUCCCACACCUCGAAUAGAGGUUCUCCAUUCAAUUAUCAAAAAUUGUGAUCUCAUCAUGGAAUUGUACCAUCUUGGAUGGUGGCAAGUAUCGACUUAGGAAAGAAACGGUUAGUUCAUCCCACGAAGUAAUUAAACCAGCUGAAAGAUAUCGAAGACAUGAUACCUCCUCUCCCAUUAGAGAAAAUGGGAUGAGGCGCAACCUUAUAGACUCUUGAGAGAUGUCUGCAAUAUCAAAGGGGGCACAAACUUAUACGAAGUUCUUCAAAUGAAAAUUGGGGUCCUCAUGGGCUUGACCCCCGAAGAGGCCCUUCAUUUGAAGCAUAUGCAACAUGACAUUCAUAACAUGGAAUACCCUGUUCCCUUGAUUAGGUGGGAUAUGGAUAGCAAUCAUAUGUCCGAGUCCUGGAGUUUCUCGUCGUCAUCAAGGGGACCGUCAAAAGUCCCUGCUCGUAGUGUCUUCACCUACACAAUCACAGAAACAACAAACAAAGUAAAUCAAAAUCACCACGGGUAUACCCAAAGCAACAACCAACACUCUAAAAGUGAAAACUAAGUCUCACUUCCCGGCAACUGCAUUAUUUUGGUUAACACUCACCUAUGCCAUAGUUUGAAUAUAGGACGAUUGUUAUUAAUAAAUCUUAACUCACGUUGAGGUCAAAUUCUCGAGUGAGUCUAGUACUCAAAAUAUAUAGGUGUUGAUGGCUUCUAAGUGUAUGCCCAUAGCGUAAACAAAGUAAAAUGCAUAAAUUAAAAUGGGUGAUUGGUUUUGGGAAACGAUUUAACCAACAUCUAAUUAAGCUAACAACUAAAGGCAAUAAUUAUGAGUGAAAAUUCAAUAUAGGAAGGAUCUUCGAAUUAUGUCUACCUAAGGGCAAGUUAUGUAUGGGUGCAUGACAAUUGGGUGCAAAUUCUAGUCAUCAACGACAUGAUAGGCUAGGUUGAAGGCUCUCGAGACAAGUUUGUCAACAAAACCUCAAGAUUAUCACCCAUGGACCCUUUUGAUUACCUCACGGGUGUGAUAAUUAAAAUCAUCUAAUAUCUCAAUUGGACAUUCUUAUUUCUAGGAAGAUGCCCAAGACAUAGCUAACUAUCCACUCACCCUUAUUUCUAAGAUAGUGAAAAGAGAACAAACUACAUCUAUUAUUGUCCAAUAUUGCCUUGUGACCUAUAUCCCUAUUUUAGGGAUGAUAUGGGGUCUGAAAGUUCACUCACAUCCCUCUUUCAAGGAUGAUGUGAGCUUUAAGAACUUGGAGUUUUCACCCACAAAUCCAUUUUGGGUAUUUGAGAUUUUCACCCACAAACCCCAACUAAUUCAAGCAAGUAAUAGUUAAAUCCAUCAUCAACAUAUUAGAAUCUACACAAAUACAUCACAACCCACACAUAAUUGCACCUUAGUUCAACAUAAUCCCAAGACAAGAAAGUAUAGCUACUCAUAAAGUUAAAGAGAAGAGAUAUACCAAGAGGUUCAUUUUAAGCAUCCAUGGCAAUGGAAAAUAAGAAGAUUCUUCAAUUUAACUCCAAUUUCACCAAACCCAAAUUGGAAAAUUCUAGCACAAAAGUUUUUUCAAUUUGUAGGGUUACAAAUUAUCCAAAAUUCAAUUGUUCAAAGUGUAAACUAUCAAAUGGGAAAGAUUUUUAGCCUUGUAAGGAAAUUAGGGUUGGCGGUUUCAAAUUACGAAAUUACCCCUGGUCAAAACCCAAUUAAGUCGCGAUCGUAGCAGAUUAUCUGUGAUCGCAGCUAUCGCGACUGCUAUAGGUUUAUCGCGAUCGUGACACUUAACCCCACUUGACUGGCCGCGAUCACUUCCCUUAGACGGAGAUCAUGAUAACUGAGACUGGUUACUGUGCAGGGUGUUCCAGUUUGUGCACUUUUCUUCUCUUCUUAAUUCCUUUUAAGCUCAAUUCCAUAUCUUUCUUUCUCGUCACCUGUAUACCUGCAGAAUGUGAAAAUUAGUGCAUUCAACUAACAAAUUUAUCUUGUUCAUACCUUCAAAUCAUUAUAGUGUGCACGAAUUUUGGAUGUAAAUGAGUAGUAAAUUCAUCACUCAUCAUAUAUCAUAAUAAUAUGAUAAACAAUUCUAUUUAUUGAGUUUGUCUUUGUGCUUUUAAUUGUUUGACUAAUCAUUUAAUUCUCUUAGAAGUUUUUAUUAUAAUAUUCAGUUUUAGAUCAAUUUCAUAUUGUUUAAUUAAUUCAAUUGAUAAAUAUACAAACUAAAUUUUCAAUAAUUUAUGGUAUCUAUUAAAUAACUUUUAUUUUAUGGCUUUUAUUAAUACAACUGUCAAUAAUAUUAUUUGUACAAAUUUUGACAAUACUUAUUCAAUGACAAAAUUUAAAAAGUUUUAUUUUAAAAUUAUCUUUAACAUGUUGAUUUAUCUUCAAAGAAUUAAAAUUAUCUUAAAAAAAUAAUACUCCCUCCGUUUCAUUUUAUGUGUCGUCAUUUUCUUUUUGGUCUGUCUCAAAAAAGAAUAUCACCUUUUCUUUUUUGGUAACUAUUAAAACACACAAUCCACUUUUACCCUUAUUGAUCCCACUUAAUUAAAGAUAGUAGUAGUAUAAUUUUUUAAUAAAGGAUAAUUUGGUAAACAUCAUCAAUUUUUUUUUAUUUCUUAAAUUUUGUACCUAGUCAAAGUAUGCCACAUAAAAUGGGAUGAAGGGGAGUAUUAUACACGUAUUUCUAUUUUAUGUGUUUUGAUGAAUUUAUCUUGUUUAUUACUUCCAAUUUUUCUUUAUGAAAAUAGUCUUCACUAGGUAGCCUAAUCUAUUAAUUGGUAUUCUUCCGUUAAAUAAUCCAUAAGAAAAAUUGGGGUAGGCACACAUAAAAAAGGUCAAGAUAUGGGUAAUAUAUUAUAUUCUCUUAAAUUAAAAUUAUGAACUAAUUAAUGUUGCCACAUCAUUUUUUCGGUGGGAUUAUUGUAAAAUCCGGCUCUAGUGACUUUUAUGAUGACCGGAGCAAAGUAAAAUGACUUUUGUAUAAUGAAUAAAAAAAAGUAACUUUUGCAUAAUAAACACAAAGCUAAGUCACCAUGGAUGAAAAUUUACUCCUCAUAUUGAUAUUGAAUGUGUGAGGGUUAAACAAUGCAAAAUUAUAAAAUAAAAUUGAGUUAUUAACCUCAAUUUAUUUAUUUUUACAAAAUGUAUAAACUUUAAAAAAAAAAAAAAAUAAACCACCUCCAUGGUGGGGGGUUAGGCAGACCCCUACCAAAGUAAUUCUUUUAAAGUAUUCAAAAGUAUUUUUAUUUUUUUUCUCUUCUCUUCUUCCUCAAAAUUGUCUAACAACACUUUUUUUUUUUUUUUUGGUGAAAAGUCUAACUACACUUUGAUAAUUCAUCAUUUCUUCUUGAAUUUAUUGGAUCUUGUUGAAAUUAUUGGCAUUGUCACAUAACUCUGCCUUAUUAGUCGCAUUAAUAGGUGCCUUAAAAGCUAGAAUAAACUCCCCAGCCACCUUAUCAUCUUGAUUAUUCUUUCUUUUUCAACUCCAGGUCAUUAUCUAUUAAAUUAGUAUCUUAUAAGAAAAUGAAAAAGAACUCUAUUUUUUAUAUCAAACUCAAUUUAAAUAUUAUUAUAAAUAUUGGGGCGGGGCGUCUUGAAAACAAGAAAAAAAAAUGACAUGGGGUGAAUUGGAGUCUUUGCAGAUUUGCCCGCACCAUGUCUCACCAAUUGUUUAAUUAUCGUAUCAAUAAGAGAUCUUUAUUUUGGAGUUGGCUCGACCAUAAAGCAACUAAAGAAAUGUCUUGAGGCCUCAUUUUUUGUAAAUAUUUUUAUUAACUGACAACAGGAUACAUGUAUAGUGUAUAAAAUGUACAUAAGAUGUACGUAAAUGGCCCAAGAAGCACGUAAAUCGCACAAGAUGCACGUACAUCACACGAGAUGCACGGUUGGCACAUUGGAUACAUGUGUGAUGUACAAAAGCUAAUUUUAUUGAAUAUACUUGAAACCUAUGAUUAAACUUUGGCUUUAGGCCACCAAAUUCAUUUAAGCGACCUUGUUUACUCCCCACCAAGCAAUUUAUCUAUAGCAGUUAAAAAUUCAAGCGAGAAUACAUAUUACUAAAUCAUAGUUAGGUGACGAAUGAGUGUAAACACCAUUGUGCACAAGUUUUUACCUUAUGGUUAUACAAUGAGAUUAUAAAAUCAUAAGACCUAGAGAAAUAAAAUAAAUGAUCAUGCACAAUCCCAGUUUUCAGCAAAAGCUUUUAGUACUAUCUUUUGUCCUCCUCUUGAAAUAUGACAGGGUAGAAAUAUGUACCUCAAUAUUAAAUUUAUUAAGGCGCAAUACAUAAAUUUUAGAUGUACAAUUUAUAAAUUGAGCCAAAUAUAGAAAGAUCUUUAUGUAUCAUCCUAGAUUGAUAUUAUAAAUUAGCAAAUAAAUUGGUCAAAUGUCUAACUAUUUUUUUCAUUGCAGAUAUUAGAAACACUGAUGUGAAUACCUAUAAAGAUGUUUGUUUAAGGAACUGUUCCUGUAAAGCUGCUCUAUUUCGUAGUGGUUUAAACUCAUCAACAGAAGACUGCUACCUACCAUUCGAGAUCUUUUCACUAGCGAAUAAUAAGAAAGUCAGGACACGGUAUGAUUUCAAGGCAUUUAUAAAAGUACAGGAACCUGAACCCGUAGCUCAUAUUCCUAAAACGUUUUUAAGUGAGUCUAUACUAGGCUCUGUCAUAGUAUCUUCCAUCUUAAGCAUCGUAAUUGGAAUUAUAGUUUUCAUAUUCGGGAAGAAGAAGAGAAAGAGAGACCAAAGAAGAAGAGGAGGAUUAUCUUGAUCAAGUAUCAAGAAUAGAUUUUCUUAUAAUGAUCUAAAGGUUGCAAUGGAGAAUUUUACUAAGAAGCUUGGUGAAGGAGGAUUUGGGUCGAUUUUUGAAGGAUGCUUAGAAGAUGGCACAAAGAUUGCAGUGAAAUGCCUUGAUAGAAUAGGACAAGUCAAAAAAUCAUUCUUAGCUGAGGUUCAAACUAUUGACAGCAUACAUCAUAUAAAUUUGGUGCAAUUGAUUAGAUUCUGUGCUGAGAAAUCUCAUAGGACUUUAGUAUACGAGUUCAUGGGCAAUGGAUCACUAGAAAAAUGGAUCUACCAUGAGAAACAAGAGGAAAUUCUAGACUGGAUCUAUAGGAAGAAGAUUAUUCAAGAUGUAGCUAAAGGAUUAGCCUACCUUCAUGAAGAAUGCAGGUAAAAUAUUUUGCAUUUGGAUAUUAAACCACCAAACAUACCCCCAGAUGAGAAGCUCAACGCUAAACUCUCUAACUUUGGACUUGCAAAGCUAAUUGAUCAAAAUCAGAGCCAAGUCAUGACCAUGAUGAGAGACACUCCUGAUUAUUUCUCUCUUGAAUGGCUUAGUGGAGUUAUAACAGAAAAGGUAGAUGCUUACAGCUUUGACAUUGUUAUCUUGAAAAUUUUGAGUGGACGAAGACAUUUUGAGGCGUCAGAGACUGAAGAGGAAAGGAUAACAUUGAACUUACUCAGGAAAAGGCAGAGGAAGGACAGUUGGUGGAUCUUAUUGAUAAGCAUAGUGAAGAUAUGCAGUUUUACAAAGAAAAGUAAUAAUGACGAUGCAGAUUGUUGCCUGGUGUUUACAAUAUGAUUAAACAAAGAGGCCAUCAAUGUCAAUGGUGUUCAAGGCCAUAGAGGGUGUGCUAGAUGUAGAAAAGGAUCUAGAUUACAACUUUAAGCCACAAACUAUUCCUGCAAUACCAAAUAUAAGCUUUGUUGAUUCAACUCACUUACUGCCUUUGGUCCUAUCAAAUCCAAGGUGAGGAGGAAGUUCCUUAGAUUUUUUGUUAAUUUCUUAUUUUUAUGCUAUUGUUGUUUGCUUGCUGCUGUGUAAAUUUUUUCUCCAAUGUUCACAAAGUUAUGGUUGUUUUCUUCAAUUUAUUCAUUGCAGUAUUACUAAUCAACUCAUCAUUGUGGAUUUUUAUGCGCUUGUUAGCAUGAUAGUAUGUGUAACAAAAACAAGAAGGUUUUAAGUUAGAGCAGAGAAAUCAUUCUGAACCCAAUACUUCAAAGGACUUAAAAGCAAUAUUUUUAAAAUUGCAUCUCAUCUAUGGUAAAUACUUACAUGCACCCGGUGUUUACUCCCAGGGCUGGCUCGACCAUAAAGCUACUAAAACAAUGGCUUGAAACCCCAACUUUUUGGAGGUCCAUUUUUUCUAAAUAUUCUUGUUAACUGACAAAAGAAUACAUGUAUAGCAUACAAAAGGCACAUAAGAUGCACGUAAAUCACACAAGAUGUAUGUAAAUCGCACAAGAUGCACGUACAUUGUACGAGAUGCACGGAUGGCAUAUGAAAUACAUGUGUGAUACAUAAAAGCUAAUUUUAUUAAAUAUAUUUGAAAUCUUUGAUUAAAAUUUAAUUUUAGGUCAUCCAAUUCGUUGAGCCGACCUUGCGUUAUUUUUUUACGUAACAGUAUGAAAAGUUAAUUAUUGGGGUCCGAAGCCAACAGCCAAUGUGUGCUAUAAUUAUUUCCUUUUUUGGUAAAAGAGUUGCCAAUUAUUGACAUGUGGAAUGUUACUCCAUUAUUUAAUAAAGAAACAAGUCCAAACUUGGAAGUACACACAUUACCUUUUCUGAUUAACAUAAUGUUUUUUAAUCUCAUCGAUAUGGAUUAUAGUCAAAGGUCUUGAUUUUGAAUUCUAGGUAUAGAGAAAAUUCUAUUGGAUAGAAGCUCUACUCUCAAAAUAAGUCAUGCAGUGCGCGAUUCAAAUUAGUCGACCUCUAAUGAGGAUACCAAAUACUGGAUGAAAAAUAAAAAAAAUUAUAUAUAGUUUUAAUCUUAAUUGGUUGAAUCUCAGCAAACAAAUUGGCUUUUUCCUGUUUUCCCAAACAACAUGUCUGCUUCAUCUGGUUGGUCUUCUCCCUUACAUUCCAUUUGGUUGGUCUUCUUCCCCCACUGGGUGCCCCUGUUAAUGAAUGUGACAUUUUUUAAAACAGAAAAGGAUUUAUAUUCUCCAAAUUAAAUUAUGUGAAAUUGCACAAAAAUGUCCUCGUUAAUAGUUUGGUACCAAAAUUAUUUUAUCCUUAAUAAUUUGUAGAAAUCAUCAAAGACAAUUAUUUAUGGGAAAUUUUAGGAAUCCAGAGCUAAAAGGACUAUUUUUUAAUAAAAAUACCAAGGGGACAACUAAUUUUAAAAAAAAUGGACAAGUCGUGGGGAGGGGGGUAGCGACUCGUAAGUCAACGACGUGACAACGACUUGUAAGUCGCCCAUACCCCCAGCGACUUGCAUGAAACGUUGACUGGCAAACAUGUUGCAUGAUUCCUUUGAAAAAUGUUGCCAUCCCUGCAUGUAUUACAGGUAAGAACACAAUCAAGAAAAUAAAACAUUCAAAUACUUCUUAGCUCACCUCAAAGAUUUGCUGAUUUAAUUCCUUCUUUGAUUCCCUGUUUGCCUCCAGUUUCCACACGUAAGCUACUAAUUACACAUAUAGCAAGUGAUUAAUUAAAAAAAUAACAUAUAUAUUAGUCGACUUCUAUGUUUAUAUAUUCAUUGACAUUGUGUAAAUAUCGGAUACGAGUAAAUUUUUUUGUCGUUUAACAUUCUAUAUUCAUGGACGAGUCAAUUCCUCAUAUUGUCACUCAACUUAGGAAAAUGUCCAACUAAAGUCACUUAUUUUUUUUUUGUUCCAACAAUUUAUAAUUCCAAUUCCAAUAUUCAUUUCUAUGCCCAUAUCAUUAAUAUUGCUAAAGGGUAAAAUAAUAAAAAAAUUCAUUCAAUUUAUAAUUUCCCUAUUUUAUCAUUAAUAGAAAGUAAUUGCCUAUUUUAUCUCCAUCAUACACCAUUGACAACGAUUCAAAGUUCUUGAUAGAAUCUUGAUAUUGACAUCCACCUCGUUUAUCAUGAUAGAUUUUUUGAUUUUCUUUCUUCACGGAGAGAAAGUAAUUGCCUAUUUUAUCUCCAUCAUCCACCAUUGAAAAUGAUUCAAAGUUCUUGAUAGAAUCUUGAUAUUGAUAUCCACCUUGUUUAUCACAAGAGAGUUCUUGAUUUUCUUUCUUAGAGGAGUCACCACCCACAUUGACAAUGAUUCAAAGUUUUUGAUAGAAUCUUGAUAUUGAUAUUCAACUUGUUUAAGAGAAAAUUUCUUGAUUUUCUUUUUACUGUGGAAGUGCAUGCAUGUUGUUUAUUAAGGAGAAGAAGUGUUUGAAUUUAUAUAAAUUUAAUGUACGGUGACAUUUUUUGACCAAUGAGUGGUGAAUUGUUACGCACGUCUAACACUUUCAAAAUUUUGUCAUCACUUUCUUGAUUAUUCUCCAUGAAUUUUGGUUAUGUGGAGUUUCUAUAGGAGUUUGUAUAGAAUUCUCUUAUUUCCUAGCUAGAGUUCUUGUGGUUGCACUAUAUAUUAAUGUUCCAACAAUUUAUAAUUCCAAUUUCAAUAUUCAUUUCUAUGCCCUUAUCAUUAAUAUUGAAAUUAUAAUUGUUGGAACAAAAAAAGAUAAAUGACUUUAGUAGGACAUUUUCUUAAGUUGAGUGACAAUAUGAGGAAUUGACUCGUCCAUGAAUAUAUAGAAUGUUAAAUGACAGAAAAAUUUAUUCAUAUCUGAUAUUUACACAAUGUCAAUGAAUAUAUAAACAUACAACAUUGACUAAUAUAUAUGUUAUUUUUUUAAUUAAUCACUUGCUAUGUGUGUAAUUAGUAGCUUACGUGUGGGAACUGGAGGCAAAUAGAGAAUCAAAGAAGGAAUUAAAUCAGCAAAUCUUUGAGGCGAGCUACGAAGGGUUUGAAUGUUUUAUUUUCUUGAUUGUCUUCUUAUAAUACAUGCAGGGAUGGCAACAUUUUUCAAAGGAAUCAUGCAGCAUGUUUGGCAGUCAACGUUUCAUGCAAGGCGCUGGGGUAUGGGCGACUUACAAGUCGCUAUCACGUAAGCGACUUACAAGUCGUUGUCAUGUUAGCAAUUUAUAAGUUGCUGGCCCUCACAACUUGUCCAUUUUUUAAAAAGAACAAAUUAAUUAUAAAGAUAUUUUUGAUAAAAAAAAAAUAACCAUUUUGACUCCGGAUUCGAAAUUUUAGCGUUGUCUUUCUCUAUACAUGCAGUGUGAUGUAUUUAUACAAGUACAAACGAACAAAAGAAAUGAAGAAUAUUUAAAUUUCAACCUACUUGUAAAUUGCUUAUUGACUUAUGUACAUAAUUGCGCAACAAACUUAUUCUUUUACUAUGUUGAUGAUGUGCUUCUCACAUGUGUGUGGAGAAGCUUCUUGAAUAUGUUGAGUUGGACGGCUCUGAUCAUCCUUGUGGUCACAAUUAAUAUUGAAGGCUCGAUUUUGUGCCAUGUUGCUGAUAAUUCUUUAAGGUUGAGUCAAAACACUUCGUGUCUACAAAGUGUGUUUUGUUUCACUUCUCUCCUUUCUUUCUUUCUUUUCCAUCUGCUCGUGUUUCUCCAUUAAUGAAUCUUCAUCUUGACUCGAGAUCUCUUUAUUUCCAACAUAGUUGGCCCCCAAAAUGUCCACCAUAUCAUUAAUAAUUUGGCAAAAAAAAUACUUUACUUUUACUUUACUGGGCCAAACCUGCCCUUUUCUUGUCAAACAUAUUGUUCCCUUUCUUUUUAAAACUAGUUUAACCGCAUUUUAAAACUAGUUUAAUCGUCUGUGUAGCAUUUGAUUAUUUAAAAUUAAAUGAUUUUAUCUAUUGCGGAGAUUUUUAAUAAAGUGUAUAAGUUCAAAUCACUUUUCAAAAUCUUACACAUUUUAAUAUAAUAAUGUAAACAUAUAUAUAUACAAAUAUAUGUUUUACCACCAGAAGUUUCAAAUGGUUGAUGGAUCAUUAUUUUUACGUUUGUCAUAUAGUACUUCUUUCCCUUGUUGUUACAGGCUAAGAGAGACGCAUAACCAUAUUUGUGUUAUGAUUAUUUUUUUAUAUAUAUUUAAAAUCUUUUCAUAUUUUUAAAGUCAAACCUUUACAACAUCAUUUAUUACAUUCUUAUUACGUACUAAUGGAAAAAGUAUCAGCUGUGUCAGUUAGUGCAAUAGAGUUAUUGCAUUGGAGUUUGUUGUAAUAGAGUUAUUAAAACAGUAAAAGAAGAUUAAGAGGUUAAUCCUAGAAGCAUGUAGUCUGUAUUCGAGGUUGCUUUAACAUAGUGAAGUGGUUGAAAAUCCUACGUGGUAGGUUGUGGUAUUACUCCCUUGAGCAAGGACGUUUCCGCAUAAAAUAUCAUGUGCGUGCAUUGUUCUUUACGUUGUUUUACUUUUAAUUUCGUUCAUUAAUGCAUACAAUAGUUGGGACCACGUCCCUAAGUUGGUGGGCAUUUCGUGCAGUUCUUCAUUUGGUAUCAGAGUAGAUUCUUCCUAAAAAGGUAACACCCAAGAAGGAUCAUCUAAAUAGCAACAUCACCAAAUCUUGAAGAGGGUCAGGACAAUACUAUGGGUAGUGGAAAACUUAUAUGCAUGACUUCAUUAUGGCUAAGGACUGUAAACUAUGGGAUGUUAUUGUUGAUGGGCUUUUGUUUCCACUAAUCUAGUAAAAGUGGGUGAUGUUACUUCCAACGUUCUCAAAACAAGGAUGGAAUAUGAUGAGGCUAACAGGAUAAAGAUAGAGAAAAACUUUAAAUCUAAGAACUCCUCGUGUGUGGAAUUGAUCCUGAUGAAUGUAACAGGAUUUCAACUUGUGAAACGGUCAAGGAAAUCUGGGAAUGCUUGCAAACUCUCCAUGAGGGAACUAGUCAAGUUAAGGGGUCAAAGGUAGAUAUGUCGACUAUGCAAUAUGAAGCUUUCAGUAUGAAAUAAGGUUAGAUCAUGUUGGGUUCAUAGUAUAUGAAAGAAAUGUGAAUGGAAAAAUAGAGAGUAAAAUGGUGGAGGUAAAGAGACAAUAAAAUAGAAAGUGUACUCCCAAAUUAGAAAGUUUACUCUUUCUCCCAUAUUGGUGGAAGAACAGAACUUGAAAGUGUUUAUAAUCAAGAACACUUACUCCACAUGAUAAGUGAGGCAAGAAAUAAGAGAUGCCUCACGCUCGGCUUCAGCUUCAGAUUUGGCUUUGGAUUUGGAAAAGGAUCGAUCGAUGAGAUCUAUCUUUUUGGAUAAAAUUUAUUUGAUGAAAUCUGAUCAAUGACAAAAACACAGAAAAUUUUUCUGUGUGUUUAAUACUCCAUUUAUAUGCAUGCAGUAACAGUAACAGAUGUAAUGUUUCGACUAAAUUGAUGCACUAUUUCUGUUUCGACUAAACUGAUUUAGAUUUUUGAAAAAAUGUUUCCUGAACUAAUAGAUUGGUUUAAACAGAUGCAAUUCUUCAACGAAGUGAUGCACUGUUUCGAAAUGGUGCACUGUUUCAUGAAAUGGUAUUAUUGUUUCAACCAAAAUAUUGCUCUAUUUUGGGUAAACAGGCAUGCAUUUUCAGAAAAGUCACACCUCUAAAUUGAACCACUGCCACCUUUUCAAAGAGGCAUGUUAUGGUUAUAUAAACCUGGUUUCAUUCACAGGUUUUGAUAUGAACGAAAAUUUCAGAAUAAAAAUACUCUUCUUGCCUUAAAAAUAUUCUGUGUGAUCACUCAAAACGUUCAGUGAGUUCGACGAUAUUUCAAUUGUUUGAGGUACCGCUAUAGUUGGUUUGUUUGGCCAUUUUAUCCUGGGAGGAAAAUUCCGCAACCUCAGGUACAGUGAGGGAAAUUAUUUCCUUAAGAAAAGUUCGUGAAUUCAGGCAACUUAACCAUUUCUGUUUCAUCUUUAUUUCUGAAAAAUAAAAUAAACCUCUUAUAAAGAUCAUUUUGAUCUUGGGUAGAGGGUAUUUUCUGUACUUCAUUGCGUUCUUGUUCUUAAACUUGAACUAGUUGAAGUGGUUGUUUCUAGUAUACAGAUUCUUGUAUCCAUAGAAGGAAAAUAACAAUCUUAAGGAAAUAAUUUUACAGAAUCUGUAUUACUUUUUUUUGGAGACUAAAGCUUUAAGCUUUCUACUCCGCUUGAAUUUAACUAGUAAUUAGAAGACAUAAAUCUUCAUUACAAGUUAAAGUUCACUCGGUUGGCGAUUUGAAGUUAUAAAAACUUCAUCGUUAACUAGAAACAAGAAGAAAAGUUAUUUAACUUUAUAAGUAGUAUUCUGAAAAUGCUAAAUUUUUUUGUCUUGUGGUGACAGGAAAAAUAAUAAGCGAAAGUCAAAUGCAAGAUGUAGCAACAUCUGUGGGGGCAACUAAUAUUGCCACAUCAAGUUGCACAAAUGCUCCGCCUACAAUGGCACCGGCGGAGAAGCACAGAAAAUUUACGGGCAUUGACUUUAAGCGAUGGCAGCAAAAGAUAUUCUUUUACCUCACCACUUUGUGUCUGCAAUGGUUCACAAGCGAAGACGCUCUUGAGUUGCCCGAGAGAACCUUGGACAAAGAGCGUUUCGAAAUUGUAGAAGCUUGAAAACAUUCAGACUUCCUUUGCAGGAAUUAUAUUCUGAGUGGUCUCCAAGACGACCUCUACAAUGUUUACAGUGGAACUAAGACAUUGAAAGAAUUGUGGGGGGCAUUUAAACAAAAAUAUAAAACAGAGAAUGCGAGAAUUAAGAAAUUCCUUGUUGCACGAUUUCUGAAAAAUACCUUAGUUGAACAAAUUAAAAAUGUUCUUAAUACUCAUAUAAACUGUUUUGUAGGUUUGAUUGUGAAUGAUACAUUUCAAGUAGCAGCGGUAGUUGAGAAGCUACCACCUUUGUGGAAAGACUUCAAAAACUACUUGAAGCAUAAAUGCAAGGAGAUGACUGUUGAAGAUCUUAUUAUCCAACUGCGUAUUGAAGAGGAUAAUAAGGCUACUCAGAGAAGGUCAAAAGGGAAUUCUAUAAUUAAUGGAGCACAUAUUGUAGAAGAUGAUCAAAACAAUUCUAAGAAAAGAAAGAAAGCUGAACAAGGAAGCCACCAACCUAAGAAGAAAUUCAAGGGAAAAUGCUUCAAUUGUGGCAAGAUUGGCCACAAGUCCACGGAUUGUCGUGCCCCAAAGAAAGGCAAGAAAAAGAAUCAAUCAAAUAUGAUUGAAUCCAACAAAGAAUGUGAUGAUUUGUGUGUUAUGUUCUCAUAAUGCAACUUGGUGGGAAAUCCUCGCGAAUGGUGGAUGGAUUCUAGUGCCACCCGUCAUGUAUGUGCCAACAAAGAGUUAUUUUCAUCAUUUGCUCUGGCUCAAGUAGAAGAAAUGAUUUACAUGGCUAACUCCGCUACCGCUAAGGUAGAAGGAACAGGAAAAAUAUGCUUGAAAAUAACUUCAGGAAAGGUCUUGACCCUUAACAAUGUUUUGUAUGUUCCGGAGUUACGUAGGAAUUUAAUUUCUAUUUCACUUCUAGACAAGAAUGGAUUCAAUUGUGUAACCAUUUCUGGAAAAAUUAUAAUUAGGAAAGGAGAAAUGUAUGUAGGAAAAGGCUAUCUCACCGAGGGCCUUUAUAAGAUAAAUGUAAUGACUGUUGAAAUAAAUAAAAGUUCAAAUUCUUCUUAUUUGCUUGAGUCUUAUGAUUUAUGGCAUGAACGUUUAGGCUAUGUUAAUUACAAAACACUAUGAAAACUGAUUAACUUAGAAGUUUUGCCAAACUUUGAGUGCAAUAAAUCAAAGUGUCAAACGUGUGUGGAAUCAAAGUAUGCAAAGCAUCCUUAUAAGUCCGUUGAAAGGAAUUCCAAUCCCUUAGACUUAAUACACACUGACAUUUGUGAUAUGAAGUCAACACCAUCACGUGGUGGAAAAAAGUACUUCAUAACUUUUAUUGACGAUUGCACUAGAUACUGUUAUGUCUACUUGCUAAAUAGUAAGGAUGUAGCAAUAGAUGCGUUUAGGAAAUAUAAAACUGAAGUUGAAAAUCAGUUAGACAAAAUGAUCAAAAUGAUAAGAAGUGAUAUGGGCGAAGAAUAUAAAUCUCCCUUUGCGCAAAUAUGUGUAGAGAAUGGAAUCAUCCAUCAAACUACGGCCCCAUAUUCACCUCAAUCUAAUGGAAUUACGGAAAGAAAAAACUAAACUUUGAAGAAAAUGAUGAAUGUCUUACUUAUAAGUUCUGGUUUACCGCAAAACUUGUGGGGGAGGCUAUUCUUACGGCCAAUCGUAUACUCAAUAGAGUUCCCCAUAGUAAGACACAAUCAAUUCCUUAUGAAAAAUGAAAAGGAAGAAAACCCAACUUGAAAUAUUUUAAAGUGUGGGGGUGUCUAGCAAAGGUCCAAAUUACUAUGCCUAAAAGGGUUAAGAUAAGACCUAAGAUGGUGGACUGCGUGUUCAUAGGAUAUGCUAAAAGUAGUAAAGCAUGUUGGUUUUUGGUUCAUAAAUUCGAACAUCCAUAUAUAAAUGAAAAUACAGAAAUUGAAUCAGAUAAUGCUGAAUUCCUUGAAAAUAUUUACCCGUAUAAACUUAGACAUGAACAGUCUAGUGGAGGAUCUAAACGACCUUGAGAUGAACCAAGUGAGAACGUACAUAAUUAAGAAAAUCCAAGAUGUAGUACAUGUCAAAGAACGUCAACUUUGUUUGGAUCAGAUUUUGUAAUAUUUCUCUUAGAAAAUAAGCCUCAAACGUUUAAAGAAGCGAUGUCGUCGUCAGACUCAUCCUCUUGGAAAGAGGCAGUCAAUAGUGAGAUUGAUUCAAUCUUAAGCAAUCAUAUGUGGUAAUUGGUUGAUCUUCCUCCAGGAUAUAAACCUUUAGGUUUUAAAUGGAUCUUCAAAAGGAAAAUGAAAGCGGAUGGUACUAUUGACAAAUACAAGGCAAGACUUGUAGUAAAAGGUUUCAAAAAAAAUAAAGUUCUUGAUUACUUUGAUGCAUACUCGCCUGUAAAAAGGACAACAUCGAUUCAAAUGCUAAUUUCCUUGGCGUCGGUAUAUGAUCUUGAAAUCCACCAAAUGGAUUUGAAAACCGAAUUCUUAAAUGGAGAAUUAGAGGAAGAAAUUUACAUAGAAUAGCCUGAGGGUCUUGUGGUUCCAGGAAAAGAUAAUAAUGUGUGUAGACUUAUUAAGUCAAUGUAUGGACUAAAGCAAUCACCUAAACAAUGGCAUACAAAGUUUGACCAAACCAUAUUGGCAAACGGGUUCAAGAUAAAUGAAUAUGAUAAAUGUGUUUAUAUUAAAGACACUCUAAAUCACCAAGUCAUUGUUUGUUAAAUGUGGAUGAUAUGUUAAUCAUCAGUAGAGACAUUUCUGACAUAAAUGCAACAAAACGAAUGCUCGAGAGCAAGUUUGAUAUGAAAGACCUUGGAGUUGCAGAUGUGAUCUUAGGUAUAAGAAUCCAUAGAACUCCACAAGGGUUGGCAUUGUUAAAGUCUCGUUAUAUUGAAAAGGUACUUGGCAAAUUCAAGUAUAUGGAAUUCGGUAUUGCCAAGACUCCAUUGGAUGCGAGCUUUCUACUUUGAAAGAAUGAAGGUGAAAGUGACUCACAAUUGGAGUAUGAAAGAGUAUUGGGAUGUUCAAUGUAUAUAAUGAAUUGUACACGGCUAGACAUAACAUGCGCUAUCAGUACAUUGAGACGGUACAUGAGUAAUCCCAACAAAAUUCAUUGGAUGACAUUGAAAAGAGUUUUGGGUAUCUUAAAUACACUUAAGAUUAUGCUUUCCAUUAUAAUAAAUAUCCUGCGGUACUUGAAGGAUAUAGUGAUGCAAAUUGGAUCACCGGAUCGAAUGAAGUAAAAUCCACAAGUGGAUAUGUAUUUACUAUCGAUGGAGGAGAAGUCUCUUGGAAAUCGUCUAAACAGACUUGUAUUGCUCGCUCUAUAAUGGAAUCUAAAUUUAUCGCAUUGGAUAAAGCCGGUGAAAAAGUAGAAUGGCUCCAAAAUUUCUUGGAAGAUAUUUUGUAUUGGCCUAAGCCAGUGGCACCAGUAUGUAUACACUGUGAUAGUCAAGCGGCUAUAGGUAGGGCAGGGAGCAUUAUGUAUAAUGGUAAAUCUCGUCACAUAUGACGGAGACAUAAUACCGUUAGGGAACUUCUCUCUAAUGGAAUUAUCACUGUUGACUAUGUAAAGUCAAAGGACAAUAUGUCGGAUCCACUUGCAAAAGGCCUAUCUAGAGAAGAAGUGGAAAGGACAUCCAAGAGAAUGGGUUUAAAGCCUAGGACAAAUCAGCAUGGCGGUAACUCUACCUAGCAGACUGGAGAUCCCAAGAGUUAGGUUUAAGGAGAUCAAACAAAGUUGUGUCUGACAGGUUCAAUAUUGUCAAUUACCCAACCCAUUCUCAUGAUGUAGACAAUGUAUAGUAAACAAGGAUAAGACUUAAGGUGAAAAGUCUUUUAAUGAUUAUCUAAAUUUGGCAUAUUUGACCAAAUAGUUUAAUAUAUAGGAUUAAACAUUUAGAAAUCACCUAUGUGAGGGAGAAAUAUAAGCAGCUUCAAGGACAAUGUUAAUAAUGGCCUAUUCUCUAAGCUCUCAUGAAACCGGGACGUGUUCAUGGCUGAAAAGAAUAAAACCGUGAGAACCAAAAACAUUAAAAGGCUGGUUGUGUGACAUGUAUUGUCUAGGUGGACAUUAAAUCUCGACGCUUCAAAGAUAUCAAAUCUAUUGAUUGACCGAGUGCAUCCGAUGCAUGUUCACUACGGAAAGUUCAAAAGGAAAGCCACUUAUUCAGAUGCAAUCAGUCUUUGCUUGAUGAUCACAUACUUGUUCGUAAAACUUUUAUGAAAAAUAGACAUUCCCCAUUCAUGUGGGGGAUUGUUGGGUUCAUAAUAUAUGAAAGAAAUGUAAAUGGAAAAGUAGAGAGUAAAAUGGUGGAGGAAAGGAGACACUAAAAUGGAAAGUGUACUCCCAAAUUAGAAAGUUUACUCUUUCGCCCAUAUUGGUGGAAGAAGAGAACUUGGAAGUGUUUAUAAUCAGGAACACUUACUCCACAUGAUAAGUGUGGCAAGAAAUAAGAGAUGUCUCGCACCGUCAUCGUCGCUCGCUCGGCUCGGCUUCGGCUUCGGCUUUGGCUUCGGAUUUGGAUUUGGAUAUGGAUUUGGAUCGAUCGAUGAGAUCUAUAUUUUUGGAUAAAAUUUAUUUGAUGAAAUAUGAUCAAUGAUAAAAAUGCAGGAAAUUUUUCUGUGUGUUUAAUACUCUAUUUAUAUGCAUACAGUAACAGUAACAGAUGCAAUAUUUUAACUAAACUGAUGCAUUAUUUCUGUUUUGACUGAACUGAUGUAGAUUUUUGAAAUAAUGUUUCCUGAACUAAUACAUUGGUUUGAACAGAUGUAAUUCUUCAAUGAAGUGAUGCACUAUUUCGAACUGGUGCACUGUUUCAUGAAAAGGUAUACUAUUUCAGCUAAAAUACUGCACUAUUUUGGGUAAACAGACAUGCAUUUUCAGAAAAGUCACACCUCUAAAUUGAACCACUGCCACCUUACCAAAGAGGUAUGUUAUGGCUAUAUAAACCUCUUUUCAUUCACAGGUUUUGAUAUAAAUGAAAAUUUCAGAAUAAAAACACUCUUCUUGCCUUAAAAAUAUCUGUGUAUUCACUCAAAACAUUCAGUGAGUUCGAUGAUAUUCCAAUUGUUUGAGGUACCGCUACAGUUGGUUUAUUUAGCCAUUUUAUUCUGGGAGGAAAAUUCUGCAACCUUGGGUAUAGUGAGGGGAAUUAUUUCCUUAAGAAAAGUCUGUGAUUCGGAUGACUUGGCCAUUUCUGUUUUAUCUUUAUUUCUGAAAAUAAAAUACACCUCUUAUAAAGAUCACUUUGAUCUUGGGUAGAGGGUAUUUUCUGUACUUCAUUGAGUUCUUGUUAUUAAACUUGAACUAGUUGAAGUGGUUGUUUCUAGUAUACAAAUUCUUGUAUCCGUAGAAGGAAAAUAACAGAUCAUUCAAGAAAUGCACAGCAGGUUCACUUCUAUCACUGAUGCACUUCAUUUCCUUGGUGAGGAUAUAUAUCCGAGCUACCAAACAGGUUCACAAAGUCCUAAGGAUAUUACCUAAGUCAUGGAAGAACAAGGAAAAUACAAUAACUGAAGCUAAGGACCUAAAGACCCUAACUAUGGAUGAGUUGCAUGGGAAUCUUAAGACUUAUGAACUCAAGAAACAAUAAGACAAAGCUAGAAGUGAGCAGAAGAAAGAAAAGAAUUUGGUGUUGAAAUCUGCAAAUUAUUUUUCUCUUUAAGUUGAACAAAAUAAUUGAAAAAACUACAAAUAUGCUUAGCCAAGCGAGUGCCAAAUCAAAUAUUGCUACAGUAAAGCCAAUCUACUAGCAACUUGAGAAAAUUGAAGGAAAGGUAUCUUUUAAGUCUUGAAUGAAAGAUUGGUGACAUUGACCAACAGAUAGGGUCAAACAUCAUUAGAAUACUUGAUUAAGUUAAUUGUGGACUUGAUUAAUAUUUUUAAAACGUUCUAAUCUUUUCAAAAAUACAAAUCAACCCAACCCACACCUCUCUUCAAUCUAAAUCAAUCACUCUCUCCUCUCUCUCCAGCUUCUCUCAAUUCUCUUCCAGCCAAUAGUUCUGCAAAAUUUCUCCCUUCAACCUCUGGUGACAAAUAGUCGAGCAAGUUUUUUUUCGACUUUCAACUAUCAAUUAACGUGAAUACUUCUCUAGUGACAACAACUUUGAGUUUUUCGUCCUCCCAUUUCCUUUUUCACAGGUAAAAAAUUAUGAAUAAACAGAGGAACUUGAGCCAACUACUCUUCUAGUAUUGAAAUAUGAACUGAAUAAAACCUUAAUUUCUGGCAUUUCUGCAUUUCUUCUUCUUGUUUUCGUACUGUUGAUUCAAAUUUAUUGGUGAUUUUUUAUCACAGUUGAUGUUCUUAGUGUGUGUGUAUGUGAUGUGUUAGUGUUUUGGGUUGAUUUAUUAUUGUCUUGGUAGAAAUGGUAUUGCAACAGUUGAAAUAUCUGAUGUAAUAGAUGAAACAUAUGAUGUAACAGAUGAAAAUCUGAUGCAACAGAUGAAAAAUCUGAUGUUACAGAUGAAAAAUCUGAUGCAACAGAUGAAAAAUCUGAUGCAACAGGUGAACAAUCUAACAGAUCAUUCAUCUGUUGCGACAAAUAACUCUUCUGUUUGGAAGAAAUCUAAACAAUAUUGAUCCAAUAGAUAACUUAUUAGUGAUCUAUUUUUAUUCUUUUCAAUGGUUUACUCUUCAUUUUACAACAAAUUAGGACUAUUUUUAUUCUUUCCAAUGGUUUACUCAUCCAUUGCAACAAGUCAAUUAUCUGUUGCAACAGAUAACAUAGCUGUUGUAACAGAUUAUUGAUCUAUUUUUAUUCUUUCCAAUGGUUUACUCAUCCAUUGCAAUAGGUCGGUUAUAUGUUACAACAGAUAAAAUAUCUGGUGCAACAGAUAAAAUAUCUGGUGCAACAGAUUAGUGAUCUAUUUUUAUGGUUUCCAAUGGAUUACUCAUCUGUUGCAACGGGUCAGUUAUGUGUUGUAUCAGAUAAACUACCAGGUGCAAUAGAUAGAGUUGUUUUUAUGGUUCUCACGAAUUACUCAUCCGUUGCAACAGGUCGAUUAUAUAUUGCAACAGAUAACAUACUUGGUGCAACAAAUUAGUUGUCUGUUGGAACUGUUAUAUUACUGUUAUGCAUUAAUUAAUUAUAAUCUAUGUUAUGUUCCUGUUAAUUUAAGAUAACAUGGCUCCCAAAAGAAAAGAAAUCGAAUCAAGUCCAAGUAAAGGAAUAAGUGCAGCAACUCUGCUACAUCCACCACUCUAUGAGUUUGCUUUAUAAGUGUUAUCUUAAUCAGGAGCAGAAGAUAGUCAACACGGGGCGGAGGAAUCUUUCAAAAGAGAUGAUCCAAAUGAUAAUAGCCCUUCCGUCGAAGAGUUGGUCAAAAUCUUCAGCAUUUAUCGUUAUCCUGUGAAAAUACAGUAUGAUGGUGCCACAGAUUUAAUGGGUGAUCUCGUGGUUAAGUCAUUCAUAGGAAAAUCUUUUGAAGCCUUCAGAAAAAUACUUCGAGAAGAAAAAUUGGAUUCUUAUUUCAGGGAAAGCUGCUUUGGGCAAUAUCUUGAUAUGUCGGAGGACAACAAUGCUAGUUUCCAGAUGAAAAGGUAUGUGAUCUUCUCAAGUGCAGGUUUAUGUAUGAAAACAAAGAUAUUAUGGAUGAGGUGUGGAUAAAUUACUGUGGCAUGCCUAUUUAUUUUGGUUGGGAGGAUUUUUCCAUAGUUAUCGGACUAAAAUAUUAUCCUCCUUCUCUUUCUCAAGUUAUACCUACUCUGACCCAAAAAAAAGCACCCCGCACACCCAAAAAAAGAAAAGGCAAGUCGAGUGAUCGUGAUAACUUGGUGUCCAUUGUUGGUCUAAGCUUCAAAAUAAAAAUCUGAUUGAAGCUUUGAAAGGUAAAGGACUUUUAAAGAAGCACAAGCAAUCAUUAUGCUUGGUUUGGUUUGUCAUAAUGUUCUUUGGGGUGAGAGAUGUUAACAACAACAUAAGCCUCAGUUUAAUAAAUCUCUCUGAGGAUCUUAAGGCAUUUAAAAGCUAUCCUUGGGGUUAUGUAAGCUUCAAAAUGACUGUCGAAUAUUUGUUGACUCCGUUAAUGCCAAAAACAGUCAACUUAUAUACUUUUCCAUGGGCUUUCAUGGUAAAUAUUUCUUUUAUCAUGAUAUGAUUCAUCAUUUUUUUAUUCAAUAAUGCUUUUGAUUUAUUGACGUUAUGUUAUAGGCUUGGGCAUUGAAGUCAUUCCUUAUUUGAGACGAGUGAACUAUCGGAAGAAGUUUCCUGUCCAAGAAUUUUGAGAUGGUUGUAGGCCAAAAUCGAUAAAAAUUUAAAAUUUCUUGAUCUUUUCAAUCCCCCCAAGUAAGCAGUAAGUCCAAUUCUAAUUAAAUUUUUGUUUUAAUUAAUGAUUAAAUGAUUUCAUCAUCAUUCUUAAUAUAUGUACCAAUUUAUUUUAGAUUGUCCAUCCGUAGCUUAUUCCGACCAACUAAGAGUUGAAAAUGUCAUUUUUUCUUACUUCAUGAUCUGUGCAAACUUUAUCGGACCCUAAGGUCGUUGAUGGAAUAAAAAUGGAAUUGUUUGGAGCAACAACCAUAACGAGAAAAAUAAUUUUGGAGGGUGAGGCUAAUGAUGCUCCUCUGACAGUUUUUGAAAUAACAAGUCAUUAUGAUUAUGAUCAUAAUAGUUGUACAAAUUUUUCUCCAUAUUUUGCCACAUCUAACGAAUGUUCUUCAUGCAAAUGCCAAGACUGCAAGGUGAAAUACGAUAGAGUGAUUAAUGCUAUCAAUGCACUAAAUGCUUUUGUAAAGAAAAUGACAUCUAAAGAAAAUGACAUCUAAGAGGGGUGUCAUUCCAUCAAAGAGGAUUUCAUAUCCAGACACUCCACUAGAGAUCAAGGCAGCUAAGAGGAAAAGGAAGGACACUUUUAAGGCAUCAUCAAUCAUCAAAAAAAUCAAGAUUGCAAUGCCUCUGUCUUUGUCUUGCACCGAUGUUCAGUGUGUAAGGGCCACAGAAGAGCAGCAUGAACUGAAGAAGGUGAAUGUACAUCAUCUAUUCCAAAAAAAACAACAAGCACAUAUCUAUUUCAGCAGAUGAUACAUCUACUGAAAAUUAUCAAAUAGUUAUAUACAUUUGUUGCAACUGUUGUCUAACCCAUUGCAUCAUAUUUGUUAUCUGUUUUAAUAGAUGAGUCAUAUUGCAACAGAUGGGUCAUUUGUUCGAAAUUUUCGUACUGCUCUGAUUUACCUGUUCGAAUCUAUCCCAACAGAUAAUUCAUCUGAUGCAACAUAAGACUCAUUUGUUUCAAUAGAUGGAAAAUCUGUUGCAUAUCUCUACUUAGCAUUGACAAUUCUGGCUUUCUAGGUGGAUGUCACAACUACUGCCAAAGAGCAUAAUAUGACAGUUGAUAAUCCAUCAACUGCUUCCAAAGAUGAAGAAAAAAUAGAGUCUGUCAGUUUGGCAGAAUAGAAGAAUACCUAUUUGAAAGGUUCAGCAUCUCAGACGAGGCUCUAAAAAACCUAACACGGUUGAUCAACAACUAUUCAGAAUGUAUUGUCAAUGGGUUGUUAAAGCAUCAUGCCAGUAGUAACAUAAAUCAAUUUUAUGGAUAUUGGUUUAUACAAUUCUUGUUGUAAGAACCUGAUAUUAACACAUAUAAAUCAUCAUGUAGAAAAUAAAAUAACGAGCGCUACAAAGUAAAUGAAUCGAGUCUUGGUUUUGAUAUGUUCAACUUUAUUGUUGCACAUCCCAGAAUGAAGAAUUGGUUCUAUUUGAUGUCACAGCCUCAAACUUGCUGGAAUGAUGAGGUUUAAAUGUCAUACAUAUUACCAUUAAUUAAUACUUUAUUUAAUUAUAUCUACGUAUUGAUUUUUUCAUCAUGUAAUCAAACAUAUUUGAUAAUAUGUGCAGCAUAUCGAUGUUAUUUUUUACUACCUCCGAAAGAAGGCCAAGUUGCAAACACAAGAACAAUACAGAUACACAACAGGCAAUUAUUUGUACAAAGUUUACAUCAAUAAUGCCUACGAUAGGUAUUAUCAACAGCAGCCGGAAGUUUUCCAAAACGAGAAAUGCUUAAUCAACAUCAUCAAAGGUUUUAGAAUUUUGGAUGGCUUACCUUGGCAUUUGGCCGACGAAGUGUACAUUCCAAUCAAUUAUGGUGAUGAAUUCCAUUGGGUGUUGGCUGUCGUCGUUCUAAAAGAGAGGAGCAUCCGAGAUUAUGACUCAAUGUCGCGAAGGAGACGUUCGGGGCCGUCAUUUAAGAUACAAAAGCUGACCAAAAUAUUGCCUACCUGACCAAAAUAUUGCCUACUUACCUUGAUAUGAGUAGCUUUUUGGAUCAAAAGGUUCGUACUGGUUGGUCGACAAUUGAAACAUACCGAGAUAAAAUGGCUAAUUCAUUUGAUGUACAAUAUGUUGAAGGAAUUGCUCAACAAACCAUUGGUAGCCUAUAAGUUUAAGUGUCAUGAUUUAGUUUCAUUUCACAAAUUUCACAACGCUUGCAUGAACUGCAAGAUAUGGAUUAUCUGAUUUUUUAUAACGCAGGGAUUGUGGUCCUUUUGUUGCCGCCUAUGCCGAGUAUUUGAGUGAUGGAUUACAAGUACCAAAUGAUGGACUUAAUGCCGGAUUACUCCGUAAAAGAUAUGCUGCUCUUUUAUGGAAAUAUGGAGAAGCGAAAGCUCAGAAGCCAUACGCAACCGACGUUAAAGAUCCACGAUGACCAAAGCUGAAUUUCAUAGCACUGGAUGAAGAACAACUUGUCCAUAUUGAUUAGUUCUUUAUAGCUUGAGCCCGUCAAUAUAAUAACCUAUCCUCCUUGGUUUAACUUGUUGAUUUAUUUGUAGAGUAGAUCGUUUGUACCCAUAAUGAUUUUUUUUACAUUUCAUUUAUUUGUUGAGUUAGUUCAUGUAAUUUUUGAAGGCUUCGAUUUAUUUUAUUCUGUCUAUAAAUAUAAUUAAUUCUGAGUUUUGAACAUGUUAAUUGAAAUGGAGUACUAGAUUCAAAUAUUGCAACAGAUAAUACAUCUACUGCAACAGACGACAUAUCUUAUCAAAUAGAUUUAGACAUAUGUUGCAACAUGAGAUGCAAUACGUAGGUCAUCUGUUGGAAAUUAUGUAACAGGUCUUCCUACUUUUUUUAUUUGCUCCAACAAAUUACCGAUCAGUUGCAACAAAUAAGUUAUAUGUUGCAAUAGAUCAUAAAUCUAUUGCGGUAGACAGACGAGGAAUAUAUGCAUAACGCAAUAGAUGACCAACCUAUUCCAACAGAUAAUCAAUUUGUCAUAACAGGUACUAUAUCUGUUAUGACAGAUAUAAAAUCUGUUGCAUUAUAAAAAUUCAACUUUGCCAGACAUAAAAAUUAUUUCCUCUACAUAUAUAGUGAAUUGGCUUGAAAUGAAAAUUUUUUAUCGUGUUCGUCUCUAUCAUUGUACAUGUUCUUUUUUAUACAUGGGCUCCAACCAUUUAGUUAGUACCCCAUAUGCCCAGACCCAUUGCAUUUUUCCCAUAAUGGUAUUGUAUACACUGAUCAUUUGUGUGCCGAUCAGCAAACACUCGAUGUAUGCAAGCGAGUACGGCCCACACGCUGCACCGGUUGUAUUUUUUGGGAGCUGGAUGUUCUUAUUUUGACCUUCAAAAACCCAUGAUUUCUUCGCCAAGACUUCAGCCGGUAAAUGAUCCAUCAGCUUACUCUGCGUUAACAACUUGGGCAACAACUUCAAGAGAGGUUGCAUAUGGGUUAAAAAUGUCUUCUCUCUGAACACAGGUAAGUUGCAGUCAUAAACCUUAAUAUUUCCCUCGUAUAGUAGUAUCUCAACAGUGAUAAAAUGGGUGACAUCCAUGUUCAUGACUGCAAGGAUUCUCUUUGCCUUGGUCCAACUCUUGCCGUGUGGAUAUGGCCUCUUCCCUCUAACAUAUUUAAUCACUUCUUCAUCCCAUUGGAAUGUAGAAACUAACUGAUUAAAUUUCGGGCCACCAAAAUCAGCUAUCUUAUAGAGUUUAGCGUACCUAUCCUUGAAAUUAUUGUAAAAGUUGAGGUCCGUUAUCCUAUCGGCAGACAAUUUUUAAAUAGGUUAGUAAUUGUAAAGAAUAAAAACACAGUCAAAAGAAUCCAAUAUAGAGAGUUCUCUGAAUCAGUUCACAGAUUACCCAGCUAACGCAACUUAUACAACAGAUAUGUAUUAUGUUACAACAGAAUACCAAGUUUUCAAAAUAGAUUACACAUCUGCUGCGUAGAUUUUUCUUCAUGGAGUAGAUUGGAAGGGUAGGUUAGAAAAAGUAAACUUACCUUGUCCUCGUACCACACGCACAUAUUUUUCAUAUUUGAAAAGUCUUUGGUGGCAAAUAAAUGCAUGGUGUAUUCUUUUUUAACCUUCAUCUUGAUGAAUUCUUCCAGUUCCUUCUUCUUUUCCUUGCCAAGCGCCACGAAUAUGUCCACCUUCUUCGGCGGACCCUGAACUUCAAUAACUAUUGGAGAUGGGGGAGUUGCAUUUUUUACUGAUUUUAGAACAAAGAGAAUUUGUCUAAUUUUUCUUCUCUUCCUCCUAACCUCCACUGUAGGAGUGCAUAUCUCCCUUACCUCAUUAGAUGGUAUGACACCCCUCCUGGAUUUCAACUCCUUGGCAGCCUUAGCAAUAGCCUCUAGCUUAUCGAGAAGUUCAUCCUCUCUAUCCUUACAUACUUUGUAUUUGAAAUGAGAACAUAAGUAUGGGGAGGGGUGAGACGGACCACUAUAAGGGUGGGAGGGACCGGUGUAGGGGUGAGAGUAAGGACCUAUGCAAGAGGUGUUUUCAAACAUAUUUAUUUUUUGCUGAGCACAAACAUACUCAUAAUCACGACUAGCAGCAGAAGCAGUAGUAGGAUGGUUGCCACCAUCACAAACAACUCCACCAGCAACACCCUCAAAAGAAGCACCCGGAUCUGUUGUAGUUUGAGUUUAGUCAUGAAGAGCUUCAACAUUAGACUGACCUUGCCUAACUGCUCUUCUUAUGGAUGUUUCUCUAUCCAAUUGCUUUUGUAUUAACUCUACCGUUGGGUCUUUUUUUGUAUCAACAAGACUCAGAGUAAGAAAAAAAGUCAUCCCCAGCUCAUCAAUGGUAGGUACGAUCCAAGGAUGCACAACCUAUAAAAAAUGACAGGAGGAAUUUAAAUCAUAUAAUAAUAAUUUGCAGUUAGUUGGGUUACAUGGGGCUCGGGUUAUGUUAACACAGCCAACUUAUGCAAUAGAUAAUUGAGCUACCGCAAUAGCUGAUCUGUAUGUUGAAACACAUUAAUAAUAUGUUGCAUCAGAAUACCCAUCUGUUGUAUAAUUUACAGUAGAUGAGUAAUUUGUUUAGUAGGUUUUAGAGAACAGAUGAACAUAUGGUUAAUCUGUUGCAAAAUAUGGAUCGUUUGUUGCAACAGAUUACCCAUCUGUUGCACCAGUUGCAGUUGACGGGUAAUCUGUUACAACAGAUGGAACAUCUAUUUUAAUAUCUUUCUUUGAGGCAAAUUAUUUUAGUUGAAAGAAGGCAUACUGCAUCAUCCGGAGGGUUAAAGAGAUAAGCCUCAUUAAUAUUUUUUUUGCUGCUCUCUACUGCAGCCAACCACCUAAGGAUCCUUGGAUGAGAAAUCUUAUUCGGGUAAUCCGUGAAUUGCUUUCAGAGGGGAGGAAUGGCUUCACAUACCCAAGCCUAAAAAUUGUAAACAGGAAGCAACCAAAAAAAAGUCGCAAGUAUAUUCAAUAUAAAUUAAUGAAUGAGUAAAAAUAGUGAUCAAUUUUACCAUGUAAGCCCAAGGAAAGCCGUAUAAUGUGGUCGUCUUUGGCUUUAGCUCUUUCAGUAAAUAUUUGACAGUCAAGUAGUAGCUGUCGUAGCCCCAGGGAUAAUUUUUGAAUUUCCCAAAAUCAUCAGCAAGCACCAACAAAUUAUGUUCUAUGACUUUCUUGAAGUAUCUUGCCAAUAAAACGGAAUGGACAAACCAAACUAAGCACAAUUGCUCCCUGUAGUGCUUUGGUAUAUCUUUAUUCUUAAGAUCCGCUAUCAAAUUCUUCACUUUGUAUCUAGGUCCAAAAAUGCCCAACAACCCAACUUUUUUUACCUUGCGUUUGUUGGACCCUUUGUGGGGUAUUUUCUUGAAGGUGGGUUCUUUUGGAUGAUUGCAUCUCAAGCCCGUCACAAUGGAAAACUCUUUCAAUCCAAAACAAACCAGCAUGCCACAGUAGUUGAUCCAGACUUCAUUCAUAUUAUUUCUGCCCUCCUUCAGACCUCCAUUAUCCCCCGCAUACAUGAUCCUGCGCUUAAGAAGGCCAUAUAUCAUGAUCAUUAGAAAACGGAGAGGGCGGGGCCCAGAUAGCUCAAGAAAGUGUGUAAAGCAGCUCUUCUUAAAAAGUCCAUCUAUGUUUUCCUUCUUCAUAAUACUCCUAAGUUCAUCAAAAGGUUUCCCCAACUGACAUUUAAGUACAAGAUCAUCAAAUACUACAUUAGGGUUAUUCAUCAGCAUCACAACUUGAAACUUGUCAAUAGUAAUGGUUUUGAAAGAAUCAUACUGGAAUUUCGAUAUUAUUUCAUGCCCCAUUGGUGAGGAGGAGUUAUCACUUUCCUCGGUAUCAUUUUGCCCGACUGAGAUUGUUCUGGAAGUUCCUCCAAAUCUAUCUGUGCUCUAGCCUUUUUUGUUUGGUGAUCGGAAGUUGAUCCACUUUCUCCACUUUCAGUUUCUUUUCUUUUGGGAGACAUCUUUUAACUACAAACAAAAGAAAAACAAAAAUACAUUGCAUUUGAUGUCUGCAUAAUUUUUUUUAAAAAAGGUGAGACAAAUUUCAAUAAAUUAUUCUUACCACGUAACCAAAAAAAAUACUCCAACGAACAUCCCAUUAGUUGGAACAGAUGGGGAACCCGAAUCUUUUUGAAGACCUAUUUAAUAUCUCCCCGCAGAUAUUUCACCUGUUGCAACAGGUGGAGAAAUUUCAUUAAAUUAUUCUAUGCCACAUUACAAGAAAAUAAUCCAACGGAUAACCCAUCAGUUGGAACAGAUGGGGAAUCUGUUUGAAGACCUAUUUAAUAUCUCCUAACAGAUCUUUCACCCAUUGCAACAGAUGGACUACCACCACCACAACCAAUGCCAUAACCAAUGCCACCAAGACCACCACCAAUGUCACCAAUGCCACCAAUACCAAUACCAACACCAAGACCACCGACACCAAAAAACACAAAUACCAACACCACCAACAACAGCGACCAACAACACAAACACCAUCCAACAAUACCACGACAGUCAACAAAAUAUUGAGAGAAACACUAGGGUUUUCUCUGGUGCUUCUUACUUUUUUAGCAUCAAAACUCAAAAUUGUUAACCCAUUCUCAAAGAUAAUACAACUAAAAGUCUUCUUUUUUAUCAUUAACUAAAAAGCCCUAUUUUUUAGAAUAAAGAACAAAUGUAUAAAUCUUCUCGAACUCUAUUACACGUAAAGAUAGAGAAUACAAUGGAUACAAGUGGGAAUGAAGUCGAAAGAAACAACUAUAUAUAGUCGUAAAUGGGAAGAAAAUCGACCUAUUUUGAAGGGUUGAGUAGUUGUUGUUUGUAUUGUUGAGAGGAAGAGGACACCCCAAGAGAGAGAGAAAGAGAAGAUCGAGAACUUAAGAUUUGAAAUGAAAAGUUUUUCGCACAAAUGGAUGAUUUGUAUGGGUUGAUUUGUAAUUUUGGAAAAGAAUGACAAGUUUUGAAAUUGCUAAUUUGGUUCAAAUUAAUAUUAAUUAAUUUUAAAAAAUUUAAAAGAUAUAGUUUUAAAAAUAUUGAGUUGAUGAGAACUCAUUUCAACUCAGAGUGAUUGAUCGAUGACUUGGGUCGGGAUGAACGCAAUACCAACGCCAUGCAAUUGCAAAGACUCAAUUAGUUUUGUAGUUGACCCUGCGAGCUCAUUCACUCAUCCCUAGUUCCACCUAAAUCAACUUAGGUAUUAUCACUAUCCUAACAUUGAGUUGAUGAGAACUCAUUUCAACUCAAAGUAAUCGAUUGACGACUCAGGUUGGGAUGAACGCAAUACCAGCACCAUGCAAUUGCAAAGACUCAAUUAGUUUUGUAGUUGACCCUGCGAGCUCAUUCACUCAUCCCUAGUUCCACCUAAAUCAACUUAGGUAUUAUCACUAUCCUAACAUUGAGUUGAUGAGAACUCAUUUCAACUCAGAGUGAUCGAUCGACGACUCGGGUCAUGAUGAACGCAAUACCAAUGCUAUGCAAUUGCAAAAACUCGAUUGAAUUUGUAGUUAACCCUAUGAGCUUAUUCAUUCAUCCCUAGUUCUACCUAAAUCAAAUUAGGUACUAUCACUAUCCUAACAUUGAGUUGAUGAGAACUCAUUUUAAAUCAGAGUGAUUGAUUGAUGACUCGGGUCGAGAUGAACGCAAUACCAGCGCCAUACAACUGCAAAGACUCAAUUGGAUUUGUAUUUGACCCCUGCGAGCUCAUUCAUUGAUCCCUAGUUCCACCUAAAUCAACUUAGGUACUAUCACUAUCCUAACAUUGAGUUGAUGAGAACUCAUUUCAACUCAAAGUGAUCGAUCGAUGACUCAGGUCGGGAUGAACACAAUACCAACGCCAUGCAAUUCCAAAGACUCAAUUAAAUUUAUAGUUGACCCUUUGAGAUUAUUCAUUCAUCCCUAGUUCCACCUAAAUUAACUUAGGUACUAUCACUAUCCUAACAUUGAGUUGAUGAGAACUCAUUUUAACUCAGAGUGAUCGAUCGAUCGACUUGGGUCAGUAUGAACUCAAUACCAAUGCUAUGCAAUAGCAAAGACUCGAUUGGAUUUAUAGUUGACCCUGCGAACUCAUUCCUUCAUCCCUAGUUAACCUAAAUCAACUUAGGUACUAUCACUAUCUAACAUUGAGUUGAUGAGAACUUAUUUCAACUCAGAGUGAUCGAUCGAUGACUCAGGUUGGGAUGAACACAAUACCAAUGCCAUGUAAUUGCAAAGACUUGAUUGAAUUUAUAGUUGACCCUACGAGAUCAUUCAUUCAUCCCUGAUUCCACCUAAAUCAAUUGCAAUAAAAUCUGUUGCAACAAACGACUAAGCUGUUGAAAAUUUUCAAACAGGUACAUAUAUGUUACAACAAAUGACAUAUGUAAUUUAAUUAUCAAAUAGAUAUUUGCAUCUGUUGUGACAAAUGAAUGAGCUAUUGGAAAUUUUCAAACAGAUAUUUAUAUCAGUUGUAACAGAUGACAUAUCUAAUUUUAUUAAUUAUCAAAUGAACAUUUUCAUCUGUUGUCACAGAUGACUGAGCUGUUAGAAUUUUUAAAUAGAUAUUUAUAUCUGUUGUAACAGAUGACUGAGCUGUUCGAAUUUCUAAAAAGAUAUUUAUAUAUGUUGCAAUAGAUGACAUAUUUGAUUGAAAAUUUGUUUUCUCUUUUAAUUUUAAAGCAAGAAGCUUCUGGUCCAAGUAGAUAAUAUCAAGUAGUAGUACUUACUACUAAAGGCAGUUAAAAAUAUUUCUUGAAUAUCUCAAAAGUGAGUUCAUUGAGCAGUCUUGUCUUGUCUUUACCAUGUCAGUAGUCUUAGCCUUCCUCGUGUGCCUAAAAUUAUUAAUGAAAUUAAUGAAUAUUAAUUAAUGAAUAUUUAAAACCACCACGUCUACAUACACAAUACAUCUAUAGAAAUUAUCUCAUCUCUUCUUUCAGCUGUAGUUUAUUUUAUUCAACUCUCAUAUUUUUCUCUCUCCUCUUUAGGGUCACAGCCUUUUUUCUCUCUUUUCUCUUCUCUUCUCAUAAAGAUCUUUUCGGAUCUAAACCCAUUCAUAUCUUUUCUCAACUUAAAUUUCUAUUUUGAUCCCCUUUUUUAUAUUAAGGUAUGAUUCAUUAUUGCUCUUUCAUUCUCGUCUUCUUCUUUGCAAGUUAUUUAUAUCUGUUUUUUAUUUAAUUACUAUUUACCCAUAUCAUAUUUAUUAGAAAAAUUAAGGAACUAGUAAGUAUUGAAUAAUCAAUUCGAGAAUUUUUAUUAGAAAAUGAGAAAAAAGUCAUCUGUUGGGAGAAGUUUAAAAGUCUUGUUGGCAGUAUCAUUUUUUUGUAUGUAUUUUAUUUAUUUCAUUAUUGUUAAUGCAGUUAUUGAUGUUGGUGGUAGGAUUAGCGUUGUUGGAACUUAUGGUGUGGUGUUGUUGAUGGUUCUAGAACAAAAGAUGUUACUUCUUGGUUGUUGAUGAUGUUGUUGGGACAAAUGUUGUUUUUUUGUUGAUGUUUAUGUUAUUGUUGAUGUUGCAACAAAUGGAGAAACUGUUGAAACAAAUAAAACCACCAGAAAAGUUGUUUGAUGUAUUCCAUCAGACUCCAUAUCUAUUGCAACAGACUUCACAUUUGUUGCAACAGACUCCACAUCUGUUGCAAUAGAUGGAUAAUGUUCUUUUUGUGACAUCAAUUUUUUCCUCUUCUUUGUAGAUAUAAGGAACUGACAGUUGAUCAACUUUUGACGGACUAUCGCAAGAGGCUUUAGUAAAUAUGGGAUCGGAGAAAUAAGCUGCUUGCAGAUGGAACCACUUCAUAUGUGGGAGGUAUGUAUUACUGAUAAUGUUAUCGUAGAAACACACACAGAGUGCACUAAUUUUGUAAAUAAUGUUUUUACUGAUUAGUCAUAGAUCGUUCAAACAAGAUGUCUGCAAUUUUACAGUUAAGUUUCGUAGGUCCAAACUGAUAAGGAUAAGGGACCAUGAAUAUAGUUCUGAUAGCCUAUUAAGAUUUAAUGUCAGUUGUUGCUCAUGUUUAUUUGUCAAGCAUUGUGAAGGGAUUUAGUUUUAGUGUCAUUGUAAAGAGAUUCAAUAGAGAUUGGACUAACUUUUAGGGUGCAUUGGACCCUAAGAGGGCCUUUGAAGCUUAGCAUGCAUCUAAUAAGAAUGAAAAAACAGUAUAGUUAUUGCCCUGGCUAAAAUUUAUAUGGCUGGGUUGCUCGCUUGGGGUGAUGAUUAUGCCAGAAUGUGCGGUAGGAGAAUGCUUUCAAAGAAAAAUGGAUGGUUGAUGGAAGACUAUAUCAUUUGAGAGCUAAUUGAGAAAGAGACAUAGGGUAGAUACAACUUCUAACGAAUCUGGCCGGUGGAAUUAUCUUAACAGAUGUGAGAUCUGAAUCAAGUGCAAAUAUGAAAGUGUAUUCGGUAAUGUAAUUUCAUCUGUUGUGUCUCUUAAAGAAAAACAAUGCAUCUGAACACUUUACUAGGGAGCUGCGUGGUUGGGAUUAUCACCUAGAUAGAAAAUAGAAGAAGACCAACAAAGAAGCCUCACGGGCAUCAAGGGUUGAAAUGAUGUACAGCAAGUCUUGAAAACUUAAGCCAACAGCAACUGCAGUUAAAAUAAAGAAUCUAAGCGAAGGCGACAAAUUUUUGAAUUAUAAAUUUCAUCCCAUACUUUCUUGUUUGUGUUUUUGAUCAGGUCCACUGUCGUUGACCUGAUCAGAACCAAAAACGAGAUUGAAAGGCAAAUAGAGUAUCAUUGCUUCCUUAGCAAUAUGGUUAUAAUUGAUUGUGUUUUCUUGCCUUGACAUGCUUUCAACAUUUCUUGGAGAAGAUCAGAUGUUUGCUAUAGUAUGUGAAUCCCGAUAAUUUUCAAGCUUGCCUUCAGCUUGUUGAUUCUGUAUUCAAGCUGGUCGUUGCCGUCUUCAAAGUUGAUAAGGAGUUCCUCGUAUCUUGUGAGCUCGAUCAGGAACACUACCUUCAAAGUUGUGGCAUUCUAGAAGCCCUUCAGAACACUUUCUUCAGAAGCCUUAAAGGAUACAUGGAGGGUCUCUGUGUUUGUUUUAGGUCAAAAUAUAUUGAUGCACGUUGAAAAUGUGGUCCCAACAGUUGAACAAUACACUUUUAUCGAGUAUUGCUCUAUGCAUCUUACUUAACCAAUUUGAUAAAUUAGUGAACAUGGAGUUACGUAGCGUGUGAUCUAAACCAGCUCUACCAAGCCUAUCAAACGUUACGUAACUCUAAGCUCAAUACUCUAUCAAAAAAAUAUGACUGAGUUAGCGCACAAAUCGAAUGAGCUCGAUCUCUCAGCCUUUCUGCUGAUCGCUUUUCUCCAAUAUAGAUGAUAAGAUAUCUGCUAUGGAAAAGUCUACACCGUCGUCAGACAUGUUUUCCUGGGAGAAAUUUUUCUGAAGAUAUCUAUUGAUUUCUUCUAAAGAAUUGCUCCCAGGCAAGCAUGUCUAGCAAUGGUGUAGACUUUUGCAUAGCAGAUAUCUUGUUAUCUAUAUUGGAGAAGAGUGAUCAACAGAAAGGCUGACAGAUUGGGUUUUUUUUAUUUGGGCACUAACUCGGGCAUAUUGUUUUGAUAGGGUAAUGAGCUCAAAGUUACGUAUCAUUUGAUAGGCUUAGUAGAGCCGAUUUAAAUCACAUGCUACGUAACUCCAUGCUUACUAAUUUAUCAAAUUAGUUGAGCAAGAUACAUGGAGCAAGGCUGGAUAAAAGUGUGUUGUUCAACUGUUGGGACCACAUCUUCAAUGUAAAUCAACACAUUUUAACCUAAAACAAACACAGCGAUCCUCCAUGUAUCCUUUAAGGCUUCUGAAGAAAGUGUUUUGAAGGGCUUCUAGAAUGCCACAACUUUGAAGGUAGUAUUCCUGAUCGAGCUCACAAGAGAUGAGGAACUCCUUACCAACUUCGAAGACGGCAACGACCAGCUUGAAUACAGAAUCAACAAACUGGAGGCAAGCUUAAAAAUUAUCGGGAUUCACAUACUACAGCAAGCAUCUGAUCCUCUCCAAGGAAUGAUGAAAGCAUGCUAAGGCAAGAAAAAACAAUCAGUUAAUCCAUAUUGCUAAGGAAGUAAUUAUACUCUAUUUGCCUUUCAAUCUCUUUUGUGGUUCCGAGCAGGUCAACGAUAGUGGACCUGAUCGGAAACACAAAUAAAAAGGCAUGGGAUGAAAUUUAAAAUUCAGAAAUUGCCGCCUUCGCUUAGUUUCCUUAUUUUAAAUGCAGUUGUUGUUGGCGUAAGUUUUCUAUACUUACUGAACAUCAUUUCUACCCUCGAUGCCCGUAAGGCUGCUUUGUUGGUCUUCUCCUAUUUUUUACCUAGGUGAUAAUCCCGACCAUGCAGCUCCCUAGCAAAGUGUCCAUCUGCAUUGUUUUUCUUUCAGAGACACAACAGACGAAAUUACAUUACUGGAUACACUUUCAUAUUUGCACUUGAUUCAGAUUUUGCAUCAGUUAAGAUAAUUCCAUCAGCCAGAUUCGCUAGAAGUUACUUUCUACCCUAUGUCUCUUCUUCAGUUAUCUCUCAGAUAAUAUAGUCUUCCAUCAACCACUCAUUUUUCCUCAAAACCAUUCUCCUACUGCACCUUCUGGCAUAUAAUUAUCACCCCGAGCGAGCAACCCAACCAUAAAAAUUUUGGUCAGGGCAAUUAAUUUAUAAAUAGGUCCCUCCUUAUAAAUAUGGAUGAUCCAGAUUCGUACAAGAAUAUUCAUAUUGAGUCCUUGCGUGAACUUCAAAGGCAGUUUGAUGAACUCCAGAGAGAUUUGGCUGACUUCGGAGCAAGGCUGCUGGAUGAAAAAUGUCUGAUUUACAAUAAUCAUUCUGUGUAUUCCUUGUUCUCAACAUGUCGACGGUUGAUGGUAGGGAUUGAGCAGCAAUUUUUGUCAAAAGUUAGAGGUUAAUUUGCUACGACAGAUCGAUCGUAUGUUGCACCUGGCAGUUUUUAAUAAAAAGGGUUAUUGUUAUUGAGAGGGUGAAAAGAAAAAAACAUGACUUUCCGUUCCGAUUAUUCAAUAUGAAAAAUGUUUUGUAAAUAAAUAAUAAGGAAAUAAAUGAUAAACACAAUUUAUAACAACAAUUUUAAUAACUGAUCGUGACUUUUCACCAUUUUUGUUUUUGAAUUUAUUUUUUAAAUUAUUUAUUAUACAAUAAAAUGGUUAUUAUGUUAUUAAGGAAUUUGAAAAGGUAUUUUUUUUUAUCUAUAAAAUAAAAAAGUAAGAAAAUUUGGAUUAAUGAUAUGAUGAUAGUUAUUUUUAAAAAAAAAAAGUAGAUUAUAUGUUGCAACAGAUAUGUUAUCUGAUGCAUCAUAUUUUAUAUUUGUUGCAAUAUAUAAUAUAUCUGUUGUCACAGAUGUGUUAUCUGAUGCAACAAAUAUAGAAUCUGUUACCACAACUCAGUAAAAAUGGUUCUUCGAAAGAACUAAUGAAUAAUAAUAAUCUGAAAAGUCAUGACUUAUCACAAUAUUUCUUAAUUUAAUUAAUUCAUUACUUUUCACAUUAAUAAAAAUGUAAUUAAUAAAUGGAGGUGAACAGUUAGAUUAUAUGUUGCAACAGAUAUGUUAUCUGAUGCAUCAUAUUUUAUAUUUGUUGCAAUAUAUAAUAUAUCUGUUGUCACAGAUGUGUUAUCUGAUGCAACAAAUAUAGAAUCUGUUACCACAACUCAGUAAAAAUGGUUCUUCGAAAGAACUAAUGAAUAAUAAUAAUCUGAAAAGUCAUGACUUAUAUCACAAUAUUUAUUUUCUUAAUUUAAUCAAAAAUUUAAUUAAUGUAUGGAGGUGAAUAGUCGCGCCUUUUUGCCUCUCAUUUAAAUUCAAUCCUCUAUAAAUAGGUAUCUCCUUACUCACUUGUUCAUUCAAAUACACUAUAUUUAUUUAUUGCAUCUCGUCUUUUAUAUUACACUCUAGAAGAUAAGAUUAUGGCUGACCCCGUGUGGGACAUUGCUUUUCUGCAAAAUGCCGUGAAUGAACUUCGGAAUCAAGUUUGUGAUCUGCAAUAGGAACUGGGAGGAGUUAAAUCAAGAAUGCUCCGCGAGAUACGCAGGUUGAGGAGGGUCUUUCUACUUCUGGUUGAAGAUUGUCCGGCUGGCAAUGAUGAUGUUGAUAAUAUUAAUAAUAAUAAUUAGACUAUUAUUUUUCUUUUAUUCUAUUAUAUGUAUUUUUAUUUGUUUUUGUUUAAUAAAUAAAUUAUGUUUGAUCUUUGUUGUUUUAAUCCAUAUUUAAUUUUCAUUUUGUCUAUUAUUUUCUCAACAAACAUGUCGACAAUUCGACAUAAAAAGGAAUAAUUUAAAAUCCAGUAGUAAUAGCCAGAUUUAUCUAUUAGGUUUGUGACAGGGGUUGAUAUGUUGUUCAAAACAGAUUACUCAUGUUGCAACAGAUAAGAAGUUGAUGCAACAGAUAAAUAGUUUGUUUCAACAGAUGACUAGUUUGUUGCUUUGCUUGGCUCUAACGUUUUAAUUCGUACUCCCUCCGUCUCAAAUUACCCAUCCCAAAUUGAGAUGCCACAUUGAUUAAGAAAAAUAAUUAAUAACAUGUCUAGUUUACCAUAACUCAUUAAUCAAUUGGUGGGACAUUAGACGUGUUUGAAAUAACCAUUGUUUGCUAUUCAAUCGAAAUUUCAUAAGAGAAGAAAGCUUUUAACAUCGGUCAGCGUAUAGUCCCCCUAUUAAAUGAUGUUUCCAUUUUAAUUUGAAGAAAAAGUUAUUAAUGCAAAGGGUAAAACAUGAAUUUUUUUAAUCUUUUCUUGAUUUAUUCAAAAGACAAGUAAAAUGAGAAAUCGAAUUAGGAAAUUUGGGAUGGGUAAUUGGACGUAAGGAAUAAUUUUGAAUCCAGUAGCAAUACCAAGUGUUGAAAACAUAUUGGUUAUCUGUUGGGUUUGUGGCAGGGGUUGAUUUGUAUUGUUUCAAACAGAUUAAUCAUUCGUUGCAACAGAUAAUUAGUCUGGUGCAACAGAUAAACAUUUUGAUGCAAUAAAUAAUUAGUAUGGUGCAACAGAUAAACAUCCUGAUACAACAGAUAAUACGUCUGAUGCAACAGAUAAACAGUAUGAUGCAACAGAUAAAUCUUUUGAUGCAACAGAUUACUCAUCUGAUGCACCAGAUGAUUGAUCUGUUUAAAUUGUGGGCACUUAUGCUGGAUUCACAAUCGGUGUUCAAUCCAUUGUUGGAAAAACAGAAGUGUACCCAGCUGACAAAUACAAAUAAAAAUUAUAAUUUUACUUACCAAAGUCACCUAUGAAGUAAUGCUAAAGUGGAAAGUGAUGUAGUAAACAAAAUUUGACCUAAGAAAUUAGUCAGAUCAUAGCAGUAGCAAUGUACCAACAACAACAACAACAAAUGGUCUACAAGAAGAAGAUGAAGAUGAUAAUGAAGUAGAAGAUGAUGAUAAUGAAGCAGAAGAUGACGAAUAAAGCAGCAGAAACAGAAACAAUUAACAACAAAAAUCGCUAAGAGAGAGAAAACAACAAUGGAUGAGAAGAGAGAGAAAGACGCCUUUUUUUUUCCUCCGUUUUCCAUUAUUUUAGGUAUACAUUGGGAUCAAAGUGUAAAUUUAAAAAUUUGUGGAUUAUUUUCAAACUUCCCCAACUUUCUUAAUCCAUAAUAAAGUAAUUGUCACCUCCAACUAAUAAUUAAGAUUUGUGUCACCUACACCUCAUUUUAAAACUCUUUUGUCACCUAUGGCCCAAACCCCUAGCAACUUGGUUGGCAAAAUGGCAAUAAACUCACAAGUAAACAGCAUCAUCUCAGCCACCUAAGGGGCAAUGGGGCCUCUCCUUAUGGAUAGGUAUUAUAAAUCAUAAUUUGACAAGGUAGAUUUAUCACUUUGUAAAGAAGUGGAUAUAGACACUAAGGCAUAAGCUAAUUUUUUGCUGGUGGUCCAUAUUUUUUGAAAGGAUAGCUUCUAUCUGUGUUGUAAUUUUCACCUUUAUGGAAUGAAAUACAACACCAAGUCCUAGGUUAAUGUUUGAAAGAUAUUGAAAAUAAUGGAAAUUCUCGUAAUUUAUGGUGUGAAUAUGAUAUUAUUUUUAAGAAUAUUUUAUUCGGUAUAAGAUACUUAAUCUAUGUUAAAUGGCAAAUAUAUGAUGGAACGAACUAGUAACAAAAAAUAAAUAUUGCAAUUAUUUAAAAAUUGAUGAGGUGUGAUUUGCAGGUAUGUGCAACUUAUGCUAGUUUAAAUUCAUUUUUAACUUUUUUUUUUGGCGGGCGGGGGGGGGAGGGGGGGUUUGAAUCACAAAUUUUAAUAGGUGAAAUCAUGAAAAUAAGAAAUGUGUAUAACUACGAACUAUUUUGUAUUCCAAUUCCAAGCAUAAUAUUUAUUAUUCUUUUAGCUACCAAUUAGAUAUAUCUAGAUUUUACCCUCAAUAUAGAAUUGAAAAAACAAAUUAAAAUUAAAAAUUAUAUUUUCUUCAUUUACUAAACAUUUAAGAAUAUUUCUGUUAGGUAAGGCGGUUUCGAAAGGUCUUCACUCACCUUAUAAAUUCAUUCUAAGGGUGUUAAAUGCGCCAGGCCGGGUCAAUUUGAAAUCGGCCUAUUAAAUUUAGUUGGGUUGUGGGUCGGGCCGGGGUUGGGUUCAACGGUAAAAUUUUUAAAAAUAAUCCUAACCCGGCCCACUUAACCCAACCCGAUCAAACCCACCUAAAUCCGGUCAAACCCGGUUAAAAAUUCGGUCAAAUCCGAUCAAAAAUAAAAAUAAAAAUAAUUCAAUAUACACUAUAUAUAUCCACCUAUAUACAUUUUAAAUACAUUAAACAAUAUAUAUACACUAUAUAUAUAGUAUAUACUACAUUAGAAUUUAAAAAAUAUAUACACAUAUACAUAAUUACACAUAUAUACGUAACAUUCAAAAUAUAUGACUAUACGUACUACUUUAAAUAAAACAUAUACUACAAUAUAUAUAUACUACANNNNNNNNNNNNNNNNNNNNNNNNNNNNNNNNNNNNNNNNNNNNNNNNNNNNNNNNNNNNNNNNNNNNNNNNNNNNNNNNNNNNNNNNNNNNNNNNNNNNNNNNNNNNNNNNNNNNNNNNNNNNNNNNNNNNNNNNNNNNNNNNNNNNNNNNNNNNNNNNNNNNNNNNNNNNNNNNNNNNNNNNNNNNNNNNNNNNNNNNNNNNNNNNNNNNNNNNNNNNNNNNNNNNNNNNNNNNNNNNNNNNNNNNNNNNNNNNNNNNNNNNNNNNNNNNNNNNNNNNNNNNNNNNNNNNNNNNNNNNNNNNNNNNNNNNNNNNNNNNNNNNNNNNNNNNNNNNNNNNNNNNNNNNNNNNNNNNNNNNNNNNNNNNNNNNNNNNNNNNNNNNNNNNNNNNNNNNNNNNNNNNNNNNNNNNNNNNNNNNNNNNNNNNNNNNNNNNNNNNNNNNNNNNNNNNNNNNNNNNNNNNNNNNNNNNNNNNNNNNNNNNNNNNNNNNNNNNNNNNNNNNNNNNNNNNNNNNNNNNNNNNNNNNNNNNNNNNNNNNNNNNNNNNNNNNNNNNNNNNNNNNNNNNNNNNNNNNNNNNNNNNNNNNNNNNNNNNNNNNNNNNNNNNNNNNNNNNNNNNNNNNNNNNNNNNNNNNNNNNNNNNNNNNNNNNNNNNNNNNNNNNNNNNNNNNNNNNNNNNNNNNNNNNNNNNNNNNNNNNNNNNNNNNNNNNNNNNNNNNNNNNNNNNNNNNNNNNNNNNNNNNNNNNNNNNNNNNNNNNNNNNNNNNNNNNNNNNNNNNNNNNNNNNNNNNNNNNNNNNNNNNNNNNNNNNNNNNNNNNNNNNNNNNNNNNNNNNNNNNNNNNNNNNNNNNNNNNNNNNNNNNNNNNNNNNNNNNNNNNNNNNNNNNNNNNNNNNNNNNNNNNNNNNNNNNNNNNNNNNNNNNNNNNNNNNNNNNNNNNNNNNNNNNNNNNNNNNNNNNNNNNNNNNNNNNNNNNNNNNNNNNNNNNNNNNNNNNNNNNNNNNNNNNNNNNNNNNNNNNNNNNNNNNNNNNNNNNNNNNNNNNNNNNNNNNNNNNNNNNNNNNNNNNNNNNNNNNNNNNNNNNNNNNNNNNNNNNNNNNNNNNNNNNNNNNNNNNNNNNCAAUAUAUAUAUAUAUAGUUAUAUACUAAUUUAUAAAACAUAUACAUAUGUAUACAUUAAAUAUAUACGUCUAUAGAAGAUAUAUACACAUAUAUACGUACCAUUUAAUAUAUAUGUACUACUUUAAAUAAAACAUAUACUACAAUAUAUAUACAAUUUAUAAAACAUAUACACAUGUAUACACUAAAUAUACACAUCUAUAGAAGAUAUAAAUACUAAUAUACAAAACAUAUGCUGCUUAAUAUAAUAAAUUAAUAAUACUUGAUAGUAAAUUAAUAAUAUAUAAAAAGUAAGUUUUUAAUUUAAACUAUAAAUUCAAUUUAAAUCAUUAAAUGAUAAAAAUUACAAAGUAAGGACUAAGGAGUGAAUGAAUGUUGAAUUUUAUUGAUUGCAAAAUGAUCCAAAAUUUAUAAUGUACAUGAAUGAAAAAUCUACAAACUAUGCAUCAUUUUUUUCAACAUUAACGGGAACUUGCAUAGAAUAGUCAAAGUCAACGGGGGCAAAACCAUACAUUGGACUUGAUUCUGCUGAGUUCUCUCGUGAAAACAUAACUUCUUCAAGUUUCUGCUCGUCGUUCGGCUCCUCUUCCAUUCCUUGAUUUCUUCUUUCCACUCUAAUCCAAUCUCUGAGGCAAACUAGAACAUUCAUUGCAUUGCUUCCCAAUGAGUGCCAGUUGUCGCCAAGUUGUUGUCGUCCCUGACUAAAAGCGCUCUCUGAUGCAAUGGUUGAUAUUGGAACAUUCAAGAUAUCUCUAGCUAAUCUUGAAAGCACAAGAUAUUGUGUUUCACUACUCCUCCACCAAUUCAACGUGUUGAUCCAUCAUCUGUGAUCCUCUGGCGGCGAUCGAGGAUAAUAUUUAAGCUCUUCCCGAUAAGUUGAUAUGUAAGCUCUCUCAUCAAUACUGUUCCAAUAAGGUAAAUCAUAAAAGGAAUCAGGAAAACCACUAUAUGCCAGCAUUUAGAAGAUGAUGGCUCCUCGGGAGAAUGAGGAGCGACAGUUGGAGUGAUAUUCGUAGGUACGGUUAAAUCAGCAUAGUGAUUAUAUAAUUUUUCUAUGUAUUCAUUCGCAUCACCUAUAGCUGUCCACAAAUCAGGUUGUACUUGUUGAGAAGCAUUGUUAGUAUUUAUUUCUAAGUUAGCAUAAAUAAGAGUACUAAAGUGGAACAUAGUAUUAUAUUUAAUGCACGGAUUUAGCAUAGCACCAAUAAAUAGGGGGAAUCGGAAAAAAAUAUUUUUUAAAUUUAGUAAACAUGGCACCAACAGCUUCUUUAUAACCUUCUUUAUUUUUAUAUUCUUUGAGCAAACUAGAAAUAAAGCUAUAUGUGUCAAAAUAUUACAAACAGUAGGAUAAUAAGCACCGAAAAAUUCCACCAUAGCUAUAUAAAAAUUUUCUAAAAAUUUAACAAGAUCAUUAACUACAACCCAAUCAGAAUCAUGUAGCAUGUAAUCAGCAGAAUCAGCAAAUGAACCACAAUGUUGGUUAAAAGUUAGUGUAAUAGGAACUUUAUAUUUAUAAAAAGUUUUUAAAAAAUCAUACGUAGAAUUUCAUCUAAUAUCAAUUUCCUCGGGCAUCAAUAUCGGUGCAAGUCCAUUUUCUUGACAUUUAACUUUAAAUUCUCUAAUUCUUUUUCUUCGAUUAUUUCCUUGAAUAAAACUAACAAUAAGACAAAUUUUUUCAAUAUAAAGCUCAAAAAAAUCAAAAUCAUCUUUUACAAUUAAAUUAUAUAUAUGACAUGCACACUUAAUAUAAAAAAUUUCAGGUAACGACGGAGAUAGUUUAGAUUUUAACUUUGUUAUAGCAGUCUUGUUGUUAGAAGCAUUAUAAAAAACAAUACAUAAAAUUUUAUUUUCGAUACCAUAAAAUUCUGCAACUUCAACAAUCGAAUCAGCAAUAAAAUCUCCAGUAUAUUUACGAUCUUCAUCAUAUAAAAAAGCAAGAAUACGUUUUUGCAUCACAAAAUUACUAUUCAUCCAGUGACAAAUAAAGGUUAAAUAAUCAUUUUUAUUUACAGCACGACCAAGAUCAGAAGUUAGGGACAAUCUACAUUGAAUAUUUUUUAACAAUGUUAAUAAAUAAAAAUAAUAUUGUGAAUAAAGUCUAAAAAUAUCAAACCUACAAGUACUUCUAGGAAUACCAUUAAACAUAGGAUUAUAAAUUGCUUGAAUAUAAUGAAUAAAGGUAUCAGAAGAAGGAAAACUAAAAGGCAAACAACCCACAGCUACCAUUUUACCUAUUUCUUCCCGGUCCCUCAAUUUAUUAUACUUCUUCAUUACCUGACCGGUUGCUGGGUCCAUUCUAGUUUGCGUUGGCCCACCAACAUCCGCACCACCCCGUGCAAUAUUUAACUCUCUUUCGUGAGCAUCACCUAUAUGUCUCAUUAACGUACCCGUACCCCCUUACUUGCCUUCGCUUUUAUGCUUAUAUAUUUGUUGACAAAUAUUGCAUUGCACCUCAGUAUCUGAUAUACAUUUAAAAAAUUGUCAUCCAAUACUAGUUGUUUUACGAGCUCUUGGGGCACGGGGAGGACGGGGAGGGAGAUUAACCGAUUCAGAUCUAAUGUUAGCACUUUCUACUGCGGGUGUCUCACCAAUAUUUUCAUCAUCUUCGUCUAAAUUAACCGCAUCUACUUCAUUUUCUUGUUCUAUACUGUAAUUUUUCUGAGCUUCUACAUAAUCCAUAUUGUGAGCACCUACACCUAUUUCUUCCUCAAAAGGUGUACUAAGCUGUACCGGAGGUGAAGGCACACGGGUAUAUCUACUACUUGAAGUACCUCUACCGCUAGUAAUUCACUUUUUGCUACCGCUACCACUUUCGGAACAAAAAAUUUUAACACCUUUAGUGGCGAGGUUUCUUAAUUUAUCCAUAAUAUAAAUUAAACUAAAAAAAAUUGAAAACACAAAUAUAAUAAAAUGAAAUAUUCAACAAUUAAUACACUUAUUGAAAAUUAAACGUAAGAGAUGGAACGAUAAUACCAAAUUUUUAAAGUAUCUGAAAGUUGCGACUUUAGAAACUUCCACUCGUACUUUGUAAUCGCAAAAUUUAAAAAUUAAAGUGAGCACUUUAGGAAUUUAAAUAUAUAGAAUAUUUGAGAAUUGAGAGAGAAUGAAAAUUUGUGUGAAAAAUGAUUUGAGAAUGUAGGGUAUUUAUAGAAAUUUUUUCGGGAUUAAAAAAAUAUUUAAAAUGAAAAAAAAAAAUUCUUAUUAAAAAAGGUCAAUUGAGCCGUUUUGAGGGCUAGCCGUUGGGCCCAACGGUCAAAUUUUGACCAAAUUCAAAAAAGAAAAAAAAAAAUUUGGAUCGGUUAACCAACCCGGUCCGGGCUGAGUUAAUUGGGCCCAAAUCAAAAAAUAACCCAGCCCGAGACCAGGUAACUACAGCUCGUGGACUGAUUGGACCGGGUCUUCUUAGUGAGCCGGGCCGGACCAACCCGGCUCGUUUGACAAACUUAAUUCUUCGAGAAAAGAAUGUACUCACCAACUGUCUUCAAACUUAGAAGUAGUUGGAGAAUAUUUAUUAAAUACUGUAUAGUAACAGUAUUACAAGUUUUCUGUUUGACGAAUUUACACAACUAAAAAUGUGUCAUGGCGAUUUUUUAUUAAUAAUAAAAUAAUUAAAUACAUCAGUCUAAUGAGUUUAGAGGCAAAGUCAGAAUUUAAAAUUUGUGUGUUCUGAAUUUACAGCAUAAAAAAAAUAAAAAUAAAAAACAAUAUAUAUCCUUCUAUCACCAGGCCAAGCUACUAUCUUUGUUAGUGGAUUCACACUAUUACAUUUUGUACAUAUAUUCAGAAUUUAGUAGUAUAAAUAUAGAAUCUACGUAAAAGCUACUGGAUUCGUCCGAACCCCCAAAGAACUCCACCCCUAAAUGAGGUAAUGACCUCUAGUAAUAAAUAACCGUGAAGAAAAUAAGUGCUAGGAAGACAUUAGAUAUUUUACGAUUAUCACAAAAUUUAUACUCCAUUCGUUUUCUCAAUCGUAAAAUAAUAUCAAUGGACUUUGCAAAUUACGAUAAAUUUUUGGUUAAUUAACUUGUAAAUACAAUUAUCUCUCUCUCGCUCUCUCUCUCUAUAUAUAUAUUAUAUACCUCGUAAUACUACUCUUACGUUAUUACAACUUCAACAACAUAUGCAUAUCUACAUUGACCCAAAAUAGUAUAUCUACUUCCUCAAUAGUAUGAUAUAUAUCAACGUACCAUUCAAACUAUAUUGAUAUAUAAAUUCAGUUAUCUAACUUUCGAUUACUACAUACGUCACUACACGAUAUAUACGUAUAUAUACAUAUAUUCAAUUGUCUAUCAGCUUUCACAUACGUACUAUAAACAUCACAUACACGAUUUUACUACCCCAUAAUAAUAUACAACGUAUUUCACAAAUACUCAGAUGAAUUAUAGAUUACAUUAUCUUAUGUCAUGAAUAUACCUUCACUGUAUAAUAUGUAUAUACUAUAUAUAUAUAUACAUACACAUAUAUACACACUAUCGACUAUAUCAAAUUCUAAAUACAUACUAUAUAUAUCACAUACGUACACAAGUAUAUUAUCCCACAAGUAUAUUAUCCAAUAAUAUAAUGUGAUGUGUUUCUUAUACAUACUUAGAUGAGUGAUCGAUUAAUUAUAUUUGAUUAGCUUGAUAUAAUAUUAGGUUUUGACUACAUCGUUCAUCAUUCGAUCACUACAUGAUAUAUUUAUAUAUAUAUAUAAAGAUAUUUAUGUAUACGAACUCUUGAAUACGUACUAUAUAUAUCACAUUCACAAGUAUAUUACCUUAUAAUAGACCACGUUCAUUAUAUUCUGAUGAAUUAUCGGUUAUAUAUUACAUUAUUAUAACUGGAAUAAUGACAUAAUAUCAUUAUCUAAACGGCAUGAUAUAUAUAUAUAUACACACACACAUAUUGAUUAUACAAAGAUUAUGCAUGUUUAACAUCAUUUAACGUAUAUACAAAGGAAAAUAUUUAUUUUAUACAUUGAAACAUAAGUAAAAGAUAAAGAUUAUGUUUAACAUAAUUUAUUUAGUUUGUUUGAUAUAUUUUUUAGUGUAAUUUUUUCACAAAAUUUAAGAAUUACUAAUUUUUUUUAUUAUUAUACUGGUUAGCGACUUCAUGUGAUCAGUGUAAUUUUAAAAAAUUAUAUAUAUAUUAGAUUAUAUAUAUAAUUACUUUUAAUGAAAAUAAUAUAUAUAUUUCAUUACAUGUAUAUAAUUAUUGGUUACUAAAAAUUAUUUAAUUUUUAUUUUUUUUUAGUUUUUGGUCAUUUUUUUAAAAUUAUUUUUUUAUUUUAAUUAAAAAAUCGACCACAAAUGGUCGGUUUUUAUUUUUAUUUUUUUAAAUUAAAAAUCGACCACUUGUGGUUGAUUUUUAAAAAAAUAAAUUUAAAAAGAAUUUUUAAAAAUCGAACACAAAUGAUCGAUUAUUAAAAAUAUUUUUCAAUUAUGUUUUUAUUUGUAAAAUAAAUAAUAAUUAACAUAAAAAUUAUUGAAUUAUUAUUUUUAUUUUUUAAAUUAUAAAAGCGACCACAUAUGGUCACUUUAAAAAAAAAAAAAAUUUAAAACCAACCACUUAUGAUCGGCUUUUUCAGUUUUUUUUUUUUUUUUUUUUUUUAAGUGAAACAUGUUCCAUUUCAGGCAGAAGGCCGAGUGCAAUUCUUCCUAUGAGAAGAAGUGACUGCAAAAUUAGCCCAAAAUGAUCCAUGCCACUUGAGAAUUCGUCCAUCGGCAACUCCUACGUAUGGGCCUUGGCCUUUUGGAUCGUAAGCAACGCUCUACGGUCCAAUUGCACCUUUUAGAUGGAUGAUUUCGGAUUUUGGGAAGACAUUUUGGGAUUUCAACAUAUUUUUCGAAUUAUCAAACGCUAAAUUAACUGAGACCAUUAGUAUAAUGAUGAUCAACAAUAAUAGAUUUGAAGCAUUCAUGGAUGGGAGAUUUUCUUUAUUUUUUAAUUUUUUUAUGAUGAGAUUGUACGUCCAAUAUUUUUCUUCUUCUAUAGGACAUGCAUUUGAAUUUGGAUUGUAGGGAUUAACUUUUAAUUGUGAUAUAUCAUACCUAAAGAGAGUAGAUAUUAGUAAUUGUCCUUCUGAAGCAAGUGGCCGUAUUUAAUACUCCCUCCUUUUCGAAAUAAGUGAAUUGUUGGAGUAUUUAUUAGUGUUUCAAAAUAAGUGAAUCAUUGAAUUUUUUUCUAAAGUUACCAUUAUGAUUUGACAAUCAAUUACUUUUUGAAAAGGUAUUAAAGGUCAACUUUUGCUUUUUCGAGGGUAAAAAUAAAAAGUUGUGUUAAAUUUAUGUCUUUAUUGCUUUUUUCUUCUUAAGCUGUGCGUCAAAAUUCAAUAAUUCAUUUAUUAUGAAACGGAGAAAGUAAUAGUCUAUAUCGAUGAAAAAAUGCAUGCAUGCAAAAGAUAAAACAUGUAGGGUACUACAUCCAUAGUUGGGUAGUAGUACCAGUUACAUACAAUUAGGAGUUAGCUUUCAGUUAUCCAUGUAGAUUUUUUUUUUAACUUCGAUUCAAAUUUUCGUUAGCAUGCACUGACCACCAAACCAAAUUUAAUUUUUGACUCAGCCUUAAAAAGUCAUCUGAAACAUAACGCAAAUAAAAAAGAAACAGAGAAAGCAGAAAAGUGAAACAGAAAACACAUUAUAAAUACCAAGUGUUUUGACUCAACUUUGAAGAAUCAUCAGCAACAUGACACAAAUUGAGCCUUCAAUAUUAAUUGUGACCACAAGGAUAUAUGAUCAGAGCCUUCCAACUCAGCAUAUUCAAGAGGCUUCUCCACACACACGUGAGAAGCACACCAUCAGCAUAGUAAAAGAAUAAGUUUGUUGGGCACUUACAUACACAAGACAAUAGAAAAUUAGGAUGAAAUUUAAAUAUUAUUCUUUUCUUUUAUUCGUUUGUACUUGUAUAAAUGCAUCAACACUGCAUGUACAGAGAAGGACAAUGAGAAAAUUUCUCAUAACUUGUCCUUGAUGAUUUCUACGAUCUAUUAAAUAAUGGAGUAACAUUCCACAUGUCAUAUAUUGGCAACUCUUUACAGAAAAGGAAAUUAUAGCACACAUUGGCAGUUGGCUUCGGACCCCCCAAUAAUUAACUUUUCAUAUUGUUAGGUGAAAAAAAUAAAGCUCUCUUAUUGGUAGGACAAUUGGUGCGAUGUAGUGUGGACAAAUAUGCGAAGACACCAAUUCGCCCCAUGUAAUUUUUAUUUUAUUUUUAAGACGCCCGCCUAAUAUUUAUAAUAAUAUUUAAAUUGAGUUUGGUAUAAAAAAUAAAGUUCAUAAAAUUAUUUUUCAUUUUGUCAUAAUGUCAUUAUAUACUAAAUACUAAUUUAAUAGGUUAGGACCUGAAAUUGAAAAAAAAAAAAAGAAUAGUUGAGAUGGUAAGGUGGUUGAGGAGGUUGUUCUAACUUUUAUGGCACCUGCUAAUGCGAUUAAUAAAGCAGAAUUAUGUAAAUGUCAAUAAUUUCAACAAGAUUCAAUAAAUUCAAGAAGAAUGAUGAGCGACUAAGUGUUGUUAGACAGAUUUGAAGAAGAGGAGGAGAAGAGAAGAUAAAAAGUACUUCUGAAUAUUUUAAAAGGACAACUUAUUUUUUUUUUGUUUAUACAUUUUAUAAAAGAAAGUUUGAUGAUGGUAACUCAAUUUUCUUUUUGACCUUUAUAAUUUUGCAUUAUUUAAACCCUCAUAUUCAAUAUCAAUACGUGUAUUAUUUUCUCCAAAGAGAAUAACCUAUUUUCUUUUUUAGUUCGCGUAAAAAAUAGCGUCUAAUUUCUUUUUUUUGAAAACACUUUAAUUUCAACUUUUCACGCGACAUAUUUAAUACCACAAGAUUAAAAAAUAUUUUGAUAUAUUUGUCAUAAUUUUAAUUUAACACCACGGAAUGCAAAAGUCUUCUUUAUUUUCUUAAAAUUCGUGUCAAAUCUGUACAUACAUAGUACAGUGUGUGUACUAUGUAUUUAUAUAUAUACGAAUUGUAUUAAAUUAAUUGAAUGUUGUUAUAAAUAUUAUAGAAUUUAUUAAAAUUUUAAUUUGUUAAAAAAUAAUUUUAAUUUAUUAACUUAUUUUUGUAAUUUGUUAAUUUAUUAAUUGUAAUAUGUUAAAGUUUAAUUUCAAAAAUAUUUUUUUCAAAUAUUAAAAAAAUCGACCACAAGUGGUCGGUUUUCAUAAUAUUUGAAUUUAUUUAUUUUUGAAUAACCGGACCCGACCCGACUCGACCUGUAAUACAUAAUAGUAACACAAAAACACACCAAAAAUCUCCCAUUUUACCCUUCCAAAACAGUAACAACACUCCAAAACCCUCCAAAUCUCACACUUUUACAUUAAACCCUCCAAUCUCCAUUGUUCUUUCUCUUUCAAAGAAGUUUCUACUCAACUUCUUGGAUUCUUUUUGAUUUUAAUCAAAUUUUUAAGGAACUAUUUCAUCCUAACUUUCAAUUUUGGGCAAAGUAACAAUUAACUACAACUCAUUAACUAAAUUUAGUUUAUUUUAGUAUCCACAAACUCAUUUUUUAAUAUCUAGAAAUGUUAAAGGUCUACAUACAAAUAUUUUAGUGUUAGUUUCGUCAAUUGAUUGUGGUUUGAGUUCUAGGGUUUGGAUAUUUGUUUUAUUUAGCUAAACUUUGGCUAAUUUUUGGAAUUUGAGAUUGAAUUAGCUAAUUUUAGAAUUGUUCCUACGUUAAUUUGAUUUUGAAUUAGCUAAAUUUUGGUUAGUCUUGACACUUAUUUCUUCACUUUACUCAUUAAUUGUUUAAUUUGUUUGAGAAAAAAUCUUAUUUCUAUUCCUUUACUAAAUUGUUGUAAUAAUUUAAGCAAAAGAUUAUUCUUUGUAACAAUUUUACUAUGUGACAGAUUUCGAAUCGGUAUAAGGAUUGCUUUGCUAUUUUUUUCGAUGACCGCUUAUCUCUUUCACUUUAAUUUAGGUCAAGCAAAGGUAAGUUGUUAUCUUCUUGUUAUUGUUCAUAUUGAAGUCUAGUGAAGCCCUGUGUGGCCUUGUUCGAUUCACUAGCAUUGUUGUUAUCUUCUUGUUAUUGUUCAUAUUGAAGUCUAGUGAAGCCGUAUGUGGCCUUGUUCGACUCACUAGCAUUGUUGUUGACAUCUUAUUGGUCUUGUUGUUGCUUGUUUUAAAUGUGGUUUGAUUUUGAUACUUAGUCACUUGAAAAUGGUUAAGUAUGGUUAAAUGUAGGGAAUUUUUUGUUUUGAAUGUGGUUUGGUUGGUGACUUAGUUACUUGAAAAUGGUUGAAUGUAGAGACUUUAAAGGAGAUUUUUUAUUUUGAAUGUGGUUUUGUUUUGAUACUUAGUCACUUGAAAAUGGCUAAGUGUAGGGACUUUAAAGGAGAUUUUUUAUUUUGAAUGUGGUUUGGUUGGUGACUUAGUCACUUGAAAAUGGUUAAGUGUAGGGACUUUAAAAGGGAUAUUUUAUUUUGAAUGUGGUUUUGGUUUGAUAGUCGCUUGAAAAUGGUUAAGUGUAGUGACUUUAAAGGGCAUUUUUGUUUUGAAUCUGGUUUGGUUGGUGACUUAGUUACUUAAAAAUGGUUAAGUGUAAGGACUUUAAAGGGGAUUUUUUCUUUUGAAUGUGGUUUGGUUGGUGACUUAGUUACUUGAAAAUGGUUGUGUAGGGAUUUUAAAGGGGAUUUUGUGUUUUGAAUGUGUGAUUAUAGGUGGUGAGUUGGUAGGUUGAAAAUGGUCAAGUGUAGAGACUUUAAAGGUGAUUUUUUGUUUUGAAUGUGGUUUUGUUUUAAUACUUAGUCACUUGAAAAUGGUUAAGUGUAGNNNNNNNNNNNNNNNNNNNNNNNNNNNNNNNNNNNNNNNNNNNNNNNNNNNNNNNNNNNNNNNNNNNNNNNNNNNNNNNNNNNNNNNNNNNNNNNNNNNNNNNNNNNNNNNNNNNNNNNNNNNNNNNNNNNNNNNNNNNNNNNNNNNNNNNNNNNNNNNNNNNNNNNNNNNNNNNNNNNNNNNNNNNNNNNNNNNNNNNNNNNNAAUGUGGUUUGGUUGGUGACUUAGUUACUUGAAAAUGGAUAAGUGUAUGGACUUUAAAGUGGAUUUUUUGUUUUGAAAGUGAUUAUAUUUGGUGAGUUGGUAGGUUGAAAAUGGUCAAGUGUAGAGACUUUAAAGGUGUUUUUUUGUUUUGAAAGUGGUUAUGUUUGGUUACUUGGUAGGUUGAAAAUGGUUAAGUGUAGGGACAUUAAAGGUGUUUUUUUGUUUUCUAAGUGGUUAUGUUUGGUGAGUUGGUAGGUUGAAAAUGAUUAAGUGUAGGGACUUUAAUGGUAUUUUUUUUAUUUUGAAAGUGGUUAUGUUUGGUGAGUUGGUAGGUUGAAAAUGGUUAAGUGUAGGAUCUUUAAAGGUGUUUUUAUUUUUAAUGUGGUUAUGUUUGGUGAUAAUUGAAUUUUUGUGACUUGAUCUAAUUAGUUGAAUCUGAUUGAUUGCGUAGAUAGAACCUGAUUAUAGCUGGAUAUAUUAAUGGAACAAUGAUAAUAGAAUUGGUAUUAGGGAUGAAUUUGUUGAAGGUGUCAAACGAUUUAUUGAACAUGCUAAGACACUUGAUGUUUGGACAUGUUUUCAGGCUAUUCAUUUUCCUUGUGUUAGAUAUGUUGGUAUAAAUCUUAUAAAUGAAGUAGAUGUAAAGGAACAUCUUUAUAGAAAGGGGUUUCACGAGGACUUUUUAAUAUUGCAUGAUUUUUAUGGUGAUGUUGCGGAAAAUAACUUUGUUGUUGGAGAAAGUAGUAGGUCUGCAGGGCAUAAUGAAUAUCAAGAUAUUAGGAUGACAGAAAUGGUGCACGAUGCUUUAGAGAUGCAACACGGGGGCGACCUUAGGGAAGAUGUCGAAGAUAUUCCUAAUAGCGAAGUGGGCAAAUUCUAUGAACAAUUGCAUGUUGCUAGCCAUCCUUUAUCUGACGGGUGUUCGCACUCUCAUUUGUCUAUUGUUGUUAGAUUAUUAAGUAUUAAAUCUGACUAGAAUAUUUCUGAAGGAGGAAUGGACUCAAUGAUAGACCUUAUUAAAGAGUUAGUUGACCUCGGCUUGGAUAUUCCUGAUUCUUUCUAUAAGGUAAAAAAAUUGGUGUCAAAGUUAGGUCUCUCCUCGAUUAGAAUUGAUUGUUGUGAAAAUGGUUGCAUGUUAUACUUUAAGGAAGAUGCUAACCUAGAGUCCUGUAAGUUUUAUCAGAACCCUCGAUAUAAGCGUGGUUCUUGUGGAAAUCAAAUUGCUAUUAAGUCUAUGCAUUAUUUAUCUCUAAUACCAAGGUUGAAGAGGUUGUAUGCUUUAAACAUCUCAGCUCAUCAUAUGAGAUGACACAGUGAAAAUAGAAGGCCUACUGGUGUUAUGUGUCAUUCAUCUGAUUGAGAGGCUUGGAAGCAUUUUGAUGCAACUUAUCCAGAUUUUGCAGCUGAGCCACGAAAUAUUCAUUUGGGAUUAUGUGCAGAUGGCUUCUCUCCUUUUUCAAUUGGUGUUGUUCCAUAUUCAUGUUGGCCUAUCACCCCUUAUAAUCUUCAUCCUAAAAUGUUGAUGACUAGUCCCUAUAUAUUUCUGAAUUGUGUUGUUCCUGGCCCGCAUAAUCCAAAAAGAGGAAUAGAUGUCUACUUGCAACCUUUGAUUGAUGAACUUCAAAUUUUAUGACAUGAGGGGGUUAAAACUUAGGACAUCUCACUUAAAUAGAAUUUCAAUUUGCAUGCAUAUCUAAUAUGGACUGUUAAUGAUUUUUCUGCUUAUGAAAUGUUGUCUAGGUGGAUGACAGCUGGAAAGCUGGCUUGUCCAUACUGCAUGAAAAAAAUAAAAUCUUUCACAUUGAGACAUGGCAGAAAAAAUUCAUGGUUUGAUUGUCAUCGCUGUUUCUUACCACCUAAUAAUGAAUUUAGGAGACUCAAGAAUGCAUUUAGAAGGAAUAGAAGGGAAUAUGAUGGUCCAACUCCAAGGCUGUCUGGUCAUGACAUCUGGGAGAUAGUUCAGGAUUUGCCUAAAGCCAGCGAGGAACCAUUGUACAGGCUUAAUGGAUAUGGCGUUUCGCAUAACUGGACUAAGCAAAGUAUAUUUUGGGAGUUAGAAUAUUGGCCAAAUAAUUUACUUAGAAAUAAUAUUGAUGUCAUGCAUACUGAGAAGAACUAUUUUGACAACUUGUUCAACACAGUUAUGGAUGUCACCGACAAAAUAAAGGAUAAUACUAAGGCCUGACAUGACUUACCAGAAUAUUGCAAACGCAGAGAAUUACACUUACAGGAGGGGUCCAAUGGCAAUGUUCUUAAGACCAAGUCUAGUUUUACAUUUAAGUUGGACCAAAAACAUCAAAUAUGUGAGUGGGUCCAAAGUUUGAAGAUUCUCGAUAGAUAUGCCUUAAAUUUGGGAAAGAGGGUUGAUAUGGCACAAGGAAUCUUGCAUGGAAUGAAAAGCCAUAAUUGUCAUGUUUUCAUGGAACAAUUAUUUCCAAUUGCUCUUAUUGGUUUACCUGAAAACAUAUGAAAACCAAUAACAGAGAUCAGUUUGUUCUUUAAAGACUUAUGUGCCACCACAUCAAAAGAAGAAAAUCUGGCGCGAAUGGAAAGUAAUAUUGUUGUUAUCACCAACAAACUGGAGAAGAUUUUUUCGCCAGCGUUCUUCGAUGUGAUGGAACAUCUUCCCAUUUACCUUGUGCACGAAGCUCGGCUAGGCGGUCCAGUUGAAACUAGGUGGAUAUAUUCAUUCGAACGGUAAGCAAUUACAUUAUAUUUAAAUGCAUACAUAUCUUUUUUAAAUAUAGUAAACAUCUAAUCUUAAGAUUAUGCAGGGCAAUUGGAAAAUUGAAAAGGGGUCCCCAAAAACAAACAUAGGGUGGAAGGCUCUAUAUUUGAGGCAUAUCUUGCAAGAUUAACGUCUCAAUUUUGUUCAUACUACUUUCAUUAUGAAGUUGCAGCUUGUUCAAGAAAUCGACCGAAUCAUCAUCAGGAUGAUGUGAAUGAGCCUCAUUUGCAACCGAUAUCGAUGAGCCUCAUUUGCAACCGAUAUCGAUUUGCAAUCAAUCUAGUUGUAAGGAAAAAAAUAUCAUACGUUGCAGGCUCACUCCCAUGGAGCGUAAAUCAGCAACUUUGUAUGUCUUGCUGAAUUGCCCGGAAGUUGAGCCCUUUCUGAAGUAAGGAGAUUAAAAUUUUAACAUAUCUUAUUUGUUUACUUAUUCUCUUAAAGAAACUAAUUGUGUUUCACAUGUUGGAUCUUUAUUUCAUUUAAGACUCAAUUCCACAAAAAUCAAGUGUACGCAUACUUUGAAACAUGGUUUACAUAUGAGGUUCGUAAGUGUAUUAAUAUUUCUACAAAUUUUAAACAUUUACACAUUCCUUAAUUAACAUAAUAUAUAUAUAUAUAUAUAUAUAUAUAUAUAUGUAUAGUAUCUUUAGGUACACCAAUCACCAAAUGCAGUUGCAUACGAUCAAAUCUUGAGAGAUGUUUCUUUGGGUCCAGUUAAAGCUCAUGCAAUGUUAUAUUACACAGUAAAUGGGUUCAAAUUUUCCACCGAACAACACUCUAGAACAAGGAAAACAAAUAAUAGUAGUGUUUGGGUUAAGGGUAAUGAUGAUGUUGAUUACUUUGGCAUCAUGCACGAGAUCUUAGAACUGGAGUAUUUUGGUUUCUCUAUAAAAAAAAAUUAUCCUCUUUCGAUGUAAGUGGUUUGAUCCAAGGACAAGAGGCACAAGAGUACAUAAGGAGCAUAACAUCAUUGAAGUGAAGCACAAUAGGUUGUAUCCUGUUUACGAUCUAUUUGUUCUAGCGCAAAAUGCUAAACAAGUAUAUUAUGCUCCUUAUCUGUUGCGUAGUGAUAAGUCUGAUUGGUGGACUGUAAUCAAAACAAAUCCUAUAGGACGGGUGGAAGUUGAGAAUAUGCUGAAGACUGCGUAUCAAAAUGAAAUGCAGAUUGAUCACCAGCUAGUGGACAUUGACUUAGUGGAUACUUUGAAUCACCCAAAAAAUAUAUUUUACAAAAAUUAAUAUUGUGGAAGAAGAGGCUGAGUGGGUAGGAGAUGAGGAAACUUCCGAAGAGGAUGAAUGAUUUAGUGGAGAGUCUUCAGAAGAGGUGGAUUAGUUUGUCUAGGUUGUAUUUAUUAUGUAUUGAUUAUGUCUUUUUGCUUUGUACUAUAUAUUUACCUUUAUGUUUCUUGUUUAAGAUUGAUAUGUAAUAUACUGUUUAAGAUUGUUGUCUUCACUUUUUCAUGAUUUAUAUAGUAAUAAAAAGAUUCUUUUCUAUCUCGUGUUGUUGGUGCGAUUUAAAAUGUGAAUUAGUAACUUGAAAUUAGUUACUUGUAAUGUUUUCUUACAUAUUCAUUUUGUAGGACCUAACUACUUGUUAACUUUAUAUAAUUUAGAUGUCAGACAGAGGUGACAAAGGUAAGGAAAAAGUUGUUCUUACAAAAACAAAAAGGAAAAAACAACCUCCGCCGUAUAGAUGACAGAUAGGUAUUCAUAUAUCUGAGGGUCGGUUUGCUGACGCGACAGCACAACCCUCAUAUUCUAGGUCAUCUCAGCAUUCGGUUCCUACUCUUACGCAUAUGGGGCCACUUCAUGGGUCUACACCGACUCAUUCUGCUCCUACCAUCAUGCCACCACCAUCGCCGUACUAUCGAACAACCGCUGGCCCAUCUAUAGUACUACCAUCAUCAGUACCCUCCUGUAGCAAUUACGCAGGUUCGCACAGUGGUUCUGCAGGAUCUAUUGGGUUGUCGGAUCUUCAGCUUGGAGGCACUCCAUCUGGUGCUUCAGAUCCACCCACACCAGUGCAUCCACCAUCACUUACUUUGCAGCAAGGCGACAAAGAUGAUUUUGGGAGGCGUUAUCUUACUCUAUAUGCGACAGGGUAAGAUUUCUAAAUUUAAUAAUAUUAUUCAUUUUUUUAUUACUUUAUUAUUAUGCUCUAUGAAAUUACUGUUUGAUCUUGUGUUGUAGGUUCAGGCCGAAUGCUGGAGUUGGACAAACUGCGAGAAAAUACAUUUGUCGAAACUUCAACGGCUACUGGACCAGUUGGCAAAAGGUUCCAGAAAUUGACAGGGAAAGAAUGUUUCAAGAAUUUAAUGUAAGAAUUUAACUUAUCGGCUACUUAACACUUUGUUGGAACAAAAAAUUGAAUAUUAUAUUUUUAUUUUUGUUGUAGAAAUUUUACUGGUGGGAUGAUGCGAAUGCAUGUCGUAUUUCAAAAGAUGUAGAUCCAGAUUUAACGGUCUGUUGGAUUAUGCCCGAACCAACUUGGUACGACCUGACUAGAUUAGUGAACCAUUAUGGCAACAGUAUAUUCGCUAUUGGAAUAGCGAAAAAUACCAAUUGCUAAGGGACAAAGAAAAGAAAGUCCGGGCAUCAUCCAGGGGGUGGCUCCCUACAUACUGCGGGUGCCAAAAGUAUAAUUGUUGUGGAGAAAAAAUUGGUAUGUAACUUUUAUAGUUUUAAUUGUUUGUUUCUGUUUACAUUUUUAAUUAUUUGAACAUUGAUAAUUUUUUCAUAUGCAGGAAAAAGAAAGGGUAGGAGCAUACCACAGGGUGAGCUAUUCGAGGAGACUCAUCUGAAAAAGAAAAAUAACUCGACUGAUGAAGAUGUCUGGGUUGAACCUCGUGCAAAAGUUGCCCAUGUAAGAAUCAAAUUUUGAAUUUAUGAAUCUUUUUCUCAAAGUUGAUAUUAUUCAAGUAUAAGUACUUUAAUAUUUAUUUUUUUAAUUUUAACUUUACUUUGAAUAUAGGACAAAUAUACGUAGCUCGUUAGUGAGUAUCGUAGUACUCAGCCUCCUGAAAGUCAGGGUGACCCACUACCCCAACAUGUAGAGGAGAAAUUAUGGGAUAAAGUUGUGGGUCCUGCAGUUAGAGGCCAUUACUGCGGAUGCCACAAAAAAAAAUUGGCGAGAAUAUUAGGUGUUCGUCCGGCCCUACAUACUUUAACUCUUCAGUUGAUAGAGAAACCAUUGAAAGACUAAAAAAUGCGGUUUUCAAACUCACUGAAGAGCUUGCUGAACAGAGAGAGGGCGCACAAGGAGGAGGAAACAUCAUCACAAAUCAGGAUGCUGCAGGAGCAGUUCAACUCUUUCAUUCAGACUGCAGGGAUUAUUCCUCUAUAUCCUGGUGAUGCAGUUCGGGCUGCAAAAGUCCACGCCCCCUGGAUGAUAUCAGCAUAGAUGAAGAUAUGGAAGAUGAGGACGAAUUCGAUGAAGAUGAGUUUUAGUUUUUUGAUUUUUGUAUGUGUUGUACUUUGAAUUUAGACAUUUUGUUGUAGUUUGUACACUUUUGAAACUAUUGUUGUAGUUUUUACACUUUCACUUUUGUUGGACAUUUUGUAUGUGUUGUACACUUUUGAAAGUAUUUACAUUUGGUUUGUUGUUGUAUUGCAUGUUGGACCAUUUGUUGAUUUUUAUUUUUAUUUUUAAAUUCCUAGAAAAAACGAUCACAAGUGGUCAUUUUAGAAAAAAAAAAUUGCAGAAAACCGCCCACAAGUGGUCGGUUUUUUUUUCAAUUAUUUUUUUAAAUUUUAAUAAAAUAAUAAUGAAUUUUAAAAAUAUAUAUAUAUUUUUUAAAAAACGACCACAAGUGGUCGGUUUUUAAAAAACUACCACUACUUUAUCGACCACGCACUUUGGUCGAUUUUGUGGUCGGAAAUUGGAGAAAACCAAUCACUUAUGAUCGAUUUUUGUGAUCGAUUUUCCUUUUUUUUAAGUAGUGUAUGUGGAAGACCAUUGGGCUUACGAUUCGAUAUGAAAACAGGUGACCUAUAUAUUGCUCUUGCCUAUUUAGGACUCCAAGUUGUUGGACCAAAAGGCGGAUUAGCUACCCCAUUAGUGCAAAAAUUCGAAGGUAAACCUCUAAUCUUCACAAAUGAAGUUGAUAUUGAUGACCAUGACGAUGUGAUUUGCUUCACGGAUACAAGCACAAAGUACCAACGCAGGCAAUUUCUCGCCUUUUUUUCAAGUGGAGAUGCAACUGGCAGGCUAGUGAAAUAUGUUAAAGCAACAAAAAAAGUAACAGUUGCAUUAGGAGGCCUUGCUUUUGCAAAUGGUAUAGCUUUGAGUAAAGACAGGUCCGUUGUGCUAGUGGCUGAAAAUAGUAAUUUUAGAAUUUUAAGGUAUUGGCCUAAAGGCUCCCUUGCAAGAACACAUGAUACAUUUGCUGAGUUGCCAGGAUUUCCUGACAACAUCAGAAUAAAUUCGAAAGGGGAACUUUGGGUUGCUCUGCAAGCAAUAAGUUCAGUAUUGAGUAUUUCAGAUUCAGAAUCAGGAAAGCUCCCGUUCACCACGCAGCAAAUGGACGAAGGAAAUCUGCACCCUAAGGCGAUGAAGCUAAGUGAGGAAGGGCAAGUUUUGGAGGUUCUAGAAGAUGUUGAAGGCAAGAAGUUGAGGUCUAUUAGUCAAGUUGAGGAGAAAGAUGGCAAGUUGUGGUUUGGUUCUGUUGUGUUUCCCUUCUUGAGAGUUUAUGGAUUAUAAUUAUAUCAGUUAUCUAGAGACUGCCCUACGAGUAUGUUGCGAAUGGGUCUAGACUGUUGGGUUCAAAGUGCGAAGAAAGUGUGAAUGGAAAAUGGAGAGAAAAAUGGUGGAGGGAAGGAGACACCGAUUUGAAAAGUGUACUCCCAAAAUUAGAAAGUUUACUAAGUCUCCCAUAUUGGUGGGAGAAGGAAACUUUGGAGUGUUUAUAAUAAUGAACACUUACUCAACAUAAUAAGUGAGGUAAGAAAAUAGAGAUGCCUCGUGCCAUCAUUGUUGCUCGCUUGGCUUGGCUUAGAAUUGGAAAAUGGUUGAUCAGAUCUAUCUUUUUGCACAAACUUUAUUUGAAUUCCGAAAAAUACCCACUGUUUUGUGAGGUAUACCUAUUCGGGAAACAGUGGGUAUAUAAACCUUUUCGGGAAAAAUACCCACUGUUUCAUAACGUUUUUAUUGAACAGACAUGUUAUGGCUAUAUAAACUUGUUUUCAUUCAUAGGUUUAGAUACGAAAAUUUUCAGAAUACAAAAUUCUUCCUGACUUCAAAAUUACUCUGUGUGAUCAAUAAAAACGUUCUGUGCGUUCGAAGAUAUUUUAGUUGUUUGAGGUACCGCUACAAUUGGUUUGUUUGGCCAUUUUAUCCUGGGAGAAAAAUUCCGCAACCUCGGGUACAGUGAGGAGAAUUAUUUCCUUGAGGAAAGUCCGUGAAUUCGGGCGACUUGGUCAUUUCUGUUUUCAUCCUUAUUUCUAAAAUUCAAAUACACCUAUUAGAAAGAUCAUUUUGAUCUUGUGUUGAGGGUAUUUACUGCACUUCAUUGUGUUCUUGUUUUUAAACAUAGAACUAAAGUUGAAGUUGUUGUUCUACAUAUACAGAUUCUGCGUAUCCGUAGAAGGAAAUAACAUGGACUAGUAUUGGCAAAGCAGUAUAGCACCAGAUUAAGUGGUUAUGUCUGGGAUCUGGGUUGAUAAAUAGCGAUUUGUGAGAGUAAAACAGGCUUAUUUGUCUUGUGUAUGAGCUUCGGCAAAGUCCGUGUCUCUCAUCCCCUUCUCCUUUAUUUGUUAUUGCCAUUGUUCAUGUUCUUCAUAUUGUAUAGCAAUUUUAGUGUUUGUUGCAUAGUAACUCAAGUUAAAUCCAAGUCAAGUCGACUUCAAGCUUCUAACAUGAUGAUUCAAAUAUCCCUUUGUUUUCGUUUGGUGAUUCAGUUGUAUGAGACAUAAUAAAAUUUAUCGAACUUGGAUAGUACUUACAAGCUAGUAGUAACACAUAUUUGUAGUAUAAUAUAAUAUUUUUGAUAUGAUUCUUUCAAAUGUUUGGUGAGUAUAUACCAAUAUAUUUAUUUUUUUUUCCAAAUCAAAUGAGAUUAGCAUAAAGAAGUUGAUUCCAAGUAUCAGGAACACCAGGAAGACACCAAUGUGUACAAUCCAUGCCUUUAUAUCUAGGACUUCCAUAAAUAGAAGGAUGACCAUCAACUCUAUAUUGAGACAUUUUGUUUAAUUUCAGCAAAUGAAUUGGCUUUCCUGUUUUUCCCAACACUUUUCCCAACAACAUGUCUGCUUCAUCUGGAUCUCCUAAAUAUCUUAGCCUUUUUACUGGUUUCUGCUCCCCCUUGCAUUGCAUUGUGUUGGUCUUUUUCCCCCAUUGGGUGCCACUGCAAUGCAACAUUUUUUGAGGAAAGAAAAUACAUUAGCAUACACUUCCUUCGUUGCAAUUUGUUUGACAUCAUUUGACGGGGCAUUAUAAAAUUUAAGAAAAUAGUAAAUGAGAACUUUUGAAAUUGGCAUAAUAUAUAAAUAUGCCCAUUAACUUGGCUUCAACUUUCAUUAUGCCCUCCAACUUUGAGUGUGCACAAGUAGACACUUAAACUUGUAUGACGUCAAACAAGUAGAUACAUACGUCCUGUGUGGCACCCUACGUGGGUAAUUCGUGUCCUACAUGGCAUCCUACGUGUAUUAUGCCACAUAGGAUACAUGUGUCUACUUGUUCAACUUUAUACAAGUUUAAGUGUCUACUUGUGCACCUCCAAAGUUGGAGGUCAUAUGAGUUGAGGCCAAGUUAAAGGACAUGUUUACAUAUUAUACCUUUGAAAUUUAUGAUCUAAAACAAGAGUAAAAGAAGAAAAAUCUUACUUGCUGUGGUCAGGAGAGAUACCCUGGAAGAAGACUUGAACUUUGUUGAAAUUAAUGUUGUUGGAGACCCAUUUACCCCAUGUUACCAAGGCUUUUUCAUAAGCUUUUAAACGAUCCAUAUCUUUACGUAGGACUUUCCCAUCACGAAUCAUAUCCCAUCUGCAAAAUCAGUGACUAUUUUAGUAGGAAUUUUUAUACAACAAAGUCUUCAGUAAAAAAUCAUAACUUUAGUCUAUUUUUUUUUAAUAAAUUUUACUCAGUAUAAACACUGCAUAUUUAUACACUUCUUAUACGCUAUAUAUACAUUAGCGAUAACUACAAUCUAUUACGGUUAAAUGGAUGAAAUCUCUUUUAGAUAGCUGACUAAAAAUAUUAAGAUCCCAUUUUAGUAUAAUACAAUCUAUUGAGAUAUGUACUUAUUAGGACUCGUCAUAGUAGAAAUUUGAUAUGAAUUUCUCCCAUCAACUUAGGUAUCAGAUAAUUUUAUCCAAACAUAUCUUAGAUUGUCGUGCCUCACUUGUGCACCCAACGGACUUUUUGUCUAAGAUUGAUACUAUAAAGAAUCACCUAGUAUUUUAUGUUGUUGUAUUAAUUUAAACGUCAGAUCUCUUGAUUCUCAACUCAGUUUAUUAACCACUAGGUAACAUCCUCGAGUGCUACAAAUAAUUAACAUCUCUAAACCCUACAUUUAGAAACUAUAUUCAUAAUUAAUUACAAUGAGAAUUGUAUGCAUAACUUACGGUUGUUUUUUUCCAGUAUGAAGCCACCAAUGCCAAGUAUCAAAGAUCAAAAUGUCAUAACCAGUCCAGAGCUUUGAAGAAACUGCAACUGAGUUCAACUCUAGCACUCUUUUUGAUUUCUCCCUCACUAUGUCAACCAGCAGUGCAUUUCUCACGUAACUCAAUGUCACUUGCUUUGACUAUGUAUAAACAGUAUAAUCAACCAUUAUUAUUUGAGAUAAUUAUAUAUUAUUACUAUCAGUUUGACAAUGACAAUAAUAUUGAGAAAUAUAUAAAUGUAAGAGAUUAAACAAAAGAGGAUGAUAAAUGAGUUCGGAGACGAAUUUAGAGCAAGUUAUUUAGCAGGUUCGAUCGAAUCCAUCAUUUUUGGCUCGAAUCACUUACAUAUAUAUGUUGAAAUUUUGCAAUAUUAGUCACUAAAAUAUCAAUAAAUUUUGAUAUUGAUCCCCAUUGUAUAUGGUUAAACAUAUUUGACAUUAAUGAAUUGACAUAUGAAAUUUUGGUCCCUCUACAUCUAUUUAUCCAAUUAUUAUUUGUCAACACUUAAUUAUCCAUUUUUAUGUUAAAUUUGCAUCAUUACUCCAUAUUUUAGGGGCCAAAAACAUAUUUUAUUUUAUUAAAUUAAGAUUACAAAUUCUUAACCAAAUAUCACAAAAAUCAAAAUAGAAUUUAUCAAUAGUCAAGGAAACAAAACUAUCACAAACAUGCACAGACUUUUGUGUGUGUAUAAGUUAUAAUAGUAAUCUUACCAUUUCAAUUUAAAUGUCUUAUUUUUCUUGUUUAGUGUGUUUAAAAAUAUCUUUUUACAUUUCACAAAUCUCUUAUUUUAAUAUUCUACAUGGUUUAUUUAAGAUCAAGAGAUUUAAUAAGCAUGUUAAUAUAUUAUAAACAUCUUUAAUUUAAAAACUAUAAAAUUCAAAAGUUCUGAUUAUUUUUUAAACUUCAUGUCUAAUCAAACUAACAAGACAUGCAUACACUAAAACAUAGACAUCCAAACUCUAUCAAUAAAUUGCAUUUAUUCGAAACUCAUUAACUAUAAAUUGUGAAUUCACCUCUAAAUUAAUCACUUACAGGUAUAGAAAAGGUCGACAUGAGUGGUCCAUUUCUUGUGACAGUGUAAUUAAGACGAGGGAAGGCAGAAUGAAGCAUGCAUGCCAAAGAUUGCCAUUGAUUUAAGCUCAAUGAAUCUCCCACGAACAACACCUCCUUGUUUUUAAUUCUUCUCACAAACUCCUUUCCAUCCCACCUGCGUGUAUAUCCAUAAAUUAAACCAAGGAAAUACAUUUUUACAAAAAAUAAUAGAGGAAAAGUUACAAUAUUUGAUCACGCCGUUUAUUAUUAUUAUUAUUAUUAUUAUUAUUAGUAUCAUUAUCAUUAUUAUUUUCACUUACUUGAUGACAACCUUCGGAUUGAAAGUGACGAGUGCAUAUCAUCUGAGCAACUCGUCUAUUUAGCGGUUAUCUCUUAUGGGGCAAAUGGCUAUUUGUGUUAAUUUUCUAUUUGAAAAAAAAAAAAAAAUGUUUAUCACAUGUGGUCACUUUGCCAAAAUAAUUACAAUUACUAGUUAAAGAUACGAAAGAUAUAAAUUAUUAACAUGUAAGAAAAUAUACUUUAUCCUCUACUAUGAAGCACAAAAGUCGCUAAAAUAAUAUAUAUUUUUAAAAUGUGAAAUUUGUAAUCUUAAAAACAAAACAAAUUCUUGUUAUUAAUAGAUGAAAUGGCCGCAUGAGAUGAUAUAAAAAAUAUUUAUAUUCAUGAUAUAGUAUAACUUAAACUCUAAUAAUAAAUGAUUUUCACGAGAUCACAAGUUGGUGCAAUUAAUACUCAACGUAGGCGGGAAUACAGCAGUGGAAGAUUAAAAUUCAUCAAGUAAUCACAAUUAGCAAAGGAAUCUUUCGUUUAAUCAUUUUUUUAAAAUUUCAACCACUCAUUUUCGUAGAAAAUUAACUAUUCAUAACUACCUAAAUAAGCAAAAGACAAAGUGCACGAAAACAAAUAAUCCAAUUAUCAAGCAAAACAUGUCCACCUAGAUUAACGAAUAUAUACUAAGCACGAUAUAGAUGAGACAAGUUAUCCUAUGUUCCCUAAGUUUUCUGAAUUUUCUUUUUUAAGCUAACAAUUUAAAUUAUAUUUAAAAGUCUGACUAAAAGGAGCAUGUAUAUAUAGAGAAAACAAAGUCUGACUAAAAGGAGCAUGUGUAUAUAGAGAAUAAAAUUACAUAUUCAAUUAGAGUUAUGCUGAAAGUUAAUUGAUCUUUCGUGUAAUCCAUCCGUUCACUUUUACUUGUACUGUCAUGUUUCGCUUUUAGAAGGUCAAAUUGUAUGAGAUUUGACCAAUUUUUAAGAUGUAUUUUUUAAUCGUAUUAAUAUUAGAAGAAUUGCAACUUAUAGCAUUUUCGUAUAGUUUUCGAAUAUCUGAAUUUUUUAUAUUAAAUUAAUCUCCUUCAAUUUACCUCUAAAAUUUAGUCAAAUUAACUUUACGUGUAAAGUGAAACAUAAUAAGUAAAAAUGAGUAGAUGGAGUAUUUAUCUUGAAUAAUUCUGAAAUCUUCUUCCCUCCUUUGUUUUCCCUUUCAUUUCUGAAUUUUGCUGCAAGAAAUUAAAUGAAGUUCUAUCUAUCGAUAAGUAUUUCUAGUAAUAUCUCUUCAUUUCAGUAUAAUCUGCCUUCAUUACAAUUUUGAUUAUUUUUAAACAAAGGGCAGUGUCUAAAGCUUCCACGGUGCAGAGUCUGUGAAAGAACCGAACCACAUUAUUGUACAUGGCUACAAAUGUAUGAUUUCUUCAAUCAUCUAUAUUCUUAGCUUCAACACAACCAUAUUCUUAUAAAUACACAAAUGUUUAACUUAUGUUCCUCACCAUAUGAAUUGGAUUUUAACUUUUACCAAGCCAAUUGUCAUCAAAUGAACUUUCAAUGUCAGGGUGUGAUUCAAGAAAAUUCUACCUCUUUAUCUACAUCUCUUUCUUCAUUUCAAUUUGUUUAACUGAUUUACGUGACACAAAAUUUAAUGGUAGUAAACAGAAACCGAUUUUUUGUUUGUUUGUUUUUAAAAUUAACUAAAAAGGAAUGCUUAAUAGACAAAUUGAAACGAAGAGUAAUCAAAGGAUGGACAAAUUAAUUACCUGGCUAAGUUACACUUUGUGGGUUGCCAUCUAUACUUUAGAUAAGCUCUAUCUGGACUUCUAUUCCCUACCCAAUCAAAUUGCUUCGAAUGGACAAUCUUUUGCAUUAUAGACUGGAUACUUAUAAUCAACAACCCAUUUUCCAUCAUAAAAAUCACAUUUUCCAGCCAAAUUUUUUGGUGGUUUUUUUGGUGCUACAGCAGGAGGCCUUAGCUUAUUUGCAAGAAUAUUACUAACAUUAUUGUUAAAGCAAAUAAUGGUGGUGAUUAUUAUGAACCAAUGAAAAAUCAUAGGAGAUUUCAUUUUAGGAAAACAGUGAUGGAGAUGAAUAAGAAAGCAAAAAUGGUCAGUUAUGUUGAGGGUAAUGCAGGUGGAGGAUUAAUUUAAUGGGUGAGAUUUAUGAGUAAUUAAUGAGUCAUGAUUUGUGUAAGUGAGGGAAAAAUGAAAUUAUGAGGAAAGAAGAGUGUGCUUAAUUCGUGCACCACGUUCAUUAAAUGCUAAUUAUUGGCGGUUUAAUUUGGUUUUUUAUUUAUUCCCUCCGUUCACUUUUACUUAUCACACUUUGACUUGAUACAUGCAUUAAAAAAAAAAUUAUCGAAAUUCAGAUGAAUUGAGGUGAAAACUCCGUUGAUGGAGAUAAUCUGAGCAGCGACAGGACAAAUGAGGAGAAGAGAAGCAUAAAUGGAGAAGAUAUUUUGUAAAAUCAGAAAGUGGUCUCAUUUUUUCUGUAUUGUUCUAGUUAUACAAGGAAGAAGAAAAUGACAGCUAGCUACAACUGAUGCCAGCUAAUGCUAUAUUCUCUAACUAACACAUUAGACAUUUAGUCACAAUUAACUAACUAAUCAACUAACUAAGCUGCACACAGUCUCAACUAAUUAACUGCUUGCAUAGAUAAUGUCUAAUUAAUCUCAACACCCCCUUAAGUUGGCGGUGAGGAAUGCACUGACAACUUUCCAAGUAUACAAUGAUGUUUGACUCCAAUGAGUGCCUUGGUGAGUAUAUAUAUCAGCCAAUUGUUGAGUGUUGGAGAUGUGUUGCAAAUCAAUGAGUCCAUCAUGAAGCUUAUCCUUGACAAAGUGACAAUCUACCUCGAUCUGUUUGGUCCUUUCAUGAAAUACGGGGUUCUUCGCAAUGUGGAUUGCAGCUUCUUUAUCACAGAAAACAGUGAUAGGUUUAGAGGGAGUGACAAUCAGCUCUAUGAGCUGUCUAUCAAUCUACACCAAUUCACCAACCACCUUUCUGAGUGAUCUAUAUUUAGCCUCUGCCGAUGAAAGUGAAAUGGUGGUUUGUUUCUUUGAUUUCCAGCUGAUGGUAGUGUCACCAAGGAAGACAAUAUACCCACUAAAAUAUCUCCUAGAAUCAGGACAAGCAGCCCAGUCUGAGUCACAAUGAGCUGAGACAGUGCAAUAUGGAUUUCUUGAGAGAAAAAGACCCAAGGUCAGAUCACUUUUGAUGUAUCUCAAGAUAUGCAAUACAGCUUGAUAAUGGGGUUCUCUUGGAGCAUGCAUAAACUAACUCAGGUGUUGUAUACUAUAUGCAAUAUCCAAUCUGGUGUUCGUGAGGAAAUUCAACUUCCCCACUAAUUUUUUGUAUGCAGUGGGAUCUGAUAACAACUUUUUCUGUUGAGCAUGUAGUUUCACUGUAGGAUUAGUGGUGAUGACACUUUGAUAUAAUUUAGGCAAUUAAAUUCCUUAAGUAAAUCAGCACCAAACUUCCUUUGAGAGAUAAAUGCACCAUUAUCUGUGUAGAGAAUUUCUAAUCCCAAGAAGUAGUGAAGUCUUCCUAGAUCCUUGAUCUUGAAUUGACGGUGCAAAAAUUGUUUUAACUCUUGAAUCUUACUUAGAUCAGUCCCAGUGAUAGUAAAAUCAUCAACAUAAACAGCAACGAAACACAGAGAUUUAGCAUUUGCAUCCUUCUUGUAAAAUAAAGAAUAAUCACUAGUUGAAUGAACAAAACCUUUUGAGUAGAGAGACUCAGUUAAUUUGUCAUAUCAUUGCCUACUUGUUUAUUUCAAACCAUAUAGAGACUUUUUCAGUUUGCAAACCACUCCUUUCUCUUCAACUAACAAGCUUGGUGGAAUUUCCAUAUACACUUCCUCUUUCAAGUCUCCAUGCAAGAAUGCAUUGUUGACAUCUAAUUGAGAUGGUGGCCAUCCCUUUUUGAUAGCUAAGGACAACAAAGUUCUUAUAGUUGUCAUUUUUACUACAGGUGAGAAGGUCUCAGUGUAAUCAAUACCAUGUUGUUGAGUGAACCCCUUUACUAAAAGCGUGGCCUUAAACCUUUCCACAUUUCCAUCUGCCUUAUGUUUAAUUUUAAACACCCACUUGCAUCCUGUAACACCCCGUAGUUUUCUCGACCUGAUGUCACUUCGUGGUAUGCUUGGAGGGUAGAUCUUCUGAAUUUUUUCUAAGUGUCAAGAGGACUUAGUCAUAUUUUGAGCUCCUACCCUUUGAUGAUUUUUUUUUUACCUUUCCGACCUCGAAAAGCUGAUUUUUAAGUUGUCUCAUGAUUGGGAAAGUUAUUAGUACAUCUUGGGUAAGUUUCAAAAUUUUCGAGCAUCGUUAGAGGGGUGUUUGGAUAUUGAAAACAGUGGCCCAAUGUGAAGUCGGUGUGCAGCAUCGAUGAUAGCGUCGAUGAAAUGGUGGACCAAUGCGAUCUCAACACAUCACAUCGGGUAACGCGUCGGUGCCCAGUUCGCAAAUUUAUUUUAAAUAACCAGCCUUAGGGAGGUCAGAUCAGUCUUUUUCUCUAGUCAUAACUGCGCCAUAACACAAAAUUAAGGUGUCAUUAGGGAAAAAUAUAUCAGAAAACUACUUCUCUCUCUUUAAUCAAGACCCUAGGUUUUCCACAAAGAUCAAGAAACUCAUCUUUAGAAGUCAAGAGUAUCAAGAACUUAGUCAAGAUUUGGGCCCCGCUCUUUCUCCUAAGUUAUAUAAGAUACGUGGAGUUUUCCUGAACUACAUGAGCUUGUUGAAAACAUAUUGAAUAAGAUUUAAAGUUAUAGAAAUCAUGAAAUUUUAAAAUCUUACAUUAUGAAUGCUUUAAUGUUACUAUUGUUUUGGUCUUGAGGCUUUUCCCCCAAAUUUGAUUUAAAAUCUUAUAUAUGUAUGUAUGAAAUUGAGAUUUAAGGAUUUGAAUGGAGAGUAUAAGCCUAUAAACAUCCCUCUCUUGUUGUUAAGCUACUUAUUCCUUUGUGUGUUAUGAAAUACUCGAUUUUUUUAUAAGAAAGCAUGAUAUGAAUGACUUGAUCUUUGGUUUAUGACUUGAUUAUGAUUUUGAACUUAAGAGGGGACGGUUUAUUUGAUGUUAAAUGUUAAGAGAAUUGCUAAAAGAAUUUCAUGAUUUGUCAUAAAUUUUAUGACCACCACGUGUUGUUGAAAGGUUAAAAAGAGAGAGUUUCAUGCAUGUGUUCACAUGAGUUUAAAGCAAGAGCCCUUUUGAAUUUAUUGAUUGAUAUGGUGGUCCCAAACUUCAUGCUUUGAAAGAAGAGAUUAUAAUAUGCUAUGAAUGGCCCAGAGAUGCGACUUUUAAGUCAAUGGUAUGACGAUACCAUAUAAAAAUGUAUGUCAUAACAAAGUUAUAGUUUUCAGUUUUUUAUUUUAGAGACUACAUGUUUUAAAGAGCUAAAAAUGGGCUUAAAGAGGGUUAAGUGGUUGCCCAAAGAAGUCUUGAGUUUAAGAACUCCUAGCCCAAAAUCGUGUUUUACUGAUAUGGGCUCAUUUUAUCCCCUAGAGGGAUUAUACGUUGGCCUAGUGCCCUGUGGCGUAUCAGAGAUAGAGACUCCAACCCUUGCGGAAAACUUGGGUUGGGGGCUCAGUUUUCUAGUUAAGGGCAGAUUUCAUAUAGCCCAUGGAAUUUUAGAGUUUCAGGGUAUACCACCUAGCACAAAAGUAAAAACAAGGAGUAUAUCAGGGAGUUCAGAUAAUUGUUCACAGUCCUUUAAAUAUGCCCAUGUGUUUUCUUUGCAUAUUUAUAUUUAUGAACUAUUUUCUAAACUGCUUUAUAGAAGGAGCGUCAUAGAAAUGCUAGGAUAGAAGCCACUGGAACGUACUAUUCCAAGAUAGGGCAACCAGGUAGUUGUUUGUUCAACACAGUUCAUGUAUCAUGUCUCAGUUUCAGACCCCGGAUAUACAGCCACGACUCAAUUCGUAGGUGCCCUGUACAUCAUCCCAGUUUUCCUAAGUAUCUCAGCCGAGUCAGUAUUCUUCGGGGGAUACAAUGUCUCAAGGGGGAGAUGCUCUAUAACCCCCGAGCUAUCAUGUCUUAAGCCCUCCAGUUUCUCUUCAUGUAACGAAUCCAGUUUGGAAUGAUGGGUAUUCAUAGGUUGACCCUUCAGUUCCAAUCUCAGCAGUAAGCUAUGUAUUCAGGGGCUUAUUUCAGCUCACGAUAUUCAGUCUACGUAGCACGUUUUAGUCUCAGUUAUGAUCUCAUAUUUCUAUUCAGGCAUGUUCAGUAUCUCGAGUUAGAGAGCUGUAAUUUAGAAUUCUUGAAAACCCCUCCUAUGAAAGGAGUGAAGAGGUUUGGCAAGAAGGGAAACUCAGUCCCCGAUAUAUCGGUCCUUACCGAAUUCUCAGCCAUUUUAAAAAGGUAGCUUACUAGCUUAAGUUGCCUUUAAAUCUAGUUUUAGUCCAUUUAGUAUUCCAGGUCUCCUUACUUAAGAAGUGCGUAGGUGACCCAGCAGUUGUAGUUCUUAUAGAAGGCAUAGAUGUUCAGAACAGUCUCUCUUAUGAGAAAAUUCCAAUCAAAAUCCUUGACUAUCAGAUUCGCAGACUGAGGAACAAAGAAGUCCCUUUAGUUAAAGUUCUUUGGCGGAAUCAGUCCAUUAAGGGAGCUACUUGGAAAUCAGAAGCAGACAUGCGGACCAAGUCUCCUCACCUCUUCUCCGUAAACUCAGACUCAGCCCAAGGUAAUAGCUUUCCUUAAAGUUUAUUCAGUUUCAUGUUCAAAUUUUAGUUACAAAUUGGGUAUUCAGUUUCAUGCUUAGAUUCCCAUUAUAAACUUGGUAUCAAAUACCAUUGCAUAUUUAGUCAUAUGUUCAUGUAUCAUGUUAGUCACGUAUUCAUGCAUCAGAGAUGCAUUCUCAUUAUGAGAAAAUCAGCUUAUCAAAAAUCUCAGGCAUGUAUUCAUGAGUUAGAUCAGUCAUGAAAUCAUGCAUCAGAUAUGCAUGCUCAGUAUGAAUUUUAGUAAGUCAGUAAUGUCAAUCAUGUAAUCAUGUUUCAGUUAUUUAUGUCCUAUAUGUACUUUAGUUUAUCAUUUCUCCCAUGUCAUUCAGUCUCACUCUAGGACGAAUGUUCCCAAGGGGGAUAUAUUGUAAGGUCCCGCAAAAUUCUAAGUCUAAUUUAGCCCCUUAAAGCUUAUAAGGGAUCCAACACUUAGAAAAUUUGAGCUAAGUGUUAAGGACUUAGUCUCUUUUAAAGCCUUCGGACUUUGAGGAUUUAUUUCAUGACCUUCCCGGCCUUCGUUUGUCAAUUUUUAAAAUGAUUCAUGAUGGGGCAAGUCAAUAGUACAUCUCGGGUGAGUUUUGGAAUUUUCGGAAUCUAUUUAGGGCAUGUUUGGAUUUCAAAACAGUAGCACCAUGCAAUUAGCAUGCGGUACACGCUCCAGUCCACCCCUGGGGGGUGCAAUAGAGCAUGCGAUGCACAUUCUAUUCUGGCGUACUAGAGCAUGCGACACACACUCCCUAGCACGCUCCUAAAAAUUUUAGUUUUCAACUCCGCGUCCGAAGAGGUAUUUGGGUCAUUUUUCCACCUUUAGUUAACCCUCAAAACAUGAGAUUCAACCCUCAUUAACCUAAAUAUACUCACUUUCACUAAAAUUCUCUCAAGAACAAGCCUUGGGGUUUUUAAUUGAAGAUUUAAUUCUCCAAGAUUUAACCAUCAAUCUUCUCCAAAUAAAGUAACAAGGUAUGUAAAGUGUUCAUCCAAGGACCCCUUCCAUCCUUGGAGCUCAAGAAUCCAAUUUUAAAAUCAAGAAUUGUGAUUUUUAUGAUGUAGAUUGAUUAUGAACAUGUGUCACGGCCCGAACUAGGGCCUGGCCGUGAUGGACAUCCCAAAUCAAGAAGGCUGGGGCGUCCUACUCUAUCUAGUAAUCAUGCACAACAUUCACAUAAUAAAAGACGAUGCAGAAAUAUAAUCUGAUACGGAAACAUGGUCAUACUCUGGAUUAAGUUUAACAAUAAGGAAUAAAAUCUGAAAAUCACUAAAAACAUCUGGAACAGUCUGCGAAAUCUCUACUACAUGAUCUAAAGAUAACUAUCUGAAAAGCUGAGACAAGGCCCCCAGUAGACCAAAACCAUAACUGAUAAUAAAUGUCUGAAAAUAACUAAGCCUUCUAAAAUAUAGAAGGCUCACCGACUAGACCGUGCACUUCUGUCUGAAGAAAUCUAUUGCUUAUCAGGACCCCUAGACUGUGCCUCAGAACCUGGAAGGUAAUGUUGGGGGUCAAUACAGAUGUACUGGUAUGCAGAGAAAUCCAAAAUAAAUCUUUUAAUAUAAAUAAAAUAGUUAAGAGCUAGUCAUAAAACAUCACAUACGAUAUAAAUUCCAAAACACAUGGGCAUUUUGAUAAUCAUAAAAAACCUUUUUGUCAGUGCAAUUUCUGAUCUUUGUAUUACUUCUGAGUUAGGUGGUACACCCCUACAAGUCUAAAACCCCACGGGCUAUAUGGAGUCCGCCAUUGACUCGGCGGGAAAGCCCCCAACCCAAGUGUGUUGCAAGGGUUGGAGUGUCUAAGUCUAAUACGCCACAGGGCGCUAAGCCAGUGUAAUAUAAUAUACCUGGAUCGACAAAUCACUAUUUUAGGCAAUGAGUUAUCUGAACUCGUGUCUUCUUUGGGAGACCACCUAACAUCUCUUUAUGCCCAAUUUUAUCCAUUUCUAAACAUGUAUCAUUCUGAAAUCUUCAUGAAAAUUUGGUUUCUAUAUUUGUCUGGGUCUGUUAUGGCAUUUUCUAUUUUGGUAUCGUCAUACCAAUACUUUGUAAGUCAUAUUUUCUGAGCCAUAAUGCAAUAAGCAUGAUCUUUUCAGUAAGACAUAGUUCAGACCACCCAAAUAUGCAAUUCGCAUAAGAUAUUUCAUGUUCCGAAAACAUAAAUCAAAGUUAUACAAAAGUUCUCAUCCUUUCAAUAAACAAGUGGUGAUCAUGUAAUCUUUAACAAACCAUGCAACUUUUUUCAUUAUAUAAUUAUGUUCAACAUUCAUCAACAUAAACAACCCUCUCUUUUGGAAUUAAAUUCAUAAUCCAAAUAUAACAUUAUUCAAGACAUUUCAUAACAUGCUUUUCAAGAUGCAUUCAAAUGAUUUCAUAUUAUAUCAUAAGUAAAUGAAAAUCAUCUCACAAGAGAGGAAUUUUUUUCAUGAAUCAUGCUCUUAAUUCAAUCAUCAACCUUAAAACACAUGCUUACAUAUAUAUAAAAUUUCAAAUCAAUUUAGGGAAAGGCCUAAAGGCCAAAACAAUAUCAUCAACGCUUCUAAAACAUGAAUAUAUUCAUAAAUCCAAAAUCCUUUUCUUAAAAAUAUGAUUUCUAUGCCCAUGAAAUUUUAGAAAAACUCCGCGUACCUCAAUCUCAGAAAAUAAUGGAUGAUUCGUGAAGCCUACGGCGUGGGGAUUCCAACUCUCUAAUUAUCUUCUAAAAUCCUUGGUUGAAUCUUGAGUUAUUUGGGAUUCUUGUUUGAAACCUUAGAGAGUGUUCUUGUAAAUUUCUGAAGAAAAUAUGAAUAAUGUGAGCACUUGAGAGUAUAAUCCUGUGUUUAAGCUAAUAAGGGGGUGGAAAAAUACCUAAUAUUCCCUAAAUAAGACAGAAUAAAAUAUAAUUGGGAGCCUGAUUUUAUGGGCCACCGCGAUGCGCCACAAUCAUGGUGGCUCACUGUAAAUCGACAAAUGGGAUUCUUAGGGUCACCGCGACGUGGAGCCAUCGCGUUGUCCCACUGAUUGGGACCUGGAGCUUCAGCGCAAUGCGCCACAAUCACGCUAGGCUACUGAAAUAUGACAAUUUCUAAAUAGACUCACUCCGCGAUGCGCCAAACACCAAAAUAAUGGUGUUUUACGAUUAGGACUUAAAUUAGCAAUAACUUCUUGCCCGGGUAUUGGGUUUGGGCGAAUCAUAUAUCGAUGGAAAUCCCAUUCAAUUUUUUACAUGAUGAAAAGUCAAAAUUAGAAAAAUUAUAUAUGGUUUAUACUUUACUCAUUUUGGAAGCCUAAAAUGAGACUAAGUCUCUUUGACACUAUUCUAGUCAUUUAACUCUAAGAGCAUAUUACCACGAACUAACGAAUGGAUGAUUUUUUUUUGCGGGGUGUUACACCAUGUUUAUGUUAUUGUAUGAUUUUCAAGUUGGAAUAUUUAAUGUGUUUUCAUGAAACUAUGAUAGCAUGUGAAUCGAAAUCUAUGAAAUUGAGUUGAAUUAUGUAAUAAUGAUGUAUUGGUUUAAUGUUCAUGCCUAAGCCAAAUAUUAUGCAUCCUAUGUGUUUGAUAAAAUGCCUAUGAGAAUAAGAAUUAUGCAUUAUGGUUCAAUAGGACCUAAAUGAUGAAUCCAUGCUUUACCCUUAUGUUCAAAAUGACUCCCAUGCUAAAUCUAUGUCUUGUAGUUGUUUGAUGGAAUACUCAUGAGACUAGAAAUGUGAAAUAAUGACAUGUUUGAAUGCACUCCUAUCCAUGUACAAGUUUAUGAAUAUCAAGUGUUUCAUUAAAUCCCUAAAUGGUUGUAUUAUGAAUUGUUGACCAUGGUCAUGUGUUCAAGAAGUAUCAUGUUUUAUUUAUUUUCAUGCUAUCGAGUCUUGGGGGUAUUUAAUACCCAAUAAUUUAGUUGUGUGCCUUGAUCCAAUGUCAUUUUUCAAGAUACCCUCAGUCAAUCUAUGAUUAGUAGAAUUCAGUCAGUUAUAGAACUCAGGAAAACUCAGUAAUCUCAGUAUCAGUCUAGUCCCAUUCAAUAUUCAAUUAACUCCUCAGUAAACUCAGUCAGGUAACAGAACUCAGUAUUCCAUCAGUCGAUGGAACUCAGUAAGCUCAGUUCAGUUUAGUUAAAUAGUAUGAUUAGUAAUAGCUAAGUCAAGCCUAAUAUGAACUAGGAAAUCAGUCCAGUGUCUACUCAGUUGGGAGUAGGAUUCAGCACCGAGUGAAUCCAAGAAUGAAGACUCACCUACUAGCAGAGGGUGUGAUCCAGAACUACGUAGCCAGUGUAGGUUAAGAUAUACCCCUACGAGUGUAGGGUUAAUAUAGCUGAUUCGAGUUCUCCUACCAAUAAGGGGUUGACAGAGAAGUUCCCUAUCUGUAGAGGGUUAACUCAUAGCUUGUAUUUACCCGUGGCAUGGUAUUGAUACCCUUCCAACUGGAGUUACAGGUUGGACCCCACCAGUUUAGUUUCGGCGCAUGUCAGUUAGAUGAUUACAUCCCACAGUUUCAGUUUUAGAUACAGUCUUAAUAAUAAAACUUAGUUCAGUUUUACAGAUUCAGGACUGUUAGAUACAGUUACUUAGCUCAGUAAAAAACUCAGAUAGUACUUUAGAAUCAAGACUGUCAGAUAUAGUCAUCCAGUACAGUAUAGAACUCAGAUAGUUUUAUAAUUUUAGGACUAUCAGAAACAGUCACUCAGUUACCGGUUAUCAAUAAUAUUGUACCAGUAAACUUAGAUAUCAGUUAUCAGUAAACUCAGAUAUCAACAUCAGUAGACUCAGUUAUUCAGUAUCCCAGUACUAGUAAACUCAGAUGUCAGUACUUUAGUAUUCAGAACUCAAUAUUCAGUGUUAUCACGACCCCAGUUCCAAUUUACGUAUUAAUGAAUGUACUCUCAUUCAGUCAUACUCAUGUUAUUCAGUUAUUAUUGUUCAUGCAUAUGAACCCAUGCAUUCAGCCUACCUCACUUUGCAUACCAGUACAUUCUCACGUACUUAUGCAUAUUUUUCUCUUCUUCUAUGGUGUUUUAUACCAUAGGUUCAGAUUCUCAAGUUCCCGAUCACACUUAGCAGUUUAGAUUUCAGCAGACAGAGUCAGUGGUGAGUCCUCAUAGUUUGAGGACAUGAUUAUUUUUUUAUUUUAUUAUUUCAGGAGUUAGUUAUUUCAGCAGUCGAAGUUAGUUGGGGAAUUGUCCCAUCAUCUCCACAGUUUAGACAGUUUAGACAGUUUAGAGGCUUUUCAGACUAGAGUAUUUUAGAUAGUUGUUUUUAGUUUUGGUAUUAUUAUACCUUGAUCAGACAUUGCUUAUUUCAAUUUUAAACCUUAUGGAAAGUUUUCUGCCAGAUUUGCACAUUUAUUUUAGUUAUAUUGUUAUUACAGUAUUACUAUAAUACAAUCCUCAUAGCAGGUAUCAGUCAUGGGUUAGCUAGUGGUCCUUCGGGAUUGGUAGCACCGUGUAGCAUUCGGGGUACCAGACUCAAGGCGUUACACAGGCCAAGAGGGCCAUACCAGUAGACCAGAACCAUAGUCAGUACCAAGAUGAACCAUAGUCAGUACCAAGAUGGUAACUAGGGUAACAGAUGGCCAAAAAAAAUGUCUUGGAGUAAUGCCCAGCCUGUGGCCAGCGCCCAGCGCCCCAGCGCCCAGACCUCCAGCAGAUCGGCGAUUCUAGAAUUUUUAACCUAGCUACGGAUCGAGAGUACAGGGUACACAAUUACAAGAGAGUGUGGCACAACCUGAUAGGUCUUAUCCUUGCUAUAACACGUGUGGGAGGCACCACCUAGAGAGGUUCUAGAUUGGUAUAAUGGUAUAAUAUUCUUAUGGCUAACCAGGUCAUAUCCAGAGAGAGUGCCCGACAACGAGAGGUAAUAUCGGGGGAACUAACUCGCAAGCUAAUUCCUCCGUGCAACCACCACCUCCAAAAAGAGCUACUUCAGCUACCGGGAGCGAUCGCAACUGGUUGUAUGAUUUGUCCAACCGUCAGGAUGUACAGGCUUCCCCAGAUGUAGUCAUAAGUAUGUUACAAAUAUUCUUCCAUAAUGUAUAUGUGCUACUUUAUCCCAGGUCUACCUUGUCUUAUGUGACCCCAUAUGUAGCAGUUGAUUUUGGGUUUGAGCUCGAAGUUAUUGCAGAACCUUUCUCUGUUUCCACUCUUGUAGGUGAUUCUAUUGUGGCUAGGAGGGUAUAUAGAAAUUGUGUUAUGUCUGUUUGUAGUCAUGAUACCGUGGUAGACCUUAUAGAGCUUGACAUGAUUGAUUUUAAUGCUAUUUUAGGAAUGGACUGGCUCCAUUCAUGUUAUGCCACUCUUAAUUGUAGAACCCGAAACGUUACUUUCUUUUUUUUGAAUAAACUUGUGAUAGAGUGGGAGAGGUAUUCUUUAGCACCUAAAGGUAAAUUCAUAUCUUACUCUAGAGCCCGUAAUCUUAUUUCUAAGGUUUAUUUGUAUCAUCUUAUUUGGGUUAAAGAUUUGAAUACUGAAAGUCCUUCUCUUUAGUUUGUCCCCGUGGUUAGUGAAUUUUUAGAAGUCUUUCCCGAUUAUCUCCUAGGUAUACCACCUGAUAGGGAGAUAGAUUUUGGUAUUGAUUUAUUUCCGAACACCCAUCCUAUUUCUAUUUCACCAUAUAGAAUGGCUUUUGCUGAAUUGAAAGAGUUGAAAGAGCAACUAGCAGAUCUUCCUGAUAAAGGCUUAAUCCAUCCUAGUGUUUCUCCUAGGGGUGCACCUAUACUUUUUGUACAUAAAAAAAGAUGGUUCCCUUUGUAUGUGUACAGACUACCGCUAGCUGAAUAAGGUCACUAUCAAGAAUAAAUAUCCACUUCCUAGAAUUGAUGAUAUCUUUGACCAACUUCAAGGUGCUAAGUGUUUUUCAAAGAUAGACCUUCAUUUAGGGUAUCAUCAGUUGAUGAUUAGGGAGGCUAAUAUUCCCAAAAUAGCUUUUCGAACCCGAUACAGUCAUUAUGAAUUCUUAGUCAUAUCCUUUGGAUUGACUAAUGCUCCUCCAGCUUUCAUGGACCUAAUGAAUAGGAUGUUUCGCCAGUUUCUAGAUUUAUUUAUCAUAGUUUUCAUUGAUGACAUUUUGGUUUAAUCUAAGAAUAAGGAGGAUCAAGUCAGUCACCUCUGAAUUAUUCUUCAGACCCUCAAAGAUCAUAGAUUGUAUGUAAAAUUUUCCAAGUAUGAAUUCCGGCUUAAUGCUAUUGCUUUCUUAGGACUUAUUAUGUCUAGUGGGGGAGUAAAGGUUGUUCCCCACAAGAUUGAGGUAGUAAAGAAAUGGCCCAGACCCACGACUCCAAUUGAUAUUCGAAACUUCUUGGGUUUGGCAGGGUAUUACAGAAGGUUCAUAGAAAGUUUUUCUUCCAUAGCUGCUCUUCUUACCAGGUUGACACAGAAAAAGGUAAAGUUUGUGUGGUCUGAAUCUUGUGAGAAUAGCUUUAAAAAAAUGAAGGACAAGUUGACUAUUGCACCUGUUUUGACCCUUCCUGAAGGUACAGAGGGUUUUGUGGUGUAUUUUGAUACAUCUCGGGUAGGACUUGGGUGUGUACUUAUGCAGUAUGGUAAGGUGGUAGCUUAUGCAUCUAGGCAGUUGAAGGUGCACGAGCUAAACUACCCCACCUAUAAAUUGGAGCUAGCAGUUGUGGUAUUUUCUCUUAAGAUAUGGCGGCACUAUCUUUAUAGGGUACAAGUUGAUAUUUUCACUGACCAUAAAAGUUUACAGUAUUUUUUAUCGCAGAAAGAAUUAAAUAUCAGGCAAAGGGGUUGGUUCAAACUUUUGAAGUAUUAUGACAUGAGCCUGCACUAUCAUCCAGACAAGGCGAAUAUGGUGUAUGAAGCCCUCAGUAGACUAUCUAUGGGCAUUCCUUCACAUGUUAAGGAAUUAAAAAGGGAGAUGGUGAAAGAUAUUCACCGGCUAACUAAUCUAAGGGUGCGACUUCUGGAUUUCGAAGAUGGAGGACUAGUUAUGCAUGAGAUAGCAAGAUCCUUCUUAUGUGCUGAAGUGAAGGAGAAGCAGGUCGAGGACCCUAUUUUGAUGCAAAUCAAGAAAGAUGUGGGUCAGCAGAAAGUGAUGACUUUUGAAAUUAGCGAUGAUGGGAUUUUGAGAUAUCAAAGUAGGUUAUGUAUGCCAGAUAUGGAUGGUUUGCGGAAAAGAAUUCUUAAUGAAGCUCACACUUCGAAGUAUGUUAUUCACCCAGGCUCUACUAAAAUGUACCAUGAUCUUAAAACUAUAUAUGGGUGGAAUAAUUUGAAGCAUGAUAUGGCUGAUUUUGUUUCCAAGUGUUUGAAUUGCCAACAAGUUAAAGUGGAACAUCCGAGGCCAGGUGGUACUUCCCAAGAGAUAGCUUUGCCUAUGUCAUGCAUAUGAACCCAUGCAUUCAGCCUACCUCACUUUGCAUACCAGUACAUUCUCACGUACUUAUGCAUAUUUUUCUCUUCUUCUAUGGUGUUUUAUACCAUAGGUUCAGAUUCUCAAGUUCCCGAUCACACUUAGCAGUUUAGAUUUCAGCAGACAGAGUCAGUGGUGAGUCAUCAUAGUUUGAGGACAUGAUUAUUUUUUUAUUUUAUUAUUUCAGGAGUUAGUUAUUUCAGCAGUCGAAGUUAGUUGGGGAAUUGUCCCAUCAUCUCCACAGUUUAGACAGUUUAGACAGUUUAGAGGCUUUUCAGACUAGAGUAUUUUAGAUAGUUGUUUUUAGUUUUGGUAUUAUUAUACCUUGAUCAGACAUUGCUUAUUUCAAUUUUAAACCUUAUGGAAAGUUUUCUGCCAGAUUUGCACAUUUAUUUUAGUUAUAUUGUUAUUACAGUAUUACUAUAAUACAAUCCUCAUAGCAGGUAUCAGUCAUGGGUUAGCUAGUGGUCCUUCGGGAUUGGUAGCACCGUGUAGCAUUCGGGGUACCAGACUCAAGGCGUUACACAGGCCAAGAGGGCCAUACCAGUAGACCAGAACCAUAGUCAGUACCAAGAUGAACCAUAGUCAGUACCAAGAUGGUAACUAGGGUAACAGAUGGCCAAAAAAAAUGUCUUGGAGUAAUGCCCAGCCUGUGGCCAGCGCCCAGCGCCCCAGCGCCCAGACCUCCAGCAGAUCGGCGAUUCUAGAAUUUUUAACCUAGCUACGGAUCGAGAGUACAGGGUACACAAUUACAAGAGAGUGUGGCACAACCUGAUAGGUCUUAUCCUUGCUAUAACACGUGUGGGAGGCACCACCUAGAGAGGUUCUAGAUUGGUAUAAUGGUAUAAUAUUCUUAUGGCUAACCAGGUCAUAUCCAGAGAGAGUGCCCGACAACGAGAGGUAAUAUCGGGGGAACUAACUCGCAAGCUAAUUCCUCCGUGCAACCACCACCUCCAAAAAGAGCUACUUCAGCUACCGGGAGCGAUCGCAACUGGUUGUAUGAUUUGUCCAACCGUCAGGAUGUACAGGCUUCCCCAGAUGUAGUCAUAAGUAUGUUACAAAUAUUCUUCCAUAAUGUAUAUGUGCUACUUUAUCCCAGGUCUACCUUGUCUUAUGUGACCCCAUAUGUAGCAGUUGAUUUUGGGUUUGAGCUCGAAGUUAUUGCAGAACCUUUCUCUGUUUCCACUCUUGUAGGUGAUUCUAUUGUGGCUAGGAGGGUAUAUAGAAAUUGUGUUAUGUCUGUUUGUAGUCAUGAUACCGUGGUAGACCUUAUAGAGCUUGACAUGAUUGAUUUUAAUGCUAUUUUAGGAAUGGACUGGCUCCAUUCAUGUUAUGCCACUCUUAAUUGUAGAACCCGAAACGUUACUUUCUUUUUUUUGAAUAAACUUGUGAUAGAGUGGGAGAGGUAUUCUUUAGCACCUAAAGGUAAAUUCAUAUCUUACUCUAGAGCCCGUAAUCUUAUUUCUAAGGUUUAUUUGUAUCAUCUUAUUUGGGUUAAAGAUUUGAAUACUGAAAGUCCUUCUCUUUAGUUUGUCCCCGUGGUUAGUGAAUUUUUAGAAGUCUUUCCCGAUUAUCUCCUAGGUAUACCACCUGAUAGGGAGAUAGAUUUUGGUAUUGAUUUAUUUCCGAACACCCAUCCUAUUUCUAUUUCACCAUAUAGAAUGGCUUUUGCUGAAUUGAAAGAGUUGAAAGAGCAACUAGCAGAUCUUCCUGAUAAAGGCUUAAUCCAUCCUAGUGUUUCUCCUAGGGGUGCACCUAUACUUUUUGUACAUAAAAAAAGAUGGUUCCCUUUGUAUGUGUACAGACUACCGCUAGCUGAAUAAGGUCACUAUCAAGAAUAAAUAUCCACUUCCUAGAAUUGAUGAUAUCUUUGACCAACUUCAAGGUGCUAAGUGUUUUUCAAAGAUAGACCUUCAUUUAGGGUAUCAUCAGUUGAUGAUUAGGGAGGCUAAUAUUCCCAAAAUAGCUUUUCGAACCCGAUACAGUCAUUAUGAAUUCUUAGUCAUAUCCUUUGGAUUGACUAAUGCUCCUCCAGCUUUCAUGGACCUAAUGAAUAGGAUGUUUCGCCAGUUUCUAGAUUUAUUUAUCAUAGUUUUCAUUGAUGACAUUUUGGUUUAAUCUAAGAAUAAGGAGGAUCAAGUCAGUCACCUCUGAAUUAUUCUUCAGACCCUCAAAGAUCAUAGAUUGUAUGUAAAAUUUUCCAAGUAUGAAUUCCGGCUUAAUGCUAUUGCUUUCUUAGGACUUAUUAUGUCUAGUGGGGGAGUAAAGGUUGUUCCCCACAAGAUUGAGGUAGUAAAGAAAUGGCCCAGACCCACGACUCCAAUUGAUAUUCGAAACUUCUUGGGUUUGGCAGGGUAUUACAGAAGGUUCAUAGAAAGUUUUUCUUCCAUAGCUGCUCUUCUUACCAGGUUGACACAGAAAAAGGUAAAGUUUGUGUGGUCUGAAUCUUGUGAGAAUAGCUUUAAAAAAAUGAAGGACAAGUUGACUAUUGCACCUGUUUUGACCCUUCCUGAAGGUACAGAGGGUUUUGUGGUGUAUUUUGAUACAUCUCGGGUAGGACUUGGGUGUGUACUUAUGCAGUAUGGUAAGGUGGUAGCUUAUGCAUCUAGGCAGUUGAAGGUGCACGAGCUAAACUACCCCACCUAUAAAUUGGAGCUAGCAGUUGUGGUAUUUUCUCUUAAGAUAUGGCGGCACUAUCUUUAUAGGGUACAAGUUGAUAUUUUCACUGACCAUAAAAGUUUACAGUAUUUUUUAUCGCAGAAAGAAUUAAAUAUCAGGCAAAGGGGUUGGUUCAAACUUUUGAAGUAUUAUGACAUGAGCCUGCACUAUCAUCCAGACAAGGCGAAUAUGGUGUAUGAAGCCCUCAGUAGACUAUCUAUGGGCAUUCCUUCACAUGUUAAGGAAUUAAAAAGGGAGAUGGUGAAAGAUAUUCACCGGCUAACUAAUCUAAGGGUGCGACUUCUGGAUUUCGAAGAUGGAGGACUAGUUAUGCAUGAGAUAGCAAGAUCCUUCUUAUGUGCUGAAGUGAAGGAGAAGCAGGUCGAGGACCCUAUUUUGAUGCAAAUCAAGAAAGAUGUGGGUCAGCAGAAAGUGAUGACUUUUGAAAUUAGCGAUGAUGGGAUUUUGAGAUAUCAAAGUAGGUUAUGUAUGCCAGAUAUGGAUGGUUUGCGGAAAAGAAUUCUUAAUGAAGCUCACACUUCGAAGUAUGUUAUUCACCCAGGCUCUACUAAAAUGUACCAUGAUCUUAAAACUAUAUAUGGGUGGAAUAAUUUGAAGCAUGAUAUGGCUGAUUUUGUUUCCAAGUGUUUGAAUUGCCAACAAGUUAAAGUGGAACAUCCGAGGCCAGGUGGUACUUCCCAAGAGAUAGCUUUGCCUAUGUGGAAGUGGGAGAUGAUCAAUAUGGACUUCGUAAUGGGACUUCCAAGGUAUCAAAACUAUUAUGAUUCCAUUUGGGUAAUUGUGGAUCGACUGACCAAGUCAGCUCACUUUUUACCUUUGAGGACUAACUAUUUGGGAGAUGAUUACGCCAAGAUGUACAUUGAAGAAAUAGUUUCCUUUCAUGGGGAACCUGUAUUUAUUAUAUCCGAUCGAGGUACGCAAUUCUCAUCACAAUUUUGGAGAUCUUUUCAGAUGGGUUUAGGUACCCAAGUGAACCUGAGUACUGCAUUCCACCCUUAGACUGAUGGGCAAGCAGAGUGCACCAUUUAGACCCUUGAGGAUAAGUUAAGAGCCUUUGUAAUUAACUUCAAAGGUAGUUGGGUAGAUUGAUAUAGUUCGCCUACAAUAAUAGCUACCAUACCAGUAUUAAAAUGGCUCCUUUUAAAACACUUUAUGGGAGAAGAUGUAGAUCACCAGUUGGGUGGUAUGAAGUGGGUGAGACGUGGUUGUUUAGGCAUGACCUGGUUCAUCAGGCAAUGGAAAAGGUGAAAGUCAUUAAAGAACGACUCAAGAUAGCUCAGAGUCAUCAGAAAUCCUACACCGAUAUUAUAAUGAGAGAGUUGUAAUUUGAGGUUGGUGAUUGGGUGUUUCUAAAGGUCUCCCCUAUAAAGGGAGUCAUGCAAUUUAGAAAGAAAGAAAAGUCGAUUCCUUGCUAUAUUGGACCAUAUCAGAUUGUGAAAAGGAUAGGUGGGGUCGCUUAUGAGUUAGAGUUUCCUACAAAUAUGGCUUUUGUCCAUCUCGUAUUUUAUGUGUCCAGGUUGAAGAAGUGUAUUAGAGAUUAUUCUCUAGUGUUUCCUGUAAAGGAGAUCAAGGUAAUAGACUCCUUGACAUAUAAAGAAGAACUUGUUGCUAUUCUAGAUCGUCAAGUCCAGAAGUUGAGAAGCAAGGAAAUAGCUUCGAUUAAGGUGUUGUGGAAAAAUCAAAAAGUUGAAGAAGCUACUUGGGAAUCGGAGAAUGACAUACGUGCAAGAUAUCCAAAACAUUUUUAAUUCGGUGAAUGACAAAAUAGAAGGUACAAUCCUUGCCUUAUUCUUUUUAUCUCAUAUUCACUAGGAUAAAUUGUGUUUACAUGUGUUCUGUGUAAUCAUUCGGGGAUGAAUGAUCCCAAGGGGGGGAUAAUGUAACACCCCAUAGUUUUCUCGACAUUAUGUCACUUCGUGGUAUGCUUGGAGGGUCGAUCUUCUGAAAAUAUUUUGAAGUGUCAAGAGGACUUAGUCAUAUUUUGAGCUCCUAAUCUUUGAUGAUUUUAUUUUUGACCUUUCCGACCCCGUAAAGCUGAUUUUUAAGUUGUUCCAUGAUCGAGGAAGUUAUUAGUACAUCUCGGGUAAGUUUUGGAAUUUUUUAGCAUCGUUUGAGGGGUGUUUAGAUAUUGAAAAUAGUGACCCAACGUGAAGUCGACACACUACAUCAAUGAUAGCGUCGAUGAAAUAGUGGAUCGACGUGAUCUCAAUGUAUCGUAUCAGGUAACGCGUCGGUGCUCAGUUUACAAAUUUAUUUUGAAUAACCGACCUUAGGAAGGGCAAAUUAGUCUUUUUUCCUCAUCAUAACUGUGCCAUAACAUGAAAUUAAGGUGUUAUUAGGGCAAAAUAUAUCAGAAAACUACUUCUCUCUCUUUAAUCAAGACCCUAGGUUUUCCACAAAGAUCAAGAAAUGUAUCUUUAGAAGCCAAGAGUAUCAAGAACUUAGUCAAGAUUUGGGCUCCGCUCUUUUUCCUAAGUAAUCUAAGGUACGUAGGUUUUUUCUAAACUUCAUGGGCUUAUUGAAAACACAUUGAAUAAGAUUUAAAGUUAUAAAAAUCAUGAAAUUUUAAAAGAAGUUGAGGAAAUUAUGUUUUCAAUCUUGCAUUAUGAAUGCUUUAAUGAUACUAUUGUUUUAGUCUUGAGGCCUUUCCCCCAAAUUUGAUUAGAAAUCUUAUAUAUGUAUGUAUAAAAUUAAGAUUUGAGAAUUUAAAUGGAGAGCAUAAGCCAAUAAACAUCCCUCUCUUGUUGUUAAGCUGGUUGUUCCUAUAUGUGUUAUGAAAUACUCGAUUUCUUUAUGAGGAAGCAUGAUAUGAAUGACUUGAUCUUUGGUUUAUGACUUGAUUAUGAUUUUGAACUUAAGAGGAGACAGUUUAUUUGAUGUUAAAUGUUAAGAGAAUUGCUAAAAGAAUUUCAUGAUUUGUCAUAAAUUUCAUGACCACCACAUGUUGUUGAAAGGUUAAAAAGAGAGAGUUUCAUGCAUAUGUUCACAUGAGUUUAAAGCAAGAGCCCUUUUGAAUUUAUUGAUUGAUAUGGUGGUCUCAAACUUCAUGUUUUAAAAAAAGAGAUUAUAAUAUGCUAUGAAUGGCCCAGAGAUGCGACUUGCAAGUCAAUGGUAUGACGAUACAAUAUAAAAAUGUAUGUCAUAAAAGAGAUAGAGUUUUUAGAUUUUGAUUUCAGAGAAUACAUGUUUUAAAGAGCUAAAAAUGGGCUUAAAGAGAGUUAGGUAGUUGCCUGAAGAAGGCUUGAGUUCAAGAACUCCUAGCCCAAAAUUGUGUUUUGCCGAUAUGGGUUCAUUUCAUCCCCUAGCGGGAUUAUACGCUAGCCUAUUACCCUGUGGCGUAUCAGAGACAGAGACUCCAACCCUUGCGGCAAACUCGGGUUGGGGGCUUGGCUGGCGAGUUAAGGGCAGAUUCCAUAUAGCUCAUGAAAUUUCAGAGUUGUAGGGUAUACCACCUAGCACAGAAGUAAAAAUAAAGAGUGUGUCAGGGAGUUUAGAUAAUUGUUUAGAGUCCUUUAAAUAUACCCAUGUGUUUUCUUUGCAUAUGUAUAUUUAUGAACUAUUUUCUAAACUGCUCUUACCUAUGUUGAAUAAAAAAAAAUUGGAAUUUCUCUGCAUACCUGUACAAUUGUAUUGAACCCCCUAUAUUUUAGGGUUUGAGGCUCAAUCUAGAGGUCCUGCUAAGCCGUAAAGUUUUCAGACAGAAGUAAAGAGUGCAGUUGGUAAGCCUUCUCUAUUUUGGAAGGCCUAAUGGUUUUCAGCUAGUUGUUAUUUAUAUUGUUUUGGGUCUACUGGGGCCUUGUCCCAGAUUUAGAUAGUUUACUGAUGUCGUAUGUAGUAGAGAUUUCGCAGAUUGAAAGAGAUGAUGUUCAGAUGUUGAAAACUUAUUUUCAUUCUAUUAAACAAAUUUAAGAAUAUGACCAUGAUUCAGUUUAUUUUAUUUCCACAUUUUUUUCUUUAUCAUUCUAGUAUUGUGCAUGAUUACCAGACGUAAAAGAGUGUCCGAAUCAUUAGGGUUUAGGAUGAUCACCAUGGCUAGGGUCCCGGAUCGGGUCAUGACACAUCUGAUAGCCCUUUUAUCAGCAGGUAAUGUUAGUAGAUCCCAAGUAUUAUUUGCAUAUAAUGCUUCAAACUCUUGUGUCAUGGCAGCUUGCCAAGCAGGGUUUAAAACUGCCUCUUCAUAAGAUAUAGCUCACUGUUUAGUGAUGUGUUUCUUAUUAUCUGUUGACUAUCUUGAUUAAGUGAUGUGAAUGAAGUGUUAUUGGUAACAAAGUAAAGAACUUUGGAGGAUGUGGUUGGAGAAGAAAAGGAAAUAUUAAAGGUUAAAGCGGUGUUUGGGUGUAGAGUAGGCAGAGUGUACUUGUAUUCUUAUAAGUAAGCUGGUAUGGUAUAAGUUCUAGAUAACCUCCUUGGUGCAGGUGGUUGAGAAGAAGUAGUUGAGGAUUGUGGUGUAGUGUGAUGCAAAAAUAUUAAAUCAUUUGUGGAAUUAGUUGUAGGUUGUGUAGAAUUAUGUUCUUAUGUUGGUACAAAUUGGUCUGGUGACAAAGAUGCCUCUUCACUAGUAGUCAUGGGCUCAUGAAUAGGAUGAUUAGUGACAUAAUCAGUGACUUCUCUUGUAUCUAGAUGACUUGUAUUAGUGGUGUGUGUGUCAGUAUUUGAAUUUGAAUAAGACUGCAUUAACUUUAGACAAGAAGAAAAUGUAGAGUGAUUUGAAGACAUAUCAAAAGGAAAAAUAUUUUCAUAGAAUAGGACAUCCCUAGAAACAUAUAAUCUCCUAGUGGCCAAGUCGAGAACCUUUUAACCUUUGAAUCUAAAAGGAUAUCCUACAAAAAUAUGAGGGUUGGAUCUUGGUUCAAACUUGUCUUUGUGAUUCUUGAGAGUGGUCGGAAAUCAAAGGCAUCCAAAAGCUUUCAAAUGACUAUACACUGGUGGUUUUUAGUGUAAUAUCUCAUAUGGCCAUUUGUUCUUUAAAACUGAGGAUGGUAAUCUGUUUAUUAAGUAAGUGGCUAUUAAAAUGCAUUCUCCCCAAUAUUUGAAGGGUAAUUUUGAUUGAUACAAUAGUGCUCUUGCUAUUUCAAGGAGAUGUUUAUGUUUUCUCUCCACAACACCAUUUUGUUGUGGAGUAUAGGGACAGGUUUUCUGAUGUAUUAUUCCUUUGGACUGAAAGUAUUGUUUAGUUUCAUUAUUAACAAAUUCAAGGCCAUUGUCAGUCCUAAUGACCUUUAUGGUGGUGGAAUAUUGAUUUUCAACCAGGAAAAUAAAAGUUUUAAUAACUUGAAGAGCAUUACUCUUGCAAUUCAUCAAAUGAGUCUAGGUUGAUCUACUAGAGUCAUCAACAAUGGUAAUAAAGUAUAUGUGGUUGUCAUGGGUGGUGGUGUGAUAUGGUCCCCACAUGUCAACAUGUAGUAGAUCAAAGGGUUCUGUUGUGAUUGUGGUCUUUUUAGGGAAGGAUUGUCUAGUUUAUCCUGUCAUUGGACAAAUUGAGCAGUCAAAAGGUUGUCUGGGUGAUAAUGGUGGGAGUGAGGAUAUUCUUCUCAUUUUCACAAAGGGUACAUAACCUAGCCUUAAAUGCCAGAGAAAAUCAUCACUGUUUUCUAUAGAACUGGAAAAUAAAGAUUGACUCAAGGUAGAAUGGGUUCCUUUAUUCAUAGAGGAUGAAUUAUUUACAAAAUUGGUUGUGGAUAGAGACGUAACAUGCAAAUCAAAAUUAUAGGAACCAGAACUAGAUUUAGACAAACUAAAGACAGAAUUAGACAAUGGAAACAGACUGUAGGAUGGAUUAACACCUAAACACUUAUUGUGACACUUUAAGCAAAGGUAGUAAAACUAUCUUUGGCUUUACCAAUCUCCAGAGGCCUCUUCAGUGAAGGGGCCUGUAACAUGCAACACACACUGUUGAAACUAACAUUGCUUUGAAGUUGUGAAGUUAAGCAAUUUAUAGAAAUAUGAUUAAAUUUGAAGCUAGGCGCACACAACACUUUAUACAAAUUCAUAGCUGGACUAAGAGAAGCAUCACCAAUUUUGGUCACUCUAACCUUAUAUCCAUUUGGUAGGGUCACAAGAAAGGAUAGUAAUAUUCUAGUGUUGGUCAGUAUUAAUUUUUUAAAAGUUAUGUGAUGGGAGUCCCCUGAAUCUAAAAUCCAGGAGUCAACAAAUAAUGAGUUACAAUCAUAAGUGAGUUAACCAAUCUUAGUUAUGAAAGAGUGACAAGUCAUUAUACCUGUAAAGUUCACUGCUCUAUUGGUGAUAUUGAUGUUGGUUGAGUCUUGUCCAGCUUCUAUUGGUUGAAAGUGGGUGAGAAGAUUGACUAGCUGAUUAUAUCUUUUUGGACAAGCUUUGAAUUCCUUUGUUGUUAGUUUGAUAAUUGGUCCAUUGUUUAUGAUUGUGGCUUUGUUCACUACCAUAUCUAUCUGUUCCUUUAGAGUAGCUUCCAUGAACAUGUGAAAUAGAAGUUGAGUUUUUUUCUUUCGUAAACUUCAAAUACUGUGGGAAUCCAUGCAAACGAUAACACUUAUCUUUAGUGUGGCCAGUUUUCUUGCAGUAGCCACAAAAAAUAUGAGGUUUCUAUGCUGAAAAUCCUGCUCUAUAAACAACAGGACCAUUAGAGUUACCACCAUUAAACUGAUUUCUGCCGAAAGAUGCUCCACCUUGUCUGUUGUAAUGAUUGAGGGACUGUGUAUUAUAAUGACUGUUUCCUUGCCUAUUGAACUGAUUUGAGCUUUGCUUUUCUUGAUAAUUUAUUCUAAAUGUUGUAUUUGCUACUCCAUGUACAUUCAGUGAAGUGGAUGUUAAAUCUAACUGAUUAUAAGGCUUGACCUCUCGUUGCUUCUCCUCUUGAAUGAGAAUAGAAAAAUAUUGAGCUAUGUUUGAUAACGGAUUCAUCAUCAGAAUAUUACCUCGCACUGCAGUGUAAAUUUUAUUUAGGCCCAUAAGAAACCGAAUUAACCUUUUGUCCUGCUCCACCUUGUGCAUUGUAGCCUUAGCACCACAUGUACAAUUGCAAUUGCAAGUAGCGGUGGUAUUGAGAGUGCUCAACUCCUCCCAUAACCUUUUCAUCCUUGUGUAGUAGCUUGUAAUGUCCAGAUUUCCUUGGGACAUAUCAUUAAUUUCCUUCUGCAACUGGUAUAAUUUUGCACCAUUUGUUUGGUCAUACCUGUCCUCUAGCUCCUGCCAAAGUUCUCGAGCAUCAUUGACGUAUUGUAGGUUGUCUACUAAAUCGCGUGAGAAUGAAUUUAAGAGCCAUGAGGUCACCAUGUUGUCACAUCUUUUCUACUGACCAAAAGUAAGUGAAUUUUCAGCUGGUCAUCUGGAAUUGCCAUUGAUGAAGUCGAGCUUGUUCUUGACAGAUAAUGCUCUAAGGAUCCCUCUUCUCCAGGAUCUGUAACUAGUACCAUAAAAAACAACGGGAAGCAAAGUUGAUCCUGCAUUUUCUGCAGGAUGCAGAUACAGAGGAUUGGAGGAAUCGAGUGUUCCAUGUGAUGUUUGAGAAAACUCAGAAUUCGACGUAGUUUCUGAAGCCAUGAAGAAUCAAUAGAAAUAACGAAGAUCAACAAUGCAACAAAAGAAUGAAUUGGAAUUGAGGAAUGAUGAAUUGCAAAAGUGCAAAUCGAGAAAAAAAAAUUAGCUUUGAUUUGUUGUAUGAGAAAAUGAAAAUCGAAGGAAAAGAAAAAUCAACAUUACUGUCUCUGAUACCAUGUCAAAAUUCAGAUGAAUUGAGGUGAAAACUCCAUUGAUGGAGAUAAUCUGAGUAGCGACUGGAUAACUAAGGAGAAGAGAAGCAUAAAUGGAGAAGAUAUUUUGUAAAAUCAGAAAGUGAUCUCAUUUUUUCUGUACUGUUCUAUUUAUACAAGGAAGAAGGAAAUGACAGUUGUCUACAGCUAAUGUUAUAUUCCCUAACUAACACACUAGACAAUUAAUCACAAUUAACUAACUAAUCAACUAACUAAGCUGCACACAGUCUCAACUAAUUAACUGUUUGCAUAGAUAAUAUCUAAUUAAUCUCAACAUAAUUAAUAACAUGACUAAGUAUUCCUAUUAAAUAAUGUUUACAUUAUAUCUUAAAAUUAAUAUGGAGAAAACACAAUUAAUGCUAAGAGUAAAUAGAAAUAGAAAAGUUGUCUUCUUGAUAUGUUAAAAAUGACAAGUAAAAGUAGAAUUUCAAUUAAGAAAUUAGUAACAACUAAAAGUGAUCGGAGGGACCGUCUAUUUUUAUAUUUAACGCUUUAGAAAUGCAUAUGAAAAUGAAAGUCAUACCUUUCCAUAACGUCACUUCGUUAUAAUGGCAUUUCACUAGAGCGGUCUGAUUGUCUUCGAAAUUGAUUUUUCAUGUUAUAUUUACUUCUCUAUAAUAAUAUUCUACCUACAACAAAAAAAUAUCGUUUAUUACAACGGUACACUCUCUGUAAAAUUAUCUCUCUAUAACAACAUACUCAAAUAUUAUGUAAUAAUAUUUUGUAAGAAAUAUACAUUAUGUACAAAAUAAAAUAUUAAAAUAUUUAUGGUAAUCAUCACUAAUUGCAUGCAAGAUUAAAUUUCAAGUAUGAAUAUCUAAUUUAAAGAAAAAAAUUGUAUUUAAAUGAUGCACAUAAGUUAUUUUAUAAUUUCACGAGAAAAAAAUUAUUAAUAUUUGUCUUUUAUAUUUCAUAGUUUUUCUAAUUUUGCGUACUUUUAUUUAUAACAGUUAAAUGAUAUAGUAGUUAUGAAAUUUUCAGACAAACGUUGUCCUUAUAGAGAGAUUUGGUUGUAUAAUUUUAUAAAAAGGGUAAAAUUAAGAUCACAAGAUUUAAAAAAUUCUUAUUUUUUAAAAUUUAGUAUCAAGUUAAAAUACAUUAUUCUAUUUAAAAGCGAAGGAUGUAAUAAAAAUUAAGAAUCCAUCAAGCGCUGUUCUUGGAUCGGUUUCCUGUCAGAAAAUAUGAACUGGAAUUUUCGAUUUUAUAGGACCGGUGAAGUCCCCUUAGAAGAAAGUAUGUAGUAAACAAAAAUUAAAUAAUUUUUUAAAUAAGAUUUAGACUAUUAUUGCUAGAACUCAGAGUAGUAAUGACAUCAUAUUGUGGUGGAAUGGUAAAGGUCUCGAAUUUGAGCCUGGAAUACAGAAUCGACUUUCUUAGGAAACACUUUCCACUCUAUGGUGAGAUUUCCUAACGUGAAUCGACUGCAAUGUAUCUAUCAAACACAUGAUUGGAAAGAAAAUAAAAAAAAGAAUAGUAAUGACUAAUUAGUACUUGGCAGAUGGCACUUAACAAACCCAAAUUAACUUCUUCUUUUAAAAAAAAUAAUAAAAUAAAAUUGGAGAAUGGAAGUUCAGAAUUGUAUAUUCCUUAAUCAGAAAUUACAACUAAAAAAUUAUUGGAAGAUACCUUAGAUGUGCUAAUAGAGGAAGAUCCACAUAACAAGGCAUUUUUGGUAGAUCUUGGUAUUUUUUAUUUGCUUAUAAUCUUUCUAUUGGAUGGGACAUACCAUGAUGUUUGAAGGAGAGAAAAAAAUUCAAUUCCAAAAUGUCUCAAAACAAUGGAUAUAAGGCGUUGUGAGUAUAGAUCCGUGCAGUAUUGUAGCUAACCUAGGUGAACCAAUGUGAAUUAUAUGAAUGAUUUCUUGAGAUUGUGCUGCGAAGCAAGACCAAAAUGUUUUUUAAUAUAGUGUAAUUGAAAUUUUAUUUGUAGAAGUUCGAACUUUAGGAUGGUUCUAUGGACUUCAAACUUAUAAAAGUGGAAUUUCGGAUUAAGUAUUUGAACUAACAAAGUGAAACUCCAGGAUAAUAUUCGAAACUGGUAAAUGCUACUGUCGGAUUUACUCAAAUUCCAUGUAAAACUUCCGGAGUUUGAACUGACAAAGGUUUAAACUUGAUGAAUUUUCUUGGAGUUUUACAUACUGGGAGGUUCCAAUUCCACGACAUUGUCUUGGAUUGUUAUGUUACAGAACAAAACUCCGAGGCAUUAUUCAUUUUUAACUAAACUCCAAGAUACCGUCGUGGGGUUCUAAGUUACAAAACUAGUUUUCGAGAUGGAUUUUGGGACAGUGUCACGGAGUUCAAGAAAAGCAUAAAUGAUGAGAGUAUCUACUGCUUUAUAUUUUUAAAUUUGAGGUAACAAGAGAUCUCAUUUCCUCGAUCCCAUAUGACUGAAGUUCAAAAAAAGCGCAAAUGAUGAGAGAGUCUCUAUCGCUCAUCGGUCCCCGUAUGAAAAAGAGUACUCCUUCUUCAGUCCCCUCAUGAAAAAUUACAAUUCUUGGUUAGUCUUGAAAUCGUAACUUAUUUCAAAUAGCAAUAAUAAAAGUGUCUAUUUGUGAAUUUUUCCCAAAUACGAAACAAGUUAUAAUAACUUAUACAGGUGUCUUCGAAGUUCCAACAAAACAUGCAUUUUCACUGUAUUUGUCUCUUUCCAUUGCUUGGUCAACUAAUCAAUUCUUUUUUCCUCUAAAACUAUCAACAUAACUAACCAAACAGCCUAUUUUGUGAAGAUUCGAUUACUGUGCUAAAAAAAAAUAAUUUUAACAUACAACUAAAGGUAUCUUUGCAGCUUGAAAUUGACAUUUCAUGACUUUGGAUUUAACUUACAUUACUCGUAGGGCGGUCUCCAAGUAGUCCAUAUAUUCUUAUGAAAAAUUCAUUACACUGACGCUAUGUAUGACUUAAACUUAUAAUUCAUAAACUCCCAAAACGGACGUCGCAACAGAACCAAACCACAACUUGCCAUGUUUCUCCUCAACUUCACUUAUAGUCCUCAAUGUCUUGCCUUCAACAUCUUCUAAAACCUCCAAAACUCGCCCGUCCUCACUUAGCUUCAUUGCAGUAGCAUGCGGUUGCCCUCCGCCUAACAUGUUGUCCAGUUGCUGUGCAGUGAUUGGGAGCUUCAACAGUGCCUUUCCGAGCUGCGAAUCUGAAAUACUCAAUUGUGCAAAUACUGAUCUUUUUGCAUGCAGCGCGACCCAAAAUUCCCCUCUCGAAUUUAUUCUGAUGUUGUCAGGUAACCCCGGCAACUCAACAAAUGUAUCAUGUGUUCCUGCAAGGGGGCCUUUAAG
rnacentral:lncRNA from 1 species